rnacentral:lncRNA from 1 species
AGGCGAUCAAUGAGCGGAAUUUCUAGCUUGUAUUCAAUUCGCGAACACAGUUUGAGAAGAAUCAGACCAUUAAUUUUCUUUUGAGCCAAUCAACAGAAUGUACAUUUCUUCUAAGAACUUGUAACCGAAACCGCAGUUUUUCAGGUUUGAUGCAUCUGGGAAAUUUGUCAGAUGGAAGAAAACCACCAUGCGCCAAGGUACCAAUGAUGUUUCUUCCAGCUUAUGAGCACUUCAAAUAAACUUAGGUCAUAUUUACACAAGGGCGCACAUGAUAUCAAUCUAAUGGCAAUUAUAUCAUCUAAAAUCCAAAACCAAGAGUCUCCCAUUUUCCCGCCCUCUACUCUGUUCGUAUUAUCAUAACUUGAAGAUUGCAAGGCAGCCGCAAUCUCCCAGAUCUUUGCUCCUUCCUCAUAGCAGUUAGUCAAACGAUAAACAGAGAUAUCCCAUGUCAACAAGAAGGUAAUCAUAAAAGAACAACAGAAUUGUUGCAAUAUAUUCAUAUGAAAUGUAAAACAAUUUUGAGAAAAAAUAUUGGGAAGAUGAUUUUUUUUUUCAUAGAAGUUGCAAUCUUUACGUUAUAUGCUAGUUUGACUAUGCUAUAUAAGGAAGCUAUAUGAAAUUAGAAAAAUAAGCUAUACUAGGAAAGAAUAAAUAUAUGUACAGAAAAUGAGGCUAUAAUCCCUGACUUUCAACAAAUUUAAUAUCAAUUUUCUUCUGGAAGUUGUCUCAAAUGGGGCGCAUCAGUAUUGUAACAUACUGUGAGAUGCUUAAACUCAACAAUAUAAGCAUGGUAAAUUAGAGAAAAAUGAUGCAAUUUUACCUUCCCAUUCAUGUAUGCCAAGGCUUUUUGGGCUUCCUCUUCUGUACUGAAAGUCACAUACCCGUAACCUUUUGAUCUAUUCUUACCUUUAUCCAUUAUUAUUGUAGCUGCAAAAAGAAAAGAACCGGAUAUUACAAAAUAGUGAAAGGGAAGAGGGGUUGAGACUUAAAACAGAAAUAGACCAAACCCUCAGUGACUUGGCCAAAUUGUGAAAAAGCAUCAGCUAACAUCUCUUUAGUGGUCGAGAAAGAUACGCCUGCAAAGAAUGCCAGUUAAUUUUAUCAUAAUUAGAUGGUAAGAUUGCAAAUUCUGCAGCCAAAGGUGGUACGGAACUGAAUGAAGGAAAUCAAAUAUGAACAUGUUUUCAAUCUUAAAAUAUUAAGAGUAGCAUAAGUAACUUGUGAAACAGUUAUAAGUUCAAGGGAAUUAGAUGAUGGCAUGGUUGAAUUUAUAAAUAUUUGAUAUUUUGGACCGAACAGGGCAAACAGAUGGAUCCAGAUAAUCAAGAAAAACAUCAAUUCCAUGCAACCAAAUGAGUGUGGGCAAUGCAAUUGACCAACACUAUAAAAUUAUUCAAAGAAAUCUCUAGGUCAGUAUCCAAAUAUAUGGCUCCGUCCGUUCCACCACCACAACCAAAAAAAUCAGAUCCCCCCAUUUGGAUUCGAUUGAUUAAUUUGAGCAUAUAAAAUCAGGUUUUAAACUUCCCUAAUCAAAAUUUAUAUUCCACAGAAUCAGUUCCUUUAACAUGAUGCAUUACAUAAUAUUUUGUUUGCAAAAUAAAGAAGAAAGAUGACAUAAUAGAAACACUCAGAGAGAGAGAAUACCUUUGACGAAAAGCUUAGAAGUGAAUCCUCUGUAAAAUACGAGUUGAGCUGCUGAAUUUUCGAGUUUGAAUGAGAGACUGCGGCAAUUCUGAAAAUGUUUUUUUCUCAUUAGCGCCGCCAUUUUUGUAAUAGAGGGUAAAGAAAUAAGUAACAGAGUAAGAGGUGAGCAGAAGCGGCCCAAUUUAGUUAUAUGCCAUGCAUGCGAUCAAAAUUGAAUGGUUAAAUGGCAGCCACUAUGUUACAUCUUGUGUAAGUAACAAACCGCCUACAUGGAUCGUUGGAUUUGGGAAUAUGAAAUCCAAUGGAUAAUAUUGAAUUUAACGAAAAAUAGAUUACAGGUUGCAUUAGUCCAAGAUUAUUUCAAACAAACCAGCUGAUGAAAUAGCCGCUAAUCAAAUUUAAAAGGGAAAAAAAAAAUCAAAUUAUAGGUUAUAGAUCUUAUUUCCAUCUUAAAUCUAUGUCUUUCAUGGUGACUCAAUGUGUAUACUAAUUUAUAAUUUGGAUCUAUAUUAGAGCUAAUGCUUCCCUAAAUAACUAAGAAAAUUUUCUUUUCAUUGAUUAAAUAUCUAUUUCCAAUAUCUUGUAUAUUUAGGAUUUGAAAAGAGGAAAAAUAGUAGGGAUGAUAAUGAGAGAAGAUAGAGAUGUCGAUUCUCAAAUCUAAUAUUAAUGCUAUACUUAUAUUCCUAUACUAAAUAAAUUAUCCAAGGUUCGUGGUUAAUGAUACGUUGCGAAUUUUUAAUUUCUAUUUAAAGCUUUGUCUAAUAUGGCUUUUCAUAAAGCUUAGAGAAAAGUAAAGCUUUUACAAAAAAACAUUUAAUUAGAAUUGUGAUAAAUUUUCUUAAAAAAAUUUAAAAAGUACUUUAAUAAAUAAGCUUUUAAAGUUAUAUAUAUUAUGAAAGAAAUGAAAUAAGAUUAUAUAAUAAAUUAAGAGUAUCUUAGAUAAUUGAACUUUAAAAAAAAAACUCGCUAAGAGGUUUAAAAUUUGAGUUUUAAUAGUGGAUACAAAAUAGUUUAUUUAAUUCUCAAAAGCUCUACUCAAAAUAGUUUAUUUAAUUCUCAAAAAAUAAAUCAUGUCUUUACCGAUACUUACAACUGCUGGUUAAAUUCUGUUGUUUCCAAUAAUUUUAUGCUGUAUCUUCUUUAAUAAUAAAGAAAACUUGCAUUAAAAUUAAAAUUAGGGUAAUACCUGAUUUUAUAAAUAGAUUGCAAUGUAAUUUUGAAAAAUAAAACAAUAAUUUACAAAAUGUUUAUAACAUAAUUUUAAUUUUUUUCAAAAAGGAAAAACAACAAAAGUAAGAAAUAGAGAAUAAGGGCUACCAACUUUGUAUCUUAAACGGCCGUUAAAUUAUUUGUAAAUGAAAGCAACGGUCAGAUAUUGGUGGAUUAUGGAAACAUGUAAUCAUAAGGACUACGAGUUUUUUUUGUUACAUUGAUAUAUUACAAUUAAAAUUUUAUUGGUAUUUACAACUAGAAUUUCAUCUGACUAUCUUUGAUAAUUCUAAACUAGUACAGCCCAAAUUCUUAUUCUCAUAUAAUAUCAAAGAUAGAUAUAUAUUCUUUUCCUCCAUUAAUAACGAGACAUUUUUACUUCUAUCCAAUUUAAAUAGAACAAGAAUUAAGUCAUUUUAAUAGUUAGGACUCAGAACUCAUACACGCUAGUUUGAGAGUGUGGGGUGUGACAAUGGGCCAAGAGACCAUUGACAAGUACAAAAGAGUGGUAGAAAUUAAUUCAAACCGCUACACACGCUAUUGCAACCAAAUUGAGGGCCCAUUUUUGUUUAUUUCGUUGAAAAGUAGUCUGUAAAAUUAACUCAAACCGCUACAUACGCUAUUGCAACCCAAUUGAGGGCCCAUUUUUGUUUAUUUUGUUGAAAAGCAGUUUGCGCAAUUAAUUCAAACUGCUACACACGCUAUUGCAUCUUUUGAAAAAGAAAAAUGGAAUAGUUUUUCAAAAUUAGUUUAGAGAAUAAGAUUUACUAAUAAUGAUGUUAGAAAUCUUAAUAUUUGAAUCUUAAUAUUAUCUAUCACUCGUUUAUUAAAUAAUAGAUUUCAUAGUUUGUAAAAUUACUUAACCACUUGAUAAAUGUUAUAUUUGUUGGGACUAGAUUGGGACUUAAAUAUUGGAAUAUCUAGUAUUGCAUAAAAAAAAAAAACUUAACAAUUUAUCUUCACACGACUAAUUGUUUUUACAUCACAACUAACCUUAAUUAUUUUAAAAGUUAUAGUAUUAUUAAAUUGCCCUAACUAGUUAUCAAAAGGUGAAAGCAUGUUUAAAAAAGAAAUUACUAAGAAACAUUUGUUUAAACGAAGGUUAAGGUUAUGAUCAAUUAAUUAAGAAGAAACUUACUAUCAAAGGUUAAGAUUAUGAACAAUUUAAGGAAGUUAUUGAGUAGAGAAAGGGACAGAAUGGUUGUCUGAUUUGUCGGUGACAAGAAUGCUUGUGUUGUGAAAAGAAAGCCGAUGGUUUGUAAAUUUGUUGAAUUGGUCCCAAUUAGUAUAGUAACCAUCUAUUGAGCGGUAAAAUAUUAAUUUAAAUAGUCAUGAAAUCUAAUAUAUAAUAGAUUACUAACACACAUAAAUUAAAACUUAACUGUCAGAAAUCAUAACAUUACUCUACUCUUCAGUGGAGUUCUCUUAAACAGAUUAUGUGAGAUUGCCUACAUUAAAAAAUAUGUUAAGACUGCUUGUUGAAAAGCAAUAUUCGCUUUUCCAUUAUAUCCAUAGCUUUGAAUUGAUAAAGUUGUAUUCAACAACUCUUGAAAAGACUAAGCAGGUCUUCUUUGCAUUUGAUCACUGGUAUUUCAGUUAAGUUUGUCGUUUACUUAAAUUUUUCUUGCUUUCAAUUUCCACUGUUGUUUUUUUUUUUAAUAAAAUAAUUUGUUUAACUAGUCAUAGAAAUAAGAGAGAAAAUGGGUCAUUUCUUGACUCAAAGUCAAUUAUAAUUAUCAAAACUUGAGGGGACAUCGCAUGCCUAAAUUCCACGCACCCUAAAACAGUUUGAUUUGCUUUCACGCGUUCAUGAAUUUCCAUGAAAGAGCCUGUCUUUCGUCUCUUUCGGGACAAUGACUACAAUUAUGGAAAAAAAUUAUAAUUCUCGUUAGAUUGUAACCAAAUUAUUAUCCCUAAUUUUUUAAAGUUAAAUAAAAUAAAAUUCAUGCUUAAGUAUUUAGUAAUUAGAGAGAGAUAGAGAGGAUUGAGGGACAAUGUUUCGCGAUUUGGGGUCAAUUCAAAGUCAACUAACGUGUAAAACACGUGUAUGCAUAGAAAACGCUUAGAUUAUUUGUGUUCCAAGUGCAAGAAAUUAAGAAAAGAAAAAUUGAUUUCCUUUCAUGAACUUCCAAGAAAGAAAGAAGACCCUUCACCUUGUUCGUGACAACAAAUGAAUGAAUGAUGUUGAUAUGACAAAUACAAGCGCUAUUACAGGGAACAGCAUAAGACCGAGACUUGAUAAAAGGUUUGUUGAAUUACAUGUUAUUUUCUUUUGACUUGAAUGAUGUUGAAAAUAAAAUAAAAUAAAAUUGUAAUCAGGGUGAUGUGUGCAAUAUAGUGAAAUAAAUAAAUAGAGAAGAGAAAUUCGUUGAUCAAUAUUAAAGAACUCAUCCAAAGUGAUCGUCAAAGUCUAGAGGUUCGGUAUGAUUAGCAUUUAUUUUUAUUUUUUUUGGCUUAGCAUCAUAUAUAGUCACCUGUCGUGUGAUCUAGGACAUGUUUAGAAAUCCUUUUAUUUUAACUUCCGUAUUCUUAUUAUUUAAUUAGUUAUAAAGUUUUUAAGUAUUUGAGUAUUGAUCACAUGUCUCCUAAUCUAAAAAUAUGUUUUUACGAGUACAAAUAACAAACUAUGAUUUUAACAUCCUUUUAUACUAAACCCUAAAAAUACAUGAAUUUAUCAAAAUAAGUAAAUUAAUUUAAAUUGGUAUGGCAUAAUAGAAGUUUUACCUGCCAAAACAAAUUAAAAAAAUAUUACACUUAAAUCAAAUAUUGACAAAAAUAGAUAACAAUCUAAUGAGAAUCUUAACUAGACAUUUUUAAUUCUAUCCAAUUUAACUGGAACGAGAAUUAAGUCCUUUCAAUACUUAGGACUCAUAACUCAUACACACUAGUUUGAGAGUGUGGGGUGUGACAAUGGGACCAUUGACAAGUAUAAAAGAGUGGUCGCAAUUAAUUCAAACCACUACACACGCUAUAUUGAGGGCCCACUUUUGUUUAUUUCGUUGAAAAGUAGUUUUCACAAUUAAUUCAAACCGCUACACACGCUAUUGCGUCUUUUAAAAAAGAAAAAUGGAAUAGUUUUCCAAAAUUAAUUCAGAGAAGAAGAUUUACUAAUAAUGAUGUUAGAAAUCUUAAUAUUAUGUAUCACUCAUUUAUUAAAUAAUAGAUUUCAUAGUUUGUAAAUUUACUUAACCACUUGAUAAAUGUUAUAUUUGUUGGGACUAAAUUGGGACUUAGAUGUUGGAAUAUCUAGUAUUGCAUAAAAAAAUAAAUAAAAACUUAACAAUUUAUCUUCGCAUGACUAAUUGUUUUUACAUCACAACUAACCUUAGUUAUUUUUUAAAGUUAUAGUAUUAUUAAAUUGCCCUAACUGGUUAUCAAAAGAGGAAAGCAUGUUAAAAUAAGAAAUUACUAAGAAACAUGUGCUUAAACAGAGGUUAAGGCUACGAAUAAUUAAGAAGAAACAACUUACAAUCAAAGGUUAAGAUUAUGAACAAAUUAAGGAAGGUAUUGAGCAGAUAAAGGGACGGAAUCAUUGUCUGAAUUGCCGGUGACAAGAAUGCUUGUGUUGUGAAAAGAAAUCUGAUGGUUUGUAAAUUGUUGAAUUUUUUAUUCGCUCGCUCCAACUGACUUACUAAUGCCAAAUUUAUUACUUUGCACAGUAGUGUUUAGGAUCCUCAAGAUCAACUCUUAAUUUGGUCCCAAUUAGUGCAGAAAUCAUCUAUUGAGCAAUAGAAUAAGAAUUUUUCUAGUCAUGAAAUUUAAUAUAUAAUAUAUCCUUGACACACAUCGAUUAGAACUUAAUUGUUAGAAUUCAUAACAUUACUCUACUCUCAAGGGGAGUUCUCUUAACAUAUUAUCUUAGGUUGCCUACAUUCAAAAUAUGUUAGACUGCUCUUUGAAAGCAAUAUUCCCUUUUCCGUAACUUUGAAUUGAUCCAAUAGCUCUUGAAAAGCACAUAAUAAUCAUUAUAAAUUUAAUCAAAGACUAAGCAGGUCUUCUUUGCAUUUGAUCACUGGCAUUUCAGUUAAGUAUGUCAUUUACUUAAAUUUUUCUUGCUUUCAAUUUUCACUGUUGUUUUUUUUUUUAAUAAAAUAAUUUGUUUAACUAGUCACAGAAAUAAGAGAGAAAAUGGGCCAUUUCUUGACUCAAAGUCAAUUAUAAUUAUCAAAACUUGAGCGGACAUUGCAUGCCUAAAUUCCACACACCCUAAAACGGUUUGAUUUGCUUUCACGCGUUCAUGAUUUUCCAUGAAAGAGAGUGCCUCUCGUCUCUUUCCGGACAGUGACGACAAUUAUGUUAACGUGACAAAUACAUAACGUUAUUACAUACAAGAAUAAGUUUUUGGAGCCGAGACUUGAGGGAGGUUCUAUCUAAUUCUAAAGAUUGUAACCAAAUCAUUAUCCCCAAUUUUUUUCAGUUAAAUAAAAUAAAAUUUAUGCUUAAGUAUAAAUAAAAUCCAUAGUGGAUAAAUAUUUGAUUAUCGAUUUUUUUUAAUGUAAAAUUGCUGGUUUGUUGCUUAAAAUUUUCAAUAAUAAUUUCACUUAUUUAGUAAUUAGAGAGAGAGAGAGGAUUGAGGGCCAAUGUUUCGCGAUUUGGGGUCAAUUCAAAGUCAACUAAGGUGUAAAACAUGAUUUCCUUUCAUGAACUUCGAAGAAAGAAAGAAGACUCUUCACCUUCUUCAUGACAACGAAUGAUGUUGAUAUGACAAAUACAAUCGCUAUUACAGGGAACAGCAUAAGACCGAAAUUUGAUAAAGGGUUUGUUAAAUUACAUGUUAUUUUCUUGUUAACUGAAUUGGAAGAAAAAAUAAAAAUAAAAUAAAAUUGUAAUCAGUGUGAUGUGUGGAAUAUAUUGAAAUAAAUAAAUAGAGAAGAGAAAUUCGUUGAUCAAUAUUCAAGAACUCAUCCAAAGUGACUGUUAAAGUCUAGAGGUUCCGUAUGAUUAGCAUUUAUUUUUUAAUUUUUUGGCUUAACAUCAUAUGUAGUCACUGGUCGUGUGAUCUAGGACAGGUUUAGAAAUCUUUUUUUUUUUUUUAACUUCCGUAUUCUUAUUAUUUAAUUAGUUAUAGGGUUUUUUAGUAUUUGAGUAGUGAUCACAGGUCUCCUAAUCUAAAAUUAUGUUUUACGAGUACAAAUAAAAACUAGGAUUUUAACAGCCUUUUAUACUGAACCCUAAAAAUACAUGAAUUUAUCAAAAUAAAUAAAUUUGAAUUGGUAUGCCAUAAUAAAAAUUUUACUUGCCAAAACAAAUUAAAAAAAAAUAUGACGCUUAAAUCAAAUAUCGACAAAAAUAGAUAAAAAUCCAACAAGAAUCUCAAAAAUAAGAAAGAUAUCUUCAAAAUAGAAGCGUCCAAGAGAAAUUUGGCGAAGAUUUGCUAAUCCACAUUGAAAAUGUCACUUUUCCUUGAGAACUUCAUAAUGAUAUAUUAUGAGCCUAAGACAAAUACCAAUUACUCAAGUUAUGGCCCUAUGAAGACAUCCUAUUCAUUCUCCCUAGACCAGGACGUGUCGCACAUGUUUGCAUUCAAAUUUAGGUGAAAAUCUACUCUCAUUCAAGGGAUAUAUAGGUACCUGUGAAGUCUCAAACCCGAGAUAAUGUGAAAGCAAAUCGGGAGUUUGAUUAAAUUCAGCCAAUUAUUAGUGUGUACGGAUGGUAGGGAUGGAAAAAAACUCCGACCGUUCUUAGGUAUGGUAUUACCCAGAUCUGGCCUAAGCAUGUUUUUUUUGAACACUCAGAAUUUUUUAAUCAAAACUUAAAAAACCUAGAAUUUAUAUUUUAUAAUAUUAUAUAUAUUUAUUUUAUUUUAUAAUUUUAUAUUUUCAAAUUUUAUUUUAAUGAAUUGGAAUUAAAAAUAUGAGUUUUAAAUGUUUAAAAUUUUAAAAAUAGAUAAUAAGUGGACCAAAUGAACAAAAUAAUAGAUAUUUUAUAAUAUUCUUCAUAAAAAUCCAAGUUUUGAGCUAGCCCAUAAGCUUGUCUAGUGAAGUCUGGGUACCCGCGUUGCCCAAGGUUCCGUCAGAAUCCAGGCUGUGCAGAUAUUUAUGGACGGAGAGGAAAUAUUUUCAGUUGACUGAAUUAAAUAAAAAUAUAUUACAAUCAUAUUAUAUAUUAACAGUAAAAAUAAAAAGAAAUGAAGAAAAACGCAUGCAAGACUUAGACAAAGUCAAUUAAAAGCUGGGAGUAUCAUCAGUUCAAUUGGUUUUAAAUAGCGUAGAGCCAUCCUCUCGUUGUUGCAGAAGAGAGACAGAAAGAGUGUGUGUAGGCGAUUAUAAUUAAGCAGAUAUAAUGUGUGGUUCAAAAAGAGUGUGGGUGAGUGAGUUAAUUUUCAUAUUAUUAGUAGUAAAAGGGUGGUGGAGUGAGGGAUGUUUGGAGCAAGAGAGGUCUGCUCUCCUCCAACUCAGACAUUUCUUCAAUGAUGAUCACCGUCUUCAAAACUGGGUAGACGAUGAGUAUUAUUCAGAUUGUUGUCAGUGGGAACGGGUUGAGUGCAACGACACCACUGGCAGAGUGAUUGAAUUAGAUCUAGCAGUAACUCGGAAUUGGGAAUCAGCAGAGUGGUAUAUGAAUGCCUCUCUGUUUACUCCUUUUGAACAAUUAGAGUCUCUUGAUCUAAUAGGGAACAAUAUAGCCGGUUGUGUUGAAAAUGAAGGUCCGUAAUUUACUCUAUUUUAAUUCUUCCUCAUAAUUUUUUCCAUUUAUCUGAUCCCUUUUGGUUUUUAUUUAAUUUGUAUGUGAUACAAUAAAAUUACUUUUUAUUUUUUGGCAGGUCUAGAUAGGUUAUCAAGGUUGAACAACUUGAAGUUUCUUUAUUUAGACCUUAACCACUUCAACAACAGCAUCUUUUCAUCUCUAGGUGGUCUUUCAUCACUCAGAAACUUAUCAUUGGCUGCUAAUCGAUUGAAUGGAAGUGUUGAUAUUAAAGGUAAGUAAGCUUCAUCCCUUCUCCCCUGUCCCAUCUUUUGUGGAUCUUAUUUCACUGAGCAGCUGGAAGUAUUGAUACGAGAUCUAGCUAGACUCUUGCGAGUUUAGGCUUCACGGCUUUGAAUAGUAUAAAAAUAAGUUGAAGAAAUUAUCAAUAUAUGCAAUUUUCAAUGCUUCUCAUAAUCAGACACAAUUCAAUCUAAUUAUUUCGUAUGUCCUGUCUUCAAAAGUAAAGAAUUGUACACUAAUUGGAAAUCGACAUCGUAGCUUUUUAUUUUCUGUAAUGCUAUUUCUUCGUUAACAAGUUUAUAUCCUAAGAGGGAUUGGAUUGAAAAAAAAAAAGAAGUUUUGAUGUUCAAUGUAAGCCAUGAUAACCUGCAUCUUAUUUGUCUGCCGACAUCCAAAUUUGUGCACUGAAUUUAGUAUUUUGGUUAUUGUGAAGGGAUCAGAUAUUGGCUUCCAUAGACCAACUUGUAUUUACUUAAUUAAUUAAUUAACGACAUUUAGUAUUUAACAAAUUAAAAUUUCAUGUUUAAUCUAUUUUAAUUUUUUUAAGAAAAAAGAAAUAGAUAUAGCAGCAGGUAAAGCUGAAAUAAAUUUUAAUUCCUUACAAAUUUAAAUUCAUGGUUGUCAGCUAAAUAUAACUGCUUAAAGCCACUCUUUUCGCUGAGAUUUAACCAAAAAAAAAGGAGAAAAUAAUUUAUUUAAUUAACUCUGUUUUAAGUGUUGGAAUAAAUACAGGACUAGAAUCCUUGAGUAACUUGGAGAUGCUGGACAUGAGGGACAAUGCAAUCGACAAUCUAGUGGUUCCUAAAGGUAUACAAAAUGACACUAACCCAAAAUAAUUUAAUCCGAAAUUGUAUCCCAAAUAGAUUACAGAGGUUUGAGGAAGUUGGAUACCCUUUAUUUGGGGGGGAAGGGAAAUUGCAGUGAUAUAUGGAAGCAAGGUGUUGCAAUCAAUAAAGAAAUUCGUUGGUCAAUAUUCAAGGACUCAUCCAAAGUAAUCGUUAAACAUUUCUUCAAUGAUGAUCAACGUCUCAAAACUAGGUAGACGCGGGAGAUGAUGAGAAUAAUUUAGAUUGUUGUCAGUGGGAAGGGAUUGAGUGCAACAAAACCACAGGCAGAGUGAUUAAAUUAGAUCUAGCACAAACUCGAAAAUGGGAAUCAGCGAAGUGGUAUAUGAAUGCCUCUCUGUUUACUCCCUUUCAACAAUUAGAGUCUCUUGAUCUAAUUGGGAACAAUAUAGCUGAUUGUGUUAAAAACGAAGGUCAUUAAUUUACUCUAUUUUAAUUCUUCCUCCUCGUAAUUUCUUACAUCUAUCUGAUCCCUUUCGGCUUUUGUUUAAUUUGUACGUGAUACAAUAAAAUUAUUUUUUUUCAGGUCUGGAGAGGUUAUCAAGGUUGAACAACUUGAAGUUUCUUGAUUUAGGCUUUAACCACUUCAACAACAGCAUCUUUUCAUCUCUAGGUGGUCUUUCAUCACUUAGACACUUAUCAUUGGCUGAUAAUAGAUUGAAUGGAAGUAUUGAUGUUAAAGAUAAGCAAGCUUCAUCCCUUCUCUCGUGUCCCAUCUUUGUGGAUCUUAUUUCAUCGACCAGCUGGAAGUAUUGAUACGAGAUCUAGCUAGACUCUUGCUAGUUUAAGCUUCAAGGCUUUGAAUAUUAUAAAAAUAAGUUUAAGGAAUUAUCAAUAUAUGCAAUUUUCUAUGCUUCUCAUAAUCAGACACAAUUCAAUCUAAUUAUUUCGUAUGUCAUGUCUUCAAAAGUAAAGAAUUGUACACUAAACGGAAAUCGACAUUGUAGCUUUUUAAUUUUUCUAAUGCUCUUUCUUUGUUAACGAGUUUAUAUCCUGAGAGUGGAUUGGAUUAAAAAAAAAAAAAAAAAAAAGUUUUGAUGUUCAAGGUAAGCCAUAAUAACAUGCAUCUUAUUUAUCUGCCUAUAUCUAAAUUUGUGCACUGAAUUUAGUAUUUUGGUUAGUGUGAAGGGAUCAGAUAUUGGCUUCCAUAAACCAACUUGUAUUUACUUAAUUAAUUAAUUAACACCAUUUAGUAUUUAACAAAUUAAAAUUUCGUGUUUAAUUUGUCUUAUUUUUUAUUUUUUGAAGCAAGAAUAAGGUAUAGCAGUAGGUAAAGUUGAAAUACAUAUUUAUUCCUUACAAAUUUAAAUUCGUUUUCAGCCAAAUAUACCUACUUAAAACCACUCAAUCAGGCCAUUGGCAACAGUUUUUUAGGUUUUUCUAGUUAACCGUGUACUUUUUUGCUUAUUAAUAAAAUUCUUUUGUGCUGAGAUUUAAAAUAAAGAAGGAGAAAAUAAGUUAUUUAAUUAACCCUGUUUUUAAGUGUUGGCAUAAAUACAGGACUGGAUUCCUUGAGUAACUUGGAGGAGCUGGACAUGACAGGCAAUGCAAUCGAUAAUCUUGUGGUUCCUAAAGGUAUACAAAAUGUUCAAAUAUUAAUAAUUUGGAGGACAGUUUAAUUGAUUUGAUUAGGGAAUGCCCAAUGACACUUACCCAAAAUAAUUUAAUCUGAAAUUGUAUCCAAAACAGAUUUCAGAGGUUUGAGGAAGUUGAAUACCCUUCGUAUAGGGGGAACCAGAAUUCAAAUGAUAGAUGGAAGCAAGGUGUUGCAAUCAAUAGGAUCACUACCGUCCCUCAAAACACUUGACCUUUGGUAUACUAAUUUUACGGGAACAGUAGUUAAUCAAGGUAAGUAAAUCUUUUAUGUCGAAAAUAAUUGAAUUAAUAUAUAUAGCUAAAAUUUAUUGUUUCUACUUCUUUCUAAAUAGAAUUGCACAAUUUCACCAACUUGGAAGAAUUGAUAUUGCUCGAGUCUGAUCUCCAUGUAAGCCAGCUUCUACAAAGCAUCGCAUCAUUCACUUCGUUAAAGUAUUUGUCAAUGGGAGGUUGUACUUAAUGAAGCAAUUAUGGGUAUCCAAAAGAUUUUUUCUUAAUUCGAUAAUAAAUUAUGGGUAUCUGAAGCUUUUAUGAUAUUAAUUCGAUAAUAAUUCUUUCUUUUCAAGUUAAUUUUUUCCCCUAAAAUAAGAUUUUUUUUCUUUUAAAUUUCAUAUAUUUUCAUUGUCCAAUAGUUCUAGCUUCUCUUAAUUGCAGGAUUCUUGAUUAAGGUUAAUGAAAUUUUAGUUCUGUUAUGUUAAGAAUAUUUCGAUCGCUUAGAAGAGUAAAGAAAAAUAAGUAAAUUAACCAAAAAAAAAAGAGAAAAGGACCGGAUUAUCCUUAUUCCCUUGCAUUAUGUGAUCAAUAUCAAAAUUAUAACCAUUUCUUGUUUAUUGCUUGUAGAUUUUCUUAAAUUCAAGAAUUUGGAACAUCUGGACAUGGGUGGGGCGCAAGUUGACGUCAACACCAGUUUUCUUCAAAUUGUCGGCGAAUCGAUGCCUUCUCUUAAGUUUUUAUCACUGACAGGUUCAAGUCUUAAUAAAAACGCCAUUCUUGAUCAAGGUUAGUUAAUGAUUCUCUUUCUCCCUCUCUCGCAUCUUAACUAAAUUUAAUUGAGAAUAUCUAUAAUGCUAGCUAUUUAUAAACUUAAUGAAAGAUGAUAAGGAGCUACUAUAAUGACAAAAACAACUGUAAAAAUAGUGCGCUGUUGUAGUGUUAAUUGAAAAAUAAUGCUAAUUUUAUAGUCAUUUUGUUGCCAUUACGUCAGAUUCCAUUGUUCAAUUAUUUAAGUUUUAUGCAAAUAUAUUUUUCAGGACUUUGUCGGUUAGUGCAUCUACAAGAGUUAUACAUCGGCGGUAAUGAUUUGAGAGGUAGCUUGCCAUGGUGCUUGGCAAACAUGACAUCCCUCCAAGUGUUAGAUGCCUCUUUUAAUCAACUUACUGGAAACAUCUCCCCAGGCCUUUGUGAGUUGGUGCUUCUGAGAGAGUUAUACAUUGAUUACAAUUAUUUAAGAGGUAGCUUGCCUUUGUGCUUGGCAAAUUUGACUUCCCUUCGAGUAUUAGAUGUCUCUUACAAUCAACUUACUGAAAACAUCUCAUCUUCCCUCAUGCAUCUAAUAUCUAUGGAAAAGCUCAUACUUUCAAAUAAUCACUUCUUCCAAAUCCCUAUUUCACUUGAACCACUUUUCAAUCUCACAAAACUCAAGACUUUCGAUGGUGAAAUAUACGCAGAAACUGAGUCACAUUAUAAUUCUUUGACCCCAAAAUUCCAAUUGACUUCUAUCUCAUUGUCUGGCUACGGAGAUGGUGGCACAUUUCCCAAAUUCUUGUACCAUCAGCAUGACUUGAAGAAUGCUGAUCUCUCACACCUUAACUUGAGUGGAAAUUUUCCAAAUUGGUUGGUAGAAAACAAUACGAACUUAGAGACGCUUCUUCUUGCCAAUAACUCUCUUUUUGGAUCAUUUCGGAUGCCAAUUCAUUCCCACCAGAAAUUAGCAACAUUGGAUGUCUCCAACAAUUUCUUUCAAGGCCAUAUCCCAGUAGAAAUCGGAACAUAUCUGCCAGGCUUAAUGCAUUUAAACUUAUCUAGAAAUGCUUUCAACGGUAGCAUUCCCUCUUCAUUUGCUGAUACGAAAAUGUUGAAAAAGCUUGGACAUAUCCUACAAUCAGUUGACUGGUGAAAUCCCUGAGCGCAUGGCCAUGGGUUGCUUCUCAUUGGAAAUUCUUGCAUUGUCAAACAACAGUUUGCAAGGUCAUAUAUUCUCUAAAAAAUUUAACUUGACAAAUUUGAUGAUGUUGCAGUUGGAUGGUAAUAAAUUCAUUGGAGAGAUCCCAGAAAGCUUAUCUAAGUGCUAUUUGUUGGGAGGAUUGUAUCUGAGUGAUAAUCAUCUCUCUGGUGAGAUUCCAAGAUGGUUGGGUAAUUUGUCAGGUUUAGAAGAUAUUAUAAUGCCCAAUAACAAUCUUGAAGGACCAAUUCCAAUCGAGUUUUGUCAGCUUGAUUAUCUGAAGAUUUUAGACCUUUCAAACAAUAGUAUUUUUGGAACUUUACCAUCUUGUUUUAGUCCAGCAUCUAUCGAACAAGUUCAUUUGUCGAAAAAACAAGAUAGAAGGACGGCUGGAGAGUAUAAUCCAUGACAGCCCUCAUUUGGUGACAUUCGAUCUUAGUUAUAACAGCUUACACGGAAGUAUUCCAAAUCGGAUUGACAGACUACCUCAGUUAAACUACCUUCUUUUAGCUCAUAAUUAUAUUAAAGGCGAAAUACCAGUUCAAUUAUGCCAGUUGAAGGAAGUGCGGUUGAUUGAUCUUUCUCAUAAUAAUCUAUCUGGUCAUAUUCCUCCUUGCUUGGUUAACACUUCACUCAGUGAAGGUCAUCAUGAGGCAGUAGCUCCAACUUCUAGUUCGUGUGGUCGAGCGUCUGGCUAUGCAAGUCCAUGUGCGAAAAAUACAAGUGGACUUCCGAUGGGAAAGGAAGAAACUGUACAGUUCACAACAAAGAAUAUGUCCUACUAUUAUCAAGGAAGAAUUUUGACGAGUAUGUCUGGGAUUGAUCUUUCUUGUAACAAACUGACAGGUGAGAUUCCUACUCAAAUUGGAUAUCUUACAAGGAUUCGUGCGCUAAAUCUAUCUCAUAACAAUUUGACGGGCACAAUCCCGACAACAUUUUCAAACCUGAAGCAAAUCGAAAGCUUGGACCUCUCCUACAACCUACUGCAUGGGAAAAUCCCUUCUCAGCUCACUGUGCUAAAUACAUUGGCGGUCUUCACAGUAGCAUACAAUAACUUAUCAGGAAAAAUUCCAGAUAGAGUUGCACAAUUUUCAACUUUUGAGGAAGAUAGCUAUGAGGGGAAUCCUUUUCUUUGUGGAUGGCCACUGUCUAAAAGUUGCAAUGAUAGUGGAUUAUCAGCAGUGACACGAGAAGCUUACACUGAUAAUGAAGAAGGUGAUAGUUUAAUUGACAUGGACAGUUUCCUAAUCACUUUUACAGUAUCUUAUGGAAUUGUGAUAUUAGGAAUUAUUGGAGUUUUGUACAUAAACCCCUAUUGGCGACGAAGAUGGUUUUACCUUGUUGAAGUAUGUAUGAUCUCUUGCUACUAUUUUGUAGUAGAUAAUCUUAUUCCUAGAAGAUUCUAUGGUGGAUGGAUGUAAUUUCAUUUACUUUACAACUUAUAUGUAAUUUUUAAAGAAUUUUCUUUUGCAUGCAUGGAAUAGCAACUCAAUAAAAGUAUUUGAUGCAAAUUGUCCUAGAACAACUUAGUAAUUUCAUUGCUACUAUUUGGUUGUAUAUAUACAGUUAAUGAAAUUUUUUAAUCAUUCGCAGUAGGAAUUUCUUUAGAUGGCGGCCAAAACUAACAGAUUUGGGGCUCUACUUCUACACAUCAUAACAGGCAAAAGGUCUCUCUUUUACACGAUCUGAAUGAAGAUUAACUUACGCCCUCUAGGCUCUGGAGUGUGUGUAAGUUCUCUAUUAAACUUGACGGUUGAGAUUUCAGGUCCAGAUGAAAGUGAAAUGCAGGCGACGAGACUACACUUUAAGUAAACUGGGACAAACUUAAAAUAAAAAAAAUUGUAGUCCAGGGUGAGAGUGAUGGGUAGCUCAACUUAUGGAGGAUAACUAGGACUUGGAAUAACUAUCAGAUUUGCAACUCUUGUUAUAUGCUAGUGGGGAUUUUAGGUAGAAAUUUUUUUUUUUUUUCCUUUUUGCCCUCUUCCUCACAAUAAAAACACGUAACACACCAAGCCGUGCCCAAAAUAAUCCUAUUUUAUUCAUGUCAUGAAUCCAAAAACUAUCCCAGCUCACUUUGUUUAACCAGCAUAACUAAAUUGUGGGUAUAAAUGAACACACUUUCGAAGCCUGUAACUUAUAAUAAGCUCAAACCCAAAAAUGACAUUUAAAUCCUGCAAGUGUUUUUCAUCAUCCCUAACAAAAGAAACAAGAAAAUUAUAUACCAAUAAUUUUUCCAUAAAAAAUACUGAUUUGAGUUGAAACACUAUACAAACUGGGUUUUAUACACUUGCAGAAAGCUACACGGUAGACAAAAUCUAGCAGCUACAUAUUGGUAUCACUUUCAGCUGGUCAUGAAUGGUGUGCAUUCAGCAGUGCUCGAUAGACCAUGUCUAUGAAUUGAUUGUCCUAUUACAUAUAAAAAGCUGGUCAGAUAUACAAGGAAAAAAAUAAUAAUUGAAAAUGCAUCACAAAAAAUAAGUGUUUCGCAUUAGUGUUUGCACUCUAAGCAUGGCAAAGUGGUGCGGGGUUCAUGAUUUUGAAGACUGUGAUAAGUGAAAAAUAGUUCAAUCCACUGAUGAACAUAAAUUUAUUUACAUGUCAAUUUAGAUAUCAUCAAAAAGUAAACAGUAAUUCAGAGUCACUUAAAAUAGUUGAUAAAAUGCGUGCCAUGAAUGUAUUUUGUACAUAAGAAAUCCAAAGAGUAUUUCUGACAAUACAAAUAUGCUAGCUUUAAGUCUGCUGUCAAUAUGCAAUUAAGAAGAUUAUACCAGCUGCAUGAUAAAGUUCCCCUAAUCUUAAUAACAGUAAACAUGAACAUGUCAGAUGCAAUUAGCUUUGAGCAUUUGCAUAACCAGAAAUCCUAACCUGAACAAGCACCAGAAGUGUCUCUCGGACUUUCUCCUUGCUGAUAAAUGGUCCGCUGUCUGAAGUAAGAGCAGGAGUAAGAGAUGGUGGAGGGUUGGUGGUGGAAAAGGUUGAAGCACUGGGGCACCAUAUGGGCGUUGCAGACUCGGGGGAGGAUUAAGUGGCGGAGCUGUUGGUGUAGAUGAAGAGACAAGCUGCAUCAUCCGUGCAUAGGAGGAUGGAGGAGGAACAAAGAAUAAGGAAGGCUUUACAAGAUUAGGGGUAGGUGCUGAUAGAGGUGGAGAUGGUAUUUGCAAAGUUGGCACGAUAGGAGAAAGCAACACUGGCGGGAUGAGAAGGUAAAGAAAUAGUUGUAUUGGACUGGUAAGGUUGUGCAGAGAUUGCUGCAUUAGAAUUAUUCCCCACAGUCAAAGCUGUCUGCAAUGAUAAGGACAGAUGUCAUAUAAAAGGACAUCAUAGAAGUUGAACCUCACACAAAAAUGAAGUGAUAACAUAUGAAAAUAGUAUAUGACUUGCUGCAUUUUGUGGUAAUGUUGCAUACUUAUGUAGAAACAUAUUAUUUCAAAGAAAACAUACACUGAAGAAGUUCACAAAAGCAGGAUCUUCAGGAACAUCAACAGCAUUUGAGGGAGUUGACUCUAGAGGACCAUCCAUAACUGCCAUAGUUGGAACAGCUUCCAGUUCCUCAAACUCACUGCAGUUUAACAUAAAAGGAACUUGAUGACCAAUUUAAGUAAUAAUUAGAUGAUAUAAGAGGUUAGGGAAAAUGAUGAGUGGACCCUUAUGGAAGAUGAUUUCACCUUAGCUAAACACGAAAAUAAAAUGAAAUCAAAGCUGAAUCCUCGAGUGCAAUGCAAAUAAUUUUUUCUCUCUCUUCUCUAACUCCUCUUAUUCGAAAUUGCUCAUCAUUGUGCAGUUCCUCGAGAUUUUGCUAGAGUAGAGAAAGCUAUUCUCCCGUUAAGUGCAGAGGAAAAAAGGGCAAGGGCCUGGUAUGAUGCUAUUCUAUAGGAAGUGAGAAGGUGAAGGGCUAAAAUAUUUUGCAAUUUGGAGGUGGUGUUUGUUAGUGUGUGUACUUCUGAAUUUAUUACCUCUUUAGGAUCCAUAGAAAUUGCCUCUUGUUCAGCAUGCACUGUGCCUACGAGUAAGGCGAGCUUGCAUGGUAUCUAUUGUCUAUUUACUUGGAUAUUCAAACAGGACUACCAGCAACCAAACACAAAUCCCAAAACAAACACUCUUUCAAGUGCAAGGAAAGAGUAACUUGGGCAUAUUUAUGGUUCAAGCACUACAAUAACUAAGAAUGUGAUGACUGUCCACAAACACUAUAUCAGUGCCUUUUGAACUACAUCACAUGCUUGAAGACUUUUUUUUUAGUCAUACAUAAAUUAGCUAUAAAAUCAAGACCCUUAUACAACUAAAAAGAAAGAAAAAUUGUUUGCUACUACAUAUCAAAACUGGUAAUAGCAAUGUAAGAUGGCAGACUUCUUACUUAAACAGAUGAGAGGCUACAAAUAAAAAUUUGUGCAAAUAAAAUAUAUGAUAAAGAGCAUAAUACUUUCUUGGGGGCUAAAAAUAAUAUACAACUUGUGAAAUAUAAAUUGAGCUACCAUUACCUUUUAGAUGUGGCAACUUUCGACUUUUGAGGCACCUUGGAAUAUGCAUUCAGAAUCCUGCAUUUGGAAGCCAAUAAAUAAUGUUAAUAACAAUUUUACAAUAGAAAAAUUAAAAAUUGAUAAAUGGCAGUUGUAAUUUAUGUAUGGUAAAGAUAGCAUCACAUCCAGGUUCCUCCCAUAAACAUGCUUGUAACAAGAAUUAGUUUGCCUCAACUGCUAGCAACUAUACAAUAGUAAAAAUCACUCUUAUGAACUCAAAAUACUAGGCACCAAUAAGAGUAUGACACAGCCAUUCUAAAUGGAAGAGAAUACAACUGUUUUACAACUAUGUUGCAUCAGGAGAUAUGUUAGGAGGAUUAAUCCAGAUACCUUCCAACCCAAAUUAGGAAAACUCGAGUCAGAAACCAGGAGCUGCAACCAAACCUUACAAUCUUGAAGGAAGAAGGAGACUUGGGGCAUUUUUCCAGAUAGGUGACUUACAAGAUCUCCUGCCAAGAAAAUAUCUAUUGCUUUGAACCUCCAUUGAAAUUUCUUUUCCUUUUUCUUGUUUUGACUUGGAACUUUCCAGCAUCAUCUAUUUGAUCUUUUUUAAAGCUAAAAUAGCAAUCUAUGCGUUGUCAACAUCUUAUCCCUUGAUACGAGAUCUAGCUAGACUCUUGCUAGUUUAAGCUUCAAGGCUUGAAUAUUAUAAAAUAAGUUUAAGGAAUUAUCAAUAUAUGCAAUUUUCUAUGCUUCUCAUAAUCAGACACAAUUCAAUCUAAUUAUUUCGUAUGUCAUGUCUUCAAAAGUAAAGAAUUGUACACUAAACGGAAAUCGACAUUGUAGCUUUUUAAUUUUUCUAAUGCUCUUUCUUGUUAACGAGUUUAUAUCCUGAGAGUGGAUUGGAUUAAAAAAAAAAAAAAAAAAAGUUUUGAUGUUCAAGGUAAGCCAUAAUAACAUGCAUCUUAUUUAUCUGCCUAUAUCUAAAUUUGUGCACUGAAUUUAGUAUUUUGGUUAGUGUGAAGGGAUCAGAUAUUGGCUUCCAUAAACCAACUUGUAUUUACUUAAUUAAUUAAUUAACACCAUUUAGUAUUUAACAAAUUAAAAUUUCGUGUUUAAUUUGUCUUAUUUUUUAUUUUUUGAAGCAAGAAUAAGGUAUAGCAGUAGGUAAAGUUGAAAUACAUAUUUAUUCCUUACAAAUUUAAAUUCGUUUUCAGCCAAAUAUACCUACUUAAAACCACUCAAUCAGGCCAUUGGCAACAGUUUUUUAGGUUUUUCUAGUUAACCGUGUACUUUUUUGCUUAUUAAUAAAAUUCUUUUGUGCUGAGAUUUAAAAUAAAGAAGGAGAAAAUAAGUUAUUUAAUUAACCCUGUUUUUAAGUGUUGGCAUAAAUACAGGACUGGAUUCCUUGAGUAACUUGGAGGAGCUGGACAUGACAGGCAAUGCAAUCGAUAAUCUUGUGUUCCUAAAGGUAUACAAAAUGUUCAAAUAUUAAUAAUUUGGAGGACAGUUUAAUUGAUUUGAUUAGGGAAUGCCCAAUGACACUUACCCAAAAUAAUUUAAUCUGAAAUUGUAUCCAAAACAGAUUUCAGAGGUUUGAGGAAGUUGAAUACCCUUCGUAUAGGGGGAACCAGAAUUCAAAUGAUAGAUGGAAGCAAGGUGUUGCAAUCAAUAGGAUCACUACCGUCCCUCAAAACACUUGACCUUUGGUAUACUAAUUUUACGGGAACAGUAGUUAAUCAAGGUAAGUAAAUCUUUUAUGUCGAAAAUAAUUGAAUUAAUAUAUAUAGCUAAAAUUUAUUGUUUCUACUUCUUUCUAAAUAGAAUUGCACAAUUUCACCAACUUGGAAGAAUUGAUAUUGCGAGUCUGAUCUCCAUGUAAGCCAGCUUCUACAAAGCAUCGCAUCAUUCACUUCGUUAAAGUAUUUGUCAAUGGGAGGUUGUACUUAAUGAAGCAAUUAUGGGUAUCCAAAAGAUUUUUUCUUAAUUCGAUAAUAAAUUAUGGGUAUCUGAAGCUUUUAUGAUAUUAAUUCGAUAAUAAUUCUUUCUUUUCAAGUUAAUUUUUUCCCCUAAAAUAAGAUUUUUUUUCUUUUAAAUUUCAUAUAUUUUCAUUGUCCAAUAGUUCUAGCUUCUCUUAAUUGCAGGAUUCUUGAUUAAGGUUAAUGAAAUUUUAGUUCUGUUAUGUUAAGAAUAUUUCGAUCGCUUAGAAGAGUAAAGAAAAAUAAGUAAAUUAACCAAAAAAAAAAGAGAAAAGGACCGGAUUAUCCUUAUUCCCUUGCAUUAUGUGAUCAAUAUCAAAAUUAUAACCAUUUCUUGUUUAUUGCUUGUAGAUUUUCUUAAAUUCAAGAAUUUGGAACAUCUGGACAUGGGUGGGGCGCAAGUUGACGUCAACACCAGUUUUCUUCAAAUUGUCGGCGAAUCGAUGCCUUCUCUUAAGUUUUUAUCACUGACAGGUUCAAGUCUUAAUAAAAACGCCAUUCUUGAUCAAGGUUAGUUAAUGAUUCUCUUUCUCCCUCUCUCGCAUCUUAACUAAAUUUAAUUGAGAAUAUCUAUAAUGCUAGCUAUUUAUAAACUUAAUGAAAGAUGAUAAGGAGCUACUAUAAUGACAAAAACAACUGUAAAAUAGUGCGCUGUUGUAGUGUUAAUUGAAAAAUAAUGCUAAUUUUAUAGUCAUUUUGUUGCCAUUACGUCAGAUUCCAUUGUUCAAUUAUUUAAGUUUUAUGCAAAUAUAUUUUUCAGGACUUUGUCGGUUAGUGCAUCUACAAGAGUUAUACAUCGGCGGUAAUGAUUUGAGAGGUAGCUUGCCAUGGUGCUUGGCAAACAUGACAUCCCUCCAAGUGUUAGAUGCCUCUUUUAAUCAACUUACUGGAAACAUCUCCCCAGGCCUUUGUGAGUUGGUGCUUCUGAGAGAGUUAUACAUUGAUUACAAUUAUUUAAGAGGUAGCUUGCCUUUGUGCUUGGCAAAUUUGACUUCCCUUCGAGUAUUAGAUGUCUCUUACAAUCAACUUACUGAAAACAUCUCAUCUUCCCUCAUGCAUCUAAUAUCUAUGGAAAAGCUCAUACUUUCAAAUAAUCACUUCUUCCAAAUCCCUAUUUCACUUGAACCACUUUUCAAUCUCACAAAACUCAAGACUUUCGAUGGUGAAAUAUACGCAGAAACUGAGUCACAUUAUAAUUCUUUGACCCCAAAAUUCCAAUUGACUUCUAUCUCAUUGUCUGGCUACGGAGAUGGUGGCACAUUUCCCAAAUUCUUGUACCAUCAGCAUGACUUGAAGAAUGCUGAUCUCUCACACCUUAACUUGAGUGGAAAUUUUCCAAAUUGGUUGGUAGAAAACAAUACGAACUUAGAGACGCUUCUUCUUGCCAAUAACUCUCUUUUGGAUCAUUUCGGAUGCCAAUUCAUUCCCACCAGAAAUUAGCAACAUUGGAUGUCUCCAACAAUUUCUUUCAAGGCCAUAUCCCAGUAGAAAUCGGAACAUAUCUGCCAGGCUUAAUGCAUUUAAACUUAUCUAGAAAUGCUUUCAACGGUAGCAUUCCCUCUUCAUUUGCUGAUACGAAAAUGUUGAAAAGCUUGGACAUAUCCUACAAUCAGUUGACUGGUGAAAUCCCUGAGCGCAUGGCCAUGGGUUGCUUCUCAUUGGAAAUUCUUGCAUUGUCAAAACAACAGUUUUGCAAGGUCAUAUAUUCUCCUAAAAAAUUUAAACUUGACAAAUUUGAUGAUGUUGCAGUUGGAUGGUAAUAAAUUCAUUGGAGAGAUCCCAGAAAGCUUAUCUAAGUGCUAUUUGUUGGAGGAUUGUAUCUGAGUGAUAAUCAUCUCUCUGGUGAGAUUCCAAGAUGGUUGGGUAAUUUGUCAGGUUUAGAAGAUAUUAUAAUGCCCAAUAACAAUCUUGAAGGACCAAUUCCAAUCGAGUUUUGUCAGCUUGAUUAUCUGAAGAUUUUAGACCUUUCAAACAAUAGUAUUUUUGGAACUUUACCAUCUUGUUUUAGUCCAGCAUCUAUCGAACAAGUUCAUUUGUCGAAAAAACAAGAUAGAAGGACGGCUGGAGAGUAUAAUCCAUGACAGCCCUCAUUUGGUGACAUUCGAUCUUAGUUAUAACAGCUUACACGGAAGUAUUCCAAAUCGGAUUGACAGACUACCUCAGUUAAACUACCUUCUUUUAGCUCAUAAUUAUAUUAAAGGCGAAAUACCAGUUCAAUUAUGCCAGUUGAAGGAAGUGCGGUUGAUUGAUCUUUCUCAUAAUAAUCUAUCUGGUCAUAUUCCUCCUUGCUUGGUUAACACUUCACUCAGUGAAGGUCAUCAUGAGGCAGUAGCUCCAACUUCUAGUUCGUGUGGUCGAGCGUCUGGCUAUGCAAGUCCAUGUGCGAAAAAUACAAGUGGACUUCCGAUGGGAAAGGAAGAAACUGUACAGUUCACAACAAAGAAUAUGUCCUACUAUUAUCAAGGAAGAAUUUUGACGAGUAUGUCUGGGAUUGAUCUUUCUUGUAACAAACUGACAGGUGAGAUUCCUACUCAAAUUGGAUAUCUUACAAGGAUUCGUGCGCUAAAUCUAUCUCAUAACAAUUUGACGGGCACAAUCCCGACAACAUUUUCAAACCUGAAGCAAAUCGAAAGCUUGGACCUCUCCUACAACCUACUGCAUGGGAAAAUCCCUUCUCAGCUCACUGUGCUAAAUACAUUGGCGGUCUUCACAGUAGCAUACAAUAACUUAUCAGGAAAAAUUCCAGAUAGAGUUGCACAAUUUUCAAACUUUUGAGGAAGAUAGCUAUGAGGGGAAUCCUUUUCUUUGUGGAUGGCCACUGUCUAAAAGUUGCAAUGAUAGUGGAUUAUCAGCAGUGACACGAGAAGCUUACACUGAUAAUGAAGAAGGUGAUAGUUUAAUUGACAUGGACAGUUUCCUAAUCACUUUUACAGUAUCUUAUGGAAUUGUGAUAUUAGGAAUUAUUGGAGUUUUGUACAUAAACCCCUAUUGGCGACGAAGAUGGUUUUACCUUGUUGAAGUAUGUAUGAUCUCUUGCUACUAUUUUGUAGUAGAUAAUCUUAUUCCUAGAAGAUUCUAUGGUGGAUGGAUGUAAUUUCAUUUACUUUACAACUUAUAUGUAAUUUUUAAAGAAUUUUCUUUUGCAUGCAUGGAAUAGCAACUCAAUAAAAGUAUUUGAUGCAAAUUGUCCUAGAACAACUUAGUAAUUUCAUUGCUACUAUUUGGUUGUAUAUAUACAGUUAAUGAAAUUUUUAAUCAUUCGCAGUAGGAAUUUCUUUAGAUGGCGGCCAAAACUAACAGAUUUGGGGCUCUACUUCUACACAUCAUAACAGGCAAAAGGUCUCUCUUUUACACGAUCUGAAUGAAGAUUAACUUACGCCCUCUAGGCUCUGGAGUGUGUGUAAGUUCUCUAUUAAACUUGACGGUUGAGAUUUCAGGUCCAGAUGAAAGUGAAAUGCAGGCGACGAGACUACACUUUAAGUAAACUGGGACAAACUUAAAAUAAAAAAAAUUGUAGUCCAGGGUGAGAGUGAUGGGUAGCUCAACUUAUGGAGGAUAACUAGGACUUGGAAUAACUAUCAGAUUUGCAACUCUUGUUAUAUGCUAGUGGGGAUUUAGGUAGAAAUUUUUUUUUUUUUCCUUUUUGCCCUCUUCCUCACAAUAAAAACACGUAACACACCAAGCCGUGCCCAAAAUAAUCCUAUUUUAUUCAUGUCAUGAAUCCAAAAACUAUCCCAGCUCACUUUGUUUAACCAGCAUAACUAAAUUGUGGUAUAAAUGAACACACUUUCGAAGCCUGUAACUUAUAAUAAGCUCAAACCCAAAAAUGACAUUUAAAUCCUGCAAGUGUUUUUCAUCAUCCCUAACAAAAAGAAACAAGAAUAAUUAUAUACCAAUAAUUUUUCCAUAAAAAAUACUGAUUUUGAGUUGAAACACUAUACAAACUGGGUUUUAUACACUUGCAGAAAGCUACACGGUAGACAAAAUCUAGCAGCUACAUAUUGGUAUCACUUUCAGCUGGUCAUGAAUGGUGUGCAUUCAGCAGUGCUCGAUAGACCAUGUCUAUGAAUUGAUUGUCCUAUUACAUAUAAAAGCUGGUCAGAUAUACAAGGAAAAAAAUAAUAAUUGAAAAUGCAUCACAAAAAAUAAGUGUUUCGCAUUAGUGUUUGCACUCUAAGCAUGGCAAAGUGGUGCGGGGUUCAUGAUUUUGAAGACUGUGAUAAGUGAAAAAUAGUUCAAUCCACUGAUGAACAUAAAUUUAUUUACAUGUCAAUUUAGAUAUCAUCAAAAAGUAAACAGUAAUUCAGAGUCACUUAAAAUAGUUGAUAAAAUGCGUGCCAUGAAUGUAUUUUUGUACAUAAGAAAUCCAAAGAGUAUUUCUGACAAUACAAAUAUGCUAGCUUUAAGUCUGCUGUCAAUAUGCAAUUAAGAAGAUUAUACCAGCUGCAUGAUAAAGUUCCCCUAAUCUUAAUAACAGUAAACAUGAACAUGUCAGAUGCAAUUAUAGCUUUGAGCAUUUGCAUAACCAGAAAUCCUAACCUGAACAAGCACCAGAAGUGUCUCUCGGACUUUCUCCUUGCUGAUAAAUGGUCCGCUGUCUGAAGUAAGAGCAGGAGUAAGAGAUGGUGGAGGGGUUGGUGGUGGAAAAGGUUGAAGCACUGGGGCACCAUAUGGGCGUUGCAGACUCGGGGAGGAUUAAGUGGCGGAGCUGUUGGUGUAGAUGAAGAGACAAGCUGCAUCAUCCGUGCAUAGGAGGAUGGAGGAGGAACAAAGAAUAAGGAAGGCUUUACAAGAUUAGGGGUAGGUGCUGAUAGAGGUGGAGAUGGUAUUUGCAAAGUUGGCACGAUAGGAGAAGCAACACUGGCGGGAUGAGAAGGUAAAGAAAUAGUUGUAUUGGACUGGUAAGGUUGUGCAGAGAUUGCUGCAUUAGAAUUAUUCCCCACAGUCAAAGCUGUCUGCAAUGAUAAGGACAGAUGUCAUAUAAAAGGACAUCAUAGAAGUUGAACCUCACACAAAAAUGAAGUGAUAACAUAUGAAAAUAGUAUAUGACUUGCUGCAUUUUUGUGGUAAUGUUGCAUACUUAUGUAGAAACAUAUUAUUUCAAAGAAAACAUACACUGAAGAAGUUCACAAAAGCAGGAUCUUCAGGAACAUCAACAGCAUUUGAGGGAGUUGACUCUAGAGGACCAUCCAUAACUGCCAUAGUUGGAACAGCUUCCAGUUCCUCAAACUCACUGCAGUUUAACAUAAAAGGAACUUGAUGACCAAUUUAAGUAAUAAUUAGAUGAUAUAAGAGGUUAGGGAAAAUGAUGAGUGGACCCUUAUGGAAGAUGAUUUCACCUUAGCUAAACACGAAAAUAAAAUGAAAUCAAAGCUGAAUCCUCGAGUGCAAUGCAAAUAAUUUUUUCUCUCUCUUCUCUAACUCCUCUUAUUCGAAAUUGCUCAUCAUUGUGCAGUUCCUCGAGAUUUUGCUAGAGUAGAGAAAGCUAUUCUCCCGUUAAGUGCAGAGGAAAAAGAAGGGCAAGGGCCUGGUAUGAUGCUAUUCUAUAGGAAGUGAGAAGGUGAAGGGCUAAAAUAUUUUGCAAUUUGGAGGUGGUGUUUGUUAGUGUGUGUACUUCUGAAUUUAUUACCUCUUUAGGAUCCAUAGAAAUUGCCUCUUGUUCAGCAUGCACUGUGCCUACGAGUAAGGCGAGCUUGCAUGGUAUCUAUUGUCUAUUUACUUGGAUAUUCAAACAGGACUACCAGCAACCAAACACAAAUCCCCAAACAAAACACUCUUUCAAGUGCAAGGAAAGAGUAACUUGGGCAUAUUUAUGGUUCAAGCACUACAAUAACUAAGAAUGUGAUGACUGUCCACAAACACUAUAUCAGUGCCUUUUGAACUACAUCACAUGCUUGAAGACUUUUUUUUUUAGUCAUACAUAAAUUAGCUAUAAAAUCAAGACCCUUAUACAACUAAAAAGAAAGAAAAAUUGUUUGCUACUACAUAUCAAAACUGGUAAUAGCAAUGUAAGAUGGCAGACUUCUUACUUAAACAGAUGAGAGGCUACAAAUAAAAAAUUUGUGCAAAUAAAAUAUAUGAUAAAGAGCAUAAUACUUUCUUGGGGCUAAAAAUAAUAUACAACUUGUGAAAUAUAAAUUGAGCUACCAUUACCUUUUAGAUGUGGCAACUUUCGACUUUUGAGGCACCUUGGAAUAUGCAUUCAGAAUCCUGCAUUUGGAAGCCAAAUAAAUAAUGUUAAUAACAAUUUUACAAUAGAAAAAUUAAAAAUUGAUAAAUGGCAGUUGUAAUUUAUGUAUGGUAAAGAUAGCAUCACAUCCAGGUUCCUCCCAUAAACAUGCUUGUAACAAGAAUUAGUUUGCCUCAACUGCUAGCAACUAUACAAUAGUAAAAAUCACUCUUAUGAACUCAACAAUACUAGGCACCAAUAAGAGUAUGACACAGCCAUUCUAAAUGGAAGAGAAUACAACUGUUUUACAACUAUGUUGCAUCAGGAGAUAUGUUAGGAGGAUUAAUCCAGAUACCUUCCAACCCAAAUUAGGAAAACUCGAGUCAGAAACCAGGAGCUGCAACCAAACCUUACAAUCUUGAAGGAAGAAGGAGACUUGGGGCAUUUUUCCAGAUAGGUGACUUACAAGAUCUCCUGCCAAGAAAAUAUCUAUUGCUUUGAACCUCCAUUGAAAUUUCUUUUCCCUUUUUCUUGUUUUGACUUGGAACUUUCCAGCAUCAUCUAUUUGAUCUUUUUUAAAGCUAAAAUAGCAAUCUAUGCGUUGUCAACAUCUUAUCCCCCGCCCCCCCGGGGGGCCACCAAAAAAAAAAAAAAAAACCAAUGAGUUGUCAAUAAAUAGCGCCUACUCAACUUAUGUUCUCCAAUGAUGACAAUGUGCAAAUCGACCUAGCAGCCACAUUUUUCCCCCCUUUCAACCACCAUUAGGCAACUUUUCUAGCCUUUCUUCAUUGCCCACGUCUACAGAACUAUCAUAUAAAGACUACAUUAUUAUUGGGACAGAGAAAAAAAUACAGACUAUAUUAUUAUUAUAUCUCAUUUUAUUAAUUAACUAGUGCAAGACUUAUUUAGUGUCAAAUCAAGAACUAAUUAGAAAAGACAACUCAUGAUAAUACAGACUUUAAAAAGCAAUAGCUAGCAACACCCCAUAUACUCCUAUUUUAGCCUUCAAUAUCCUGGUAAAAACACAAUUAAGUCUAGCAAAAGAACAUUCACAAGUAAAUUCAACAUUAAUUAAGAUUAAGUAUCUACUGCACCUUCAAUCAAUGACUCGGUGAAUAGCAUGGUCAACCAUCUAGUUCCUGUAGCCCUCCUUGUACCUAUGUUAGUUACAUUUUACAUAUUAAGCCACGAAAAUGAAGGAUCACAGCCUGGUAAAGAAAGCCAUUAAUUAAUAGUUUUUGUUUAAAAAGUUCUCGUUUAGAUCUUUCCUAUUCAAUGAAUCAAUGUAAUCCAAGGAGAACUCUUCCAUUUCAAGCAGUGUUAGAAGAUAAUUGGAAAGCCUAAAGAUAAUAUACAAGGACCAAGAUAUCGAUUAGGUCAAAUAGUGAAUGUCAAAUAUAAAAAAUAAAUAAAAGAAGUUGUACAUGAUCAUUUACUAUCAAGUUCUGUAAAACUGAAAAUACCAUUAUCCCUGUAGAGAUUCUCAAACAACUCUUUAGCAAAUUAUAAAAUAGUUAAAAAAAGAACGAAAGUUUAAAAAAAAAAAAAUGUACAACAGCCAUAUCAGGAGAUGUUUUUCUUCUCAAUCUCAAUAUUUUCUAGCCGUAAAACAAUUGAAAAGCUUAACACCAAGUGAAUUAUUAAGAAUUCAUCAUUUAAAUUCCCAAAUCGUAAAAUGUUGGUGCAACUACGAAAGUGCAAAUGCAAUCACUUUACUUACACAAGAAACAUCAAUAGUGAGAAGCCAACUUUGUAUCAAAUUUGAAGCAGAUAGAUAGAGGUCAAAAAAAUUAUAAAGACACUCAAUUAAAAGCCUUUCAAACAGCUUUUGCAUGCAACAAGAACAAAUCAAAGGCGAUGUGAAUGUAUUCAAAGACUAAUUUACAAUCAUCUACAGGACAUAAAUAUCUUGGAUAACUACUCUCUAUACCUUACUGUCCCACUGAAAAUCAUCAAAUCCCUCCAAACAAAAAUGACAAAAUGGAUAAGAAUUGUGUGGUCAAACAUCAAUAACUUAGCAGCCACAGCAAAAACUUAUGUAGACACGCAAGCCACUCAAAAUAGUCAUAUUGUUUGCUUUCCAAACACAAGCCACUUUGUAAUGAAUAUUCAUAAAUUGCUACUACCAUGUUUGUUAAAACACGUGAAAACCGCCAUCACUAACUAAAUGUAACUGAUGAUCAUCAUCACGUUCAUGGAAUCACAUGUCUGACAGUAUUAAUUAGUGCAAAUGGCAUGCUUCUUAAAACUCCUUAUUUAUCACACGGGCGCCAUUCCAAUCAACCAAUGAUUCUGAUCUAGUCGGCAUAUUCAACCCACGAGCGAGUAAUAGCUCCUAUUGCUUCUUUACAUUUCUCAACGAAAUUCCACAUUCUAACCAUACUUCUGAACUUGUUGCUCCCAUAGACUAAUACAAUAUAAAGAUUUCUUCCCACACCGCCUCAGCCCCCACUCCUAAAAAACCAAUUUAAAUUCUCAUUGACUGUACAACCUAUAGUCCAUACCAAAUUGAAAAAUUUACAAAUAUAGAACCUCAAAGAAUCUUCUUGCAUUCCAUUUUUUACGUCAAGAAAUUUGACUUUUACCACAUGCAAGUCAACAAAUAAAAAAAUCAUGUCUUUGUGAGAUGCACAUUUUCAGACGAAUCUGAAGAGCAAUGAAACCGUAAAAACCGAAUAUGAGAACACCGAGGACUCCAGAUAUCACCUAUAGAAUCUUCGGUCCACACUUGCAUGAUGAAAAUGAUGAAAAAAAAUUGAAGGCUUCGUCACCAACUCCCCAGGUUGUUUUGUUCUCCUAUCUCCUAAAUGUAAAGGAAAGGCAACCCGUUCUUUUUCCAAUCUUAAGGGGCACAGAACGACUCUGGUAUAAAAUAGUCAGUUUCUAUACAAAAAUAACUCCUUUGCACUUGGCACUGCACAUCUCAAAAUAAAAAGCAUGCAAGGAGGAGAAUAUAAUAGCAUUAAACAAGUUUUAUUAACCAAACUUCAAAGAUGCCACACAAGGCAAAAAAGAAAUCUGUACAAGCCAGAUCCCAAGAAUAAUAAUUCCAAUAUACAAUUCAGGAAAACAAUAACUAAAACCAGGUUCAUGAGGCCUCAGCAGAAGCAACAUGUAAUAGCCAUACUCUAUUAUUUGAAACACAUUUCCAAGUUUGGUUAAGAUUCUAAACUAUUCUCUAUGUGUCAAUUAUUAACAUGUAAAACAUAAUAAUAUACACUUAUACUACUACAGUAGUAAAACCAGUAAAACAACAAUACCUGCUGAAAAGAUUUGCUACCUCUUCACAUUCACGAGCAUUGUAGAAUCAAAUCCCAUUUACUUCUUGGGAUGCAUUCCGAUAUAACAAAUACGGAACCUGAACUUCAAACUCAAAAUCUCCCAAAAGAUUUUCCACUAAAUUAUCUGCACAUAUCCAAGAUAUUGAAGCUUAUCAGUGCAAAAACAUAUGCAAAAAGACAUGAAGGUUAGAAGACAUAACUAAAACUUAGCAACAACUGAUAAGCACAACAAGACAUGAAAUAUAACACUAGUUGUAAAUACUCUAAAACUUACCAACCCCCUCUCCUGAUUGUCAUAAAACGGCCAAUAUUUAACCCUAGACAACAAAAUUGCAAAUACUCUAGCCUCUAUAUUAUUGGCAUAUAAAUAUUUUCGGUUAGGUACGUUAUAUUCUUCGUUCUAAAACCUCAAUUAUUAGCUAGUACUGUGAUAAAAUGAUUCAUCACUGAAAUUAAAACUAGUUCACGUACAAAUAAUCAAAACUGAAAUAGAAGCAACGAUAAACCAACCUGUAUUACGUCGAUUCAUCACAACAAACUGAAAUCGAGGCUGUGUGUUCCUGAAAAUUGAAAAAAUAAUAAUUUCACCAACUUCAUAUGUAAUACAAUCUCCAAAACACCGAAUAUCAAAUGAAAAAAUGGAAAGCAUAAGAGAUAAAAGAAUCUAAUUUUAUUGACCUUUUGACGACGAAGAGAGAUCCUUCAACAUCCUUACGACUCCAUUGGCUGAGAUCGAUGUUGAACUCGUAGAAGGUGACAUGAGCGGCCGUGAUGAGGAUCUCCUCAAUGAAUGGAUCGAUUCGCUGAAGAACUGUCAGGCUUAGGAGUUUUGUGCUCUGCUGGUCCAGAUUAGGCAUCAAUUUUCCGUUCUGCGACAUAUUUCAUAGUCCUUUUGGGCUUCUGCCCCGAGCACAAGCCCCAUGGUUUUUCUGUGAGCUCUCUCUCUUUUGUAAAUAAAGUGUUUGAUGAGAUAGCCGAGAGAGAGUGAAGAGUUGAACAGCUAAACAAGGUGAGGUGAACAGUUUCGGACUGAGACUCGAGAUUGAUCUUGCUUUAACGUCUUUUAAACAUUUGGGAAAUAGCAUUUAUUUCUUUCAAUUUCUCUACUGUUUUUUUCCUUUAUGUCAUUUAGACCCCAAAAUUAGAUUUAUUAUAAUCAUAUUGUACCCAUACACUAUUAACCCCUUUUAUUUUUUAUAUUGUCAAUAUUAAUGUAUUAGAAUAAUGUUAGAAAUCUCAAUUAUUAUCUCAAUGUUUCAAUCAUAACUAAUGUGAUAACUCAUCGGUAACUGCAACAUUAACUUAAUUAUUAAUGUAACACAAUAAAAGUUUCGUACAGAUUUUGAUAUUGAGAGUAACACAAUAAAAGUUUCGUACAAAUUUCGCAAACGAAAAGCACAUAAUAUACUUAACUAGGUGGAAAAAUUAAAGUGUAUAUAUUACAAACUGCUAACAAUAUACAAUAGUAAAAAUCACUCUUAUGAACUCACAAAUACUAGGCACCAAUAAGAGUAUGAUACAGCCAUUCUAAAUGAAAGAGAAUACAACUGUUUUACAACUAUGUCACAUCAGGAGAUAUGUUAGCAUGAUUAAUCCAGAUACCUUCGAACCCAAUUAACGAACUCGAGUCAGAAACCAGGGGCCCCCAACUAAACCUUACAAUCUUGAAGGAAGAAUGAGACUUGUGGUCCAGAUAGGUGACUUACUAGAUCUCCUGCCAUGAGAAUAUCUAUUGCUUUGGACCUCCAUUGAAAUUUCUUUUUCCCUUUUUCUUGUUUUGACUUGGAACUUUCCAGGAUCAUCUAUUUGAAGAAGCUAUACCAAACAGACUCUUAGACUGAAUAACUCGAUCUUAAGUUUGUAAAAUUGGGCACAGAAUCUCCACUAACAACCCCGCUUCGGUGAGAAAGCCCAAGCGUGAUACUUUGUAUAACCUUAUUCUGGAUGUUUGAUUGCAGGAACUGGCCGAUCAUACCGACGAGGUGAGUGUGCAACAUGAGGUGCUUGACGGGAUGUUUACUUUCUAUGAUUCAACUAAAGCUAGCCUCAACAUAUAUCAGGUGCCUGCUUGUUUUUACCUUCUAGAUACUAAUGUUGUUUAGACGUGUAAUCUCUCUCUCCAUUGAACGCUAGACGGCUCGUCUCAAGCCUUCUACGUACUUCAGAGUCCUUCAUUAGCUUUUUAUGUAUAAAGUUUUGAUCUUUUUCCUUCAUUUGCUUGAAGCUCAUUACUGCAGAUUUGUUUUACAGGUUGGUAGUGUAACAUUCGACUUGCUAGAUACUUCUAGAAACUCUACAUGCACACUCGCACUGAGCUAGUGGUUACUAAAACCGUUACAACGAUAUUGCCAGCUCAGCAUAACCAACUUAUAACUAACACACUCAGCUGCAGGGGAAACCAUCAAGCUUACUGUGCAUCCUCUGUAAUCAAGCUUCUUUAAGCAUGCUCUGCAGAUCAUACGUCUGAAUUAUCGAAACAAGAUGAAUUAUUUUUUGUUUAUUUCAGCAGGCGAUCUAUGAGCGGAAUUUCUUGCAACAAAAGAUGUGUGUCCACCGGCUUGUAUUCAAUUCGCGAUGGAAUAAAACCAUCAUGCGCCAAGGUACCAAUGAUGUUUCUUCCAGCUUAUGAGAACUUCAAAUCAACUUAGGUCAUAUUUACACAAGGGCGCACAUGAUAUUAAUCUAAUGGCAAUUAUAUCAUCUAAAAUCCAAAACGAAGAGUCUCCCAUUUUCUUGUUCUCUACUCUGUUCAUAUUAUCAUAAAUUGACGAUUGCAAGGCAGCCGCAGAAAGGGAAUCGGCUUUUGGAACGGGCGGCAUUUUUUUCAUAUGAAACAUAAAACAAUUUAAUAUCAAUUUUCUUCAGGAGACUGAGCAGAUUGUCUCGCAAGUGGCGCAUCGGUAUUGUAACGUCUGCUGGGUCUUACAUUAUCCACAAAAAUAUAAGCAUGGUAAAUUAGAGAAAAAUGAUGCAAUUUUACCUUCCCAUUCAUGUCUGCCAAGGCUUUUUGGGCUUCCUCUUCUGUACUGAAAGUCACAUACCCGUAACCUUUUGAUCUAUUCUUACCUUUAUCCAUUAUUAUUGUAGCUGCAAAAAGAAAAGAAUCGGAUAUUACAAAAUAGUGAAGAGGGAAGAGGGGUUGAGACUUAAAACAGAAAUAGACCAAACCCUCAGUGACGUGGCCAAAUUGUGAAAAAGCAUCAGCUAACAUUUCUUUAGUGGUUGAGAAAGAUACGCCUGCAAAGGAUGCCCAGUUAAUUUUAUCAUAAUUAGAUGGUAAGAUUGCAAAUUCUGUAGCCAAAGGUAGUACGGAACUGAAUGAAGGAAAUCAAAUAUGAAUAUGUUUUCAAUCUCAAAAUAUUAAGAGUAGCAUAAGUAACUUGUGAAACAGUUAUAAGUUCAAGGGAAUUAGAUGAUGGUAUGGUUGAAUUUAUAAAUAUUUGAUAUUUAACAAGUUAGUGUGUACAAUGCAAUUGGUACAAAUUAUUGUUCCUUUAACAUGAUGCAUCACAUAAUAUUUUGUUUGCAAAAUAAAGAAGAAAGAUGACAUAAUAGAAACACUCAGAGAGAGAGAAUACCUUUGACGAAAAGCUUAGAAGUGAAUCCUCUGUAAAAUACGAGUUGAGCUGCUGAAUUUUCGAGUUUGAAUGAGAGACUGCGGCAAUUCUGAAAAUGUUUUUUUCUCAUUAGCGCCGCCAUUUUUGUAAUAGAGGGUAAAGAAAUAAGUAACAGAGUAAGAGGUGAGCAGAAGCGGCCCAAUUUAGUUAUAUGCCAUGCAUGCGAUCAAAAUUGAAUGGUUAAAUGGCAGCCACUAUGUUACAUCUUGUGUAAGUAACAAACCGCCUACAUGGAUCGUUGGAUUUGGGAAUAUGAAAUCCAAUGGAUAAUAUUGAAUUUAACGAAAAAUAGAUUACAGGUUGCAUUAGUCCAAGAUUAUUUCAAACAAACCAGCUGAUGAAACAGCCGCUAAUCAAAUUUAAAAGGAAAAAAAAAUCAAAUUAUAGGUUAUAGAUCUUAUUUCCAUCUUAAAUCUCUGUCUUUCAUGGUGACUCAAUGUGUAUACUAAUUUAUAAUUUGGAUCUAUAUUAGAGCUAAUGCUUCCCUAAAUAACUAAGAAAAUUUUCUUUUCAUUGAUUAAAUAUUUAUUUCCAAUAUCUUGUAUAUGUAGGAUUUGAAAAGAGGGAAAAUAGUAGGGAUGAUAAUGAGAGAAAAUAGAGAUGUCGAUUCUCAAAUCUAAUAUUAAUGCUAUACUUAUAUUCCUAUACUAAAUAAAUUAUCCAAGGUUCGUGGUUAACGAUACGUUGCAAAAUUUUAAUUUCUAUUUAAAGCUCUGUCUAAUAUGGCUUUUCAUAAAACUUAGAGAAAAGUAGAGUUUUUAUAAAAAAAAUAUUUAAUUAGAAUUGUCGAUGAUAAAUUUUAAAAAGUACUUUAAUAAAUAAGCUUUUAAAGUUAUAUAUAUUAUGAAAGAAAUGAAAUAAGAUUAUAUAAUAAAUUAAAAGUAUCUUAGAUAAUUGAACUUAAAAAAAAAAAACUUGCUAAGAGGUUUAAAAACUUGCUGUUGCUUCUAGUGCUGGGAUCGUAUUUAAUUGUGCUUUUCAGCUUUCUUGUCAUCACAACUAGGGUAUGACUCUUUCUCCAUAUCAAGCUUGAAGUUCUAAAGUUCAGUUUUAUCUUGUAUUCGGUGUUUCAUAAUUUUGUUGCAAACAGAUUAGAAUAGAAACUUCAAAAGUUCCAAGUGACUAACAAUGUUUUCCAACAGGGUCUUGAUGAUCUAAUCAGUUUGUUUCGAAGACCCCCAUCCCGUAAGGUAAAAACAGCUUGAUGCAGAAGCACAAUGCUGCACCAGUCCUGUGUAACUAUUUCAGAGAAGAUUUUCUCUCGUAACGUAGGUGGAAGUCUCCCAGGAGAAGUUGGCAAAUGACAACUACGAAUGUGUUAUGGUUUGGUUCAGUGACACGAAGGAUAGUUUUCAACAAUUGAUCCUAGGAAGAUGUCCAUAGCUUGUUGUGCCAAAAACAGAAAUUCUAAGAUGCGAAAAAAUUUUGUUGAGAUUCAUUUUUCAUCUAGCUAUUACAGCCAACCUUUUUUUUUUUUUUUUUUUUUUGGGGGCAGAGAAUAAUGCUUAUAUGAUUUCUGAAUUUGGUGACUAUAGCGGAUAGAGACAGUAAGCCAAGAGAAAUGUCUGAAUUAUUCGAAAGAUUAAUUAAUCUUUGCUUAUCGCAUUAGAUGGUCUAUGAGCGGAAUUUCUUACAACAAAAGAUGCGUGUUCAUCGGCUUGUAUCUAGUCUCGUCAUGCAUAUUUUACAUAUAUAUAUAUAUAUAGAGAGAGAGAGAGAGAGAGAGAGAGAGAGAGAGAGAAAUUCUAAAAUAUCACUUAUAUAUUAUAAGUAAUUGAUGCAUGCAUGUAUGUACACACUUUGAGAAGACUCAGACCAUUAAUUUUCUUUUGAGCCAACCAACAGAACGUACAUUUCUUGCACGAAUUUGUAACCGAAACCGCAGUUGCUUGGUUGAUGCAUUUGGGAAAAUUAUCAGAUGGAAUAAAACUAUCAUGCCCCAAGGCGCCAAUGACAUUUUUUUUUUUUAAAGCUUAUGAGCACUUCAAUCAACUUAGGUCAUAUUUACACAAGGGCACAUGAUAUCAAUCCAAUGACAAUUAUAUCAUCUAAAAUCCAGAACCAACAGUCUCCCAUUUUCCCGUUCUCUACGCUGUUCAUAUUAUCACAAAUUGAAGAUUGCAAGGCAGCCGCAGAUCCUAUGCAAUCUCCCAGAUCUUUGCUCUUUCCUUGUAGCAGUUAGUCAAACAGUAAACAGAGAUAUACCAUGUCAACAAGAAGGUAAUCAUAAAAGAACAACAGAAUUGUAAAAUAAAUUUUGUUAUAGAUGAAAUGAUUUGAGCACCCAUGUAUCCAGCAUUAAGGACACCGCAAUAUAUUCAUAUGAAAUGUAAAACAAUUUAAUGUCGGCUAUCUUCAGCUGACUGAGGAGGUUGUCUCGCAAGUGGCACAUCAGUAUUGUAACGUCUGCUGGGUCUUACAUUGUCCACAAAAAGGACUCGUCCAUCUAGUAACUGCAAGUAUAUACUGGGUGAUGCUUAAACUCAACAAUUUAAGCAUGGUAAAUCAGAGAAAAUGAUGCAAUUUUACCUUCCCAUUCAUCUCUGUCAAGGCAUUUUGGGCUUCCUCUUCUGUGCUGAAAGUCACGUACCCGUAACCUUUUGAUCUGUUCUUACCUUUAUCUGUUAUUAUUGUUGCUGCAAAAGGAAAAGAAUUGGAUAUUAGAAAAUAGUGCAGAUGGAACAGGGGUUGAGACUUAAAAUAGAAAUAGAACAAACCCUCAGUGACUUGGCCAAAUUGUGAAAAAGCAUCAGCUAACAUCUCUUCAGUGGUUGAGAAAGAUACGCCUGCGGAACAUGCCAAUUAUUUUAUCACAAUUAGAUGGUAAGAUUGCAAGUUCUGCAGCCAAAAGUAGUACACAACUGAAGGAAGGAAAUAAAAAAUAUGAACAUGUUUUCAAUCUCAGUUACUUGUGAAACAUUUACAAGUUCAAGGGAAUUAGAUAGAGGCGUGGCUAAGUUUGAUAUUUUGGACCAAAAAGGGCAAACAGAUGAAUCCAGAUAAUUAAGAAAAGCAUCAAUUCCAAUGCAAUUGUGGACAAUGGAAUUGCCUUCCCUAUGAGAGUAGAGGGCCUAAAUACGAGCAAAAACCUACUGAUGCAUCUACAGAAGCUCACAUUCACAUGCUGCGUGACUAAACCACCGGAUGGUCUUACUAUACAGUGAAGAAUGUAAUAAUUAACGACCUGAUAAGGCUACAAGGUGAAGAAACUAUUCACCAGAAAAGUUCAAAAUCAAAUCAGAGUGGCUUUGAUUUUUGAAAAAAUGAAACAAUGUCACUUGAGCAACACUAUAAAAUUAUUCAAAGAAAUCUCUAAGUCAGUAUUCAAAUAUAUGGAUUCGUCCAUUCCACCACAACCUCAAAAAUCAGAACCAAGGACCCCCCAUUUGGAUUCGAUUGAUUAAUUUGAGCAAUAUAAAAUCGGAUUUUGAACUUCCCUAAUCAAAAUUUAUAUUCCACACAAUCGGUUCCUUUAACAUGAUGCAUUACAUAAUAUUUUGUUUGCAAAAUAAAGAAAAAAGAUGACAUAAUAGAAACACUCACAGAGAGAGAAUACCUUUGACAAAAAGCUUAGAAGUGAAUCCUCUGUAAGAUACGAGUUGGGCCGCUGAAAUUUUCAAGUUUGAAUGAGAGACUGCGCCAUUUCUGAAAAUGUUUUUUCGUAUUAGCGCCGCCAUUUUUGUAAUAGAGGGUAAAGAAAUAAGUAACAAAGUAAGAGGUGAGGCAGAAGCGGCCCAAUUUAGUUACAUGCCAUGCAUGCGAUCAAAAUUGAACGGUUAAAUGGCAGCCGCUAUGUUACAUCUUGUGUAAGUAACAAACCGCCUACAUGGAUCGUUGGAUUUGGGAAUAUGAAAUCCAAUGGAUAAUAUUGAAUUUAACGAAAAAUAGAUUACAGGUUGCAUUAGUCCAAGAUUAUUUCAAACAAACCAGCUGAUAAAACAGCCGCUAAUCAAAUUUAAAAGGGAAAAAAAAUCAAAUUAUAGGUUAUAGAUCUUAUUUCCAUCUUAAAUCUAUUUGUCUUUCAUGGUGUCUCAAUGUGUAUACUAAUUUAUAAUUUGGAUCUAUAUUAGAGCUAAUGCUUCCCUAAAUAACUAAGAAAAUUUUCUUUUCAUUGAUUUAAUAUUUAUUUCCAAUAUCUUGUAUAUGUAGGAUUUGAAAAGAGGAAAAAUAGUAGGGAUGAUAAUGAGAGAAGAUAAAGAUGUCGAUUCUCAAAUCUAAUAUUAAUACUAUACUUAUAUUCCUAUACUAAAUAAAUUAUCCAAGGUUAGUGGUUAACAAUAUGUUGCGAAAUUUUAAUUUCUAUUUAAAGCUCUGUCUAAUAUGGCUUUUCAUAAAGCUUAGAGAAAAGUAGAGCUUUUACAAAAAAAAAAAAAAUUAAUUAGAAUUGUCAAUGAUAAAUUUUAAAAAGUACUUUAAUAAAUAAGCUUUUAAAGUUAUAUAUAUUAUGAAAGAAAUGAAAUAAGAUUAUAUAAUAAAUUAAGAGUAUCUUAGAUAAUUGAACUUUAAAAAAAAAACUGCUAAGAGGUUUAAAAUUUGAGUUUUUAAUAGUGGAUACAAAAUAGUUUAUUUAAUUCUCAAAAGCACUACUCAAAAUACAACCAUGUAACACAAAAAUUUUUAAUAAGUUUUUUGGACUAGUUAAGUACUUUUUUUAAAAAAAAAAAAUAUUUUUUUCAUUGAGUAAAUAAUACUAAACAUGCACUAAAGUGUUAGGACCAGAAGUUGUACAAAUAAAACCAUGAAAUUAUAUGUUGUUGGAUGGAUAUUUUUCAAAUUUGCUGUAGUUUUUUUUUUUAAUUUUCUGCUGGGAAAUUGAAAUGAUGGCUAAAACUUAAAUUAUGAAUGGAGUAAUCGGAGAAUAUUGAAACCCAUUUAAUUUGGAUCGUGCAUUGAGGGACGAAAGGAUAAAAAUUUAAUUUUGAAAUUGUUGUUGGCUACGGUACAAUGACUUACCGUUGACAGCUUGUGCAACCGAAUUACAAUCAGUUAGUUCAAUAAUUUUAUAUCCCUAUUUAACCGCCACGUGCUGCUGUUACAUGGGUCAAUUAGUCAUGUCAUUACUGUUACUUACAGCUGCUGUAACAUAACCGGAUCCUGGUUAAAUUAUGUUGUUUCCAAUAAUUUUAUGAUGUAUCUUCUUUAAUAAUAAAGAAAACUUGCAUUAAAAUUAAAAUUAGGGUAAUACCUGAUUUUAUAAAUAGAUUGCAAUGUAAUUUUGAAAAAUAAAACAAUAAUUUACGAAAUGUUUAUAACAUAAUUUUAAUUUUUUUUAAAAAGGAAAAACAACAAAAGUAAGAAAUAGAGAAUGAGGGCUACAAACUUUGCAUCUUAAACGGCCGUUAGAUUAUUUGUAAAUGAAAGCAACGGUCAGAUAUUGGUGGAUUAUGGAAACAUGUAAUCAUAAGGACUACGACUUUUUUUUGUUACAUUAAUAUAUUACAAUCAAAAUUCUAUUGGUAUUUACAACCAGAAUUUCAUUUGACUAUCUUUGAUAAUUCUAAACUAGUACAGCCCAAAUUCUUAUUCUCAUAUAAUAUCAAAGAGAGAUAUAUAUUCUUCUCCUCUAUUAAUAAAGAGACAUUUUUACUUCUAUCCAAUUUAAAUAGAACAAGAAUUAAGUCAUUUUAAUAGUUAGGACUCAGAACUCAUACACGCUAGUUUGAGAGCGUGGGGUGUGACAAUGGGCCAAGAGACCAUUGACAAAUACAAAAGAGUGGUAGAAAUUAAUUCAAACCGCUACACACGCUAUUGCAACCAAAUUGAGGGCACAUUUUUGUUUAUUUAGUUGAAAAGUAGUCUGUAAAAUUAACUCAAACCGCUACAUACGCUAUUGCAACCCAAUUGAGGGCCCAUUUUUGUUUAUUUCGUUGAAAAGUAGUUCGCGCAAUUAAUUCAAACCGCUACACACACUAUUGCAUCUUUUGAAAAAGAAAAAUGGAAUAAUUUUUCAAAAUUAAUUUAGAGAAUAAGAUUUACUAAUAAUGAUGUUAGAAAUCUUGAUAUUUGAAUCUUAAUAUUAUCUAUCACUCAUUUAUUAAAUAAUAGAUUUCAUAGUUUGUAAAAUUACUUAACCACUUGAUAAAUGUUAUAUUUGUUGGGACUAGAUUGGGACUUAAAUAUUGGAAUAUCUAGUAUUGCAUAAAAAAAAAACUUAACAAUUUAUCUUCACACGACUAAUUGUUUUUACAUCACAACUAACCUUAAUUAUUUUAAAAGUUUAUGCAUUAUUAAAUUGCCCUAACUAGUUAUCAAAAGGUGAAAGCAUGUUUAAAAAAGAAAUUACUAAGAAACAUUUGUUUAAACGAAGGUUAAGGUUAUGAUCAAUUAAUUAAGAAGAAACUUACUAUCAAAGGUUAAGAUUAUGAACAAUUUAAGGAAGUUAUUGAGUAGAGAAAGGGACAGAAUGGUUGUCUGAUUUGCCGGUGACAAGAAUGCUUGUGUUGUGAAAAGAAAUCCGAUGGUUUGUAAAUUUGUUGAAUUGGUCCCAAUUAGUAUAGUAACCAUCUAUUGAGCGGUAAAAUAUUAAUUUAAAUAGUCAUGAAAUCUAAUAUAUAAUAGAUUACUAACACACAUAAAUUAAAACUUAACUGUCAGAAAUCAUAACAUUAUUCUAAGCUUCAGUGGAGUUCUCUUAACAGAUUAUGUGAGAUUGCCUAUAUUAAAAAUAUGUUAAGACUGCUUGUUGAAAGCAAUAUUCGCUUUUUGAUUAUAUCCAUAACUUUGAAUUGAUAAAGUUGUAUUCAACAGCUCUUGAAAAGACUAAGCAGGUCUUCUUUGCAUUUGAUCACUGGUAUUUCAGUUAAGUUUGUCGUUUACUUAAAUUUUUCUUGCUUUCAAUUUCCACUGUUGUUUUUUUUUUAAUAAAAUAAUUUGUUUAACUAGUCAUAGAAAUAAGAGAGAAAAUGGGUCAUUUCUUGACUCAAAGUCAAUUAUAAUUAUCAAAACUUGAGGGGACAUCGCAUGCCUAAAUUCCACGCACCCUAAAACAGUUUGAUUUGCUUUCACGCGUUCAUGAAUUUCCAUGAAAGAGCCUGUCUUUCGUCUCUUUCGGGACAAUGACUACAAUUAUGGAAAAAAAUUAUAAUUCUCGUUAGAUUGUAACCAAAUUAUUAUCCCUAAUUUUUUAAAGUUAAAUAAAAUAAAAUUCAUGCUUAAGUAUUUAGUAAUUAGAGAGAGAUAGAGAGGAUUGAGGGCCAAUGUUUCGCGAUUUGGGGUCAAUUCAAAGUCAACUAACGUGUAAAACACGUGUAUGCAUAGAAAACGCUUAGAUUAUUUGUGUUCCAAGUGCAAGAAAUUAAGAAAAGAAAAAUUGAACUUCCAAGAAAGAAAGAAGACCCUUCACCUUGUUCGUGACAACAAAUGAAUGAAUGAUGUUGAUAUGACAAAUACAAGCGCUAUUACAGGGAACAGCAUAAGACCGAGACUUGAUAAAAGGUUUGUUGAAUUACAUGUUAUUUUCUUUUGACUUGAAUGAUGUUGAAAAUAAAAUAAAAUAAAAUUGUAAUCAGGGUGAUGUGUGCAAUAUAGUGAAAUAAAUAAAUAGAGAAGAGAAAUUCGUUGAUCAAUAUUAAAGAACUCAUCCAAAGUGAUCGUCAAAGUCUAGAGGUUCGGUAUGAUUAGCAUUUAUUUUUAUUUUUUUUGGCUUAGCAUCAUAUAUAGUCACUUGUCGUGUGAUCUAGGACAGGUUUAGAAAUCCUUUUAUUUUAACUUCCGUAUUCUUAUUAUUUAAUUAGUUAUAAAGUUUUUAAGUAUUUGAGUAUUGAUCACAUGUCUCCUAAUCUAAAAAUAUGUUUUUACGAGUACAAAUAACAAACUAGGAUUUUAACAUCCUUUUAUACUAAACCCUAAAAAUACAUGAAUUUAUCAAAAUAAGUAAAUUAAUUUAAAUUGGUAUGGCAUAAUAGAAGUUUUACCUGCCGAAACAAAUUAAAAAAAUAUUACACUUAAAUCAAAUAUUGACAAAAAUAGAUAACAAUCUAAUGAGAAUCUUAACUAGACAUUUUUAAUUCUAUCCAAUUUAACUGGAACGAGAAUUAAGUCCUUUCAAUACUUAGGACUCAUAACUCAUACACACUAGUUUGAGAGUGUGGGGUGUGACAAUGGGACCAUUGACAAGUAUAAAAGAGUGGUCGCAAUUAAUUCAAACCACUACACACGCUAUAUUGAGGGCCCAUUUUUGUUUAUUUCGUUGAAAAGUAGUUUUCACAAUUAAUUCAAACCGCUACACACGCUAUUGCGUCUUUUAAAAAAGAAAAAUGGAGUAGUUUUCCAAAAUUAAUUCAGAGAAGAAGAUUUACUAAUAAUGAUGUUAGAAAUCUUAAUAUUUGAAUCUUAAUAUUAUGUAUCACUCAUUUAUUAAAUAAUAGAUUUCAUAGUUUGUAAAUUUACUUAACCACUUGAUAAAUGUUAUAUUUGUUGGGACUAAAUUGGGACUUCAAUGUUGGAAUAUCUAGUAUUGCAUAAAAAAAAAAAUAAAAACUUAACAAUUUAUCUUCGCAUGACUAAUUGUUUUUACAUCACAACUAACCUUAGUUAUUUUUUAAAGUUAUAGUAUUAUUAAAUUGCCCUAACUGGUUAUCAAAAGAUGAAAGCAUGUUAAAAUAAGAAAUUACUAAGAAACAUGUGCUUAAACAGAGGUUAAGGCUACGAACAAUUAAGAAGAAACAACUUACAAUCAAAGGUUAAGAUUAUGAACAAAUUAAGGAAGGUAUUGAGCAGAUAAAGGGACGGAAUCAUUGUCUGAAUUGCCGGUGACAAGAAUGCUUGUGUUGUGAAAAGAAAUUUGAUGGUUUGUAAAUGGGUUGAAUUUUUUAUUCGCUCGCUCCAACUGACUUACUAAUGCCAAAUUUAUUACUUUGCACAGUAGUGUUUAGGAUCCUCAAGAUCAACUCUUAAUUUGGUCCCAAUUAGUGCAGAAAUCAUCUAUUGAGCAAUAGAAUAAGAAUUUUUCUAGUCAUGAAAUUCAAUAUAUAAUAUAUCCUUGACACACAUCGAUUAUAACUUAACUGUUAGAAUUCACAACAUUACUCUACUCUCAAGGGGAGUUCUCUUAACAUAUUAUGUUAGGUUGCCUACAUUCAAAAUAUGUUAGACUGCUCUUUGAAAGCAAUAUUCCCUUUUCCGUAACUUUGAAUUGAUCCAAUAGCUCUUGAAAAGCACAUAAUAAUCAUUAUAAAUUUAAUCAAAGACUAAGCAGGUCUUCUUUGCAUUUGAUCACUGGCAUUUCAGUUAAGUAUGUCAUUUACUUAAAUUUUUCUUGCUUUCAAUUUUCACUGUUGUUUUUUUUUUUAAUAAAAUAAUUUGUUUAACUAGUCACAGAAAUAAGAGAGAAAAUGGGCCAUUUCUUGACUCAAAGUCAAUUAUAAUUAUCAAAACUUGAGCGGACAUUGCAUGCCUAAAUUCCACACACCCUAAAACGGUUUGAUUUGCUUUCACGCGUUCAUGAUUUUCCAUGAAAGAGAGUGCCUCUCGUCUCUUUCCGGACAGUGACGACAAUUAUGUUAACGUGACAAAUACAUAACGUUAUUACAUACAAGAAUAAGUUUUUGGAGCCGAGACUUGAGGGAGGUUCUAUCUAAUUCUAAAGAUUGUAACCAAAUCAUUAUCCCCAAUUUUUUUCAGUUAAAUAAAAUAAAAUUUAUGCUUAAGUAUAAAUAAAAUCCAUAGUGGAUAAAUAUUUGAUUAUCGAUUUUUUUUAAUGUAAAAUUGCUGGUUUGUUGCUUAAAAUUUUCAAUAAUAAUUUCACUUAUUUAGUAAUUAGAGAGAGAGAGAGGAUUGAGGGCCAAUGUUUCGCGAUUUGGGGUCAAUUCAAAGUCAACUAAGGUGUAAAACAUGAUUUCCUUUCAUGAACUUCGAAGAAAGAAAGAAGACUCUUCACCUUCUUCAUGACAACGAAUGAUGUUGAUAUGACAAAUACAAUCGCUAUUACAGGGAACAGCAUAAGACCGAAAUUUGAUAAAGGGUUUGUUAAAUUACAUGUUAUUUUCUUGUUAACUGAAUUGGAAGAAAAAAUAAAAAUAAAAUAAAAUUGUAAUCAGUGUGAUGUGUGGAAUAUAUUGAAAUAAAUAAAUAGAGAAGAGAAAUUCGUUGAUCAAUAUUCAAGAACUCAUCCAAAGUGACUGUUAAAGUCUAGAGGUUCCGUAUGAUUAGCAUUUAUUUUUUAAUUUUUUGGCUUAACAUCAUAUGUAGUCACUGGUCGUGUGAUCUAGGACAGGUUUAGAAAUCUUUUUUUUUUUUAACUUCCGUAUUCUUAUUAUUUAAUUAGUUAUAGGGUUUUUUAGUAUUUGAGUAGUGAUCACAGGUCUCCUAAUCUAAAAAUAUGUUUUACGAGUACAAAUAAAAACUAGGAUUUUAACAGCCUUUUAUACUGAACCCUAAAAAUACAUGAAUUUAUCAAAAUAAAUAAAUUUGAAUUGGUAUGCCAUAAUAAAAAUUUUACUUGCCAAAACAAAUUAAAAAAAAUAUGACGCUUAAAUCAAAUAUCGACAAAAAUAGAUAAAAAUCCAACAAGAAUCUCAAAAAUAAGAAAGAUAUCUUCAAAAUAGAAGCGUCCAAGAGAAAUUUGGCGAAGAUUUGCUAAUCCACAUUGAAAAUGUCACUUUUCCUUGAGAACUUCAUAAUGAUAUAUUAUGAGCCUAAGACAAAUACCAAUUACUCAAGUUAUGGCCCUAUGAAGACAUCCUAUUCAUUCUCCCUAGACCAGGACGUGUCGCACAUGUUUGCAUUCAAAUUUAGGUGAAAAUCUACUCUCAUUCAAGGGAUAUAUAGGUACCUGUGAAGUCUCAAACCCGAGAUAAUGUGAAAGCAAAUCGGGAGUUUGAUUAAAUUCAGCCAAUUAUUAGUGUGUACGGAUGGUAGGGAUGGAAAAAAACUCCGACCGUUCUUAGGUAUGGUAUUACCCAGAUCUGGCCUAAGCAUGUUUUUUUUGAACACUCAGAAUUUUUUAAUCAAAACUUAAAAAACCUAGAAUUUAUAUUUUAUAAUAUUAUAUAUAUUUAUUUUAUUUUAUAAUUUUAUAUUUUCAAAUUUUAUUUUAAUGAAUUGGAAUUAAAAAUAUGAGUUUUAAAUGUUUAAAAUUUUAAAAAUAGAUAAUAAGUGGACCAAAUGAACAAAAUAAUAGAUAUUUUAUAAUAUUCUUCAUAAAAAUCCAAGUUUUGAGCUAGCCCAUAAGCUUGUCUAGUGAAGUCUGGGUACCCGCGUUGCCCAAGGUUCCGUCAGAAUCCAGGCUGUGCAGAUAUUUAUGGACGGAGAGGAAAUAUUUUCAGUUGACUGAAUUAAAUAAAAAUAUAUUACAAUCAUAUUAUAUAUUAACAGUAAAAAUAAAAAGAAAUGAAGAAAAACGCAUGCAAGACUUAGACAAAGUCAAUUAAAAGCUGGGAGUAUCAUCAGUUCAAUUGGUUUUAAAUAGCGUAGAGCCAUCCUCUCGUUGUUGCAGAAGAGAGACAGAAAGAGUGUGUGUAGGCGAUUAUAAUUAAGCAGAUAUAAUGUGUGGUUCAAAAAGAGUGUGGGUGAGUGAGUUAAUUUUCAUAUUAUUAGUAGUAAAAGGGUGGUGGAGUGAGGGAUGUUUGGAGCAAGAGAGGUCUGCUCUCCUCCAACUCAGACAUUUCUUCAAUGAUGAUCACCGUCUUCAAAACUGGGUAGACGAUGAGUAUUAUUCAGAUUGUUGUCAGUGGGAACGGGUUGAGUGCAACGACACCACUGGCAGAGUGAUUGAAUUAGAUCUAGCAGUAACUCGGAAUUGGGAAUCAGCAGAGUGGUAUAUGAAUGCCUCUCUGUUUACUCCUUUUGAACAAUUAGAGUCUCUUGAUCUAAUAGGGAACAAUAUAGCCGGUUGUGUUGAAAAUGAAGGUCCGUAAUUUACUCUAUUUUAAUUCUUCCUCAUAAUUUUUUCCAUUUAUCUGAUCCCUUUUGGUUUUUAUUUAAUUUGUAUGUGAUACAAUAAAAUUACUUUUUAUUUUUUGGCAGGUCUAGAUAGGUUAUCAAGGUUGAACAACUUGAAGUUUCUUUAUUUAGACCUUAACCACUUCAACAACAGCAUCUUUUCAUCUCUAGGUGGUCUUUCAUCACUCAGAAACUUAUCAUUGGCUGCUAAUCGAUUGAAUGGAAGUGUUGAUAUUAAAGGUAAGUAAGCUUCAUCCCUUCUCCCCUGUCCCAUCUUUUGUGGAUCUUAUUUCACUGAGCAGCUGGAAGUAUUGAUACGAGAUCUAGCUAGACUCUUGCGAGUUUAGGCUUCACGGCUUUGAAUAGUAUAAAAAUAAGUUGAAUAAAUUAUCAAUAUAUGCAAUUUUCAAUGCUUCUCAUAAUCAGACACAAUUCAAUCUAAUUAUUUCGUAUGUCCUGUCUUCAAAAGUAAAGAAUUGUACACUAAUUGGAAAUCGACAUCGUAGCUUUUUAUUUUCUAUAAUGCUAUUUCUUCGUUAACAAGUUUAUAUCCUAAGAGGGAUUGGAUUGAAAAAAAAAAAGAAGUUUUGAUGUUCAAUGUCAGCCAUGAUAACCUGCAUCUUAUUUGUCUGCCGACAUCCAAAUUUGUGCACUGAAUUUAGUAUUUUGGUUAUUGUGAAGGGAUCAGAUAUUGGCUUCCAUAGACCAACUUGUAUUUACUUAAUUAAUUAAUUAACGACAUUUAGUAUUUAACAAAUUAAAAUUUCAUGUUUAAUCUAUUUUAAUUUUUUUAAGAAAAAAGAAAUAGAUAUAGCAGCAGGUAAAGCUGAAAUAAAUUUUAAUUCCUUACAAAUUUAAAUUCAUGGUUGUCAGCUAAAUAUACCUGCUUAAAGCCACUCUUUUCGCUGAGAUUUAACCAAAAAAAAAAGGAGAAAAUAAUUUAUUUAAUUAACUCUGUUUUAAGUGUUGGAAUAAAUACAGGACUGGAAUCCUUGAGUAACUUGGAGAUGCUGGACAUGAGGGACAAUGCAAUCGACAAUCUAGUGGUUCCUAAAGGUAUACAAAAUGACACUAACCCAAAAUAAUUUAAUCCGAAAUUGUAUCCCAAAUAGAUUACAGAGGUUUGAGGAAGUUGGAUACCCUUUAUUUGGGGGGGAAGGGAAAUUGCAGUGAUAUAUGGAAGCAAGGUGUUGCAAUCAAUAAAGAAAUUCGUUGGUCAAUAUUCAAGGACUCAUCCAAAGUAAUCGUUAAAGUCUAGAGGUCUGCUCUCCACCAACUCAAACAUUUCUUCAAUGAUGAUCAACGUCUUCAAAACUAGGUAGACGCGGGAGAUGAUGAGAAUAAUUUAGAUUGUUGUCAGUGGGAAGGGAUUGAGUGCAACAAAACCACAGGCAGAGUGAUUAAAUUAGAUCUAGCACAAACUCGAAAAUGGGAAUCAGCGAAGUGGUAUAUGAAUGCCUCUCUGUUUACUCCCUUUCAACAAUUAGAGUCUCUUGAUCUAAUUGGGAACAAUAUAGCUGAUUGUGUUAAAAACGACGGUCAUUAAUUUACUCUAUUUUAAUUCUUCCUCCUCGUAAUUUCUUACAUCUAUCUGAUCCCUUUCGGCUUUUGUUUAAUUUGUACGUGAUACAAUAAAAUUAUUUUUUUUCAGGUCUGGAGAGGUUAUCAAGGUUGAACAACUUGAAGUUUCUUGAUUUAGGCUUUAACCACUUCAACAACAGCAUCUUUUCAUCUCUAGGUGGUCUUUCAUCACUCAGACACUUAUCAUUGGCUGAUAAUAGAUUGAAUGGAAGUAUUGAUGUUAAAGAUAAGCAAGCUUCAUCCCUUCUCUCGUGUCCCAUCUUUGUGGAUCUUAUUUCAUCGACCAGCUGGAAGUAUUGAUACGAGAUCUAGCUAGACUCUUGCUAGUUUAAGCUUCAAGGCUUUGAAUAUUAUAAAAAUAAGUUUAAGGAAUUAUCAAUAUAUGCAAUUUUCUAUGCUUCUCAUAAUCAGACACAAUUCAAUCUAAUUAUUUCGUAUGUCAUGUCUUCAAAAGUAAAGAAUUGUACACUAAACGGAAAUCGACAUUGUAGCUUUUUAAUUUUUCUAAUGCUCUUUCUUUGUUAACGAGUUUAUAUCCUGAGAGUGGAUUGGAUUAAAAAAAAAAAAAAAAGUUUUGAUGUUCAAGGUAAGCCAUAAUAACAUGCAUCUUAUUUAUCUGCCUAUAUCUAAAUUUGUGCACUGAAUUUAGUAUUUUGGUUAGUGUAAAGGGAUCAGAUAUUGGCUUCCAUAAACCAACUUGUAUUUACUUAAUUAAUUAAUUAACACCAUUUAGUAUUUAACAAAUUAAAAUUUCGUGUUUAAUUUGUCUUAUUUUUUAUUUUUUGAAGCAAGAAUAAGGUAUAGCAGUAGGUAAAGUUGAAAUACAUAUUUAUUCCUUACAAAUUUAAAUUCGUUUUCAGCCAAAUAUACCUACUUAAAACCACUCAAUCAGGCCAUUGGCAACAGUUUUUUAGGUUUUUCUAGUUAACCGUGUACUUUUUUGCUUAUUAAUAAAAUUCUUUUGUGCUGAGAUUUAAAAUAAAGAAGGAGAAAAUAAGUUAUUUAAUUAACCCUGUUUUUAAGUGUUGGCAUAAAUACAGGACUGGAUUCCUUGAGUAACUUGGAGGAGCUGGACAUGACAGGCAAUGCAAUCGAUAAUCUUGUGGUUCCUAAAGGUAUACAAAAUGUUCAAAUAUUAAUAAUUUGGAGGACAGUUUAAUUGAUUUGAUUAGGGAAUGCCCAAUGACACUUACCCAAAAUAAUUUAAUCUGAAAUUGUAUCCAAAACAGAUUUCAGAGGUUUGAGGAAGUUGAAUACCCUUCGUAUAGGGGGAACCAGAAUUCAAAUGAUAGAUGGAAGCAAGGUGUUGCAAUCAAUAGGAUCACUACCGUCCCUCAAAACACUUGACCUUUGGUAUACUAAUUUUACGGGAACAGUAGUUAAUCAAGGUAAGUAAAUCUUUUAUGUCGAAAAUAAUUGAAUUAAUAUAUAUAGCUAAAAUUUAUUGUUUCUACUUCUUUCUAAAUAGAAUUGCACAAUUUCACCAACUUGGAAGAAUUGAUAUUGCUCGAGUCUGAUCUCCAUGUAAGCCAGCUUCUACAAAGCAUCGCAUCAUUCACUUCGUUAAAGUAUUUGUCAAUGGGAGGUUGUACUUAAUGAAGCAAUUAUGGGUAUCCAAAAGAUUUUUUCUUAAUUCGAUAAUAAAUUAUGGGUAUCUGAAGCUUUUAUGAUAUUAAUUCGAUAAUAAUUCUUUCUUUUCAAGUUAAUUUUUUCCCCUAAAAUAAGAUUUUUUUUCUUUUAAAUUUCAUAUAUUUUCAUUGUCCAAUAGUUCUAGCUUCUCUUAAUUGCAGGAUUCUUGAUUAAGGUUAAUGAAAUUUUAGUUCUGUUAUGUUAAGAAUAUUUCGAUCGCUUAGAAGAGUAAAGAAAAAUAAGUAAAUUAACCAAAAAAAAAAGAGAAAAGGACCGGAUUAUCCUUAUUCCCUUGCAUUAUGUGAUCAAUAUCAAAAUUAUAACCAUUUCUUGUUUAUUGCUUGUAGAUUUUCUUAAAUUCAAGAAUUUGGAACAUCUGGACAUGGGUGGGGCGCAAGUUGACGUCAACACCAGUUUUCUUCAAAUUGUCGGCGAAUCGAUGCCUUCUCUUAAGUUUUUAUCACUGACAGGUUCAAGUCUUAAUAAAAACGCCAUUCUUGAUCAAGGUUAGUUAAUGAUUCUCUUUCUCCCUCUCUCGCAUCUUAACUAAAUUUAAUUGAGAAUAUCUAUAAUGCUAGCUAUUUAUAAACUUAAUGAAAGAUGAUAAGGAGCUACUAUAAUGACAAAAACAACUGUAAAAUAGUGCGCUGUUGUAGUGUUAAUUGAAAAAUAAUGCUAAUUUUAUAGUCAUUUUGUUGCCAUUACGUCAGAUUCCAUUGUUCAAUUAUUUAAGUUUUAUGCAAAUAUAUUUUUCAGGACUUUGUCGGUUAGUGCAUCUACAAGAGUUAUACAUCGGCGGUAAUGAUUUGAGAGGUAGCUUGCCAUGGUGCUUGGCAAACAUGACAUCCCUCCAAGUGUUAGAUGCCUCUUUUAAUCAACUUACUGGAAACAUCUCCCCAGGCCUUUGUGAGUUGGUGCUUCUGAGAGAGUUAUACAUUGAUUACAAUUAUUUAAGAGGUAGCUUGCCUUUGUGCUUGGCAAAUUUGACUUCCCUUCGAGUAUUAGAUGUCUCUUACAAUCAACUUACUGAAAACAUCUCAUCUUCCCUCAUGCAUCUAAUAUCUAUGGAAAAGCUCAUACUUUCAAAUAAUCACUUCUUCCAAAUCCCUAUUUCACUUGAACCACUUUUCAAUCUCACAAAACUCAAGACUUUCGAUGGUGAAAUAUACGCAGAAACUGAGUCACAUUAUAAUUCUUUGACCCCAAAAUUCCAAUUGACUUCUAUCUCAUUGUCUGGCUACGGAGAUGGUGGCACAUUUCCCAAAUUCUUGUACCAUCAGCAUGACUUGAAGAAUGCUGAUCUCUCACACCUUAACUUGAGUGGAAAUUUUCCAAAUUGGUUGGUAGAAAACAAUACGAACUUAGAGACGCUUCUUCUUGCCAAUAACUCUCUUUUUGGAUCAUUUCGGAUGCCAAUUCAUUCCCACCAGAAAUUAGCAACAUUGGAUGUCUCCAACAAUUUCUUUCAAGGCCAUAUCCCAGUAGAAAUCGGAACAUAUCUGCCAGGCUUAAUGCAUUUAAACUUAUCUAGAAAUGCUUUCAACGGUAGCAUUCCCUCUUCAUUUGCUGAUACGAAAAUGUUGAAAAGCUUGGACAUAUCCUACAAUCAGUUGACUGGUGAAAUCCCUGAGCGCAUGGCCAUGGGUUGCUUCUCAUUGGAAAUUCUUGCAUUGUCAAACAACAGUUUGCAAGGUCAUAUAUUCUCUAAAAAAUUUAACUUGACAAAUUUGAUGAUGUUGCAGUUGGAUGGUAAUAAAUUCAUUGGAGAGAUCCCAGAAAGCUUAUCUAAGUGCUAUUUGUUGGGAGGAUUGUAUCUGAGUGAUAAUCAUCUCUCUGGUGAGAUUCCAAGAUGGUUGGGUAAUUUGUCAGGUUUAGAAGAUAUUAUAAUGCCCAAUAACAAUCUUGAAGGACCAAUUCCAAUCGAGUUUUGUCAGCUUGAUUAUCUGAAGAUUUUAGACCUUUCAAACAAUAGUAUUUUUGGAACUUUACCAUCUUGUUUUAGUCCAGCAUCUAUCGAACAAGUUCAUUUGUCGAAAAACAAGAUAGAAGGACGGCUGGAGAGUAUAAUCCAUGACAGCCCUCAUUUGGUGACAUUCGAUCUUAGUUAUAACAGCUUACACGGAAGUAUUCCAAAUCGGAUUGACAGACUACCUCAGUUAAACUACCUUCUUUUAGCUCAUAAUUAUAUUAAAGGCGAAAUACCAGUUCAAUUAUGCCAGUUGAAGGAAGUGCGGUUGAUUGAUCUUUCUCAUAAUAAUCUAUCUGGUCAUAUUCCUCCUUGCUUGGUUAACACUUCACUCAGUGAAGGUCAUCAUGAGGCAGUAGCUCCAACUUCUAGUUCGUGUGGUCGAGCGUCUGGCUAUGCAAGUCCAUGUGCGAAAAAUACAAGUGGACUUCCGAUGGGAAAGGAAGAAACUGUACAGUUCACAACAAAGAAUAUGUCCUACUAUUAUCAAGGAAGAAUUUUGACGAGUAUGUCUGGGAUUGAUCUUUCUUGUAACAAACUGACAGGUGAGAUUCCUACUCAAAUUGGAUAUCUUACAAGGAUUCGUGCGCUAAAUCUAUCUCAUAACAAUUUGACGGGCACAAUCCCGACAACAUUUUCAAACCUGAAGCAAAUCGAAAGCUUGGACCUCUCCUACAACCUACUGCAUGGGAAAAUCCCUUCUCAGCUCACUGUGCUAAAUACAUUGGCGGUCUUCACAGUAGCAUACAAUAACUUAUCAGGAAAAAUUCCAGAUAGAGUUGCACAAUUUUCAACUUUUGAGGAAGAUAGCUAUGAGGGAAUCCUUUUCUUUGUGGAUGGCCACUGUCUAAAAGUUGCAAUGAUAGUGGAUUAUCAGCAGUGACACGAGAAGCUUACACUGAUAAUGAAGAAGGUGAUAGUUUAAUUGACAUGGACAGUUUCCUAAUCACUUUUACAGUAUCUUAUGGAAUUGUGAUAUUAGGAAUUAUUGGAGUUUUGUACAUAAACCCCUAUUGGCGACGAAGAUGGUUUUACCUUGUUGAAGUAUGUAUGAUCUCUUGCUACUAUUUUGUAGUAGAUAAUCUUAUUCCUAGAAGAUUCUAUGGUGGAUGGAUGUAAUUUCAUUUACUUUACAACUUAUAUGUAAUUUUUAAAGAAUUUUCUUUUGCAUGCAUGGAAUAGCAACUCAAUAAAAGUAUUUGAUGCAAAUUGUCCUAGAACAACUUAGUAAUUUCAUUGCUACUAUUUGGUUGUAUAUAUACAGUUAAUGAAAUUUUUAAUCAUUCGCAGUAGGAAUUUCUUUAGAUGGCGGCCAAAACUAACAGAUUUGGGGCUCUACUUCUACACAUCAUAACAGGCAAAAGGUCUCUCUUUUACACGAUCUGAAUGAAGAUUAACUUACGCCCUCUAGGCUCUGGAGUGUGUGUAAGUUCUCUAUUAAACUUGACGGUUGAGAUUUCAGGUCCAGAUGAAAGUGAAAUGCAGGCGACGAGACUACACUUUAAGUAAACUGGGACAAACUUAAAAUAAAAAAAAUUGUAGUCCAGGGUGAGAGUGAUGGGUAGCUCAACUUAUGGAGGAUAACUAGGACUUGGAAUAACUAUCAGAUUUGCAACUCUUGUUAUAUGCUAGUGGGGAUUUAGGUAGCAAUUUUUUUUUUUUUUCCUUUUUGCCCUCUUCCUCACAAUAAAAACACGUAACACACCAAGCCGUGCCCAAAAUAAUCCUAUUUUAUUCAUGUCAUGAAUCCAAAAACUAUCCCAGCUCACUUUGUUUAACCAGCAUAACUAAAUUGUGGGUAUAAAUGAACACACUUUCGAAGCCUGUAACUUAUAAUAAGCUCAAACCCAAAAAUGACAUUUAAAUCCUGCAAGUGUUUUUUCAUCAUCCCUAACAAAAGAAACAAGAAUAAUUAUAUACCAAUAAUUUUUCCAUAAAAAUACUGAUUUGAGUUGAAACACUAUACAAACUGGGUUUUAUACACUUCCAGAAAGCUACACGGUAGACAAAAUCUAGCAGCUACAUAUUGGUAUCACUUUCAGCUGGUCAUGAAUGGUGUGCAUUCAGCAGUGCUCGAUAGACCAUGUCUAUGAAUUGAUUGUCCUAUUACAUAUAAAAGCUGGUCAGAAUAUACAAGGAAAAAAAAUAAUAAUUGAAAAUGCAUCACAAAAAAUAAGUGUUUCGCAUUAGUGUUUGCACUCUAAGCAUGGCAAAGUGGUGCGGGGUUCAUGAUUUUGAAGACUGUGAUAAGUGAAAAAUAGUUCAAUCCACUGAUGAACAUAAAUUUAUUUACAUGUCAAUUUAGAUAUCAUCAAAAAGUAAACAGUAAUUCAGAGUCACUUAAAAUAGUUGAUAAAAUGCGUGCCAUGAAUGUAUUUUUGUACAUAAGAAAUCCAAAGAGUAUUUCUGACAAUACAAAUAUGCUAGCUUUAAGUCUGCUGUCAAUAUGCAAUUAAGAAGAUUAUACCAGCUGCAUGAUAAAGUUCCCUAAUCUUAAUAACAGUAAACAUGAACAUGUCAGAUGCAAUUAUAGCUUUGAGCAUUUGCAUAACCAGAAAUCCUAACCUGAACAAGCACCAGAAGUGUCUCUCGGACUUUCUCCUUGCUGAUAAAUGGUCCGCUGUCUGAAGUAAGAGCAGGAGUAAGAGAUGGUGGAGGGGUUGGUGGUGGAAAAGGUUGAAGCACUGGGGCACCAUAUGGGCGUUGCAGACUCGGGGGAGGAUUAAGUGGCGAGCUGUUGGUGUAGAUGAAGAGACAAGCUGCAUCAUCCGUGCAUAGGAGGAUGGAGGAGGAACAAAGAAUAAGGAAGGCUUUACAAGAUUAGGGGUAGGUGCUGAUAGAGGUGGAGAUGGUAUUUGCAAAGUUGGCACGAUAGGAGAAGCAACACUGCGGGAUGAGAAGGUAAAGAAAUAGUUGUAUUGGACUGGUAAGGUUGUGCAGAGAUUGCUGCAUUAGAAUUAUUCCCCACAGUCAAAGCUGUCUGCAAUGAUAAGGACAGAUGUCAUAUAAAAGGACUCAUAGAAGUUGAACCUCACACAAAAAUGAAGUGAUAACAUAUGAAAAUAGUAUAUGACUUGCUGCAUUUUUGUGGUAAUGUUGCAUACUUAUGUAGAAACAUAUUAUUUCAAAGAAAACAUACAUGAAGAAGUUCACAAAAGCAGGAUCUUCAGGAACAUCAACAGCAUUUGAGGAGUUGACUCUAGAGGACCAUCCAUAACUGCCAUAGUUGGAACAGCUUCCAGUUCCUCAAACUCACUGCAGUUUAACAUAAAAGGAACUUGAUGACCAAUUUAAGUAAUAAUUAGAUGAUAUAAGAGGUUAGGGAAAAUGAUGAGUGGACCCUUAUGGAAGAUGAUUUCACCUUAGCUAAACACGAAAAUAAAAUGAAAUCAAAGCUGAAUCCUCGAGUGCAAUGCAAAUAAUUUUUUCUCUCUCUUCUCUAACUCCUCUUAUUCGAAAUUGCUCAUCAUUGUGCAGUUCCUCGAGAUUUUGCUAGAGUAGAGAAAGCUAUUCUCCCCGUUAAGUGCAGAGGAAAAAGAAGGGCAAGGGCCUGGUAUGAUGCUAUUCUAUAGGAAGUGAGAAGGUGAAGGGCUAAAAUAUUUUGCAAUUUGGAGGUGGUGUUUGUUAGUGUGUGUACUUCUGAAUUUAUUACCUCUUUAGGAUCCAUAGAAAUUGCCUCUUGUUCAGCAUGCACUGUGCCUACGAGUAAGGCGAGCUUGCAUGGUAUCUAUUGUCUAUUUACUUGGAUAUUCAAACAGGACUACCAGCAACCAAACACAAAUCCCCAAACAAAACACUCUUUCAAGUGCAAGGAAAGAGUAACUUGGGCAUAUUUAUGGUUCAAGCACUACAAUAACUAAGAAUGUGAUGACUGUCCACAAACACUAUAUCAGUGCCUUUUGAACUACAUCACAUGCUUGAAGACUUUUUUUUUAGUCAUACAUAAAUUAGCUAUAAAAUCAAGACCCUUAUACAACUAAAAAGAAAGAAAAAUUGUUUGCUACUACAUAUCAAAACUGGUAAUAGCAAUGUAAGAUGGCAGACUUCUUACUUAAACAGAUGAGAGGCUACAAAUAAAAAAUUUGUGCAAAUAAAAUAUAUGAUAAAGAGCAUAAUACUUUCUUGGGGGCUAAAAAUAAUAUACAACUUGUGAAAUAUAAAUUGAGCUACCAUUACCUUUUAGAUGUGGCAACUUUCGACUUUUGAGGCACCUUGGAAUAUGCAUUCAGAAUCCUGCAUUUGGAAGCCAAAUAAAUAAUGUUAAUAACAAUUUUACAAUAGAAAAAUUAAAAAUUGAUAAAUGGCAGUUGUAAUUUAUGUAUGGUAAAGAUAGCAUCACAUCCAGGUUCCUCCCAUAAACAUGCUUGUAACAAGAAUUAGUUUGCCUCAACUGCUAGCAACUAUACAAUAGUAAAAAUCACUCUUAUGAACUCAACAAUACUAGGCACCAAUAAGAGUAUGACACAGCCAUUCUAAAUGGAAGAGAAUACAACUGUUUUACAACUAUGUUGCAUCAGGAGAUAUGUUAGGAGGAUUAAUCCAGAUACCUUCCAACCCAAAUUAGGAAAACUCGAGUCAGAAACCAGGAGCUGCAACCAAACCUUACAAUCUUGAAGGAAGAAGGAGACUUGGGGCAUUUUUCCAGAUAGGUGACUUACAAGAUCUCCUGCCAAGAAAAUAUCUAUUGCUUUGAACCUCCAUUGAAAUUUCUUUUCCUUUUUUCUUGUUUUGACUUGGAACUUUCCAGCAUCAUCUAUUUGAUCUUUUUUAAAGCUAAAAUAGCAAUCUAUGCGUUGUCAACAUCUUAUCCCCCGCCCCCCCGGGGGGCCACCAAAAAAAAAAAAAACCAAUGAGUUGUCAAUAAAUAGCGCCUACUCAACUUAUGUUCUCCAAUGAUGACAAUGUGCAAAUUGACCUAGCAGCCACAUUUUUCCCCCUUUCAACCACCAUUAGGCAACUUUUCUAACCUUUCUUCAUUGCCCACGUCUACAGAACUAUCAUAUAAAGACUACAUUAUUAUUGGGACAGAGAAAAAAAUACAGACUAUAUUAUUAUUAUAUCUCAUUUUAUUAAUUAACUAGUGCAAGACUUAUUUAGUGUCAAAUCAAGAACUAAUUAGAAAAGACAACUCAUGAUAAUACAGACUUUAAAAAGCAAUAGCUAGCAAACCCCAUAUACUCCUAUUUUAGCCUUCAAUAUCCUGGUAAAAAACACAAUUAAGUCUAGCAAAAGAACAUUCACAAGUAAAUUCAACAUUAAUUAAGAUUAAGUAUCUACUGCACCUUCAAUCAAUGACUCGGUGAAUAGCAUGGUCAACCAUCUAGUUCCUGUAGCCCCUUGUACCUAUGUUAGUUACAUUUUACAUAUUAAGCCACGAAAAUGAAGGAUCACAGCCUGGUAAAGAAAGCCAUUAAUUAAUAGUUUUUGUUUAAAAAGUUCUCGUUUAGAUCUUUCCUAUUCAAUGAAUCAAUGUAAUCCAAGGAGAACUCUUCCAUUUCAAGCAGUGUUAGAAGAUAAUUGGAAAGCCUAAAGAUAAUAUACAGGACCAAGAUAUCGAUUAGGUCAAAUAGUGAAUGUCAAAUAUAAAAAAUAAAUAAAAGAAGUUGUACAUGAUCAUUUACUAUCAAGUUCUGUAAAACUGAAAAUACCAUUAUCCCUGUAGAGAUUCUCAAACAACUCUUUAGCAAAUUAUAAAAUAGUUAAAAAAAGAACGAAAGUUUAAAAAAAAAAAAUGUACAACAGCCAUAUCAGGAGAUGUUUUUCUUCUCAAUCUCAAUAUUUUCUAGCCGUAAACAAUUGAAAAGCUUAACACCAAGUGAAUUAUUAAGAAUUCAUCAUUUAAAUUCCCAAAUCGUAAAUGUUGGUGCAACUACGAAAGUGCAAAUGCAAUCACUUUACUUACACAAGAAACAUCAAUAGUGAGAAGCCAACUUUGUAUCAAAUUUGAAGCAGAUAGAUAGAGGUCAAAAAAAUUAUAAAGACACUCAAUUAAAAGCCUUUCAAACAGCUUUUGCAUGCAACAAGAACAAAUCAAAGGCGAUGUGAAUGUAUUCAAAGACUAAUUUACAAUCAUCUACAGGACAUAAAUAUCUUGGAUAACUACUCUCUAUACCUUACUGUCCCACUGAAAAUCAUCAAAUCCUCCAAACAAAAAUGACAAAAUGGAUAAGAAUUGUGUGGUCAAACAUCAAUAACUUAGCAGCCACAGCAAAAACUUAUGUAGACACGCAAGCCACUCAAAAUAGUCAUAUUGUUUGCUUUCCAAACACAAGCCACUUUGUAAUGAAUAUUCAUAAAUUGCUACUACCAUGUUUGUUAAAACACGUGAAAACCGCCAUCACUAACUAAAUGUAACUGAUGAUCAUCAUCACGUUCAUGGAAUCACAUGUCUGACAGUAUUAAUUNGUUGAAAAGUAGUCUGUAAAAUUAACUCAAACCGCUACAUACGCUAUUGCAACCCAAUUGAGGGCCCAUUUUUGUUUAUUUCGUUGAAAAGUAGUUCGCGCAAUUAAUUCAAACCGCUACACACACUAUUGCAUCUUUUGAAAAAGAAAAAUGGAAUAAUUUUUCAAAAUUAAUUUAGAGAAUAAGAUUUACUAAUAAUGAUGUUAGAAAUCUUGAUAUUUGAAUCUUAAUAUUAUCUAUCACUCAUUUAUUAAAUAAUAGAUUUCAUAGUUUGUAAAAUUACUUAACCACUUGAUAAAUGUUAUAUUUGUUGGGACUAGAUUGGGACUUAAAUAUUGGAAUAUCUAGUAUUGCAUAAAAAAAAAACUUAACAAUUUAUCUUCACACGACUAAUUGUUUUUACAUCACAACUAACCUUAAUUAUUUUAAAAGUUAUGCAUUAUUAAAUUGCCCUAACUAGUUAUCAAAAGGUGAAAGCAUGUUUAAAAAAGAAAUUACUAAGAAACAUUUGUUUAAACGAAGGUUAAGGUUAUGAUCAAUUAAUUAAGAAGAAACUUACUAUCAAAGGUUAAGAUUAUGAACAAUUUAAGGAAGUUAUUGAGUAGAGAAAGGGACAGAAUGGUUGUCUGAUUUGCCGGUGACAAGAAUGCUUGUGUUGUGAAAAGAAAUCCGAUGGUUUGUAAAUUUGUUGAAUUGGUCCCAAUUAGUAUAGUAACCAUCUAUUGAGCGGUAAAAUAUUAAUUUAAAUAGUCAUGAAAUCUAAUAUAUAAUAGAUUACUAACACACAUAAAUUAAAACUUAACUGUCAGAAAUCAUAACAUUAUCUAGCUUCAGUGGAGUUCUCUUAACAGAUUAUGUGAGAUUGCCUAUAUUAAAAAAUAUGUUAAGACUGCUUGUUGAAAGCAAUAUUCGCUUUUGAUUAUAUCCAUAACUUUGAAUUGAUAAAGUUGUAUUCAACAACUCUUGAAAAGACUAAGCAGGUCUUCUUUGCAUUUGAUCACUGGUAUUUCAGUUAAGUUUGUCGUUUACUUAAAUUUUUCUUGCUUUCAAUUUCCACUGUUGUUUUUUUUUUUAAUAAAAUAAAUUGUUUAACUAGUCAUAGAAAUAAGAGAGAAAUGGGUCAUUUCUUGACUCAAAGUCAAUUAUAAUUAUCAAAACUUGAGGGGACAUCGCAUGCCUAAAUUCCACGCACCCUAAAACAGUUUGAUUUGCUUUCACGCGUUCAUGAAUUUCCAUGAAAGAGCCUGUCUUUCGUCUCUUUCGGGACAAUGACUACAAUUAUGGAAAAAAAUUAUAAUUCUCGUUAGAUUGUAACCAAAUUAUUAUCCCUAAUUUUUUAAAGUUAAAUAAAAUAAAAUUCAUGCUUAAGUAUUUAGUAAUUAGAGAGAGAUAGAGAGGAUUGAGGGACAAUGUUUCGCGAUUUGGGGUCAAUUCAAAGUCAACUAACGUGUAAAACACGUGUAUGCAUAGAAAACGCUUAGAUUAUUUGUGUUCCAAGUGCAAGAAAUUAAGAAAAGAAAAUUGAUUUCCUUUCAUGAACUUCCAAGAAAGAAAGAAGACCCUUCACCUUGUUCGUGACAACAAAUGAAUGAAUGAUGUUGAUAUGACAAAUACAAGCGCUAUUACAGGGAACAGCAUAAGACCGAGACUUGAUAAAAGGUUUGUUGAAUUACAUGUUAUUUUCUUUUGACUUGAAUGAUGUUGAAAAUAAAAUAAAAUAAAAUUGUAAUCAGGGUGAUGUGUGCAAUAUAGUGAAAUAAAUAAAUAGAGAAGAGAAAUUCGUUGAUCAAUAUUAAAGAACUCAUCCAAAGUGAUCGUCAAAGUCUAGAGGUUCGGUAUGAUUAGCAUUUAUUUUUAUUUUUUUUGGCUUAGCAUCAUAUAUAGUCACUGUCGUGUGAUCUAGGACAUGUUUAGAAAUCCUUUUAUUUUAACUUCCGUAUUCUUAUUAUUUAAUUAGUUAUAAAGUUUUUAAGUAUUUGAGUAUUGAUCACAUGUCUCCUAAUCUAAAAAUAUGUUUUUACGAGUACAAAUAACAAACUAUGAUUUUAACAUCCUUUUAUACUAAACCCUAAAAAUACAUGAAUUUAUCAAAAUAAGUAAAUUAAUUUAAAUUGGUAUGGCAUAAUAGAAGUUUUACCUGCCAAAACAAAUUAAAAAAAUAUUACACUUAAAUCAAAUAUUGACAAAAAUAGAUAACAAUCUAAUGAGAAUCUUAACUAGACAUUUUUAAUUCUAUCCAAUUUAACUGGAACGAGAAUUAAGUCCUUUCAAUACUUAGGACUCAUAACUCAUACACACUAGUUUGAGAGUGUGGGGUGUGACAAUGGGACCAUUGACAAGUAUAAAAGAGUGGUCGCAAUUAAUUCAAACCACUACACACGCUAUAUUGAGGGCCCACUUUUGUUUAUUUCGUUGAAAAGUAGUUUUCACAAUUAAUUCAAACCGCUACACACGCUAUUGCGUCUUUUAAAAAAGAAAAAUGGAAUAGUUUUCCAAAAUUAAUUCAGAGAAGAAGAUUUACUAAUAAUGAUGUUAGAAAUCUUAAUAUUAUGUAUCACUCAUUUAUUAAAUAAUAGAUUUCAUAGUUUGUAAAUUUACUUAACCACUUGAUAAAUGUUAUAUUUGUUGGGACUAAAUUGGGACUUAAUGUUGGAAUAUCUAGUAUUGCAUAAAAAAAUAAAUAAAAACUUAACAAUUUAUCUUCGCAUGACUAAUUGUUUUUACAUCACAACUAACCUUAGUUAUUUUUUAAAGUUAUAGUAUUAUUAAAUUGCCCUAACUGGUUAUCAAAAGAGGAAAGCAUGUUAAAAUAAGAAAUUACUAAGAAACAUGUGCUUAAACAGAGGUUAAGGCUACGAAUAAUUAAGAAGAAACAACUUACAAUCAAAGGUUAAGAUUAUGAACAAAUUAAGGAAGGUAUUGAGCAGAUAAAGGGACGGAAUCAUUGUCUGAAUUGCCGGUGACAAGAAUGCUUGUGUUGUGAAAAGAAAUCUGAUGGUUUGUAAAUUGUUGAAUUUUUUAUUCGCUCGCUCCAACUGACUUACUAAUGCCAAAUUUAUUACUUUGCACAGUAGUGUUUAGGAUCCUCAAGAUCAACUCUUAAUUUGGUCCCAAUUAGUGCAGAAAUCAUCUAUUGAGCAAUAGAAUAAGAAUUUUUCUAGUCAUGAAAUUUAAAUAUAUAAUAUAUCCUUGACACACAUCGAUUAGAACUUAAUUGUUAGAAUUCAUAACAUUACUCUACUCUCAAGGGGAGUUCUCUUAACAUAUUAUGUUAGGUUGCCUACAUUCAAAAUAUGUUAGACUGCUCUUUGAAAGCAAUAUUCCCUUUUCCGUAACUUUGAAUUGAUCCAAUAGCUCUUGAAAAGCACAUAAUAAUCAUUAUAAAUUUAAUCAAAGACUAAGCAGGUCUUCUUUGCAUUUGAUCACUGGCAUUUCAGUUAAGUAUGUCAUUUACUUAAAUUUUUCUUGCUUUCAAUUUUCACUGUUGUUUUUUUUUUUAAUAAAAUAAUUUGUUUAACUAGUCACAGAAAUAAGAGAGAAAAUGGGCCAUUUCUUGACUCAAAGUCAAUUAUAAUUAUCAAAACUUGAGCGGACAUUGCAUGCCUAAAUUCCACACACCCUAAAACGGUUUGAUUUGCUUUCACGCGUUCAUGAUUUUCCAUGAAAGAGAGUGCCUCUCGUCUCUUUCCGGACAGUGACGACAAUUAUGUUAACGUGACAAAUACAUAACGUUAUUACAUACAAGAAUAAGUUUUUGGAGCCGAGACUUGAGGGAGGUUCUAUCUAAUUCUAAAGAUUGUAACCAAAUCAUUAUCCCCAAUUUUUUUCAGUUAAAUAAAAUAAAAUUUAUGCUUAAGUAUAAAUAAAAUCCAUAGUGGAUAAAUAUUUGAUUAUCGAUUUUUUUUAAUGUAAAAUUGCUGGUUUGUUGCUUAAAAUUUUCAAUAAUAAUUUCACUUAUUUAGUAAUUAGAGAGAGAGAGAGGAUUGAGGGCCAAUGUUUCGCGAUUUGGGGUCAAUUCAAAGUCAACUAAGGUGUAAAACAUGAUUUCCUUUCAUGAACUUCGAAGAAAGAAAGAAGACUCUUCACCUUCUUCAUGACAACGAAUGAUGUUGAUAUGACAAAUACAAUCGCUAUUACAGGGAACAGCAUAAGACCGAAAUUUGAUAAAGGGUUUGUUAAAUUACAUGUUAUUUUCUUGUUAACUGAAUUGGAAGAAAAAAUAAAAAUAAAAUAAAAUUGUAAUCAGUGUGAUGUGUGGAAUAUAUUGAAAUAAAUAAAUAGAGAAGAGAAAUUCGUUGAUCAAUAUUCAAGAACUCAUCCAAAGUGACUGUUAAAGUCUAGAGGUUCCGUAUGAUUAGCAUUUAUUUUUAAUUUUUUGGCUUAACAUCAUAUGUAGUCACUGGUCGUGUGAUCUAGGACAGGUUUAGAAAUCUUUUUUUUUUUUUAACUUCCGUAUUCUUAUUAUUUAAUUAGUUAUAGGGUUUUUUAGUAUUUGAGUAGUGAUCACAGGUCUCCUAAUCUAAAAUUAUGUUUUACGAGUACAAAUAAAAACUAGGAUUUUAACAGCCUUUUAUACUGAACCCUAAAAAUACAUGAAUUUAUCAAAAUAAAUAAAUUUGAAUUGGUAUGCCAUAAUAAAAAUUUUACUUGCCAAAACAAAUUAAAAAAAAAUAUGACGCUUAAAUCAAAUAUCGACAAAAAUAGAUAAAAAUCCAACAAGAAUCUCAAAAAUAAGAAAGAUAUCUUCAAAAUAGAAGCGUCCAAGAGAAAUUUGGCGAAGAUUUGCUAAUCCACAUUGAAAAUGUCACUUUUCCUUGAGAACUUCAUAAUGAUAUAUUAUGAGCCUAAGACAAAUACCAAUUACUCAAGUUAUGGCCCUAUGAAGACAUCCUAUUCAUUCUCCCUAGACCAGGACGUGUCGCACAUGUUUGCAUUCAAAUUUAGGUGAAAAUCUACUCUCAUUCAAGGGAUAUAUAGGUACCUGUGAAGUCUCAAACCCGAGAUAAUGUGAAAGCAAAUCGGGAGUUUGAUUAAAUUCAGCCAAUUAUUAGUGUGUACGGAUGGUAGGGAUGGAAAAAAACUCCGACCGUUCUUAGGUAUGGUAUUACCCAGAUCUGGCCUAAGCAUGUUUUUUUGAACACUCAGAAUUUUUUAAUCAAAACUUAAAAAACCUAGAAUUUAUAUUUUAUAAUAUUAUAUAUAUUUAUUUUAUUUUAUAAUUUUAUAUUUUCAAAUUUUAUUUUAAUGAAUUGGAAUUAAAAAUAUGAGUUUUAAAUGUUUAAAAUUUUAAAAAUAGAUAAUAAGUGGACCAAAUGAACAAAAUAAUAGAUAUUUAUAAUAUUCUUCAUAAAAAUCCAAGUUUUGAGCUAGCCCAUAAGCUUGUCUAGUGAAGUCUGGGUACCCGCGUUGCCCAAGGUUCCGUCAGAAUCCAGGCUGUGCAGAUAUUUAUGGACGGAGAGGAAAUAUUUUCAGUUGACUGAAUUAAAUAAAAAUAUAUUACAAUCAUAUUAUAUAUUAACAGUAAAAAUAAAAAGAAAUGAAGAAAAACGCAUGCAAGACUUAGACAAAGUCAAUUAAAAGCUGGAGUAUCAUCAGUUCAAUUGGUUUUAAAUAGCGUAGAGCCAUCCUCUCGUUGUUGCAGAAGAGAGACAGAAAGAGUGUGUGUAGGCGAUUAUAAUUAAGCAGAUAUAAUGUGUGGUUCAAAAAGAGUGUGGGUGAGUGAGUUAAUUUUCAUAUUAUUAGUAGUAAAAGGGUGGUGGAGUGAGGGAUGUUUGGGCAAGAGGUCUGCUCUCCUCCAACUCAGACAUUUCUUCAAUGAUGAUCACCGUCUUCAAAACUGGGUAGACGAUGAGUAUUAUUCAGAUUGUUGUCAGUGGGAACGGGUUGAGUGCAACGACACCACUGGCAGAGUGAUUGAAUUAGAUCUAGCAGUAACUCGGAAUUGGGAAUCAGCAGAGUGGUAUAUGAAUGCCUCUCUGUUUACUCCUUUUGAACAAUUAGAGUCUCUUGAUCUAAUAGGGAACAAUAUAGCCGGUUGUGUUGAAAAUGAGGUCCGUAAUUUACUCUAUUUUAAUUCUUCCUCAUAAUUUUUUCCAUUUAUCUGAUCCCUUUUGGUUUUUAUUUAAUUGUAUGUGAUACAAUAAAAUUACUUUUUAUUUUUUGGCAGGUCUAGAUAGGUUAUCAAGUUGAACAACUUGAAGUUUCUUUAUUUAGACCUUAACCACUUCAACAACAGCAUCUUUUCAUCUCUAGGUGGUCUUUCAUCACUCAGAAACUUAUCAUUGGCUGCUAAUCGAUUGAAUGGAAGUGUUGAUAUUAAAGGUAAGUAAGCUUCAUCCCUUCUCCCCUGUCCCAUCUUUUGUGGAUCUUAUUUCACUGAGCAGCUGGAAGUAUUGAUACGAGAUCUAGCUAGACUCUUGCGAGUUUAGGCUUCACGGCUUUGAAUAGUAUAAAAAUAAGUUGAAGAAAUUAUCAAUAUAUUGCAAUUUUCAAUGCUUCUCAUAAUCAGACACAAUUCAAUCUAAUUAUUUCGUAUGUCCUGUCUUCAAAAGUAAAGAAUUGUACACUAAUUGGAAAUCGACAUCGUAGCUUUUUAUUUUCUGUAAUGCUAUUUCUUCGUUAACAAGUUUAUAUCCUAAGAGGGAUUGGAUUGAAAAAAAAAAAAGAAGUUUUGAUGUUCAAUGUAAGCCAUGAUAACCUGCAUCUUAUUUGUCUGCCGACAUCCAAAUUUGUGCACUGAAUUUAGUAUUUUGGUUAUUGUGAAGGGAUCAGAUAUUGGCUUCCAUAGACCAACUUGUAUUUACUUAAUUAAUUAAUUAACGACAUUUAGUAUUUAACAAAUUAAAAUUUCAUGUUUAAUCUAUUUUAAUUUUUUAAGAAAAAAGAAAUAGAUAUAGCAGCAGGUAAAGCUGAAAUAAAUUUUAAUUCCUUACAAAUUUAAAUUCAUGGUUGUCAGCUAAAUAUAACUGCUUAAAGCCACUCUUUUCGCUGAGAUUUAACCAAAAAAAAAGGAGAAAAUAAUUUAUUUAAUUAACUCUGUUUUAAGUGUUGGAAUAAAUACAGGACUAGAAUCCUUGAGUAACUUGGAGAUGCUGGACAUGAGGGACAAUGCAAUCGACAAUCUAGUGGUUCCUAAAGGUAUACAAAAUGACACUAACCCAAAAUAAUUUAAUCCGAAAUUGUAUCCCAAAUAGAUUACAGAGGUUUGAGGAAGUUGGAUACCCUUUAUUUGGGGGGGAAGGGAAAUUGCAGUGAUAUAUGGAAGCAAGGUGUUGCAAUCAAUAAAGAAAUUCGUUGGUCAAUAUUCAAGGACUCAUCCAAAGUAAUCGUUAAACAUUUCUUCAAUGAUGAUCAACGUCUCAAAACUAGGUAGACGCGGGAGAUGAUGAGAAUAAUUUAGAUUGUUGUCAGUGGGAAGGGAUUGAGUGCAACAAAACCACAGGCAGAGUGAUUAAAUUAGAAUCUAGCACAAACUCGAAAAUGGGAAUCAGCGAAGUGGUAUAUGAAUGCCUCUCUGUUUACUCCCUUUCAACAAUUAGAGUCUCUUGAUCUAAUUGGGAACAAUAUAGCUGAUUGUGUUAAAAACGAAGGUCAUUAAUUUACUCUAUUUUAAUUCUUCCUCCUCGUAAUUUCUUACAUCUAUCUGAUCCCUUUCGGCUUUUGUUUAAUUUGUACGUGAUACAAUAAAAUUAUUUUUUUUUCAGGUCUGGAGAGGUUAUCAAGGUUGAACAACUUGAAGUUUCUUGAUUUAGGCUUUAACCACUUCAACAACAGCAUCUUUUCAUCUCUAGGUGGUCUUUCAUCACUUAGACACUUAUCAUUGGCUGAUAAUAGAUUGAAUGGAAGUAUUGAUGUUAAAGAUAAGCAAGCUUCAUCCCUUCUCUCGUGUCCCAUCUUUGUGGAUCUUAUUUCAUCGACCAGCUGGAAGUAUUGAUACGAGAUCUAGCUAGACUCUUGCUAGUUUAAGCUUCAAGGCUUUGAAUAUUAUAAAAAUAAGUUUAAGGAAUUAUCAAUAUAUGCAAUUUUCUAUGCUUCUCAUAAUCAGACACAAUUCAAUCUAAUUAUUUCGUAUGUCAUGUCUUCAAAAGUAAAGAAUUGUACACUAAACGGAAAUCGACAUUGUAGCUUUUAAUUUUUCUAAUGCUCUUUCUUUGUUAACGAGUUUAUAUCCUGAGAGUGGAUUGGAUUAAAAAAAAAAAAAAAAAAAGUUUUGAUGUUCAAGGUAAGCCAUAAUAACAUGCAUCUUAUUUAUCUGCCUAUAUCUAAAUUUGUGCACUGAAUUUAGUAUUUUGGUUAGUGUGAAGGGAUCAGAUAUUGGCUUCCAUAAACCAACUUGUAUUUACUUAAUUAAUUAAUUAACACCAUUUAGUAUUUAACAAAUUAAAAUUUCGUGUUUAAUUUGUCUUAUUUUUUAUUUUUUGAAGCAAGAAUAAGGUAUAGCAGUAGGUAAAGUUGAAAUACAUAUUUAUUCCUUACAAAUUUAAAUUCGUUUUCAGCCAAAUAUACCUACUUAAAACCACUCAAUCAGGCCAUUGGCAACAGUUUUUAGGUUUUUCUAGUUAACCGUGUACUUUUUUGCUUAUUAAUAAAAUUCUUUUGUGCUGAGAUUUAAAAUAAAGAAGGAGAAAAUAAGUUAUUUAAUUAACCCUGUUUUUAAGUGUUGGCAUAAAUACAGGACUGGAUUCCUUGAGUAACUUGGAGGAGCUGGACAUGACAGGCAAUGCAAUCGAUAAUCUUGUGGUUCCUAAAGGUAUACAAAAUGUUCAAAUAUUAAUAAUUUGGAGGACAGUUUAAUUGAUUUGAUUAGGAAUGCCCAAUGACACUUACCCAAAAUAAUUUAAUCUGAAAUUGUAUCCAAAACAGAUUUCAGAGGUUUGAGGAAGUUGAAUACCCUUCGUAUAGGGGGAACCAGAAUUCAAAUGAUAGAUGGAAGCAAGGUGUUGCAAUCAAUAGGAUCACUACCGUCCCUCAAAACACUUGACCUUUGGUAUACUAAUUUUACGGGAACAGUAGUUAAUCAAGGUAAGUAAAUCUUUUAUGUCGAAAAUAAUUGAAUUAAUAUAUAUAGCUAAAAUUUAUUGUUUCUACUUCUUUCUAAAUAGAAUUGCACAAUUUCACCAACUUGGAAGAAUUGAUAUUGCUCGAGUCUGAUCUCCAUGUAAGCCAGCUUCUACAAAGCAUCGCAUCAUUCACUUCGUUAAAGUAUUUGUCAAUGGGAGGUUGUACUUAAUGAAGCAAUUAUGGGUAUCCAAAAGAUUUUUUCUUAAUUCGAUAAUAAAUUAUGGGUAUCUGAAGCUUUUAUGAUAUUAAUUCGAUAAUAAUUCUUUCUUUUCAAGUUAAUUUUUUCCCCUAAAAUAAGAUUUUUUUUCUUUUAAAUUUCAUAUAUUUUCAUUGUCCAAUAGUUCUAGCUUCUCUUAAUUGCAGGAUUCUUGAUUAAGGUUAAUGAAAUUUUAGUUCUGUUAUGUUAAGAAUAUUUCGAUCGCUUAGAAGAGUAAAGAAAAAUAAGUAAAUUAACCAAAAAAAAAAGAGAAAAGGACCGGAUUAUCCUUAUUCCCUUGCAUUAUGUGAUCAAUAUCAAAAUUAUAACCAUUUCUUGUUUAUUGCUUGUAGAUUUUCUUAAAUUCAAGAAUUUGGAACAUCUGGACAUGGGUGGGGGCGCAAGUUGACGUCAACACCAGUUUUCUUCAAAUUGUCGGCGAAUCGAUGCCUUCUCUUAAGUUUUUAUCACUGACAGGUUCAAGUCUUAAUAAAAACGCCAUUCUUGAUCAAGGUUAGUUAAUGAUUCUCUUUCUCCCUCUCUCGCAUCUUAACUAAAUUUAAUUGAGAAUAUCUAUAAUGCUAGCUAUUUAUAAACUUAAUGAAAGAUGAUAAGGAGCUACUAUAAUGACAAAAACAACUGUAAAAUAGUGCGCUGUUGUAGUGUUAAUUGAAAAAUAAUGCUAAUUUUAUAGUCAUUUUGUUGCCAUUACGUCAGAUUCCAUUGUUCAAUUAUUUAAGUUUUAUGCAAAUAUAUUUUUCAGGACUUUGUCGGUUAGUGCAUCUACAAGAGUUAUACAUCGGCGGUAAUGAUUUGAGAGGUAGCUUGCCAUGGUGCUUGGCAAACAUGACAUCCCUCCAAGUGUUAGAUGCCUCUUUUAAUCAACUUACUGGAAACAUCUCCCCAGGCCUUUGUGAGUUGGUGCUUCUGAGAGAGUUAUACAUUGAUUACAAUUAUUUAAGAGGUAGCUUGCCUUUGUGCUUGGCAAAUUUGACUUCCCUUCGAGUAUUAGAUGUCUCUUACAAUCAACUUACUGAAAACAUCUCAUCUUCCCUCAUGCAUCUAAUAUCUAUGGAAAAGCUCAUACUUUCAAAUAAUCACUUCUUCCAAAUCCCUAUUUCACUUGAACCACUUUUCAAUCUCACAAAACUCAAGACUUUCGAUGGUGAAAUAUACGCAGAAACUGAGUCACAUUAUAAUUCUUUGACCCCAAAAUUCCAAUUGACUUCUAUCUCAUUGUCUGGCUACGGAGAUGGUGGCACAUUUCCCAAAUUCUUGUACCAUCAGCAUGACUUGAAGAAUGCUGAUCUCUCACACCUUAACUUGAGUGGAAAUUUUCCAAAUUGGUUGGUAGAAAACAAUACGAACUUAGAGACGCUUCUUCUUGCCAAUAACUCUCUUUUUGGAUCAUUUCGGAUGCCAAUUCAUUCCCACCAGAAAUUAGCAACAUUGGAUGUCUCCAACAAUUUCUUUCAAGGCCAUAUCCCAGUAGAAAUCGGAACAUAUCUGCCAGGCUUAAUGCAUUUAAACUUAUCUAGAAAUGCUUUCAACGGUAGCAUUCCCUCUUCAUUUGCUGAUACGAAAAUGUUGAAAAGCUUGGACAUAUCCUACAAUCAGUUGACUGGUGAAAUCCCUGAGCGCAUGGCCAUGGGUUGCUUCUCAUUGGAAAUUCUUGCAUUGUCAAACAACAGUUUGCAAGGUCAUAUAUUCUCUAAAAAAUUUAACUUGACAAAUUUGAUGAUGUUGCAGUUGGAUGGUAAUAAAUUCAUUGGAGAGAUCCCAGAAAGCUUAUCUAAGUGCUAUUUGUUGGGAGGAUUGUAUCUGAGUGAUAAUCAUCUCUCUGGUGAGAUUCCAAGAUGGUUGGGUAAUUUGUCAGGUUUAGAAGAUAUUAUAAUGCCCAAUAACAAUCUUGAAGGACCAAUUCCAAUCGAGUUUUGUCAGCUUGAUUAUCUGAAGAUUUUAGACCUUUCAAACAAUAGUAUUUUUGGAACUUUACCAUCUUGUUUUAGUCCAGCAUCUAUCGAACAAGUUCAUUUGUCGAAAAACAAGAUAGAAGGACGGCUGGAGAGUAUAAUCCAUGACAGCCCUCAUUUGGUGACAUUCGAUCUUAGUUAUAACAGCUUACACGGAAGUAUUCCAAAUCGGAUUGACAGACUACCUCAGUUAAACUACCUUCUUUUAGCUCAUAAUUAUAUUAAAGGCGAAAUACCAGUUCAAUUAUGCCAGUUGAAGGAAGUGCGGUUGAUUGAUCUUUCUCAUAAUAAUCUAUCUGGUCAUAUUCCUCCUUGCUUGGUUAACACUUCACUCAGUGAAGGUCAUCAUGAGGCAGUAGCUCCAACUUCUAGUUCGUGUGGUCGAGCGUCUGGCUAUGCAAGUCCAUGUGCGAAAAAUACAAGUGGACUUCCGAUGGGAAAGGAAGAAACUGUACAGUUCACAACAAAGAAUAUGUCCUACUAUUAUCAAGGAAGAAUUUUGACGAGUAUGUCUGGGAUUGAUCUUUCUUGUAACAAACUGACAGGUGAGAUUCCUACUCAAAUUGGAUAUCUUACAAGGAUUCGUGCGCUAAAUCUAUCUCAUAACAAUUUGACGGGCACAAUCCCGACAACAUUUUCAAACCUGAAGCAAAUCGAAAGCUUGGACCUCUCCUACAACCUACUGCAUGGGAAAAUCCCUUCUCAGCUCACUGUGCUAAAUACAUUGGCGGUCUUCACAGUAGCAUACAAUAACUUAUCAGGAAAAAUUCCAGAUAGAGUUGCACAAUUUUCAACUUUUGAGGAAGAUAGCUAUGAGGGGAAUCCUUUUCUUUGUGGAUGGCCACUGUCUAAAAGUUGCAAUGAUAGUGGAUUAUCAGCAGUGACACGAGAAGCUUACACUGAUAAUGAAGAAGGUGAUAGUUUAAUUGACAUGGACAGUUUCCUAAUCACUUUUACAGUAUCUUAUGGAAUUGUGAUAUUAGGAAUUAUUGGAGUUUUGUACAUAAACCCCUAUUGGCGACGAAGAUGGUUUUACCUUGUUGAAGUAUGUAUGAUCUCUUGCUACUAUUUUGUAGUAGAUAAUCUUAUUCCUAGAAGAUUCUAUGGUGGAUGGAUGUAAUUUCAUUUACUUUACAACUUAUAUGUAAUUUUUUAAAGAAUUUUCUUUUGCAUGCAUGGAAUAGCAACUCAAUAAAAGUAUUUGAUGCAAAUUGUCCUAGAACAACUUAGUAAUUUCAUUGCUACUAUUUGGUUGUAUAUAUACAGUUAAUGAAAUUUUUAAUCAUUCGCAGUAGGAAAUUUCUUUAGAUGGCGGCCAAAACUAACAGAUUUGGGGCUCUACUUCUACACAUCAUAACAGGCAAAAGGUCUCUCUUUUACACGAUCUGAAUGAAGAUUAACUUACGCCCUCUAGGCUCUGGAGUGUGUGUAAGUUCUCUAUUAAACUUGACGGUUGAGAUUUCAGGUCCAGAUGAAAGUGAAAUGCAGGCGACGAGACUACACUUUAAGUAAACUGGGACAAACUUAAAAUAAAAAAAAUUGUAGUCCAGGGUGAGAGUGAUGGGUAGCUCAACUUAUGGAGGAUAACUAGGACUUGGAAUAACUAUCAGAUUUGCAACUCUUGUUAUAUGCUAGUGGGGAUUUAGGUAGAAAUUUUUUUUUUUUUCCUUUUUGCCCUCUUCCUCACAAUAAAAACACGUAACACACCAAGCCGUGCCCAAAAUAAUCCUAUUUUAUUCAUGUCAUGAAUCCAAAAACUAUCCCAGCUCACUUUGUUUAACCAGCAUAACUAAAUUGUGGGUAUAAAUGAACACACUUUCGAAGCCUGUAACUUAUAAUAAGCUCAAACCCAAAAAUGACAUUUAAAUCCUGCAAGUGUUUUUCAUCAUCCCUAACAAAAAGAAACAAGAAUAAUUAUAUACCAAUAAUUUUUCCAUAAAAAAUACUGAUUUGAGUUGAAACACUAUACAAACUGGGUUUUAUACACUUGCAGAAAGCUACACGGUAGACAAAAUCUAGCAGCUACAUAUUGGUAUCACUUUCAGCUGGUCAUGAAUGGUGUGCAUUCAGCAGUGCUCGAUAGACCAUGUCUAUGAAUUGAUUGUCCUAUUACAUAUAAAAGCUGGUCAGAUAUACAAGGAAAAAAAUAAUAAUUGAAAAUGCAUCACAAAAAAUAAGUGUUUCGCAUUAGUGUUUGCACUCUAAGCAUGGCAAAGUGGUGCGGGGUUCAUGAUUUUGAAGACUGUGAUAAGUGAAAAAUAGUUCAAUCCACUGAUGAACAUAAAUUUAUUUACAUGUCAAUUUAGAUAUCAUCAAAAAGUAACAGUAAUUCAGAGUCACUUAAAAUAGUUGAUAAAAUGCGUGCCAUGAAUGUAUUUUGUACAUAAGAAAUCCAAAGAGUAUUUCUGACAAUACAAAUAUGCUAGCUUUAAGUCUGCUGUCAAUAUGCAAUUAAGAAGAUUAUACCAGCUGCAUGAUAAAGUUCCCCUAAUCUUAAUAACAGUAAACAUGAACAUGUCAGAUGCAAUUAUAGCUUUGAGCAUUUGCAUAACCAGAAAUCCUAACCUGAACAAGCACCAGAAGUGUCUCUCGGACUUUCUCCUUGCUGAUAAAUGGUCCGCUGUCUGAAGUAAGAGCAGGAGUAAGAGAUGGUGGAGGGGUUGGUGGUGGAAAAGGUUGAAGCACUGGGGCACCAUAUGGGCGUUGCAGACUCGGGGGAGGAUUAAGUGGCGGAGCUGUUGGUGUAGAUGAAGAGACAAGCUGCAUCAUCCGUGCAUAGGAGGAUGGAGGAGGAACAAAGAAUAAGGAAGGCUUUACAAGAUUAGGGGUAGGUGCUGAUAGAGGUGGAGAUGGUAUUUGCAAAGUUGGCACGAUAGGAGAAGCAACACUGGCGGAUGAGAAGGUAAAGAAAUAGUUGUAUUGGACUGGUAAGGUUGUGCAGAGAUUGCUGCAUUAGAAUUAUUCCCCACAGUCAAAGCUGUCUGCAAUGAUAAGGACAGAUGUCAUAUAAAAGGACAUCAUAGAAGUUGAACCUCACACAAAAAUGAAGUGAUAACAUAUGAAAAUAGUAUAUGACUUGCUGCAUUUUUGUGGUAAUGUUGCAUACUUAUGUAGAAACAUAUUAUUUCAAAGAAAACAUACACUGAAGAAGUUCACAAAAGCAGGAUCUUCAGGAACAUCAACAGCAUUUGAGGGAGUUGACUCUAGAGGACCAUCCAUAACUGCCAUAGUUGGAACAGCUUCCAGUUCCUCAAACUCACUGCAGUUUAACAUAAAAGGAACUUGAUGACCAAUUUAAGUAAUAAUUAGAUGAUAUAAGAGGUUAGGGAAAAUGAUGAGUGGACCCUUAUGGAAGAUGAUUUCACCUUAGCUAAACACGAAAAUAAAAUGAAAUCAAAGCUGAAUCCUCGAGUGCAAUGCAAAUAAUUUUUUCUCUCUCUUCUCUAACUCCUCUUAUUCGAAAUUGCUCAUCAUUGUGCAGUUCCUCGAGAUUUUGCUAGAGUAGAGAAAGCUAUUCUCCCGUUAAGUGCAGAGGAAAAAGAAGGGCAAGGGCCUGGUAUGAUGCUAUUCUAUAGGAAGUGAGAAGGUGAAGGGCUAAAAUAUUUUGCAAUUUGGAGGUGGUGUUUGUUAGUGUGUGUACUUCUGAAUUUAUUACCUCUUUAGGAUCCAUAGAAAUUGCCUCUUGUUCAGCAUGCACUGUGCCUACGAGUAAGGCGAGCUUGCAUGGUAUCUAUUGUCUAUUUACUUGGAUAUUCAAACAGGACUACCAGCAACCAAACACAAAUCCCAAACAAAACACUCUUUCAAGUGCAAGGAAAGAGUAACUUGGGCAUAUUUAUGGUUCAAGCACUACAAUAACUAAGAAUGUGAUGACUGUCCACAAACACUAUAUCAGUGCCUUUUGAACUACAUCACAUGCUUGAAGACUUUUUUUUAGUCAUACAUAAAUUAGCUAUAAAAUCAAGACCCUUAUACAACUAAAAAGAAAGAAAAAUUGUUUGCUACUACAUAUCAAAACUGGUAAUAGCAAUGUAAGAUGGCAGACUUCUUACUUAAACAGAUGAGAGGCUACAAAUAAAAAAUUUGUGCAAAUAAAAUAUAUGAUAAAGAGCAUAAUACUUUCUUGGGGGCUAAAAAUAAUAUACAACUUGUGAAAUAUAAAUUGAGCUACCAUUACCUUUUAGAUGUGGCAACUUUCGACUUUUGAGGCACCUUGGAAUAUGCAUUCAGAAUCCUGCAUUUGGAAGCCAAAUAAAUAAUGUUAAUAACAAUUUUACAAUAGAAAAAUUAAAAUUGAUAAAUGGCAGUUGUAAUUUAUGUAUGGUAAAGAUAGCAUCACAUCCAGGUUCCUCCCAUAAACAUGCUUGUAACAAGAAUUAGUUUGCCUCAACUGCUAGCAACUAUACAAUAGUAAAAAUCACUCUAUGAACUCAACAAUACUAGGCACCAAUAAGAGUAUGACACAGCCAUUCUAAAUGGAAGAGAAUACAACUGUUUUACAACUAUGUUGCAUCAGGAGAUAUGUUAGGAGGAUUAAUCCAGAUACCUUCCAACCCAAAUUAGGAAAACUCGAGUCAGAAACCAGGAGCUGCAACCAAACCUUACAAUCUUGAAGGAAGAAGGAGACUUGGGCAUUUUUCCAGAUAGGUGACUUACAAGAUCUCCUGCCAAGAAAAUAUCUAUUGCUUUGAACCUCCAUUGAAAUUUCUUUUCCCUUUUUCUUGUUUUGACUUGGAACUUUCCAGCAUCAUCUAUUUGAUCUUUUUUAAAGCUAAAAUAGCAAUCUAUGCGUUGUCAACAUCUUAUCCCCCGCCCCCCCCGGGGGGCCACCAAAAAAAAAAAAAACCAAUGAGUUGUCAAUAAAUAGCGCCUACUCAACUUAUGUUCUCCAAUGAUGACAAUGUGCAAAUCGACCUAGCAGCCACAUUUUUCCCCCCUUUCAACCACCAUUAGGCAACUUUUCUAGCCUUUCUUCAUUGCCCACGUCUACAGAACUAUCAUAUAAAGACUACAUUAUUAUUGGGACAGAGAAAAAAAUACAGACUAUAUUAUUAUUAUAUCUCAUUUUAUUAAUUAACUAGUGCAAGACUUAUUUAGUGUCAAAUCAAGAACUAAUUAGAAAAGACAACUCAUGAUAAUACAGACUUUAAAAAGCAAUAGCUAGCAACACCCCAUAUACUCCUAUUUUAGCCUUCAAUAUCCUGGUAAAAACACAAUUAAGUCUAGCAAAAGGAACAUUCACAAGUAAAUUCAACAUUAAUUAAGAUUAAGUAUCUACUGCACCUUCAAUCAAUGACUCGGUGAAUAGCAUGGUCAACCAUCUAGUUCCUGUAGCCCUCCUUGUACCUAUGUUAGUUACAUUUUACAUAUUAAGCCACGAAAAUGAAGGAUCACAGCCUGGUAAAGAAAGCCAUUAAUUAAUAGUUUUUGUUUAAAAAGUUCUCGUUUAGAUCUUUCCUAUUCAAUGAAUCAAUGUAAUCCAAGGAGAACUCUUCCAUUUCAAGCAGUGUUAGAAGAUAAUUGGAAAGCCUAAAGAUAAUAUACAAGGACCAAGAUAUCGAUUAGGUCAAAUAGUGAAUGUCAAAUAUAAAAAAUAAAUAAAAGAAGUUGUACAUGAUCAUUUACUAUCAAGUUCUGUAAAACUGAAAAUACCAUUAUCCCUGUAGAGAUUCUCAAACAACUCUUUAGCAAAUUAUAAAAUAGUUAAAAAAAGAACGAAAGUUUAAAAAAAAAAAAUGUACAACAGCCAUAUCAGGAGAUGUUUUUCUUCUCAAUCUCAAUAUUUUCUAGCCGUAAAACAAUUGAAAAGCUUAACACCAAGUGAAUUAUUAAGAAUUCAUCAUUUAAAUUCCCAAAUCGUAAAAUGUUGGUGCAACUACGAAAGUGCAAAUGCAAUCACUUUACUUACACAAGAAACAUCAAUAGUGAGAAGCCAACUUUGUAUCAAAUUUGAAGCAGAUAGAUAGAGGUCAAAAAAAUUAUAAAGACACUCAAUUAAAAGCCUUUCAAACAGCUUUUGCAUGCAACAAGAACAAAUCAAAGGCGAUGUGAAUGUAUUCAAAGACUAAUUUACAAUCAUCUACAGGACAUAAAUAUCUUGGAUAACUACUCUCUAUACCUUACUGUCCCACUGAAAAUCAUCAAAUCCCUCCAAACAAAAAUGACAAAAUGGAUAAGAAUUGUGUGGUCAAACAUCAAUAACUUAGCAGCCACAGCAAAAACUUAUGUAGACACGCAAGCCACUCAAAAUAGUCAUAUUGUUGCUUUCCAAACACAAGCCACUUUGUAAUGAAUAUUCAUAAAUUGCUACUACCAUGUUUGUUAAAACACGUGAAAACCGCCAUCACUAACUAAAUGUAACUGAUGAUCAUCAUCACGUUCAUGGAAUCACAUGUCUGACAGUAUUAAUUAGUGCAAAUGGCAUGCCUUCUUAAAACUCCUAUUUAUCACACGGGCGCCAUUCCAAUCAACCAAUGAUUCUGAUCUAGUCGGCAUAUUCAACCCACGAGCGAGUAAUAGCUCCUAUUGCUUCUUUACAUUUCUCCAACGAAAUUCCACAUUCUAACCAUACUUCUGAACUUGUUGCUCCCAUAGACUUAAUACAAUAUAAAGAUUUCUUCCCACACCGCCUCAGCCCCCACUCCUAAAAAACCAAUUAAAUUCUCAAUUGACUGUACAACCUAUAGUCCAUACCAAAUUGAAAAAUUUACAAAUAUAGAAACCUCAAAGAAUCUUCUUGCAUUCCAUUUUUUACGUCAAGAAUUUGACUUUUACACAUGCAAGUCAACAAAUAAAAAAAUCAUGUCUUUGUGAGAUGCACAUUUUCAGACGAAUCUGAAGAGCAAUGAAACCGUAAAAACCGAAUAUGAGAACACCGAGGACUCCAGAUAUCACUAUAGAAUCUUCGGUCCACACUUGCAUGAUGAAAAUGAUGAAAAAAAAUUGAAGGCUUCGUCACCAACUCCCCAGGUUGUUUUGUUCUCCUAUCUCCUAAAUGUAAAGGAAAGGCAACCCGUUCUUUUUUCCAAUCUUAAGGGGCACAGAACGACUCUGGUAUAAAAUAGUCAGUUUCUAUACAAAAAUAACUCCUUUGCACUUGGCACUGCACAUCUCAAAAUAAAAAGCAUGCAAGGAGGAGAAUAUAAUAGCAUUAAACAAGUUUUAUUAACCAAACUUCAAAGAUGCCACACAAGGCAAAAAAGAAAUCUGUACAAGCCAGAUCCCAAGAAUAAUAAUUCCAAUAUACAAUUCAGGAAAACAAUAACUAAAACCAGGUUCAUGAGGCCUCAGCAGAAGCAACAUGUAAUAGCCAUACUCUAUUAUUUGAAACACAUUUCCAAGUUUGGUUAAGAUUCUAAACUAUUCUCUAUGUGUCAAUUAUUAACAUGUAAAACAUAAUAAUAUACACUUAUACUACUACAGUAGUAAAACCAGUAAAACAACAAUACCUGCUGAAAAGAUUUGCUACCUCUUCACAUUCACGAGCAUUGUAGAAUCAAAUCCCAUUUACUUCUUGGGAUGCAUUCCGAUAUAACAAAUACGGAACCUGAACUUCAAACUCAAAAUCUCCCAAAAGAUUUUCCACUAAAUUAUCUGCACAUAUCCAAGAUAUUGAAGCUUAUCAGUGCAAAAACAUAUGCAAAAAGACAUGAAGGUUAGAAGACAUAACUAAAACUUAGCAACAACUGAUAAGCACAACAAGACAUGAAAUAUAACACUAGUUGUAAAUACUCUAAAACUUACCAACCCCUCUCCUGAUUGUCAUAAAACGGCCAAUAUUUAACCCUAGACAACAAAAUUGCAAAUACUCUAGCCUCUAUAUUAUUGGCAUAUAAAUAUUUUCGGUUAGGUACGUUAUAUUCUUCGUUCUAAAACCUCAAUUAUUAGCUAGUACUGUGAUAAAAUGAUUCAUCACUGAAAUUAAAACUAGUUCACGUACAAAUAAUCAAAACUGAAAUAGAAGCAACGAUAAACCAACCUGUAUUACGUCGAUUCAUCACAACAAACUGAAAUCGAGGCUGUGUGUUCCUGAAAAUUGAAAAAAUAAUAAUUUCACCAACUUCAUAUGUAAUACAAUCUCCAAAACACCGAAUAUCAAAUGAAAAAAUGGAAAGCAUAAGAGAUAAAAGAAUCUAAUUUUAUUGACCUUUUGACGACGAAGAGAGAUCCUUCAACAUCCUUACGACUCCAUUGGCUGAGGUCGAUGUUGAACUCGUAGAAGGUGACAUGAGCGGCCGUGAUGAGGAUCUCCUCAAUGAAUGGAUCGAUUCGCUGAAGAACUGUCAGGUUUAGGAGUUUUGUGCUCUGCUGGUCCAGAUUAGGCAUCAAUUUUCCGUUCUGCGACAUUUUUCAUAGUCCUUUGGGCUCUGCCCCGAGCACAAGCCCCAUGGUUUUUCUGUGAGCUCUCUCUUUUGUAAAUAAAGUGUUUGAUGAGAUAGCCGAGAGAGAGUGAAAGAGUUGAACAGCCAAACAAGGUGAGGUGAACAGUUUCGGACUGAGACUCGAGAUUGGUCUUGCUUUAACUCUUUUAAACAUUUGGAAAUAGCAUUUAUUUCUUUCAAUUUCUCUACUGUUUUUUUCCUUUAUGUCAUUUAGACCCCAAAAUAGAUUUAUUANNNNNNNNNNNNNNNNNNNNNNNNNNNNNNNNNNNNNNNNNNNNNNNNNNNNNNNNNNNNNNNNNNNNNNNNNNNNNNNNNNNNNNNNNNNNNNNNNNNNNNNNNNNNNNNNNNNNNNNNNNNNNNNNNNNNNNNNNNNNNNNNNNNNNNNNNNNNNNNNNNNNNNNNNNNNNAUUUUAACAGCCUUUUAUACUAAACCCUAAAAAUACAUGAAUUUAUCAAAAUAAGUAAAUUAAUUUAAAUUGGUAUGGCAUAAUAGAAGUUUUACCUGCCGAAACAAAUUAAAAAAAUAUUACACUUAAAUCAAAUAUUGACAAAAAUAGAUAACAAUCUAAUGAGAAUCUUAACUAGACAUUUUUACUUCUAUCCAAUUUAACUGGAACGAGAAUUAAGUCCUUUCAAUAGUUAAGACUCAUAACUCAUACAUGCUAGUUUGAGAGUGUGGGGUGUGACAAUGGGUCAAAAGACCAUUGACAAGUACAAAAGAGUGAUUGCAAUUAAUUCAAACCGCUACACACGCUAUAUUGAGGGCCCAUUUUUGUUUAUUUCGUUGAAAAGUAGUUUUCACAAUUAAUUCAAACCGCUACACACGCUAUUGCGUCUUUUAAAAAAAGAAAAAUGGAGUAGUUUUCCAAAAUUUAAUUCAGAGAAGAAGAUUUACUAAUAAUGAUUAGAAAUCUUAAUAUUUGAAUCUUAAUAUUAUGUAUCACUCAUUUAUUAAAUAAUAGAUUUCAUAGUUUGUAAAUUUACUUAACCACUUGAUAAAUGUUAUAUUUGUUGGGACUAAAUUGGGACUUAAUGUUGGAAUAUCUAGUAUUGCAUAAAAAAAAAAUAAAAACUUAACAAUUUAUCUUCGCAUGACUAAUUGUUUUUACAUCACAACUAACCUUAGUUAUUUUUUAAAGUUAUAGUAUUAUUAAAUUGCCCUAACUGGUUAUCAAAAGAUGAAAGCAUGUUAAAAUAAGAAAUUACUAAGAAACAUGUGCUUAAACAGAGGUUAAGGCUACGAAAAUUAAGAAGAAACAACUUACAAUCAAAGGUUAAGAUUAUGAACAAAUUAAGGAAGGUAUUGAGCAGAUAAAGGGACGGAAUCAUUGUCUGAAUUGCCGGUGACAAGAAUGCUUGUGUUGUGAAAAGAAAUUUGAUGGUUUGUAAAUGGGUUGAAUUUUUUAUUCGCUCGCUCCAACUGACUUACUAAUGCCAAAAUUUAUUACUUUGCACAGUAGUGUUUAGGAUCCUCAAGAUCAACUCUUAAUUUGGUCCCAAUUAGUGCAGAAAUCAUCUAUUGAGCAAUAGAAUAAGAAUUUUUUCUAGUCAUGAAAUUCAAUAUAUAAUAUAUCCUUGACACACAUCGAUUAUAACUUAACUGUUAGAAUUCAUAACAUUACUCUCUCUCAAGGGGAGUUCUCUUAACAUAUUAUGUUAGGUUGCCUACAUUCAAAAUAUGUUAGACUGCUCUUUGAAAGCAAUAUUCCCUUUUCCGUAACUUUGAAUUGAUCCAAUAGCUCUUGAAAAGCACAUAAUAAUCAUUAUAAAUUUAAUCAAAGACUAAGCAGGUCUUCUUUGCAUUUGAUCACUGGCAUUUCAGUUAAGUAUGUCAUUUACUUAAAUUUUUCUUGCUUUCAAUUUUCACUGUUGUUUUUUUUUAAUAAAAUAAUUUGUUUAACUAGUCACAGAAAUAAGAGAGAAAAUGGGCCAUUUCUUGACUCAAAGUCAAUUAUAAUUAUCAAAACUUGAGCGGACAUUGCAUGCCUAAAUUCCACACACCCUAAAACGGUUUGAUUGCUUUCACGCGUUCAUGAUUUUCCAUGAAAGAGAGUGCCUCUCGUCUCUUUCCGGACAGUGACGACAAUUAUGUUAACGUGACAAAUACAUAACGUUAUUACAUACAAGAAUAAGUUUUUGGAGCCGAGACUUGAGGGAGGUUCUAUCUAAUUCUAAAGAUUGUAAACCAAAUCAUUAUCCCCAAUUUUUUCAGUUAAAUAAAAUAAAAUUUAUGCUUAAGUAUAAAUAAACAUCCAUAGUGGAUAAAUAUUUGAUUAUCGAUUUUUUUAAUGUAAAAUUGCUGGGUUUGUUGCUUUAAAAUUUUCAAUAAUAAUUUCACUUAUUUAGUAAUUAGAGAGAGAGAGAGGAUUGAGGGCCAAUGUUUCGCGAUUUGGGGGUCAAUUCAAAGUUCAACUAAGGUGUAAAACAUGAUUUCCCUUUCAUGAACUUCGAAGAAAGAAAGAAGACUCUUCACCUUCUUCAUGACAACGAAUGAUGUUGAUAUGACAAAUACAAUCGCUAUUACAGGGAACAGCAUAAGACCGAAAUUUGAUAAAGGGUUUGUUAAAUUAACAUGUUAUUUUUCUUGUUAACUAUGAAUUGGAAGAAAAAAUAAAAAUAAAAUAAAAUUGUAAUCAGUGUGAUGUGUGGAAUAUAUUGAAAUAAAUAAAAUAGAGAAGAGAAAUUCGUUGAUCAAUAUUCAAGAACUCAUCCAAAGUGACUGUUAAAGUCUAGAGGUUCCGUAUGAUUAGCAUUUAUUUUUUUAAUUUUUUGCUUAACAUCAUAUGUAGUCACUGGUCGUGUGAUCUAGGACAGGUUUAGAAAUCUUUUUUUUUUUAACUUCCGUAUUCUUAUUAUUUAAUUAGUUAUAGGUUUUUUAGUAUUUGAGUAGUGAUCACAGGUCUCCUAAUCUAAAAAUAAUGUUUUACGAGUACAAAUAAAAACUAGGAUUUUAACAGCCUUUAUACUGAACCCUAAAAAAUACAUGAAUUUAUCAAAAAUAAAUAAAUUUGAAUUGGUAUGCCAUAAUAAAAAUUUUACUUGCCAAAACAAAUUAAAAAAAAUAUGACGCUUAAAUCAAAUAUCGACAAAAAUAGAUAAAAAUCCAACAAGAAUCUAAAAAUAAGAAAGAUAUCUUCAAAAUAGAAGCGUCCAAGAGAAAUUUGGCGAAGAUUUGCUAAUCCACAUUGAAAAUGUCACUUUUCCUUGAGAACUUCAUAAUGAUAUAUUAUGAGCCUAAGACAAAUACCAAUUACUCAAGUAUGGCCCUAUGAAGACAUCCUAUUCAUUCUCCCUAGACCAGGACGUGUCGCACAUGUUUGCAUUCAAAUUUAGGUGAAAAUCUACUCUCAUCAAGGGAUAUAUAGGUACCUGUGAAGUCUCAAACCCGAGAUAAUGUGAAAGCAAAUCGGGAGUUUGAUUAAAAUUCAGCCAAUAUUAGUGUGUACGGAUGGUAGGGAUGGAAAAAAACUCGACCGUCUUAGGUAUGGUAUUACCCAGAUCUGGCCUAAGCAUGUUUUUUUUGAAACACUCAGAAUUUUUUAAUCAAAACUUAAAAAACCUAGAAUUUAUAUUUUAUAAUAUUAUAUAUAUUUAUUUUAUUUUAUAAUUUUAAUAUUUUCAAAUUUUAUUUUAAUGAAUUGGAAUUAAAAAUAUGAGUUUUAAAUGUUUAAAAUUUUAAAAAUAGAUAAUAAGUGGACCAAAUGAACAAAAUAAUAGAUAUUUUAUAAUAUUCUUCAUAAAAAUCAAGUUUUGAGCUAGCCCAUAAGCUUGUCUAGUGAAGUCUGGGUACCCGCGUUGCCCAAGGUUCCGUCAGAAUCCAGGCUGUGCAGAUAUUUAUGGACGAGAGGAAAUAUUUUCAAGUUGACUGAAUUAAAUAAAAAUAUAUUACAAUCAUAUUAUAUAUUAACAGUAAAAAUAAAAAGAAAUGAAAGAAAAACGCAUGCAAGACUUAGACAAAGUCAAUUAAAAGCUGGGAGUAUCAUCAGUUCAAUUGGUUUUAAAUAGCGUAGAGCCAUCCUCUCGUUGUGUUGCAGAAGAGAGACAGAAGAGUGUGUGUAGGCGAUUAUAAUUAAGCAGAUAUAAAUUGUGGGUUCAAAAAGAGUGUGGGUGAGUGAGUUAAUUUUCAUAUUAUUAGUAGUAAAAGGGUGGUGGAGUGAGGGAUGUUUGGAGCAAGAGAGGUCUGCUCUCCUCCAACUCAGACAUUUCUUCAAUGAUGAUCACCGUCUUCAAAACUGGGUAGACGAUGAGUAUUAUUCAGAUUGUUGUCAGUGGGAACGGGUUGAGUGCAACGACACCACUGGCAGAGUGAUUGAAUUAGAUCUAGCAGUAACUCGGAAUUGGGAAUCAGCAGAGUGGUAUAUGAAUGCUCUCUGUUUAUCCUUUUGAACAAUUAGAGUCUCUUGAUCUAAUAGGGAACAAUAUAGCCGGUUGUGUUGAAAAUGAAGGUCCGUAAUUUACUCUAUUUUAAUUCUUCCUCAUAAUUUUUUUCCAUUUAUCUGAUCCCUUUUGGUUUUUAUUUAAUUUGUAGUGAUACAAUAAAAUUACUUUUUAUUUUUUGGCAGGUCUAGAUAGGUUAUCAAGGUUGAACAACUUGAAGUUUCUUUAUUUAGACCUUAACCACUUCAACAACAGCAUCUUUUCAUCUCUAGGUGGUCUUUCAUCACUCAGAAAACUUAUCAUUGGCUGCUAAUCGAUUGAAUGGAAGUGUUGAUAUUAAAGGUAAGUAAGCUUCAUCCUUCUCCCCUGUCCCAUCUUUUGUGGAUCUUAUUUCACUGAGCAGCUGGAAGUAUUGAUACGAGAUCUAGCUAGACUCUUGCGAGUUUAGGCUUCACGGCUUUGAAUAGUAAUAAAAUAAGUUGAAUAAAUUAUCAAUAUAUGCAAUUUUCAAUGCUUCUCAAUAAUCAGACACAAUUCAAUCUAAUUAUUUCGUAUGUCCUGUCUUCAAAAGUAAAGAAUUGUACACUAAUUGGAAAUCGACAUCGUAGCUUUUUAUUUUCUAUAAUGCUAUUUCUUCGUUAACAAGUUUAUAUCCUAAGAGGGAUUGGAUUGAAAAAAAAAAAAGAAGUUUUGAUGUUCAAUGUCAGCCAUGAUAACCUGCAUCUUAUUUGUCUGCCGACAUCCAAAUUUGUGCACUGAAUUUAGUAUUUUGGUUAUUGUGAAGGGAUCAGAUAUUGGCUUCCAUAGACCAAACUUGUAUUUACUUAAUUAAUUAAUUAACGACAUUUAGUAUUAACAAUUAAAAUUUCAUGUUUAAUUCUAUUUAAUUUUUUUAAGAAAAAAGAAAAUAGAUAUAGCAGCAGGUAAAGCUGAAAUAAAUUUUAAUUCCUUACAAAUUUAAAUUCAUGGUUGUCAGCUAAAUAUACCUGCUUAAAGCCACUCUUUCGCUGAGAUUUAACCAAAAAAAAAAGAGAAAAUAAUUUAUUUAAUUAAACUCUGUUUUAAGUGUUGGAAUAAAUACAGGACUGGAAUCCUUGAGUAACUUGGAGAUGCUGGACAUGAGGGACAAUGCAAUCGACAAUCUAGUGGUUCCUAAAGGUAUACAAAAUGACACUAACCCAAAAUAAUUUAAUCCGAAAUUGUAUCCCAAAUAGAUUACAGAGGUUUGAGGAAGUUGGAUACCCUUUAUUUGGGGGGGAAGGGAAAUUGCAGUGAUAUAUGGAAGCAAGGUGUUGCAAUCAAUAAAGAAAUUCGUUGGUCAAUAUUCAAGGACUCAUCCAAAGUAAUCGUUAAAGUCUAGAGGUCUGCUCUCCACCAACUCAAACAUUUCUUCAAUAUGAUCAACGUCUUCAAAACUAGGUAGACGCGGGAGAUGAUGAGAAAUAAUUUAGAUUGUUGUCAGUGGGAAGGGAUUGAGUGCAACAAAACCACAGGCAGAGUGAUUAAAUUAGAUCUAGCACAAACUCGAAAAUGGGAAUCAGCGAAGUGGUAUAUGAAUGCCUCUCUGUUUACUCCCUUUCAACAAUUAGAGUCUCUUGAUCUAAUUGGGAACAAUAUAGCUGAUUGUGUUAAAAACGACGGUCAUUAAUUUACUCUAUUUUAAUUCUUCCUCCUCGUAAUUUCUUACAUCUAUCUGAUCCCUUUCGGCUUUUGUUUAAUUUGUACGUGAUACAAUAAAAUUAUUUUUUUUCAGGUCUGGAGAGGUUAUCAAGGUUGAACAACUUGAAGUUUCUUGAUUUAGGCUUUAACCACUUCAACAACAGCAUCUUUUCAUCUCUAGGUGGUCUUUCAUCACUCAGACACUUAUCAUUGGCUGAUAAUAGAUUGAAUGGAAGUAUUGAUGUUAAAGAUAAGCAAGCUUCAUCCUUCUCUCGUGUCCCAUCUUUGUGGAUCUUAUUUCAUCGACCAGCUGGAAGUAUUGAUACGAGAUCUAGCUAGACUCUUGCUAGUUUAAGCUUCAAGGCUUUGAAUAUUAUAAAAAUAAGUUUAAGGAAUUAUCAAUAUAUGCAAUUUUCUAUGCUUCUCAUAAUCAGACACAAUUCAAUCUAAUUAUUUCGUAUGUCAUGUCUUCAAAAGUAAAGAAUUGUACACUAAACGGAAAUCGACAUUGUAGCUUUUUAAUUUUUCUAAUGCUCUUUCUUUGUUAACGAGUUUAUAUCCUGAGAGUGGAUUGGAUUAAAAAAAAAAAAAAAAGUUUUGAUGUUCAAGGUAAGCCAUAAUAACAUGCAUCUUAUUUAUCUGCCUAUAUCUAAAUUUGUGCACUGAAUUUAGUAUUUUGGUUAGUGUAAAGGGAUCAGAUAUUGGCUUCCAUAAACCAACUUGUAUUUACUUAAUUAAUUAAUUAACAACCAUUUAGUAUUUAACAAAUUAAAAUUUCGUGUUUAAUUUGUCUUAUUUUUUAUUUUUUGAAGCAAGAAUAAGGUAUAGCAGUAGGUAAAGUUGAAAUACAUAUUUAUUCCUUACAAAUUUAAAUUCGUUUUCAGCCAAAUAUACCUACUUAAAACCACUCAAUCAGGCCAUUGGCAACAGUUUUUUUAGGUUUUUCUAGUUAACCGUGUACUUUUUUGCUUAUUAAUAAAAUUCUUUUGUGCUGAGAUUUAAAAUAAAGAAGGAGAAAAUAAGUUAUUUAAUUAACCCUGUUUUUAAGUGUUGGCAUAAAUACAGGACUGGAUUCCUUGAGUAACUUGGAGGAGCUGGACAUGACAGGCAAUGCAAUCGAUAAUCUUGUGGUUCCUAAAGGUAUACAAAAUGUUCAAAUAUUAAUAAUUUGGAGGACAGUUUAAUUGAUUUGAUUAGGGAAUGCCCAAUGACACUUACCCAAAAUAAUUUAAUCUGAAAUUGUAUCCAAAAACAGAUUUCAGAGGUUUGAGGAAGUUGAAUACCCUUCGUAUAGGGGGAACCAGAAUUCAAAUGAUAGAUGGAAGCAAGGUGUUGCAAUCAAUAGGAUCACUACCGUCCCUCAAAACACUUGACCUUUGGUAUACUAAUUUUACGGGAACAGUAGUUAAUCAAGGUAAGUAAAUCUUUUAUGUCGAAAAUAAUUGAAUUAAUAUAUAUAGCUAAAAUUUAUUGUUUCUACUUCUUUCUAAAUAGAAUUGCACAAUUUCACCAACUUGGAAGAAUUGAUAUUGCUCGAGUCUGAUCUCCAUGUAAGCCAGCUUCUACAAAGCAUCGCAUCAUUCACUUCGUUAAAGUAUUUGUCAAUGGGAGGUUGUACUUAAUGAAGCAAUUAUGGGUAUCCAAAAGAUUUUUUCUUAAUUCGAUAAUAAAUUAUGGGUAUCUGAAGCUUUUAUGAUAUUAAUUCGAUAAUAAUUCUUUCUUUUCAAGUUAAUUUUUUCCCCUAAAAUAAGAUUUUUUUUCUUUUAAAUUUCAUAUAUUUUCAUUGUCCAAUAGUUCUAGCUUCUCUUAAUUGCAGGAUUCUUGAUUAAGGUUAAUGAAAUUUUAGUUCUGUUAUGUUAAGAAUAUUUCGAUCGCUUAGAAGAGUAAAGAAAAAUAAGUAAAUUAACCAAAAAAAAAAGAGAAAAGGACCGGAUUAUCCUUAUUCCCUUGCAUUAUGUGAUCAAUAUCAAAAUUAUAACCAUUUCUUGUUUUAUUGCUUGUAGAUUUUCUUAAAUUCAAGAAUUUGGAACAUCUGGACAUGGGUGGGGCGCAAGUUGACGUCAACACCAGUUUUCUUCAAAUUGUCGGCGAAUCGAUGCCUUCUCUUAAGUUUUUAUCACUGACAGGUUCAAGUCUUAAUAAAAACGCCAUUCUUGAUCAAGGUUAGUUAAUGAUUCUCUUUCUCCCUCUCUCGCAUCUUAACUAAAUUUAAUUGAGAAUAUCUAUAAUGCUAGCUAUUUAUAAACUUAAUGAAAGAUGAUAAGGAGCUACUAUAAUGACAAAAACAACUGUAAAAUAGUGCGCUGUUGUAGUGUUAAUUGAAAAAUAAUGCUAAUUUUAUAGUCAUUUUGUUGCCAUUACGUCAGAUUCCAUUGUUCAAUUAUUUAAGUUUUAUGCAAAUAUAUUUUUCAGGACUUUGUCGGUUAGUGCAUCUACAAGAGUUAUACAUCGGCGGUAAUGAUUUGAGAGGUAGCUUGCCAUGGUGCUUGGCAAACAUGACAUCCCUCCAAGUGUUAGAUGCCUCUUUUAAUCAACUUACUGGAAACAUCUCCCCAGGCCUUUGUGAGUUGGUGCUUCUGAGAGAGUUAUACAUUGAUUACAAUUAUUUAAGAGGUAGCUUGCCUUUGUGCUUGGCAAAUUUGACUUCCCUUCGAGUAUUAGAUGUCUCUUACAAUCAACUUACUGAAAACAUCUCAUCUUCCCUCAUGCAUCUAAUAUCUAUGGAAAAGCUCAUACUUUCAAAUAAUCACUUCUUCCAAAUCCCUAUUUCACUUGAACCACUUUUCAAUCUCACAAAACUCAAGACUUUCGAUGGUGAAAUAUACGCAGAAACUGAGUCACAUUAUAAUUCUUUGACCCCAAAAAUUCCAAUUGACUUCUAUCUCAUUGUCUGGCUACGGAGAUGGUGGCACAUUUCCCAAAUUCUUGUACCAUCAGCAUGACUUGAAGAAUGCUGAUCUCUCACACCUUAACUUGAGUGGAAAUUUUCCAAAUUGGUUGGUAGAAAACAAUACGAACUUAGAGACGCUUCUUCUUGCCAAUAACUCUCUUUUUGGAUCAUUUCGGAUGCCAAUUCAUUCCCACCAGAAAUUAGCAACAUUGGAUGUCUCCAACAAUUUCUUUCAAGGCCAUAUCCCAGUAGAAAUCGGAACAUAUCUGCCAGGCUUAAUGCAUUUAAACUUAUCUAGAAAUGCUUUCAACGGUAGCAUUCCCUCUUCAUUUGCUGAUACGAAAAUGUUGAAAAGCUUGGACAUAUCCUACAAUCAGUUGACUGGUGAAAUCCCUGAGCGCAUGGCCAUGGGUUGCUUCUCAUUGGAAAUUCUUGCAUUGUCAAACAACAGUUUGCAAGGUCAUAUAUUCUCUAAAAAAUUUAACUUGACAAAUUUGAUGAUGUUGCAGUUGGAUGGUAAUAAAUUCAUUGGAGAGAUCCCAGAAAGCUUAUCUAAGUGCUAUUUGUUGGGAGGAUUGUAUCUGAGUGAUAAUCAUCUCUCUGGUGAGAUUCCAAGAUGGUUGGGUAAUUUGUCAGGUUUAGAAGAUAUUAUAAUGCCCAAUAACAAUCUUGAAGGACCAAUUCCAAUCGAGUUUUGUCAGCUUGAUUAUCUGAAGAUUUUAGACCUUUCAAACAAUAGUAUUUUUGGAACUUUACCAUCUUGUUUUAGUCCAGCAUCUAUCGAACAAGUUCAUUUGUCGAAAAACAAGAUAGAAGGACGGCUGGAGAGUAUAAUCCAUGACAGCCCUCAUUUGGUGACAUUCGAUCUUAGUUAUAACAGCUUACACGGAAGUAUUCCAAAUCGGAUUGACAGACUACCUCAGUUAAACUACCUUCUUUUAGCUCAUAAUUAUAUUAAAGGCGAAAUACCAGUUCAAUUAUGCCAGUUGAAGGAAGUGCGGUUGAUUGAUCUUUCUCAUAAUAAUCUAUCUGGUCAUAUUCCUCCUUGCUUGGUUAACACUUCACUCAGUGAAGGUCAUCAUGAGGCAGUAGCUCCAACUUCUAGUUCGUGUGGUCGAGCGUCUGGCUAUGCAAGUCCAUGUGCGAAAAAUACAAGUGGACUUCCGAUGGGAAAGGAAGAAACUGUACAGUUCACAACAAAGAAUAUGUCCUACUAUUAUCAAGGAAGAAUUUUGACGAGUAUGUCUGGGAUUGAUCUUUCUUGUAACAAACUGACAGGUGAGAUUCCUACUCAAAUUGGAUAUCUUACAAGGAUUCGUGCGCUAAAUCUAUCUCAUAACAAUUUGACGGGCACAAUCCCGACAACAUUUUCAAACCUGAAGCAAAUCGAAAGCUUGGACCUCUCCUACAACCUACUGCAUGGGAAAAUCCCUUCUCAGCUCACUGUGCUAAAUACAUUGGCGGUCUUCACAGUAGCAUACAAUAACUUAUCAGGAAAAAUUCCAGAUAGAGUUGCACAAUUUUCAACUUUUGAGGAAGAUAGCUAUGAGGGGAAUCCUUUUCUUUGUGGAUGGCCACUGUCUAAAAGUUGCAAUGAUAGUGGAUUAUCAGCAGUGACACGAGAAGCUUACACUGAUAAUGAAGAAGGUGAUAGUUUAAUUGACAUGGACAGUUUCCUAAUCACUUUUACAGUAUCUUAUGGAAUUGUGAUAUUAGGAAUUAUUGGAGUUUUGUACAUAAACCCCUAUUGGCGACGAAGAUGGUUUUACCUUGUUGAAGUAUGUAUGAUCUCUUGCUACUAUUUUGUAGUAGAUAAUCUUAUUCCUAGAAGAUUCUAUGGUGGAUGGAUGUAAUUUCAUUUACUUUACAACUUAUAUGUAAUUUUUAAAGAAUUUUCUUUUGCAUGCAUGGAAUAGCAACUCAAUAAAAGUAUUUGAUGCAAAUUGUCCUAGAACAACUUAGUAAUUUCAUUGCUACUAUUUGGUUGUAUAUAUACAGUUAAUGAAAUUUUUAAUCAUUCGCAGUAGGAAUUUCUUUAGAUGGCGGCCAAAACUAACAGAUUUGGGGCUCUACUUCUACACAUCAUAACAGGCAAAAGGUCUCUCUUUUACACGAUCUGAAUGAAGAUUAACUUACGCCCUCUAGGCUCUGGAGUGUGUGUAAGUUCUCUAUUAAACUUGACGGUUGAGAUUUCAGGUCCAGAUGAAAGUGAAAUGCAGGCGACGAGACUACACUUUAAGUAAACUGGGACAAACUUAAAAUAAAAAAAAUUGUAGUCCAGGGUGAGAGUGAUGGGUAGCUCAACUUAUGGAGGAUAACUAGGACUUGGAAUAACUAUCAGAUUUGCAACUCUUGUUAUAUGCUAGUGGGGAUUUAGGUAGCAAUUUUUUUUUUUUUCCUUUUUGCCCUCUUCCUCACAAUAAAAACACGUAACACACCAAGCCGUGCCCAAAAUAAUCCUAUUUUAUUCAUGUCAUGAAUCCAAAAACUAUCCCAGCUCACUUUGUUUAACCAGCAUAACUAAAUUGUGGGUAUAAAUGAACACACUUUCGAAGCCUGUAACUUAUAAUAAGCUCAAACCCAAAAAUGACAUUUAAAUCCUGCAAGUGUUUUUCAUCAUCCCUAACAAAAAGAAACAAGAAUAAUUAUAUACCAAUAAUUUUUCCAUAAAAAAUACUGAUUUGAGUUGAAACACUAUACAAACUGGGUUUUAUACACUUCCAGAAAGCUACACGGUAGACAAAAUCUAGCAGCUACAUAUUGGUAUCACUUUCAGCUGGUCAUGAAUGGUGUGCAUUCAGCAGUGCUCGAUAGACCAUGUCUAUGAAUUGAUUGUCCUAUUACAUAUAAAAGCUGGUCAGAUAUACAAGGAAAAAAAUAAUAAUUGAAAAUGCAUCACAAAAAAUAAGUGUUUCGCAUUAGUGUUUGCACUCUAAGCAUGGCAAAGUGGUGCGGGGUUCAUGAUUUUGAAGACUGUGAUAAGUGAAAAAUAGUUCAAUCCACUGAUGAACAUAAAUUUAUUUACAUGUCAAUUUAGAUAUCAUCAAAAAGUAAACAGUAAUUCAGAGUCACUUAAAAUAGUUGAUAAAAUGCGUGCCAUGAAUGUAUUUUUGUACAUAAGAAAUCCAAAGAGUAUUUCUGACAAUACAAAUAUGCUAGCUUUAAGUCUGCUGUCAAUAUGCAAUUAAGAAGAUUAUACCAGCUGCAUGAUAAAGUUCCCCUAAUCUUAAUAACAGUAAACAUGAACAUGUCAGAUGCAAUUAUAGCUUUGAGCAUUUGCAUAACCAGAAAUCCUAACCUGAACAAGCACCAGAAGUGUCUCUCGGACUUUCUCCUUGCUGAUAAAUGGUCCGCUGUCUGAAGUAAGAGCAGGAGUAAGAGAUGGUGGAGGGGUUGGUGGUGGAAAAGGUUGAAGCACUGGGGCACCAUAUGGGCGUUGCAGACUCGGGGGAGGAUUAAGUGGCGGAGCUGUUGGUGUAGAUGAAGAGACAAGCUGCAUCAUCCGUGCAUAGGAGGAUGGAGGAGGAACAAAGAAUAAGGAAGGCUUUACAAGAUUAGGGGUAGGUGCUGAUAGAGGUGGAGAUGGUAUUUGCAAAGUUGGCACGAUAGGAGAAGCAACACUGGCGGGAUGAGAAGGUAAAGAAAUAGUUGUAUUGGACUGGUAAGGUUGUGCAGAGAUUGCUGCAUUAGAAUUAUUCCCCACAGUCAAAGCUGUCUGCAAUGAUAAGGACAGAUGUCAUAUAAAAGGACAUCAUAGAAGUUGAACCUCACACAAAAAUGAAGUGAUAACAUAUGAAAAUAGUAUAUGACUUGCUGCAUUUUUGUGGUAAUGUUGCAUACUUAUGUAGAAACAUAUUAUUUCAAAGAAAACAUACACUGAAGAAGUUCACAAAAGCAGGAUCUUCAGGAACAUCAACAGCAUUUGAGGGAGUUGACUCUAGAGGACCAUCCAUAACUGCCAUAGUUGGAACAGCUUCCAGUUCCUCAAACUCACUGCAGUUUAACAUAAAAGGAACUUGAUGACCAAUUUAAGUAAUAAUUAGAUGAUAUAAGAGGUUAGGGAAAAUGAUGAGUGGACCCUUAUGGAAGAUGAUUUCACCUUAGCUAAACACGAAAAUAAAAUGAAAUCAAAGCUGAAUCCUCGAGUGCAAUGCAAAUAAUUUUUUCUCUCUCUUCUCUAACUCCUCUUAUUCGAAAUUGCUCAUCAUUGUGCAGUUCCUCGAGAUUUUGCUAGAGUAGAGAAAGCUAUUCUCCCGUUAAGUGCAGAGGAAAAAGAAGGGCAAGGGCCUGGUAUGAUGCUAUUCUAUAGGAAGUGAGAAGGUGAAGGGCUAAAAUAUUUUGCAAUUUGGAGGUGGUGUUUGUUAGUGUGUGUACUUCUGAAUUUAUUACCUCUUUAGGAUCCAUAGAAAUUGCCUCUUGUUCAGCAUGCACUGUGCCUACGAGUAAGGCGAGCUUGCAUGGUAUCUAUUGUCUAUUUACUUGGAUAUUCAAACAGGACUACCAGCAACCAAACACAAAUCCCCAAACAAAACACUCUUUCAAGUGCAAGGAAAGAGUAACUUGGGCAUAUUUAUGGUUCAAGCACUACAAUAACUAAGAAUGUGAUGACUGUCCACAAACACUAUAUCAGUGCCUUUUGAACUACAUCACAUGCUUGAAGACUUUUUUUUUAGUCAUACAUAAAUUAGCUAUAAAAUCAAGACCCUUAUACAACUAAAAAGAAAGAAAAAUUGUUUGCUACUACAUAUCAAAACUGGUAAUAGCAAUGUAAGAUGGCAGACUUCUUACUUAAACAGAUGAGAGGCUACAAAUAAAAAAUUUGUGCAAAUAAAAUAUAUGAUAAAGAGCAUAAUACUUUCUUGGGGGCUAAAAAUAAUAUACAACUUGUGAAAUAUAAAUUGAGCUACCAUUACCUUUUAGAUGUGGCAACUUUCGACUUUUGAGGCACCUUGGAAUAUGCAUUCAGAAUCCUGCAUUUGGAAGCCAAAUAAAUAAUGUUAAUAACAAUUUUACAAUAGAAAAAUUAAAAAUUGAUAAAUGGCAGUUGUAAUUUAUGUAUGGUAAAGAUAGCAUCACAUCCAGGUUCCUCCCAUAAACAUGCUUGUAACAAGAAUUAGUUUGCCUCAACUGCUAGCAACUAUACAAUAGUAAAAAUCACUCUUAUGAACUCAACAAUACUAGGCACCAAUAAGAGUAUGACACAGCCAUUCUAAAUGGAAGAGAAUACAACUGUUUUACAACUAUGUUGCAUCAGGAGAUAUGUUAGGAGGAUUAAUCCAGAUACCUUCCAACCCAAAUUAGGAAAACUCGAGUCAGAAACCAGGAGCUGCAACCAAACCUUACAAUCUUGAAGGAAGAAGGAGACUUGGGGCAUUUUUCCAGAUAGGUGACUUACAAGAUCUCCUGCCAAGAAAAUAUCUAUUGCUUUGAACCUCCAUUGAAAUUUCUUUUCCCUUUUUCUUGUUUUGACUUGGAACUUUCCAGCAUCAUCUAUUUGAUCUUUUUUAAAGCUAAAAUAGCAAUCUAUGCGUUGUCAACAUCUUAUCCCCCGCCCCCCCGGGGGGGCCACCAAAAAAAAAAAAAAAACCAAUGAGUUGUCAAUAAAUAGCGCCUACUCAACUUAUGUUCUCCAAUGAUGACAAUGUGCAAAUUGACCUAGCAGCCACAUUUUUCCCCCCUUUCAACCACCAUUAGGCAACUUUUCUAACCUUUCUUCAUUGCCCACGUCUACAGAACUAUCAUAUAAAGACUACAUUAUUAUUGGGACAGAGAAAAAAAUACAGACUAUAUUAUUAUUAUAUCUCAUUUUAUUAAUUAACUAGUGCAAGACUUAUUUAGUGUCAAAUCAAGAACUAAUUAGAAAAGACAACUCAUGAUAAUACAGACUUUAAAAAGCAAUAGCUAGCAACACCCCAUAUACUCCUAUUUUAGCCUUCAAUAUCCUGGUAAAAACACAAUUAAGUCUAGCAAAAGAACAUUCACAAGUAAAUUCAACAUUAAUUAAGAUUAAGUAUCUACUGCACCUUCAAUCAAUGACUCGGUGAAUAGCAUGGUCAACCAUCUAGUUCCUGUAGCCCUCCUUGUACCUAUGUUAGUUACAUUUUACAUAUUAAGCCACGAAAAUGAAGGAUCACAGCCUGGUAAAGAAAGCCAUUAAUUAAUAGUUUUUGUUUAAAAAGUUCUCGUUUAGAUCUUUCCUAUUCAAUGAAUCAAUGUAAUCCAAGGAGAACUCUUCCAUUUCAAGCAGUGUUAGAAGAUAAUUGGAAAGCCUAAAGAUAAUAUACAAGGACCAAGAUAUCGAUUAGGUCAAAUAGUGAAUGUCAAAUAUAAAAAAUAAAUAAAAGAAGUUGUACAUGAUCAUUUACUAUCAAGUUCUGUAAAACUGAAAAUACCAUUAUCCCUGUAGAGAUUCUCAAACAACUCUUUAGCAAAUUAUAAAAUAGUUAAAAAAAGAUCGAAAGUUUAAAAAAAAAAAAAUGUACAACAGCCAUAUCAGGAGAAGUUUUUCUUCUCAAUCUCAAUAUUUUCUAGCCGUAAAACAAUUGAAAAGCUUAACACCAAGUGAAUUAUUAAGAAUUCAUCAUUUAAAUUCCCAAAUCGUAAAAUGUUGGUGCAACUACGAAAGUGCAAAUGCAAUCACUUUACUUACACAAGAAACAUCAAUAGUGAGAAGCCAACUUUGUAUCAAAUUUGAAGCAGAUAGAUAGAGGUCAAAAAAAUUAUAAAGACACUCAAUUAAAAGCCUUUCAAACAGCUUUUGCAUGCAACAAGAACAAAUCAAAGGCGAUGUGAAUGUAUUCAAAGACUAAUUUACAAUCAUCUACAGGACAUAAAUAUCUUGGAUAACUACUCUCUAUACCUUACUGUCCCACUGAAAAUCAUCAAAUCCCUCCAAACAAAAAUGACAAAAUGGAUAAGAAUUGUGUGGUCAAACAUCAAUAACUUAGCAGCCACAGCAAAAACUUAUGUAGACACGCAAGCCACUCAAAAUAGUCAUAUUGUUUGCUUUCCAAACACAAGCCACUUUGUAAUGAAUAUUCAUAAAUUGCUACUACCAUGUUUGUUAAAACACGUGAAAACCGCCAUCACUAACUAAAUGUAACUGAUGAUCAUCAUCACGUUCAUGGAAUCACAUGUCUGACAGUAUUAAUUAGUGCAAAUGGCAUGCUUCUUAAAACUCCUUAUUUAUCACACGGGCGCCAUUCCAAUCAACCAAUGAUUCUGAUCUAGUCGGCAUAUUCAACCCACGAGCGAGUAAUAGCUCCUAUUGCUUCUUUACAUUUCUCAACGAAAUUCCACAUUCUAACCAUACUUCUGAACUUGUUGCUCCCAUAGACUAAUACAAUAUAAAGAUUUCUUCCCACACCGCCUCAGCCCCCACUCCUAAAAAACCAAUUUAAAUUCUCAUUGACUGUACAACCUAUAGUCCAUACCAAAUUGAAAAAUUUACAAAUAUAGAACCUCAAAGAAUCUUCUUGCAUUCCAUUUUUUACGUCAAGAAAUUUGACUUUUACCACAUGCAAGUCAACAAAUAAAAAAAUCAUGUCUUUGUGAGAUGCACAUUUUCAGACGAAUCUGAAGAGCAAUGAAACCGUAAAAACCGAAUAUGAGAACACCGAGGACUCCAGAUAUCACCUAUAGAAUCUUCGGUCCACACUUGCAUGAUGAAAAUGAUGAAAAAAAAUUGAAGGCUUCGUCACCAACUCCCCAGGUUGUUUUGUUCUCCUAUCUCCUAAAUGUAAAGGAAAGGCAACCCGUUCUUUUUCCAAUCUUAAGGGGCACAGAACGACUCUGGUAUAAAAUAGUCAGUUUCUAUACAAAAAUAACUCCUUUGCACUUGGCACUGCACAUCUCAAAAUAAAAAGCAUGCAAGGAGGAGAAUAUAAUAGCAUUAAACAAGUUUUAUUAACCAAACUUCAAAGAUGCCACACAAGGCAAAAAAGAAAUCUGUACAAGCCAGAUCCCAAGAAUAAUAAUUCCAAUAUACAAUUCAGGAAAACAAUAACUAAAACCAGGUUCAUGAGGCCUCAGCAGAAGCAACAUGUAAUAGCCAUACUCUAUUAUUUGAAACACAUUUCCAAGUUUGGUUAAGAUUCUAAACUAUUCUCUAUGUGUCAAUUAUUAACAUGUAAAACAUAAUAAUAUACACUUAUACUACUACAGUAGUAAAACCAGUAAAACAACAAUACCUGCUGAAAAGAUUUGCUACCUCUUCACAUUCACGAGCAUUGUAGAAUCAAAUCCCAUUUACUUCUUGGGAUGCAUUCCGAUAUAACAAAUACGGAACCUGAACUUCAAACUCAAAAUCUCCCAAAAGAUUUUCCACUAAAUUAUCUGCACAUAUCCAAGAUAUUGAAGCUUAUCAGUGCAAAAACAUAUGCAAAAAGACAUGAAGGUUAGAAGACAUAACUAAAACUUAGCAACAACUGAUAAGCACAACAAGACAUGAAAUAUAACACUAGUUGUAAAUACUCUAAAACUUACCAACCCCCUCUCCUGAUUGUCAUAAAACGGCCAAUAUUUAACCCUAGACAACAAAAUUGCAAAUACUCUAGCCUCUAUAUUAUUGGCAUAUAAAUAUUUUCGGUUAGGUACAUUAUAUUCUUCGUUCUAAAACCUCAAUUAUUAGCUAGUACUGUGAUAAAAUGAUUCAUCACUGAAAUUAAAACUAGUUCACGUACAAAUAAUCAAAACUGAAAUAGAAGCAACGAUAAACCAACCUGUAUUACGUCGAUUCAUCACAACAAACUGAAAUCGAGGCUGUGUGUUCCUGAAAAUUGAAAAAAUAAUAAUUUCACCAACUUCAUAUGUAAUACAAUCUCCAAAACACCGAAUAUCAAAUGAAAAAAUGGAAAGCAUAAGAGAUAAAAGAAUCUAAUUUUAUUGACCUUUUGACGACGAAGAGAGAUCCUUCAACAUCCUUACGACUCCAUUGGCUGAGAUCGAUGUUGAACUCGUAGAAGGUGACAUGAGCGGCCGUGAUGAGGAUCUCCUCAAUGAAUGGAUCGAUUCGCUGAAGAACUGUCAGGCUUAGGAGUUUUGUGCUCUGCUGGUCCAGAUUAGGCAUCAAUUUUCCGUUCUGCGACAUUUUUCAUAGUCCUUUUGGGCUUCUGCCCCGAGCACAAGCCCCAUGGUUUUUCUGUGAGCUCUCUCUCUUUUGUAAAUAAAGUGUUUGAUGAGAUAGCCGAGAGAGAGUGAAGAGUUGAACAGCUAAACAAGGUGAGGUGAACAGUUUCGGACUGAGACUCGAGAUUGAUCUUGCUUUAACGUCUUUUAAACAUUUGGGAAAUAGCAUUUAUUUCUUUCAAUUUCUCUACUGUUUUUUUCCUUUAUGUCAUUUAGACCCCAAAAUUAGAUUUAUUAUAAUCAUAUUGUACCCAUACACUAUUAACCCCUUUUAUUUUUUAUAUUGUCAAUAUUAAUGUAUUAGAAUAAUGUUAGAAAUCUCAAUUAUUAUCUCAAUGUUUCAAUCAUAACUAAUGUGAUAAUUCAUCGGUAACUGCAACAUUAACUUAAUUAUUAAUGUUUAUCAUGAAAUGAUGAGAUUAUUAUUCAAGAAAGAAUUAGUAAACAUCAAUGACUAAAAUAAUGUGACAAUUAUAGCUGAAUAUUAGUACAAUAAUUAGAAUUCCUAAAGUUAGUGAAUGUAUUAUAAUAUAUGUGUGUUACACCACUUUAUGUCUCUCAAAUUCAAUUAAGUAAUUUCAGAAACCUGACCUUUUAUUAUAUUAAUUAGGAAUGCAUACAUGAACGAAAGAUGUGCAAAUUUUGUUCUAUUUUUCACUAUUAUUUACCUUUCAUCUACAUACGUCACUUGAUUUUUUGUGAUUAAUAUGCUUAAAUGGAUCUCUUUGAUAUAAAUAAAAUAAACAAAAAGUCUAAGAGAAAAAAAAAAUGAGGACCGAAAUUAUUACACCUACAACAAAUUUGCCCAGAGAGCAAUAAAUCAAACUUGCUUAGGAAGUACAAUGAUUAGUUAAUAACUAUCAUGUUAAAGCUUCUGUCAAGCAAACACCCAUUGAAUUUUUCGCUCGCUUCAAUGACUUACUUAUGCCCAAUAUAUUACUUUGCACAGUAGUAUUUGGGAUCCUAACAAUCAACUCUUAAUUUGGUCCCAAUAUAUUACUUUAUGAAUGCUUGUGUUGUUUUUUUUAUAUAAAAUAAUUUAUUUAAGUAAUCAUAGAAAUAAGGGAGAAAAGGGGGCAUUUGUUGACUCAAAGUCAAUUACAAAUAUUCCAUGCCUAACUUCCACGCACCCUAAAACGGUUUUAUUUGCUUUCACGCGUUCAUGAAUUUCCAUGAAAGAGAGUGCCUCUCGUCUCUUUCCGGACAGUGCCGACAAUUAUGUUAACGUGACAAAUACAUAACGUUAUUACAUACAAUAAUAAGUUUUUGGACCCGAGACUUGAGGGAGGUUCUAUCUAAUUCUAAAGAUUGUAACCAAAUCAUUAUCCCCAAUUUUUUUCAGUUAAAUAAAAUAAAAUUUAUGCUUACGUAUAAAUAAUACUUUGGACAUUCUUGAUAUUUGUCCUUUUAAGAUAAACACCAACCCAAUUAUCUAUUUGUUUGUCUGUUUUUUUUUUUCAAUAACAGUUUGUUAGCAUAAAUAUUUACCUGUGAAAUCGAGGAGGAGAAAAUGUUAGAAAAAAUAAAAAGAAAAAAAAUUAAGGGAGAUAGAAUCAGAUUUUCUUUUUUGAGCAAAGAACAUACAUAAAAAGAUAUUAAAUCUAUUAAGUCUACUUGUCUAUAACGGUAAAUUGCAUAACGAAUAAUUUAUCAGAACAAAAUAAAUUUUAUUAGAUUAUGAGUGUUCUGAUUAUUUUUUAGAGUACCAAUUGUCCCAUGGCACAACAAAAUGCCAGAAAAUAUAAUGUAAAAUUGCUGGUUUGUUGCUUAAAAUUUUCAAUAAUAAUUUCACCUUUUUAGUAAUUAGAGAGAGAUGGAGAGGAUUGACGGCCAAUGUUUAGCGAUUUGGGGUCAAUUCAAAGUCAACUAACGUGUAAAACACGUGUAAGCAUAGAAAACGCUUAGAUUAUUUGUGUUUCAAGUGCAAGAAAAGUAAGAAAAGAAAAAAUGAUUUCCUUUCAUGAACUUCCAAGAAAGAAAGAAGACCCUUCACCUUCUUCGCGACAACAAAUGAUGUUGAUAUGACAAAUACAAGCGCUAUUACAGGGAACAUCAUAAGACCGAGACUUGAUAAAGGGUUUGUUAAAUUACACGUUAUUUUCUUGUUGACUGAAUUGGAAGAAAAAAAUAAAAUAAAAUAAAAUUGUAAUCAGGGUGAUGUGUGGAAUAUAGUGAAAUAAAUAAAUAGAGAAGAGAAACUCGUUGAUCAAUUAAAAGCUGGGAGUAUCAUCAGUUCAAUUGGUUAUAAAUAGCGUAGAGCCAUCCUCUCGUUGUUGCAGAACUGAAGGAAAGAGAGACAGAAAGAGUGUGUGUAGGUGAUUAUAAUUAAGAAGAUAUAAUGUGUGGUUCAAAAAGAGUGUGGGUGAGUGAGUUAAUUUUCAUAUUAUUAGUAGUAAACGGGUGGUGGAGUGAGGGAUGUUUGGAGCAAGAGAGGUCUGCUCUCCUCCAACUCAGACAUUUCUUCAAUGAUGAUCAACGUCUUCAAAACUGGAUAGACGAUGAGUAUUAUUCAGAUUGUUGUCAGUGGGAACGGGUUGAGUGCAACAACACCACUGGCAGAGUGAUUAAAUUAGAUCUAAGAUAUACUCGGAAUCGGAAAUCAGCAGAGUGGUAUAUGAAUGCCUCUCUGUUUACUCCCUUUCAACAAUUAGAGUCUCUUGAUCUAAUUGGGAACAAUAUAGCCGAUUGUGUUGAUAAUGAAGGUCCUUAAUUUACUCUAUUUUAAUUCUUCCUCAUAAUUUUUUCCAUUUAUCUGAUCCCUUUUGGUUUUUAUUUAAUUUGUAUGUGAUACAAUAAAAUUAUUUUUUAUUUUUUAUUUUUUGGCAGGUCUAGAUAAGUUAUCAAGGUUGAACAACUUGAAGGUUCUUUAUUUAGACCUUAACCACUUCAACAACAGCAUCUUUUCAUCUCUAGGUGGUCUUUCAUCACUCAGAAACUUAUCAUUGGCUGCUAAUCGAUUGAAUGGAAGUGUUGAUAUUAAAGGUAAGUAAGCUUCAUCCCUUCUCCCCUGUCCCAUCUUUUGUGGAUCUUAUUUCACUGAGCAGCUGGAAGUAUUGAUACGAGAUCUAGCUAGACUCUUGCGAGUUUAGGCUUCACGGCUUUGAAUAGUAUAAAAAUAAGUUGAAGAAAUUAUCAAUAUAUGCAAUUUUCAAUGCUUCUCAUAAUCAGACACAAUUCAAUCUAAUUAUUUCGUAUGUCCUGUCUUCAAAAGUAAAGAAUUGAGCUCCGAUUGGAAAUCGACAUCGUAGCUUUUUAUUUUCUGUAAUGCUAUUUCUUCGUUAACAAGUUUAUAUCCUAAGAGGGAUUGGAUUCGAAAAAAGUUUUGACGUUCAAGGUAAGCCAUAAUAACCUGCAUCUUAUUUGUCUGCCUGUAUCUAAAUUUGUGCACUGAAUUUAGUAUUUUGGUUAUUGUUAAGGGAUCAGAUAUUGGCUUCCAUAGACCAACUUGUACUUAGUUAACUAAUUAAUUAACGACAUUUAGUAUUUAACAAAUUAAAAUUUUGUAUUUAAUCUAUUUUAAUUUUUUUAAGAAAAAAGAAAAAGAUAUAGCAACAGGUAAAGCUAAAAUAUACCUGCUUAAAGCCACUCAGUCGAGCCAUUUGAGAGCUGCUUUAAAUUUUUCGGAUUAGCCAUAUUCUUUUCUUAUUAAUAAAAUUCUUUUCGCUGAGAUUUAACAAAAAAAAAGGAGAAAAUAAUUUAUUUAAUUAACUAUGUUUUAAGUGUUGGAAUAAAUACAGGACUGAAAUCCUUGAGUAACUUGGAGGAGCUGGACAUGAGCUUCAAUGCAAUCGACAAUCUUGUGGUUCCUAAAGGUAUACAAAAUGUUCAAAUAUUAAUAAUUUGGAGGACAGUUUAAUUGAUUUGAUAAGGUGAAGAAACGUGUUUUCAUUUCUUAAAUAAAGCAUUAUACAUUGAGAGUUAUUUAUAGAUGCAGAGGCUACAUUUUUUCAAAGAUUACAUAUGUGAAUACGGAAGGAAAUGUGUCAAUCCGUUCGGCGCGGAUCUUGUCUUUGACAAGUGCAGAUUCUGUCUUUGAAAGCUUCAUUCAAUGUCGUUUUAUUUGAUUCUCAACACUCCCCCUCAAGUUGGUGCAUAGAUGUCUUGCAUACCCAACUUGUUUAGGAAUUUUGUAAAUGCCCUGCUUGAAAUGGCCUUCGUUAAAAUAUCUGCAAGUUGAUCUUCUGAUCGAAUUUUCGGCAGUUCUAAGAUUUUUUCAUCUAAUUUCUCCUUGAUGAAAAAUCUAUCUACCUCCACAUGUUUUGUUCGAUCGUGUUGAACUGGGUUAUGAGCAAUAUCUCGUGCAGCUUUGUUGUCACAGUGUAAUUGUAUUGGUUGUUGUGAUGGAUAGCCCAAAUCGUUUAAGAUAAAACUUAUCCAUUGCCCUUCACAUAUCCCAAGGGCCAUGCCUCGAUAUUCUGCUUCAGCGCUCGAACGGGCAACGACAUGUUGUUUCUUGCUUCUCCAUGUGACAAGGUUUCCUCCCACAAAGGUAAAGUAUCUUGAAGUAGAGCGUCUAUCACUAACUGACCCCGCCCAAUCUGCAUCAGUAUAAACUUCUAUGUUGCUGUAAUCUUCAUUUUUGGAAAAUAAGAUUCCUUUUCCUGGAUUUGUCUUCAGGUACCUCAAGAUCCGCAUUACUGCUUUCAUGUGUUGUUCUCUGGGAUUAUGCAUAAACUGGCUUACAACACUCAAUGCAUAAGCAAGAUCUGGCCUUGUGUGGGACAAGUACAUCAAUCUUCCAAUCAGCCUUUGAUAUCUUCCUUUGUCUACUGGAACUUGGUCUGAAGUAAUACAAAACUUCAAUCCUUCUUCUAUUGGGGUGUCAAUAGGCUGACAAGCUGUCAUUCCCGUUUCGUGCAAUAGAUCUAAGGCAUAUUUCCUUUGAGACAGAAAGAUUCCUCCCUUAGAUCGAGAAACCUCAAUUCCAAGAAAGUAUUUUAAGGCACCUAAAUCCUUUAUCUCAAACUCUCUUGACAAGUACUUCUGAAGAGCCUCUGUUUCUUCCUCGUCGUUGCCUGUAACUACCAUAUCAUCCACAUAGACAAUAAGGGCAGUGAUUUUACCUUGUCGUUUUUUUAAUGAAUAAGGUAUGAUCUGAAUUGCUUUGGUUAUACCCAAAACGAACCAUAGCCUUUGUGAAUUUCCCGAACAAUGCUCUUGGGGAUUGCUUCAACCCAUACAAUGAUUUCUUCAAUUUGCAUACUUUCUGACUGAGUCGUUCUAGUCCACUGCAUCCUGGUGGCAGAUCCAUAUAAAUUUCUUCAGACAGGUCUCCAUGGAGGAAAGCAUUCUUUACAUCGAACUGUUGCACUGGCCAAUCCAAGUUGACUGCUAAUGAUAAUAAGAUACGAAUAGUAUUAAUUUUUGCUACCGGUGCAAACGUAUCAAUAUAAUCAAUCUCGUAGGUUUGGGUGUAACCCUUAGUUACGAGUCUUGCUUUGUAUCGUUCAAUAGAGCCAUAUGCUUUGUAUUUUAUAGUGUAGAUCCAUCGACAACCCAUUGGUUUCUUUCCUGAUAGAAGAUCAACUAGUUCCCAUGUUUGAUUUUUCUGAAGAGAUCUCAUUUCAUCAUUCAUAGCCGCUUUCCACUUUGGAUCUUUUAAAGCUUCCUGAACACUGUUAGGAAUAGAUACAGCAGAUAAUUGAUUCACAGAUGACUGAUUUGAUUCUGACAAGCGAUGGUUAGACACAAAAUGACUCAUAGGGUAUUUGACUCUACUAGAGAAGUCAGGCUCAUAUGUGGGUUUAGGGAUACCUCUAUUUUGACGUUGGGGAAGAAUUCUUCUUAUUGGACUUGUGGUAGGAACAUCCUCUGCAGACGAUUGGUUAGGUAUUUCUUCAUGUGACUCAUUCUCGAUUGCAGUUGUGUUUGAGUUAUUGUGCUCCCCAAAUGUGUCUUCACAUAUCUCAGCCUGCGAAUCAUCACCAUUUGCUUUUCCAGUAUUUUGAAGGUUUACUAUCUCAAUGGAAGAUUGACUUUCUUCAGGUGGAAGAUAUGUAAGAGUAUGAAUUUCCUAUUCAUUAUACUCCCCCUGAAAUUCAGACUCUGACAAGUAGUAUAUGAUAUCUUCAUGAAAAACGACAUCCAUGGUGAUGUAUAUUUUUCUUGAUGGUGGAUGAUAGCAUCGAUAUCCCUUUUGAUGUAAGGCAUACCCUACAAACACACAACGUAGUGUUCGAGGAGAUAAUUUGUCUUGUUGUGGCAAAUGAACGAAGGCAACACAGCCAAACACAUGUGGGGGCAGAUUCGGCAUAUUUGGUGACAUAAUUGCAUCAUUCAGAACUUGGAAAGGAGUCUGGAAUCCAAGGGAGCUUGAAGGUGUUCGAUUGAUCAAGUAUGCUGCGGAUGCCAGUGCUUCUCCCCAAUAAGAUAAUGGCAUGUGGGCUUGGAUUAGUGAUGCUCGAACAACUUCUAGUAAAUGUCUAUUUUUUCGUUCAACAACGCCAUUUUGUUGGGGUGUCCCCACACAAGUGGUUUGAUGGACAGAUCCUUGUGAUUUCAGAAACUGUUGAAUUGCUGUGCUCAUAUACUCGCCUCCAUUAUCAGUAUGUAGAACUCGAAUUUGUGUCUGAAAUUGAGUAGUCACCAUCUUAUGAAAUCUUUGAAAUAAAGAGUUUACUUCGUCUUUCGAUUUCAUCAGAAAAAUCCAUGUCAUUCUGCUACAAUCAUCAAUAAAUGUAACAAACCAACGAGCACCUCCAAUUGUAGAAACUUUAGAUGACCCCCAUACAUCAGAAUGUACUACCAUAAAAGGAACUGGAUUUUUAUUUAAGGACAAUGGAAAAGUAGUUCGAUGGCUUUUUGAAAGUUCACAAACAUCACAUUUAAAGUUACAAACAUCAAAUUUCAAAAACAAACUAGGAAAUAAUUUUUUUAAGUAACCAAAUGACACAUGCCCUAAACAUCUAUGCCAUAACCAAAUUUCUGAUUUCCCUUUUUUAUGGAACUAUCUGCGACUAGUGCGGGGCUUAGCUUUCCAGUGUUUGUUGAUGACAUCUCCAAGUAGUACAAGUUGCCUCGUCUAAUACCAUAACCAAUCGUUUGCUUCGUUUGGAUGUCCUUAAACACACAAUGAUCAGGCCAAAAAAUUACAACACAUGAUAAGUAAGUGGUUAAUUGAGACACAAAUAAAAGAUUAUAAUCUAAAGAUGGAACAAUUAACACAGUGUCUAAAUUUAAUUCAUUUGUGAGUCAUAAAGAUCCUUCCCCAAUAACUGAGGUUGUGGUUCCAUUUGCAGUAGAAAUAUGUUUUUGUGAAGAUGGUUUCAAUUGAGAAACUUGUCGAGAAUCAAAAGUCAUAUGAUCAGUUGCCCCAGAAUCAAUUAUCCAUGUACUAUUAAUAACAGGUGUACGAGUUUUAAGGGCCUUACUUAGACUAACAGAGGUUGCGAUUUGCACUGAAGAUUCUUUUCUAAGAUCUGUAGUGGAUGUGGAUUCAGCUACUGCAGUUUUUGAUCCAUGCUUGGUGUUCUUCUUUCGAGUAUCCCACCAGUUAGGAUAUCCAAUGAUUUCAAAACAUUGUUCUUUCGUAUGACCCUUCUUUCUACAAUGAGUGCAAUGGAGUGAUGACUUGUCAACAAACUUCCUUUGAGGCUGCUGUCGUGCUAUCAUAGUAGACGUUUCUGAGUCGACCUUCUUGUUUAGUUUGCUUUGCCGUAUAUCUUCUCUUCGGAUCAGAGAAUAACAUUCUUCUAACUCUGGGAUAAUGUCUUUUCGUAGAAUUUCUCCACGAACUUGGUCAAAUUCUUCAUCUAGCCCAGCAAGAAAAAUGUGCACUCUCAAUCUUUCAACAGACCUUCUGUAUAUUACAACAUCUUCUGGAUCCUUCAUGACCACUUUAUCUCGGUGAUCAAGUUCUCGAAAUAUUUCGACCAAUUCUCCAUAGAAUUUAGAGAGUGGUUGUCCAUUUUGCUUAGUAGAGAAUGCCUUCUGGUUUAGAGUGAAAACUUGUAAUUCAUCGCUUCCAUCAUAGAAGGCUUUUGAUAAUGCAUCCCAGAUUUCGUAGGCUGUAGGAAUUCGUAAAUAUCGCUUCAUGAUCACCAGAGACAUGGAUAUGAGUAACCAUCUUUUUAUUUUUUGGUUCUCACUAUACCAUUUCUCAUAUUCCUUUGAAGAUUCCUCAAAUGGCUUUGUGCUGCUACGAAUAUAUGAGAGUUUUUCUCUUUCUGCAAGAUGCAUCUCCAUUAUUUGAGACCAAACAUCGUAGUUUGUCUCAGUCAGGAUAAUUCCAGCAUUAAAUACUCCAUCAGAUUGAACAGAUUGAAUGACAACAUGACUAGAUUCAGUUGGAGUUUUCUCCAUUUUUUUUGUUUUUCUUUUUUCUCUUUUUUUUUUGUUUUUUUUGUUUUUUUUGUUUUUUUUGUUUGUUUUCUUUUUUUUGUUUUUUUUCCGUCUAGAUUGAAAGAAAAAAAAAAUAACCUUUUUAGGUAACAAAACGACAGGUCGUUUGGCCACUGCUUGCCAAACUGACAUGUCGGUUAUGGUGGAAUAUAAACGACAUGUCGUUUUAAUCCUGUUGCACUUCUGGAGACUAAGCGUCACGUCGUUUUACCUCUAAUUUAAAAUCGACAUGUCGGUUUUAAUAUAACGAAAAAAGACACGUCGUUUUUUGACUGCUGCACUUCUGAAAUAAAAACGACAUGUCGGCUGACGUCUUCUUCAACCUCUGGAGCAUGUGAGAGCGCGUGAAUGAUGACAGAGGCGCGUGGUUGACUGGCCGUGGCUUCGGGUGGCGGGUGGGAGCGCGUGGGAAUGUGUUUAAAUGCGAAAUUUUUACAGUUUCUUCACUGAAAACUGAGAAAUUUGAUGGUGUUCUUGGGUUUUGAGGAACACACUCUCAGAAAAUUGCUGGGAUUGUUGAUAAAUUUGUAAACUCAAGUUUUUUACGUAUGGGUGGCUUGUUUCUUGAUCGGCAUGGAUAUCUGUAAUGGUAGGAAUGGGUUUAAGAAAGAAAAUGGUGGGAAAAAUGGUUGUGGGAGGAAUUUGGUUUCCUCUAUUUUUGUUACAAACAGAGCAGCGGAACUUGAAGAAACUUGAGCGUAUUCAUGGCUCUGAUACCAUGAAGAAACGUGUUUUCAUUUCUUAAAUAAAGCAUUAUACAUUGAGAGUUAUUUAUAGAUGCAGAGGCUACAUUUGUUCAAAGAUUACAUAUGUGAAUACGGAAGGAAAUGUGUCAAUCCGUUCGGCGCGGAUCUUGUAUUUGACAAGUGCAGAUUCUGUCUUUGAAAGCUUCAUUCAAUGCCGUUUUAUUUGAUUCUCAACAGGAAUGCCCAAUGACACUUACCCAAAAUAAUUUAAUCCGAAAUUGUAUCCCAAAUAGAUUACAGAGGUUUGAGGAAGUUGGAUACCCUUUAUUUGGGAGGGAAGGGAAAUUGCAGUGAUAUAUGGAAGCAAGGUGUUGCAAUCAAUAAAGAAAUUCAUAGGGUCAAUAUUCAAGGACUCUCCUCCAACUCAAACAUUUCUCAAAUAGAUUAUUUAAUCUGAAAUAGUAUCUCAAAUAGAUUAUAGAGGUUUGAGGAAGUUGAAUACCUUUUAUUUGGGGGGGAAGGGAAAUUGCGGUGAUAUAUGGAAGCAAGGUGUUGCAAUCAAUAAAGAAAUUCGUUGGUCAAUAUUCAGGACUCAUCCAAAGUGAUCGUUAAAGUCUAGAGGUCUGCUCUUCUCCAACUCAAACAUUUCUUCAAUGAUGAGAAUUAUUCAAAUUGUUGUCAGUGGGAAGGGGUUGAGUGCAACAACACCACUGGCAGAGUGAUUAAACUAGAUCUAGGAGCCACUAGGAAUCGGGAAUCAUCAGAGUGGCAUAUGAAUGCUUCUUUGUUUACUCCCUUUCAACAAUUAAAGUCUCUUCAUCUAAUUGGGAACAAUAUAGCCGAUUGUGUUGAAAAUGAAGGUCUUUAAUUUACUCUAUUUUAGUUCUUCCUCGUAAUUUCUUACAUUUAUCUUAUCCCUUUUGGCUUUUGUUUAAUUUGUACGUGAUACAAUAAAAUUAUUUUUUAUUUUUUGGCAGGUCUAGAGAGGCUAUCAAGGUUGAACAACUUUAAGUUUCUUUAUUUAGACCUUAACCACUUCAACAACAGCAUCUUUUCAUCUCUAGGUGGUCUUUCAUCACUCAGACAAUUAUCAUUGGCUACUAAUCGAUUGAAUGGAAGUGUUGAUAUUAAAGGUAAGUAAGCUUCAUCCCUUCUCCCGUGUCCCAUCUUUUGUGGAUCUUAUCUCAUUGACGGGCUGGAAGUAUUGAUACGAGAUCUAGCUAGACUCUUGCUAGUUUAGGCUUCAAGGCUUUGAAUAUUACAAAAAUAGGAUUAAGAAAAUAUCAAUAAAUGCAAAUUUCAAUGCUUCUCAUAAUCAGACACAAUUAAAUCUAAUUAUUUUGUAUGUCCUGUCUUCAAAAGAAAAGAAUUGUACACCAAAUGGAAAUCGACAUUAUUGUUUGCUUUUGAUUAGUGGAUCAAAAAUCGACUAAUUUUUGUUUAACAUAAAAAUAAAAAAGAGAAAAUAAGUUAUUUAAUUAACCCUGUUUUAAGUGUUGGCAUAAAUGCAGGACUGAAUUCCUUGAGUAACUUGGAGGAGCUGGACAUGAGCUUCAAUGCAAUCGAAAAUCUUGUGGUUCCUAAGGGUAUACAAAAUGUUCAAAUAUUAAUAAUUUGGAGGACAAUUUAAUAGAUUUGAUUAGGGAAUGCCCAAUGACACUUACCCAAAAUAAUUUAAUCCAAAAUUGUAUCCCAAACAGAUUUCAUAGGUUUGAGAAAGUUGAAUACCCUUUGUUUAGGGGGAAGCAGAAUUCGAAUGAUAGAUGGAAGCAAGGUGUUGCAAUCAAUAGGAUCACUACCGUCCCUUAAAACACUUUAUCUUUCGUCUACUAAUUUUACGGGAACAGUAGUUAAUCAAGGUAAGUAAAUCUUUUAUGUAGAAAAUAAUUGAAUUAAUAUAUAUAGCUAAAAUUUACUGUUUCUACUUCUUUCUAAAUAGAAUUGCACAAUUUCACCAACUUGGAAGAAUUGAUAUUGCUCGGGUCUCAUCUCCACGUAAGCCAGCUUCUGCAAAGCAUCGCAUCAUUCACAUCGUUAAAGCAUUUGUCAAUGCCAGUUUGUACGCUUACAGGUGCCGUACAUGGUCAAGGUAAAUUACGGGUAUCUGAAGCUUUUAUGAUAUUAAUUCGAUAAUAAUUAUUUCUUUUCAAGUUAAUUUUCUCCCAUAAAAUAAUAUAUAUUUUUUUAAAUUUUAUAUAUUUUCACUGUCCAAUAGUUCUAGCUUCUCUAAUUUGCAGGAUUCUUGAUUAAGGUUAAUGAAAUUUUAGUUCUGUUAUGUUAAGAAUAUUUUGAUCGCUAAGAAGAGUAAAGAAAAAUAAGUAAAUUAACCCAAAAAAAGAAAAGAACAGGAACAUAUUAUCCUUAUUACCUUGCAUUAUGUGAUCAAUAUCAAAAUAAUAACCAUUUCUUGUUUAUUGCUUGUAGAUUUUCGUAAAUUCAACAAUUUGGAACAUCUGUACAUGGGUGAUGUGCAGGUUGACGUCAACACCAGUUUUCUUCAAAUUGUCGGCGAAUCGAUGCCUUCUCUUAAGUUUUUAUCACUGACAGAUUCAAGUCUUAAUAAAAACACCAUUCUUGAUCAAGGUUAGUUAAUGAUUCUCUUUCUCCCUCUCGCGCAUCUUAACUAAAUUUAAUUGCGAAUAUCUGUAAUGCUAGCUAUUUAUAAACUUAAUGAAAGAUGAUAAGGAGCCAUAAUAAUGACAAAAAUAACUGUAAAAUAGUGCACUGUUGUAGUGUUGAUUGAAAAAUAAUGCUAAUUUUUUACUUAACACUAUAACGCUGUAUAAUUUUACAGUUAUUUUGUUGCCAUUACGUCAUAUUCUACUGUUCAACUAUCAGUGAUCAAACUUAAUUUUUAAUAUGUACUUUAAAGAUUUUAUGCAAUUAUUUAAGUUUUAUGCAAUUAUAUUUUUCAGGACUUUGUCGGUUAGUGCAUCUGCAAGAGUUAUACAUCAACGGUAAUGAUUUGAGAGGUAGCUUGCCAUGGUGCUUGGCAAAUUUGACUUCCCUUCGAGUAUUAGAUGUCUCUUACAAUCAACUAACUGAAAACAUCUCCUCAUCUCCCCUCAUGCAUCUAACAUCUAUCGAAGAGCUCAUACUUUCAAAUAAUCACUUCUUCCAAAUCCCUAUUUCACUUGAACCACUUUUCAAUCUCUCAAAACUCAAGACUUUCGAUGGUGAAAUAUGCGCAGAAACUGAGUCACAUUAUAAUUCUUUGACCCCAAAAUUCCAACUGACUUCUAUCUCACUGUCUGGUUACAUAGAUGGUGGCACAUUUCCCAAAUUCUUGUACCAUCAGCAUGACUUGAAGAAUGCUGAUCUCUCACACCUUAACUUGAGUGGACAAUUUCCAAAUUGGUUGGUAGAAAACAAUACGAACUUAGAGACGCUUCUUCUUGCCAACAACUCUCUUUUUGGAUCAUUUCGGAUGCCAAUUCAUUCCCACCAGAAAUUGGCAAGAUUGGAUGUCUCUAAAAAUUUCUUUCAAGGCCAUAUUCCGGUGGAAAUCGGAACAUAUCUGCCAUGUUUAAUGGAUUUAAACUUAUCUAGAAAUGCUUUCAACAGUAGCAUUCCCUCUUCAUUUGCUGAUAUGAAAAUGUUGGAAAGGUUGGACAUAUCCUACAAUCAGUUGACUGGUGAAAUCCCUGAGCGCAUGGCCACGGGUUGCUUCUCAUUGGAAAUUCUUGCAUUGUCAAACAACAGUUUGCAAGGUCAUAUAUUCUCUAAAAAAUUUAACUUGACAAAUUUGAUGACGUUGCAGUUGGAUGGUAAUAAUUUCAGUGGAGAGAUCCCAGAAAGCUUAUCUAAGUGUCGUUUCUUAAGAGGAUUAUAUCUAAGUGAUAAUCAUCUCUCUGGUAAGAUUCCAAGAUGGUUGGGUAAUUUGUCAGCUUUAGAAGAUAUUAUAAUGCCCAAUAACAAUCUUAAAGGACCAAUUCCAAUCGAGUUUUGUCAGCUUGAUUAUCUGAGGAUUUUAGACCUUUCAAACAAUAGUAUUUUCGGAACCUUACCAUCUUGUUUUAGUUCAGCAUAUAUCGAACAAGUUCAUUUGUCAAAAAACAAGAUAGAAGGACGGUUGGAAAGUAUAAUCCAUGACAGCCCCAAUUUGGUGACAUUAGAUCUCAGUUAUAACCGCUUACACGGAAGUAUUCCAAAUCUGAUUGACAGACUACCUCAGUUAAGCUACCUUCUUUUGGCUAAUAAUUAUAUUGAAGGUGAAAUACCAGUUCAAUUAUGCCAGUUGAAGGAAGUGCGGUUGAUUGAUCUUUCUCAUAAUAAUCUAUCUGGUCAUAUUCCUCCUUGCUUGGUUAACACUUCACUCAGUGAAGGUCAUCAUGAGGCAGUAGCUCCAACUUCUAGUUCGCAGGAUCAAUCGCCUGCCUUACUUCCAUCUGAGGCUCCAACUGGAUCUCCGAUGGGAAAGGAAGAAACUGUACAAUUCACAACAAAGAAUAUGUCCCACUAUUAUCAAGGAAGAAUUUUGACGAGUAUGUCUGGGAUUGAUCUUUCUUGUAACAAACUGACAGGUGAGAUUCCUACUCAAAUUGGAUAUCUUACUAGGAUUCAUGCACUAAAUCUAUCUCAUAACAAUUUGACGGGCACAAUCCCGACAACAUUUUCAAACCUGAAGCAAAUCGAAAGCUUGGACCUCUCCUACAACCUACUGCAUGGGAAAAUCCCUUCUCAGCUCACUGUGCUAAAUACAUUGGCGGUCUUCACAGUAGCAUACAAUAACUUAUCAGGCAAAAUUCCAGACAGAGUUGCACAAUUUUCAACUUUUGAGGAAGAUAGCUAUGAGGGGAAUCCUUUUCUUUGUGGAUGGCCACUGUCUAAAAGUUGCAAUGAUAGUGGAUUAUCAGCAGUGACACGAGAAGCUUACACUGAUAAUGAAGAAGGUGAUAGUUUAAUUGACAUGGACAGUUUCCUAAUCACUUUUACAGUAUCUUAUGGAAUUGUGAUAUUAGGAAUUAUUGGAGUUUUAUACAUAAACCCCUAUUGGCGACGAAGAUGGUUUUACCUUGUUGAAGUAUGUAUGAUCUCUUGCUACUAUUUUGUAGUAGAUAAUCUUAUUCCUAGAAGAUUCUAUGGUGGAUGGAUGUAAUUUCAUUUACUUUACAACUUAUAUGUAAUUUUUAAAGAAUUUUCUUUUGCAUGCAUGGAAUAGCAACUCAAUAAAAGUAUUUGAUGCAAAUUGUCCUAGAACAACUUAGUAAUUUCAUUGCUACUAUUUGGUUGUAUAUAUACAGUUAAUGAAAUUUUUAAUCAUUCGCAGUAGGAAUUUCUUUAGAUGGCGGCCAAAACUAACAGAUUUGGGGCUCUACUUCUACACAUCAUAACAGGCAAAAGGUCUCUCUUUUACACGAUCUGAAUGAAGAUUAACUUACGCCCUCUAGGCUCUGGAGUGUGUGUAAGUUCUCUAUUAAACUUGACGGUUGAGAUUUCAGGUCCAGAUGAAAGUUAAAUGCAGGCGACGAGACUUCACUUCAAGUAAACUGGGACAAACUGAGAGUGAUGGGUAGCUCAACUUAUGGAGGAUAACUUGGACUUGGAGUAACUAUCAGAUUUGCAACUCUUGUUAUAUGCUAGUGGGGAUUUAGGUAGCAAUUAUCGCCUUGAGAGUUACAGUAAUCGAUUCAUUUCCUCCUCCAUUUCUGAUGGUAACCCAGCUCUAUACAAGAACAAUCAGAGAAGGUUCAUUUAAGAAAUUUCACAACCCACAUUUUUUUUUUCCUUUUUGCCCUCUUCCUCACAAUAAAAACACCUAACACACCAAGCCGUGCACAAAAUAGUCCUAUUUUAUUCAAGUCAUGAAUCCAAAAACUAUCCCAGCUCACUUUGUUUAACCAGCAUAACUAAAUUGUGGGCAUAAAUGAACACACUUUCAGAAAGCUACACAAUACAAACUGGGUUUCACUUGCAGAAAGCUACACGAUAGACAAAAUCUAGCAGCUACAUAAUGGUAUCACUUUCAGCUGGUCAUGAAUGGUGUGCAUUCAGCAAUGCUCGAUAGACCAUGUCUAUGAAUUGAUUGUCCUAUUACAUAUAAAAUCUGGUCAGAUAUACAAGGAAAAAAAUAAUAAUUGAAAAUGCAUCACAAAAAAUAAGUCUCGCAUUAGUGUUUGCACUCUAAGCAUGAUUUGAAGACUGCGAUAAGUGAAAAAUAGUUCAAUCCACUGAUGAGCAUAAAUUUAUUUAAAUGUCAAUUUAGAUAUCAUAAAAAAGUAAACAGUAAUUCACAGUCACUUAAAAGAGUUGAUAAAAUGCGUGCCAUGAAUGCAUUUUUGUACAUAAGAAAUCCAAAGAGUAUUUCUGACAAUACAAAUAUGCUAGCUUUAAAUCUGCCGUCAAUAUGCAAUUAAGAAGAUUAUACCAGCUGCACGAUAAAGUUCCCCUAAUCUUAAUAACAGUAAACAUGAACAUGUCAGAUGCAAUUAUAGCUUCGAGCAUUUGCAUAACCAGAAAUCCUAACCUGAACAAGCACCAGAAGUGUCUCUCGGACUUUCUCCUUGCUGAUAAAUGGUCCGCUGUUUGAAGUAAGAGCAGGAGUAAGAGAUGGUGGAGGGGUUGGUGGUGGAAAAGGUUGAGGGACUGGGGCACCAUAUGGGCUGCAACACUCAGGGGAGGAUUAAGUGGCGGAGCUGUUGGUGUAGAUGAAGAGACAAGCUGCAUCAUCCGUGCAUAGGAGGAUGGAGGAGGAACAAAGAAUAAGGAAGGCUUUACAAGAUUAGGGGUAGGUGCUGAUAGAGGUGGAGAUGGUAUUUGCAAGGUUGGCACGAUAGGAGAAGCAACACUGGCGGGAUGAGAAGAUAAAGAAAUAGUUGUAUUGGACUGGUAAGGUUGUGCAGAGAUUGCUGCAUUAGAAGUAUUCCCUACAGUCAAAGCUGUCUGCAAUGAUAAGGACAGAUGUCAUAUACAAGGACAUCAUAGAAGUUGAACCUCACACAAAAAUGAAGUGAUAACAUAUGAAAAUAGUAUAUGACUUGCAGCAUUUUUGUGGUAAUGUUGCAUACUUAUGUAGAAACAUAUUAUUUCAAAGAAAACAUACACUGAAGAAGUUCACAAAAGCAGGAUCUUCAGGAACAUCAGCAGCAUUUGAGGGAGUUGACUCUAGAGGACCAUCCAUAACUGCCAUAGUUGGAACAGCUUCCAGUUCCUCAAACUCACUGCAGUUUAACAUAAAAGGAACUUGAUGACCAAUUUAAGUAAUAAUUAGAUGAUAUAAGAGGUUAGGGAAAAUGAUGAGUGGACCCUUAUGGAAGGUGAUUUCACCUUAGCUAAACACGAAAAUAAAAAGAAAUCACCUCGAGUGCAAUGCAAAGAAUUUUUUCUCUCUCUUCUCUAACUCCUCUUAUUCGAAAUUGCUCAUCAUUGUGCUGUUCUUCGAGUUUUCGCUAGAGUAGAGAAAGCUAUUCUCCCGUUAAGUGCAGAGGAAAGAGAAGGGAAAGGGCCUGGUAUGAUGCUAUUCUAUAGGAAGUGAGAAGGUGAAGGGUCGAAAUAUUUUGUAAUUUGGAGGUGGUGUUUGUUAGUGUGUGUGUACUUCUGAAUUUAUUACCUCUGUAGGAUCCAUAGAAAUUGCCUCUUGUUCAGCAUGCACUGUGCCUACGAGUAAGGCGAGCUUGCAUGGUAUCUAUUGUCUAUUUACUUGGAUAUUCAAACAGGACUACCAGUAACACAAAUCCCCAAACAAAACACUCUUUCAAGUGCAAGGAAAGAGUAACUUGGCCAUAUUUAUGGUUCAAGCACUACAAUAACUAAGAAUGUGAUGACUGUCCACAAACACUAUAUCAGUGCCUUUUGAACUACAUCACAUGCUCGAAGACUUUUUUUUUUAGUCAUACAUAAAUUAGCUAUAAAAUUAAGACCAUUAUACAACUAAAAAGAAAGAAAAAUUGUUUGCUACUACAUAUCAAUGUAAGAUGGCAGACUUCUUACUUAAACAGAUGAGAGGCUACAAAUAAAAAAUUUGUGCAAAUAAAAUAUAUGAUAAAGAGCAUAAUACUUUCUUGGGGGCUAAAAAUAAUAUACAACUUGUGAAAUAUAAAUUGAGCUACCAUUACCUUUUAGAUGUGGCAACUUUCGACUUUUGAGGCACCUUGGAAUAUGCAUUCAGAAUCCUGCAUUUGGAAGCCAAAUAAAUAAUGUUAAUAACAAUUUUACAAUAGAAAAAUUAAAAAUUGAUAAAUGGCAGUUGUAAUUUAUGUAUGCGUAAAGAUAGCUUCACAUCCAGGGUCCUCCCAUAAACAUGCUUGUAACAAGAAUUAGUUUGCCUCAACUGUUAGCAACUGCUAACAAUAUACAAUAGUAAAAAUCACUCUUAUGAAGUCAACAAUACUAGGCACCAAUAAGAGUAUGAUACAGCCAUUCUAAAAUGGAAGAGAAUACAACUGUUUUACAACUUUGUUGCAUCAGGAGAUAUGUUAGGAGGAUUAAUCCAGAUACCUUCCAACCCAAUUAGGAAAACUCGAGUCAGAAACAAGGAGCUGCAACCGAACCUUACAAUCUUGAAGGAAGAAGGAGACUUGGGGCAUUUUUCCAGAUAGGUGACUUACUAGAUCUCCUGCCAAGAGAAUAUCUAUUGCUUUGAACCUCCAUUGAAUUUUCUUUUCCCUUUUUCUGGUUUUGACUUGGAACUUUCCAGCAUCAUCUAUUUGAUCUUUUUUAAAGCGAAAAAAGCAAUCUAUGGGUUGUCAACAUCUUAUCACCCCCCCCCCCCGGCCCCCAAAAAAAAAUCAAUGAGUUGUCAAUAAAUAGCGCCUACUCAAAUGUUUUCCAAUGUAUAACAAUGUGCAAAUCGACCUAGUAGCCACAUUUUUCCCCGGUUUCAACCACCGUAUGCAACUUUUCUAACCUUCCUUCAUUGCCCACGUCUACAGAACUAUCAUAUAAAGACUACAUUAUUAUUGGGAUAGAGAAAAAAAUACAGACUAUAUUAUUAUUAUAUCUCAUUUUAUUAAUUAACUAGUGCAAGACUUAUUUAGUGUCAAAUCAAGAACUAAUUAGAAAAGACAACUCAUGAUAAUACAGACCUUAAAAAGCAAUAGCUAGGACCACCCCAUAUACUCCUAUUUUAGCCUUCAAUAUCCUGGUAAAAACACAAUUAAGUCUUGCAAAAGAACAUUCACAAGUAAAUUCAACAUUAAUUAAGAUUAAGUAUCUACUGCACCUUCAAUCAAUGACUGGGUGAAUAGCAUGGUCAACCAUCCAGUUCCUGUAGCCCUCCUUGUACCUAUGUUAGUUACAUUUUACAUAUUAAGCCAGGAAAAUGAAGGAUCACAGCCUGGUAAAGAAAGCCAUUAAUUAAUAGUUUUUGUUUAACAAGUUCUCGUUUAGAUCUUUCCUAUUCAAUGAAUCAAUGUAAUCCAAGGAGAACUCUUCCAUUUCAAGCAGUGUUAGAAGAUAAUUGGAAAGCCUAAAGAUAAUAUACAAGGACCAAGAUAUCAAUUAGGUCAAAUAGUGAAUGUCAAAUAUAAAAAAUAAAUAAAAGAAGUUGUACAUGAUCAUUUACUAUCAAGUUCUGUAAAACUGAAAAUACCAUUAUCCCUAUAGAGAUUCUCAAACAACUCUUUAGCAAAUUAUAAAAUAGUUAAAAAAAGAACGAAAGUUUAAAAAAAAAAAAUGUACAACAGCCAUAUCAGGAGAUGUUUUUCUUCUCAAUCUCAAUAUUUUCUAGCCGUAAAACAAUUGAAAAGCUUAACACCAAGUGAAUUAUUAAGAAUUCAUCAUUUAAAUUCCCAAAUCGCGAAAUGUUGGUGCAACUAGGAAAGUGCAAAUGCAAUCACUUUACUAACACAAGAAACAUCAAUAGUGAGAAGCCAACUUUGUAUCAAAUUUGAAACAGAUAGAUAGAGGUCAAAAAAAUUAUAAAGACACUCAAUUAAAAGCCUUUCAAACAGCUUUUGCAUGCAACAAGAACAAAUCAAAGGCGAUGUGAAUGUAUUGAAAGACUAAUUUACAAUCAUCUACAGGACAUAAAUAUCUUGGAUAACUACUCUCUAUACCUUACUGUCCCACUGAAAAUCAUCAAAUCCCUCCAAACAAAAAUGACAAAAUGGAUAAGAAUUGUGUGGUCAAACUUCAAUAACUUAGCAGCCACAGCAAAAACUUAUGUAGACACGCAAGCCACUCAAAAUAGUCAUAUUGUUUGCUUUCCAAACACAAGCCACUUUGUAAUGAAUAUUCAUAAAUUGCUACUACCAUGUUUGUUAAAACACGUGAAAACCACCAUCACUAACUAAAUGUAACUAAUGAUCAUCAUCACGUUCAUGGAAUCACAUGUCUGACAGUAUUAAUUAGUGCAAAUGGCAUGCUUCUUAAAACUCCUUAUUUAUCACAUGGGUGGCAUUCCAAUCAACCAAUGAUUCUGAUCUAGUCAGCAUAUUCAACCCACGAGCCAGUAAUACCUCCAUUGCUUCUUUAGAUUUCUCAACAAAAUUCCACAUUCUAACCAUACUUCUGAACUUGUUGCUCCCAUAGACUAAUACAAUAUAAAGAUUUCUUCCCACACCACCUCAGCCCUCACUCCUAAAAAACCAAUUUAAAUUCUCAUUGACUGUACAACCUAUAGUCCAUACCAAAUUGAAAAAUUUACAAUAUAGAACCUCAAAGAAUCUUCUUGCGUUCCAUUUUUUACGGCAAGAAAAUUGACUUUUACCACAUGCAAGUCAACAAAUAAAACAAUCAUGUCUUUGUGAGAUGCACAUUUUCAGACGAAUCUGAAGAACAAUGAAACCAUAAAAACCUAAUAUGAGAACACCGAGGACUCCAGAUAUCAUCUAUAGAAUCUUUGGUCCACCCUUGCAUGAUGAAAAAAAAUUGAAGGCUUCGUCACCAACUCCCCAGGUUGUUUUGUUCUCCUAUCUCCUAAAUGUAAAUGAAAGACAACCCGUUCUUUUUCCAAUCUUCAGGGGCACAGAACGACUCUAGUAUUAAAUAGUCAGUUUCUAUACAAAAAUAACUCCUUUGCACUUGGCACUGCACAUCUCAAAAUAAAAAGCAUGCAAGGAGGAGAAUAUAAUAGCAGUAAACAAGUUUUAUUAACCAAACUUCAAAGAUGCCACACAAGGCAAAAAAGAAAUCUGUACAAGCCAGAUCCCAAGAAUAAUAAUUCCAAUAUACAAUUCAUGAAAACAAUAACAAAAACCAUGUUCAUGAGGCCUCAGCAGAAGCAACAUGUAAUAACCAUACUCUAUUAUUUGAAACACAUUUCCAAGUUUGGUUAAGAUUCUAAACUAUUCUCUAUCUGUCAAUUAUUAACAUGUAAAACAUAAUAAUAUACACUUAAACUACUACAGUAGUAAAACCAGUAAAACAACAAUACCUGCUAAAAAGAUUUGCUACCUCUUCACAUUCACGAGCAUUGUAGAACCAAAUCCCAUUUACUUCUUGCGAUGCAUUCCGAUAUAACAAAUACGGAACCUGAACUUCAAACUCUAAAUCUCCCAAAAGAUUUUCCACUAAAUUAUCUGCACAUAUACAAGAUAUUGAAGCUUAUCAGUGCAAAAACAUAUACAAAAAGACAUGAAGGUUAGGAGACAUAACUAAAACUUAGCAACAACUGAUAAGCACAACAAGACAUGAAAUAUAACACUAGUUGUAAACAAGAUAGACACACGGUAUCUAAAUAAUUGUACCAACCCCCUCUCCUGAUUGUCAUAAAAUGGCCAAUAUUUAACGCUAGACAACAACAUUGCAAAUACUCUAGCCUCUAUAUUAUUGGCAUAUAAAUAUUUUCGGUUAGGUACAUUAUAUUCUUCGUUCUAAAACCUCAAUUAUUAGCUAGUACUGUGAUAAAAUGAUUCAUCACUGAAAUUAAAACUAGUUCACGUACAAAUAAUCAAAACUGAAAUAGAAACAACGACAAACCAACCUGUAUUACGUCGAUUCAUCACAACAAACUGAAAUCGAGGCUGUGUGUUCCUGAAAAUUGAAAAAAUAAUAAUUUCAUCAACUUCAUAUGUAAUACAAUCUCCAAAACACCGAAUAUCAAAUAAAAAAAUGGAAAGCAUACGAGGGAAAAUAAUCUUAUUUUAUGACCUUUUGACGACGAAGAGAGAUCCUUCAACAUCCUUACGACUCCAUUGGCUGAGAUCGAUGUUGAACUCGUAGAAGGUGACAUGAGCGGCCGUGAUGAGGAUCUCCUCAAUGAAUGGAUCAAUUCGCUGAAGAACCGUCAGGUUUAGGAGUUUUGUGCUCUGCUGGUCCAGAUUAGGCAUCAAUUUUCCGUUCUGCGACAUAUUUCAUAGUCCUUUUGGGCUCUGCCCCCAGCACAAGCCCCAUGGUUUUUCUGUGAGCUCUCUCUUUUGUAAAUAAAGUGUUCGAUGAGAUAGCCGAGAGAGAGUGAAAGAGUUGAACAGCCAAACAAGGUGAGGUGAACAGUUUCGGACCGAGACUCGAGAUUGAUCUUGCUUUAACUUCUUUUUAAACAUUUGGGAAAUAGCAUUUAUUUCUUUCAAUUUCUCUACUUUUUUUUUCCUUUAUGUCAUUUAGACCCCAAAAUUAGAUUUAUUAUAAUCAUAUUUUACCCAUACACUAUUAACCCAUUUUAUUUUUUAAAUUGUCAAAUAUUAAUGUAUUAAAAUAAUGUUAGAAAUCCCAAUUAUUAUCUCAAUGUUUCAAUCAUAACUAAUGUGAUAACUCAUCGGUAACUGCAACAUUAACUUAAUUAUUAAUGUUUAUCAUGAAAUGAUGAGAUUAUUAUUCAAGAAAAACUUAGUAAACAUCAAUGACUAAUAUAAUAUGACAAUUACAGCUGAAUAUUAGUACAAGAAUUAGGAUCCCUAAAGUUAGUGAAUGUAUUAUAAUAUAUGUGUGUUACACCACUUUAUGUCUCUCAAAUUUAAUUAAGUAAUUUUAUAUUCAAUGAAUCAAUGUAAUCUAAAGAGAACUCUUCCAUUUCAAACUGUGUUAGAAGAUAUUUGCAAAGCCUAAAGAUAAUAUACAAGGACCAAGAUAUACACAGAUUGUUUCUUUAUGGAAUUAAAGAGCUUUAUAGAUGUUAAAACUGUUUCAAACAAUUUUUCUUGUUUGGUUUAACUAAGGAAGAGCUUGUGGAAGAUUAAAAAUGAUGUUUCCUAUUCUCUGUAGGAAGCUUUUAGGAGAUAUUUUGGGCUUUUUUGAAAGGUUGAAUUGUCAAAAAUACCUUCAUGUUAUUGUUUGCUAAAAGAUGUUAUGGACAACUAAACAACCAACGACAUUUUGUUAAAAACUCUACUAGUGUAGGAUCUACUUAAAGAAGUUAUACCAAACAGACUCUUAGACUGAAUAACCCGAUCUUAAGUUUGUAAAAUUGGGCUCAGAAUCUUCACUAACAACCCCGCUUCGGUGAGAAAGCCCAAGCCUGUUACUUUGUAUAACCUUAUUCUGUAUGUUUGAUUGUAGGAACUGGCCAAUCAUACCGACGAGGUGAGUGUGCAGCAUGAGGUGCUUGACGGGAUGUUUACUUUCAAUGAUACAACUAAAGCUAGCCUCAACAUAUAUCAGGUGCCUGCUUGUUUUUGCCUUCUAGAUACUAAUAUUGUUUAGACGUGUAAUCUCUCUCUCCAUUGAACGCUAGCCAAGAGAAAUGUCUGAAUUAUCGAAACAAGAUGAAUUAUUUUUUGUUUAUCGCAGCAGACGAUCUAUGAGCAGAAUUUCUUACAACAAAAGAUGUGUGUCCACCGGCUUGUAUUUAGUCUCGUAAUGCAUUUUAUAUAUAUGCACGCGCACACAGUUUGAGAAGAAUCAGACCAUUAAUUUUCGUUUGAGCCAAUCAACAGAAUGUACAUUUCUUCUAUGAACUUGUAACCGAAACCGCAGUUUUUCAGGUUUGAUGCAUCUGGGAAAAUUUUCAGAUGGAAUAAAACCACCAUGCGCCAAGGUACCAAUGAUGUUUCUUCCAGCUUACGAGCACUUCAAAUAAACUUAGGUCAUAUUUACACAAGGGCGCACAUGAUAUCAAUCUAAUGGCAAUUAUAUCAUCUAAAAUCCAAGACCAAGAGUCUCCCAUUUUCCCGUUCCCUACUCUGUUCAUAUUAUCAUAACUUGAAGUUGCAAGGCAGCCGCAAUCUCCCAGAUCUUUGCUCCUUCCUCAUAGCAGUUAAUCAAACGAUAAACAGAGAUAUCCCAUGUCAACAAGGAGGUAAUCAUAAAAGAACAACAGAAUUGUUGCAAUAUAUUCAUAUGAAAUGUAAAACAAUUUUGAGAAAAAAUAUUGGGAAGAUAUUUUUUUUUUCAUAGAAGUUGCAAUCUUUACGUUAUAUACUAGUUUGACUAGACUAUACAAGGAAGCUAUAUGAAAUUAGAAAAAUAAGCUAUACUAGGAAAGAAUAAAUAUAUGUACAGAAAAUUAGGCUAUAAUCUCUGACUUUCAACAAAUUUAAUAUCAAUUUUCUUCAGGAAGUUGUCUCGCAAGGGGCGCAUCAGUAUUGCAACGUCUGCUGGGUCUUACAUUAUCCACAAAAAUAACUCGUCCAUCUAGUAACUGCAAGUACAUACUGUGAGAUGCUUAAACUCAACAAUAUAAGCAUGGUAAAUUAGAGAAAAAUGAUGCAAUUUUACCUUCCCAUUCAUGUCUGCCAAGGCUUUUUGGGCUUCCUCUUAUGUACUGAAAGUCACAUAUCCGUAACCUUUUGAUCUAUUCUUACCUUAUCCAUUAUUAUUGUAGCUGCAAAAAGAAAAGAAUCGGAUAUUACAAAAUAGUGAAGAGGGAAGAGGGGUUGAGACUUAAAACAGAAAUAGACCAAACCCUCAGUGACGUGGCCAAAUUGUGAAAAAGCAUCAGCUAACAUGCCUUUAGUGGUUGAGAAAGAUGCGCCUGCAAAGGAUGCCAGUUAAUUUUAUCAUAAUUAGAUGGUAAGAUUGCAAAUUCUGCAGCCAAAGGUAGUACGGAACUGAAUGAAGGAAAUCAAAUAUGAAUAUGUUGUCAAUCUCAAAAUAUUAAGAGUAGCAUAAGUAACUUGUGAAACAGUUAUAAGUUCAAGGGAAUUAGAUGAUGGUAUGGUUGAAUUUAUAAAUAUUUGAUAUUUAACAAGUUAGUGUGUACUAUGCAAUUGCAAAAUUUAAGUUCCACAGAAUCGGUUCCUUUAACAUGAUGCAUCACAUAAUAUUUUGUUUGCAAAAUAAAGAAGAAAGAUGACAUAAUAGAAACACUCACAGAGAGAGAAUACCUUUGACGAAAAGCUUAGAAGUGAAUCCUCUGUAAAAUACGAGUUGAGCUGCUGAAUUUUCGAGUUUGAAUGAGAGACUGCGGCAAUUCUGAAAAUGUUUUUUUCUCAUUAGCGCCGCCAUUUUUGUAAUAGAGGGUAAAGAAAUAAGUAACAGAGUAAGAGGUGAGCAGAAACGGCCCAAUUUAGUUAUAUGCCAUGCAUGCGAUCAAAAUUGAAUGGUUAAAUGGCAGCCACUAUGUUACAUCUUGUGUAAGUAACAAACCGCCUACAUGGAUCGUUGGAUUUGGGAAUAUGAAAUCCAAUGGAUAAUAUUGAAUUUAACGAAAAAUAGAUUACAGGUUGCAUUAGUCCAAGAUUAUUUCAAACAAACCAGCUGAUGAAAUAGCCGCUAAUCAAAUUUAAAAGGGAAAAAAAAUCAUAGGUUAUAGAUCUUAUUUCCAUCUUAAAUCUAUGUCUUUCAUGGUAACUCAAUGUGUAUUCUAAUUUAUAAUUUGGAUCUAUAUUAGAGCUAAUGCUUCCCUAAAUAACUAAGAAAAUUUUCUUUUCAUUGAUUAAAUAUCUAUUUCCAAGAUCUUGUAUAUGUAGGAUUUGAAAAGAGGGAGAAUAGUAGGGUUGAUAAUGAGAGAAGAUAGAGAUGUCCAUUCUCAAAUCUAAUAUUAAUGCUAUACUUAUGUUCCUAUACUAAAUAAAUUAUCCAAGGUUCGUGGUUAAUGAUAAGUUGCGAAAUUUUAAUUUCUAUUUAAAGUUUUGUCUAAUAUGGCUUUUCAUAAAGCUUAGAGAAAAGUAGAGCUUUUACAAAAAAACAUUUAAUUAGAAUUGUGAAUGAUAAAUUUUAUUAAAAUUUUUUAAAAAGUACUUUAAUAAAUAAGCUUUUAAAGUUAUAUAUAUUAUGAAAGAAAUGAAAUAAGAUUAUAUAAUAAAUUAAGAGUAUCUUAGAUAAUUGAACUUAAAAAAAAAACUCGCUAAGAGGAUUAAAAUUUGAGUUUUAAUAGUGGAUACAAAAUAGUUUAUUUAAUUCUCAAAAGCUCUACUCAAAAUAGUUUAUUUAAUUCUCAAAAAAUAUUUUUUUCAAUGAGUAAAUAAUACUAAACAUGCACUAAAGUGUUAGGACCAGAAGUUGUCCAAAUAAAAUCAUGAAAUUAUAUGCUGUUGGAUGGAUAUUUUUCAAAUUUGCUGUAGUUUUUUUUUCUUUUCUGCUGGGAAAUUGAAAUGAUGGCUACAACUUAAAUUAUGAAUGGAGUAAUCGGAGAAUAUUGAAACCCAUUUAAUUUGGAUCGUGCAUUGAGGGACGAAAGGAUAAAAAAUUUAAUUUUGAAAUUGCUGUUGGGUACGGUACAAUGACUUACCGUUGACAGCUUGUGCAACCGGAUUACAAUCGGUUAGUUCAAUAAUUUUAUAUCCCUAUUCAACCGCCACGUGCUGCUGUUACAUGGGUCAAUUACUCAUGUCAUUACUGUUACUUACAGCUGCUGUAACAUAACCGGACCCAAAUGGUUAAAUUCUGUUGUUUCCAAUAAUUUUAUGCUGUAUCUUCUUUAAUAAUAAAGAAAACUUGCAUUAAAAUUAAAAUUAGGGUAAUGCCUGAUUUUAUAAAUAGAUUGCAAUGUAAUUUUGAAAAAUAAAUUAAUAAUUUACGAAAUGUUUAUAACAUAAUUUAAUUUUUUUCAAAAAGGAAAAACAACAAAAGUAAAAAAUAGAGAAUGAGGGCUACAAACUUUGCAUCUUAAACGGCCGUUAGAUUAUUUGUAAAUGAAAGCAACGGUCAGAUAUUGGUGGAUUAUGGAAACAUGUAAUCAUAAGGACUACGAGUUUUUUUUUGUUACAUUAAUAUAUUACAAUCAAAAUUCUGUUGGUAUUUAGAACCAGAAUUUCAUUUGACUAUCUUUGAUAAUUCUAAGCUGGUACAGCCUAAAUUCUUAUUCUCAUAUAAUAUCAAAGAGAGAUAUAUAUUCUUCUCCUCUAUUAAUAAAGAGACAUUUUUACUUCUAUCCAAUUUAAAUAGAACAAGAAUUAAGUCAUUUUAAUAGUUAGGACUCAAAACUCAUACACGUUAGUUUGAGAGUGUGGGGUGUGACAAUGGGCCAAGAGACCAUUGACAAAUACAAAAGAGUGGCAGAAAUUAAUUCAAACCGCUACACACGCUAUUGCAACCAAAUUGAGGGCACAUUUUUGUUUAUUUUGUUGAAAAGUAGUCUGUAAAAUUAACUCAAACCGCUACAUACGCUAAUGCAACCCAAUUGAGGGCCCAUUUUUGUUUAUUUCGUUGAAAAGUAGUUUGCGCAAUUAAUUCAAACCGCUACACACACUAUUGCAUCUUUUGAAAAAGAAAAAUGGAAUAAUUUUUCAAAAUUAAUUUAGAGAAUAAGAUUUACUAAUAAUGAUGUUAGAAAUCUUAAUAUUUGAAUCUUAAUAUUAUCUAUAGAAAUCUUAAUAUUUGAAUCUUAAUAUUAUCUAUCACUCAUUUAUUAAAUAAUAAAUUUCAUAGUUUGUAAAAUUACUUAACCACUUGAUAAAUGUUAUAUUUGUUGGGACUAGAUUGGGACUUAAAUAUUAGAAUAUCUAGUAUUACAUAAAAAAAAUUAACAAUUUAUCUUCACACGACUAAUUGUUUUUACAUCACAACUAACCUUAAUUAUUUUAAAAGUUAUAGUAUUAUUAAAUUGCCCUAACUAGUUAUCAAAAGGUGAAAGCAUGUUUUAAAAAGAAAUUACUAAGAAACAUUUGUUUAAACGAAGGUUAAGGUUAUGAUCAAUUAAUUAAGAAGAAACUUACUAUCAAAGGUUAAGAUUAUGAACAAUUUAAGGAAGUUAUUGAGCAGAGAAAGGGACAGAAUGGAUGUUUGAAUUGCCGGUGACAAGAAUGCUUGUGUUGUGAAAAGAAAUCCGAUGGUUUGUAAAUGGGUUGAAUUUUUCGCUCGCUUCAAUGACUUGCUUAUGCCCAAUAUAUUACUUUGCACAGUAGUAUUUGGGAUCCUAACAAUCAACUCUUAAUUUGGUCCCAAUAUAUUACUUUAUGAAUGAUUAGUUAAUAACUAUCAUGUUAAAGCUUCUGUCAAGCAAACACCCAUUGAAUUUUUCGCUCGCUUCAAUGACUUACUUAUGCCCAAUAUAUUACUUUGCACAGUAGUAUUUGGGAUCCUAACAAUCAACUCUUAAUUUGGUCCCAAUUAGUAUAGUAAUCAUCUAUUGAGCGGUAAAAUUUUCUUGCUUUCAAUUUCCACUGUUAUUUUUUUUAAAUAAAAUAAUUUAUUUAAACUAGUCAUAGAAAUAAGAGAGAAAAGGGGUCAUUUCUUGACUCAAAGUCAAUUGUAAUUAUCAAAACUUGAGGGGACAUCGCAUGCCUAAAUUCCACACACCCUAAAACGGUUUGAUUUGCUUUCAGGCGUUCAUGAAUUUCCAUGAAAGAGCCUGCCUUUCGUCUCUUUCGGGACAGUGACUACAAUAAUGGAAAAAAUUAUAAUUCUCGUUAGAUUGUAACCAAAUUAUUAUCCCUAAUUUUUUUAAGUUAAAUAUAAUUAAAUUCAUGCUUAAGUAUUUAGUAAUUAGAGAGAGAUAGAGAGGAUUGAGGGCCAAUGUUUCGCGAUUUGGGGUCAAUUUAAAGUCAACUAACGUGUAAAACACGUGUAUGCAUAGAAAACGCUUAGAUUAUUUGUGUUCCCAAGUGCAAGAAAUUAAGAAAAGAAAAUUUGAUUUCCUUUCAUGAACUUCCAAGAAAGAAAGAAGACCCUUCACCUUGUUCGUGACAACAAAUGAAUGAAUGAUGUUGAUAUGACAAAUACAAGCGCUAUUACAGGGAACAGCAUAAGAUCGAGACUUGAUAAAGGGUUUGUUAAAUUACAUGUUAUUUUCUUUUGACUUGAAUGAUGUUGAAGAAAAAAAUAAAAUAACAUUGUAAUCAGGGUGAUGUGUGGAAUAUAGUGAAAUAAAUAAAUAGAGAAGAGAAAUUCGUUGAUCAAUAUUCAAGAACUCAUCCAAAGUGAUCGUCAAAGUCUAGAGGUUCGGUAUGAUUAGCAUUUAUUUUUAUUUUUUUUUGGCUUAGCAUCAUAUAUAGUCACCUGUCGUGUGAUCUAGGACAUGUUUAGAAAUCCUUUUAUUUUAACUUCCGUAUUCUUAUUAUUUAAUUAGUUAUUGGGUUUUUAAGUAUUUGAGUAUUGAUCACAUGUCUCCUAAUCUAAAAAUAUGUUUUUAAGAGUACAAAUAACAAACUAGGAUUUUAACAGCCUUUUAUACUAAACCCUAAAAAUACAUGAAUUUAUCAAAAUAAGUAAAUUAAUUUAAAUUGGUAUGGCAUAUUAGAAGUUUUACCAGCCGAAACAAAUUAAAAAAAUAUUACACUUAAAUCAAAUAUUGACAAAAAUAGAUAACAAUCUAAUGAGAAUCUUAACUAGACAUUUUUACUUCUAUCCAAUUUAACUGGAUAAAUUGACAAAUAUUGACAAAAAUAGAUAACUCAUACACGCUAGUUUGAGAGUGUGGGGUGUGACAAUGGGUCAAAAGACCAUUGACAGGUAUAAAAGAGUGGUCGCAAUUAAUUCAAACCGCUACACACGCUAUUGCGUCUUUUAAAAAAGAAAAAUGGAAUAGUUUUCCAAAAUUAAUUCAGAGAAGAAGAUUUACUAAUAAUGAUGUUAGAAAUCUUAAUAUUUGAAUCUUAAUAUUAUGUAUCACUCAUUUAUUAAAUAAUAGAUUUCAUAGUUUGUAAAUUUACUUAACCACUUGAUAAAUGUUAUAUUUGUUGGGACUAAAUUGGGACUUAGAUGUUGGAAUAUCAAGUAUUGCAUAAAAAUAAAAAAUAAAAACUUAACAAUUUAUCUUCACAUGACUAAUUGUUUUUACAUCACAACUAACCUUAGUUAUUUUUUAAAGUUAUAGUAUUAUUAAAUUGCCCUAACUGGUUAUCAAAAGAUGAAAGCAUGUUAAAAUAAGAAAUUACUAAGAAACAUGUGCUUAAACAGAGGUUAAGGCUACGAACAAUUAAGAAGAAACAACUUACAAUCAAAGGUUAAGAUUAUGAACAAAUUAAGGAAGGUAUUGAGCAGAUAAAGGGACGAAAUCAUUGUCUGAAUUGCCGGUGACAAGAAUGCUUGUGUUGUGAAAAGAAACCUGAUGGUUUGUAAAUGGGUUGAAUUUUUUAUUCGGUCGCUCCAACUGACUUACUAAUGCCAAAUUUAUUACUUUGCACAGUAGUGUUUAGGAUCCUCAAGAUCAACUCUUAAUUUGGUCCCAAUUAGUGUAGAAAUCAUCUAUUGAGCAAUAGAAUAAGAAUUUUUCUAGUCAUGAAAUUCAAUAUAUAAUAUAUCCUUGACACACAUCGAUUAUAACUUAACUGUUAGAAUUCAUAACAUUACUCUACUCUCAAGGGGAGUUCUCUUAACAUAUUAUGUUAGGUUGCCUACAUUCAAAAUAUGUUAGGCUGCUCUUUGAAAACAAUAUUCCUUUUUCCGUAACUUUGAAUUGAUCCAAUAGCUCUUGAAAAGCACAUAAUAAUCAUUAUAAAUUUAAUCAAAGACUAAGCAAGUCUUCUUUGCAUUUGAUCACUGGCAUUUCAGUUAAGUUUGUCAUUUACUUAAAUUUUUCUUGCUUUCAAUUUCCACUGUUGUUUUUUUUAAUAAAAUAAUUUAUUUAAACUAGUAAUAGAAAUAAGAGAGAAAGGGGUUUUCUUGACUCAAAGUCAAUUAUAAUCAUCAAAACUUGAGCGGACAUUGCAUGCCUAAAUUCCACGCACCCUAAAACGGUUUGAUUUGCUUUCACGCGUUCAUGAUUUUCCAUGAAAGAUAGUGCCUGUCGUCUCUUUCCGGACAGUGACUACAGUCAUGGAAAAAUUAUGUUAAAGUGACGAAUACAAAACGUUAUUACAUGCAAGAAUAAGUUUUUGGAGCCGAGACUUGAGGGAGGUUCUAUCUAAUUCUAAAGAUUGUAACCAAAUCAUUAUCCCCAAUUUUUUUCAGUUAAAUAAAAUAAAAUUUAUGCUUAAGUAUAAAUAAUUUUUUUAAGUUAAAUAUAAAAUAAAAUUCAUGAACUUCCUAGAAAGAAAGAAGACCCUUCACCUUCUUCACGACAACAAAUGAUGUUGAUAUGACAAAUACAAGCGCUAUUACAGGGAACAGCAUGAGACCGAGACUUGAUAAAUAUUAAAUAUAUAAAAUAAGUGGAGCAAACAAACAGAAUAAUAGAUUUUUAUAAUAUUCUUCAUAAAAAUCCAAGUUUUGAGCUGGCCCAUAAGCUUAUCUAGUGAAGUCUGGGUAUCCGCAUUGCCCAAGGUUCCGCUUGAAUCCAGGCUGUGCUGAUAUUUAUGACAUCCCAUAUGGACGGAGAGGAAAUAUAUUCAGUUGACUGAAUUAAAUAAAAAUAUAUUACAAUCAUAUUAUAUAUUAGCAGCAAAAAUAAAAAGAAAUGAAGAAAAACGCUGUGUGGUUCAAAAAGAGUGUGGGUGAGUGAGUUAAUUUUCAUAUUAUUAGUAGUAAAAGGGUGGUGGAGUGAGGGAUGUUUGGAGCAAGAGAGGUCUGCUCUCCUCCAACUCAAACAUUUCUUCGAUGAUGAUCACCGUCUUCAAAACUGGGUAGACGAUGAGAAUUAUUCAGAUUGUUGUCAGUGGGAAGGGGUUGAGUGCAAUAACACCACUGGCAGAGUGAUUGAAUUAUAUCUAGGAGCCACUAGGAAUCGGGAAUCAGCAGAGUGGCAUAUGAAUGCUUCUCUGUUUACUCCCUUUCAACAAUUAGAGUCUCUUGAUUUAAGUUUGAACAAUAUAGCCGGUUGUGUUGAAAAUGAAGGUCCUUAAUUUACUUUAUUUUAAUUCUUCCUAUAAAUUUCUUACAUUUAUCUGAUCCCUUUUGGCUUUUGUUUAAUUUGUACGUGAUACAAUAAAAUUAUUUUUUAUUUUUUGGCAGGUCUAGAUAGGUUAUCAAGGUUGAACAACUUGAAGUUUCUUUUUUUAGACUUUAACUGCUUCAACAACAACAUCUUUUCAUCUCUAGGUGGUCUUUCAUCACUCAGGAUCUUAUCAUUGUUUCUUAAUAGAUUGAAUGGAAGUGUUGACAUUAAAGGUAAAGUAAGCUUCAUCCCUUCUCCCGUGUCCCAUCUUUUGUGGAUCUUAUUUCAUCGACCAGCUGGAAGUAUUGAUACGAGAUCUUGCUAGUGCAAGCUUCAAGGCUUUGAGUGCUACAAAAAUAGGUCUAAGAAAUUAUCAAUACAUAACGUUAUUACAUACAAUAAUAGUUCUAAAGAUUGUAACAAAAUCAUUAUCCCCAAUUUUUUUAAGUUAAAUAAAAUAAAAUUCAUGCUUAAGUAUAAAUAAUACUUUGGACAUUCUUGAUAUUUGUCCUUUUAAGAUAAACAGCAACCCAAUUAUCUAUUUGUUUGUCUGUUUUUUUUUUUUCAAUAACAGUUUGUUAGCAUAAAUAUUUACCUGUGAAGUCGAGGAGGAGAAAAUGUUAGAAAAAAUAAAAAGAAAAAAAAUUAAGGGGGAUAGAAUUAGAUUUUCUUUUUUGAGCAAAGAACAUACGUAAAAAGAUAUUAAAUCUAUUAAGUCUAAUUGUCUAUAACGGUAAAUUGCAUAACGAAUAAUUUAUUAGCGUAAAAUAAAUUUUAUUAGAUUCUGAUUAUUUGUUUGAUUUCUUUUCUCUCUGGACUCAACUUAUUUUGUUUAUUUGAUUUGAUUUUAUUUUUUUUUUAAAGAAACUUAUUGUUUAUCAAUACUGAAUGGCUUAAGAUUGAUGUCUUGAUAAUAGAUGGGGCAAUAUUGCAUUUUUAAUGCAGUAGACUUUGAAGUUAUCAUUGACAAGCUUAGAUGAAUUACUAGGACCAUAAUACAAAUGUCACAGGCAUCGAAGGCACUUACCAAGUUUUGAGUACAUUCCUGUUCCUAUCUAAUAGUUUUUAAUUUCUUUAAUUUAAGACCCCAUUCAUUAAUAUUUUCUUUAUUGUGAAGUUAAUUUUUUUAUCUGAAAUUAAAUUUUUUUUUUAAAUUGUUGACUUAUAGUUUACCUUUGUGUUAAAUGUUGGCAAAAUUAUUUUGUCCAAACCAUUUUUUUUGUCCUGAACGUCCAACUAAAAACUGAAUCAAGGGUUAAGUUGUAAGGUUUCAGUUCGUCCGUUAUAUUAAUUUAUUGUUUUAAUAUUAUGCAGUACAAAUAGGUGUAUAAGUCCAGAGGCGGAUGCAGCACAUGACCAGUGGGGGCUUGAGCCCCCACUGGCCAAAAAAAAAAAUUAAAAAUAAAAGAAUUUUUAAAAUUUUUUAAUUAGCCUCAUUAAAUUUAUUAAAAUAGUCACUAUAAAAUAUAAAUCCCAUAAAAUUUAAACUUUGAUUUUUAAAAAAUAUAAAAAUAUAUAUUUUAAUUAAAAAUAAUGAUAGCCCACUACUCAAAAAUUUUCUAUUCUAAAAAAUAUGGUUAAUUCUUCCAGUUUAUAUAAUAAUAGUAGAACGAACAGUUUCAGUAAUAAAACUCAUGAAGAAUCAUCUUUGGAAUCGGAUGGGAUACGUGAUAGUUUGAUUGUUUAUAUAGGAAAUAAUAAAUUUAAUAAUAUUGAUAAUGAGCCUAUUGCAUAACAUUUUAAAAAUAUAAAAAUGCGUAGAGACUAAUUAUAAAUAUUUUAUAUAUUCAAAAUUUUAAUUUUUUAUAUUUUACUAUUAUCUAAUUUAGCCCCCGGUAAAUUAUUUUUUUAGAUCCGCCACUGUAUAAGUCCAUCAUUUAAAUGCAAAAUGAAACCACAUCAAUAUAGAAAUUAAAAGAAAAUGAAUUCUCACAACCAUACGGUGAGAUUCAAACUCUCUAUCUCCGAGGAUUUCUUAAAGUUAUUCUUAAAUUACACUUAAAUGGUUAAAUUUAAUAAAUAAAGGUUUAAUUCUUUUCUCGCACAUUGUAGAAGCAAAUUUUCUCCUCUGUUGAAAAUUCUAAAUAUUUUUUUAAAUUAGGUUUCAACUAUGACAUGUCAGGACAGAUUUGAUACAUUUCUAAUGCAACCGAUAUAACAACACAACUUUGUGAUUUUUACUAUUCAGGAGAAGAAGAACACAACCUGUAUAACCCAACCGUUUAUAUACAAACAUCGAAUCGCUUUUUAAAAUUAAAUUGGGAAAAUUGGGGAUAUAAUCGUUUUUCAUAUAUAUACAUUUUUUCCUUACAAAUUAAAUUCAUGGUUGUUAGCUAAAUAUACCCGCUUAAAGCCACUCAGUCGAACCCUUUGAGAGCUGCUUUAAAUUUUUCGGAUUAGCCAUAUUCUUUUCACUGAGAUUUAACAUAAAAAAAAGGAGAAAAUAAGUUAUUUAAUUAACUCUAUUUUUAAGUGUUGGCAUAAAUACAGGACUCGAUUCCUUGAGUAACUUGGAGAUGCUGGACAUGAGCGACAAUGCAAUCGACAAUCUAGUGGUUCCUAAAGGUAUACAAAAUGUUCAAAUAUUUAUAAUUUGGAGGACAAUUUAAUUGAUUUGAUAAGGGAAUGCCCAAUGACACUUAUCCAAAAUAAUUUAAUCCGAAAUUGUAUCCCAAAUAGAUUACAGAGGCUUGAGGAAGUUGAAUACCCUUGGCUUAGGGGGAACGGAAACUGCAAUUAUAGAUGGAAGUAAGGUGUUGCAAUCAAUAGGAUCACUACCGUCCCUCAAAACACUUUACCUUUCGUGUACUAAUUUUACGGGAACAGUAGUUAAUCAAGGUAAGUAAAUCUUUUAUGUCGAAAAUAAUUGAAUUAAUAUAUAUAGCUAAAAUUUAUUGUUUUUACUUCUUUCUAAAUAGAAUUGCACAAUUUCACCAACUUGGAAGAAUUGAUAUUGUACAAGUCUGAUCUCCAUGUAAGCCAACUUCUGCAAGCAUCAUUCACUUCGUUAAAGAAUCUGUCAAUGCAUUAUUGUGUACUCAAGGGUGCCCUACAUGGUCAAGGUAAAUUACGGGUAUCCGAAGCUUUUAUGAUAUUAAUUUGAUAAUAAUUCUUUCUUUUCAAGUUAAUUUUUUCCCCUAAAAUAAGAUUUUUUUUCUUUUAAAUUUUAUAUAUUUUCAUUGUCCAAUAGUUCUAGCUUCUCUUAAUUGCAGGAUUCUUGAUUAAGGUUAAUGAAAUUUUAGUUCUAUUAUGUUAAGAAUAUUUCGAUCGCUUAGAAGAGUAAAGAAAAAUUAGUAAAUUAACCAAAACAAAAGGAUCAGAUUAUCCUUAUUCCCUUGCAUUAUGUGAUCAAUAUCAAAAUUAUAACCAUUUCUUGUUUAUUGCUUGUAGAUUUUCGUAAAUUCAAGAAUUUGGAACAUCUGCACAUGGGUGGGGCGCAGGUUGACGUCAACACCAGUUUUCUUCAAAUUGUCGGUGAAUCGAUGCCUUCACUUAAGUUUUUAUCACUGAUAAACUCUAGUAAAAAUAUUUGAACUAAUAAUAUCAGACAGCUGGCCUUUCUUUUCCUUGAGAUACUGAUUCGGAGUACUAAUAAUUUUUUACAAGUAAAGUUCCAUUAAAAUAGCAUAAGCCAUGACAAACACGUAUUGUUUAAUGGGCAUCCGUGAGACAAAGGAAUUGAUUAACCCAAAAGAUCAUAUGUACGGACACAACGUUUUAAUUAUUAACUUGUUUAAGUUUCUAAUCAACCUCUCUAAUCAAUCACAGCAAUUUUUCUUUUCCUCUAUCUCAAUCACUAAUUUCUUAAAGUGUAUACAAUUUUAGGAUGUUUGUAUUCUGAGAAGUUACACCAGCAGCAACCAAUUAUUUCGAAUGGAUCAGACUCAUCACGUAGAAAUAUUUAUUGUGGAUAUGAGGGAUAUUUUAAUAUAAUCUUAUUCCCACUCUCAUAUGACCGUGUAUAUUUAUAUGAAGAUUUAUUUCUUUGUUUUUUCAAUAAUAACGUGUAACAAUUGGAGUUUAAUUGAGUGGUUUUCAACUAAAUUUUAUUUAAUUGGCCACUCAAUUUUAAAUUUCAGGAGAGUUGAAAAUUUAAAAAUUAGAUUAAACUUUACUCAUUCUUUACCUUUCUAAAAGAAGAAAAAAGUACUGAUUUUUAAACAAUUGGCCGUUACAGUCUAUAAAGUUUUGAUUUGCUUUUUUAUAUAAUCGCUUUUAUUAAAAGAAGAAAAAAAUAUCGAUUUUUAAACAAUUGGCCAUUAUGAUAUAUAAACUUUUGAUUGCUUAUAUAUAAUCUCUUUUAUUAUUCCCCUAAAAUAUUGUCGAUAAUAAAAAAAAAAAAAAAAGCAGUCGGCCUAUGUAGCAAUGCAUAUGUGGUAGUAUAUGCAAAAUAAUAAUUUAUAUAAAAUUAACCCACAAAAAAAAUGAUUGAUGUGAAUAUAGAGUAUAAUUUCAUAUUCAUACACUUUUGAUUUUGUUAGGGCAUAUACUAUAUUGAUAUGAGCAUAGGACAUUGUUUACUAAAUAAAAUUAUUAAUAGUUUUAGUCUUCUAGAAUCCCCUGAUAGUGCUCUUAAUCAAAUUAUAAUAUAAGUCAUUGCUUUUUCUUUUUUAUUUUACCAUUUUAUUCUAUUCACCAGAUGCAUUUUUAGUAAUUAUUUUCUAUGUACAUGGUAGUGUUUGAUUUAUUAAUAUUAAAGAAGUUAUCAAUCACUUUUAAGUUUUUAAGUGUUUUUAUUAGGUGUCAAUUUGUAUUGGCAUGUCAAGUAGAUUUUUUAUUUAUGUUUUGUUAAAUUUAUAUAGACAAGAAUCUGGAUUGUUUUGACACUUUUUAAUUGCUUUUUUUUAAAUCACUUGUUAACAUAUUUUAAAAAUAUUUGUACUAUUAGUUACUCAAAUUCUAAUCGAUUUCGGUCUAAAUUAGGAAAUAAUUUUAAAAUAUAUAAAACAUAAUAUAGAUUUAUAGAAUAAUCUGAGAAUAAAGAAGUCGAAAAUUGUCAUUUAUACAAUUAAACUACUCUUUUAUUAUUCACCAUUUUUAUAAAUAUUAUCAAACUAAAAGAUCUCAUUUAAUAGUCAUAUGGUCUUGUCUGAGCGAGAUUCGAUUCCUAAAUAAUAAUAAUAAUAAUAACAAUAUUUUAAGCAAUGUCUUUUUAACAGCAGUUCAAUCAUCUAAAUACAUCACUAACGAAGAAUAUAAUACAUAUUAUAUACAUAUUUAGAUCACACAAAACACGUUAUCAUCUAAAUCUCACUUUUUCUCCAAUAUGUAAUAAAUUCAUGGAAAAUUUUUGAGUGUUCAUAGUGUAUGCUCCCACUCUAACGCAACUCUCUCUCUCUCUCUCUCUUCUUUUUCACCUGAAAGCUUGUCUAAUUUGGUUACAUUCAUGCAUGCUUACAUAAUUAGGCUCUAAUGGAUCAUAGUGUUGCAAAUUAUUAUUUUAAUGAUACGAUCGAUAUAAGCCGUGACUUUAUUUAAGAAAAAUGCUUGUUUGAGUGCUAAGGAAAGAUAGCAGUUAAUGGUGGGCUGAGAAUAUUAAUAAACAGAAAUCAGCAACAAGAAAAGAGAAAAGAAUCACGUCUGCUGACCCAAAAAAGGGAAAUAAAAUGAUAAAAUCACUGUGCGCAACAAUGAUUGACACAAGAACUUUACUCUUCCAAGCAUUGGUCCUUUUCAUGUCUUUGCCUGCCAAUUUUAGCAAAAUGUUUAAAAGGAAAGAAGUGUUUGUGAAGAGAUUCUCUCUUUAUUAUUCUCCUCUGUGACACUGACACACAACACAAGUGAGCAAAUUAAAACCGAGAAUGUUUCUUUUCGCAGUGCUUAAAGCAAAUUAAAAGCGUGGUGACAUCUGCUCCUCAGCCUCUGUGCUGAAAGAGUUUAAAAAAUAAAGCUGAUCAAAGUGUGUAUGUGUGAGUGUAGGUGGAGUGCAUGGGAUCAGCAUAUAUGUGAUUUUGUGUUCAUCUGCAGUAUAGAAUGUGAUUCUUUUUUCCUAUCACUUUCUUCUAUGCAAGGAUCGUAAAAUGCUGUUCGGUAUGAUCAGCUGCUGGUACUUUUGAGCUUGCAGCAGCUUCCAAUGAUUUUAUUUCCAUCAAAUGACAGCAUAAUUUGCAUCAGCAAAUCCGAGAUGACAUGCCAGUUUUUGGGCUGUUCCAUUUCUAGAUAUAACAUCCAAACUUGAAUAUGUAUCUCAUUUGAACAUGUGUGAUACUGGAAUGGACACACGAGGAGUUGGAAUUUAAAUGAGGUAUCAUAUGCUUUUCUUGAAAGAAAUAACCAAUUCAGUAACGGCCUAGACAACUCUAGCCACUUCAAAUUGUCGGUUAAUUAAUGAUUCUCUUUCUCCCUCUCUCUCGCAUCUUAACUAAAUUUAAUUGAGAAUAUCUACAAUGCUAGCUAUUUAUAAACUUAAUGAAAGAUGAUAAGGAGCCAUUAUAAUGACAAACACAACUGUAAAAUAGUGCGUUGUUGUAGUGUUGAUUGAAAAAUAAUGCUAAUGUUUUACCUAACAACACUAUAACGCCGUAUAAUUUUUAAUAUGUACUUUAAACUAUCAGUACUCAAACUUAAUUUUUAAUAUGUACUUUAAAGAUUUUAUGCAAUUAUUUAAGUUUUAUGCAAUUAUAUUUUUCAGGACUUUGUCGGUUAGUGCAUCUGCAAGAGUUAUACAUCAGCAGUAAUGAUUUGAGAGGUAGCUUGCCAUGGUGCUUGGUAAACAUGACAUCCCUCCAAGUGUUAGAUGCCUCUUCCAAUCAACUUAUUGGAAACAUCUCCCCAGGCCUUUGUGAGUUGGUGCUUCUGAGAGAGUUAUACAUUCAUAACAAUGAUUUAAGAGGUAGCUUGCCUUUGUGCUUGGCAAAUUUGACUUCCCUUCGAGUAUUAGAUGUCUCUUACAAUCAACUUACUGAAAACAUCUCCUCAUCUCCCAUCAUGCAUCUAAUAUCUAUUGAAAAGCUCAUACUUUCAAAUAAUCACUUCUUCCAAAUCCCUAUUUCACUUGAACCACUUUUCAAUCUCUCAAAACUCAAGACUUUCGAUGGUGAAAUAUGCGCAGAAACUGAGUCACAUUAUAAUUCUUUGACCCCAAAAUUCCAACUGACUUCUAUCUCACUGUCUGGUUACAUAGAUGGUGGCACAUUUCCCAAAUUCUUGUUCCAUCAACAUGACUUGAAGAAUGCUGAUCUCUCACACCUUAACUUGAGUGGACAAUUUCCAAAUUGGUUGCUAGAAAACAAUACAAACUUGGAGACGCUUCUUCUUGCCAAUAACUCUCUUUUUGGAUCAUUUCGAAUGCCAAUUCAUUCCCACCAGAAUUUAGCAAUAUUGGAUGUCUCCAACAAUUUCUUUCAAGGCCAUAUCCCGGUAGAAAUCGGAACAUAUCUGCCAGUCUUAAUGGGUUUAAACUUAUCUAGAAAUGCUUUCAACGGUAGCAUUCCCUCUUCAUUUGCUGAUAUGAAAAUGUUGGGAAGGUUGGACAUAUCGCACAAUCAGUUGACUGGUGAAAUCCCAGAGCGCAUGGCCACGGGUUGCUUCUCAUUAGAAAUUCUUGCAUUGUCAAACAACAGUUUGCAAGGUCAUAUAUUCUCUAAAAAAUUUAGCUUGACAAAUUUGAUGACGUUGCAGUUGGAUGGUAAUAAAUUCGCUGGAGAGAUCCCAGAAAGCUUAUCUAAGUGCUAUUUGUUAGAAGGAUUAUAUCUGAGUGAUAAUCAUCUCACUGGUGAGAUUCCAAGAUGGUUGGGUAAUUUGUCAGCUUUGGAAGAUAUUAUAAUGCCCAAUAACAAUCUUGGAGGGCCAAUUCCAAUCGAGUUUUGUCAGCUUGAUUCUCUGAAGAUUUUAGACCUUUCAAACAAUAGUAUUUUCGGAACCUUACCAUCUUGUCUUAGUCCAGGAUCUAUUGAACAACUUCAUUUGUCAAAAAACAAGAUAGAAGGACGAUUGGAAAGUAUAAUCCAUGACAGCCCUUAUUUGGUGACAUUAGAUCUUAGUUAUAACAGCUUACACGGAAGUAUUCCAAAUCGGAUUGACAGACUACCUAAGUUAAACUACCUUCUUUUGGCUAAUAAUUAUAUUGAAGGCGAAAUACCAGUUCAAUUAUGCCAUUUGAAGGAAGUGCGGUUGAUUGAUCUUUCUCAUAAUAAUCUAUCUGGUCAUAUUCCUCCUUGCUUGGUUAACACUUCACUCAGUGAAGGUCAUCAUGAGGCAGUAGCUCCAACUCCAAGUGGAUCUCCGAUGGGAAAGGAAGAAACUGUUCAGUUCACAACAAAGAAUAUGUCCUACUAUUAUCAAGGAAGAAUUUUGACGAGUAUGUCUGGGAUUGAUCUUUCUUGUAACAAACUGACAGGUGAGAUUCCUACUCAAAUUGGAUAUCUUACUAGGAUUCAUGCACUAAAUCUAUCUCAUAACAAUUUGACGGGCACAAUCCCGACAACAUUUUCAAACCUGAAGCAAAUCGAAAGCUUGGACCUCUCCUACAACCUACUGCAUGGGAAAAUCCCUUCUCAGCUCACUGUGCUAAAUACAUUGGCGGUCUUCACGGUAGCAUACAAUAACUUAUCAGGAAAAAUUCCAGAUAGAGUUGCACAAUUUUCAACUUUUGAGGAAGAUAGCUAUGCGGGGAAUCCUUUUCUUUGUGGAUGGCCACUGUCUAAAAGUUGCAAUGAUAGUGGAUUAUCAGCAGUGACACGAGAAGCUUACACUGAUAAUGAAGAAGGUGAUAGUUUAAUUGACAUGGACAGUUUCCUAAUCACUUUUACAGUAUCUUAUGGAAUUGUGAUAUUAGGAAUUAUUGGAGUUUUAUACAUAAACCCCUAUUGGCGACGAAGAUGGUUUUACCUUGUUGAAGUAUGUAUGAUCUCUUGCUACUAUUUUGUAGUAGAUAAUCUUAUUCCUAGAAGAUUCUAUGGUGGAUGGAUGUAAUUUCAUUUACUUUACAACUUAUAUGUAAUUUUUAAAGAAUUUUCUUUUGCAUGCAUGGAAUAGCAACUCAAUAAAAGUAUUUGAUGCAAAUUGUCCAAGAACAACUUAGUAAUUUCAUUGCUACUAUUCGGUUGUAUAUAUACAGUUAAUGAAAUUUUUAAUCAUUCGCAGUAGGAAUUUCUUUAAAUGGCGGCCAAAACUAACAGAUUUGGGGCUCUACCUCUACACAUCAUAACAGGCAAAAGGUCUCUCUUUUACACUAUCUGAAUGAAGAUUAGCUUACGCCCCCUGGAGUUCUCUAUUAAACUUGACGGUUGAGAUUUCAGGUCCAGAUGAAAGUGAAAUGCAGGCGACGAGACUACACUUUAAGUAAACUGGGACAAACUUAAAAUAAAAAAAAUUGUAGUCCAGGGUGAGAGUGAUGGGUAGCUCAACUUAUGGAGGAUAAUUAGGACUUGGAAUAACUAUCAGAUUUGCAACUCUUGUUAUAUGCUAGUGGGGAUUUAGGUAGCAAUUUUUUUUUUUUUCCUUUUUGCCCUCUUCCUCACAAUAAACACACCUAACACACCAAGCCGUGCCCAAAAUAAUCCUAUUUUAUUCAUGUCAUGAAUCCAAAAACUAUCCCAGCUCACUUUGUUUAACCAGCAUAACUAAAUUGUGGGUAUAAAUGAACACACUUUCGAAGCCUGUAACUUAUAAUAAGCUCAAACCCAAAAAUGACAUUUAAAUCCUGCAAGUGUUUUUCAUCAUCCCUAACAAAAAGAAACAAGAAUAAUUAUAUACCAAUAGUUUUUCCAUAAAAAAUACUGAUACCAAUAGUUUUUCCAUAAAAAAUACUGAUUUGAGUUGAAACACUCUACAAACUGGAUUUUAUACACUUGCAGAAAGCUACGCGAUAGACAAAAUCUAGCAGCUACAUAAUGGUAUCACUUUCAGCUGGUCAUGAAUGGUGUGCAUUCAGCAGUGCUCGAUAGACCAUGUCUAUGAAUUGAUUGUCCUAUUACAUAUAAAAGCUGGUCAGAUAUACAAGGAAAAAAAUAAUAAUUGAAAAUGCAUCACAAAAAAUAAGUGUCUCGCAUUAGUGUUUGCACUCUAAGCAUGGCAAAGUGGUGCGGGUUCAUGAUUUUGAAGACUGGGAUAAGUGAAAAAUAGUUCAAUCCACUGAUGAACAUAAAUUUAUUUACAUGUCAAUUUAGAUAUCAUAAAAAAGUAAACUGUAAUUCACAGUCACUUAAAAGAGUUGAUAAAAUGCAUGCCAUGAAUGCAUUUUUGUACAUAAGAAAUCCAAAGAGUAUUUCUGACAAUACAAAUAUGCUAGCUUUAAAUCUGCUGUCAAUAUGCAAUUAAGAAGAUUAUAUCAGCUGCAUGAUAAAGUUCCCCUAAUCUUAAUAACAGUAAACAUGAACAUGUCAGAUGCAAUUAUAGCUUCGAGCAUUUGCAUAACCAGAAAUCCUAACCUGAACAAGCACCAGAAGUGUCUCUCGGACUUUCUCCUUGUUGAUAAAUGGUCCGCUGUUUGAAGUAAGAGCAGGAGUAAGAGAUGGUGGAGGGGUUGGUAGUGGAAAAGGUUGAAGCAUUGGGGCACCAUAUGGGCGUUGCAGACUCAGGGGAGGAUUAAGUGGCGGAGCUGUUGGUGUAGAUGAAGAGACAAGCUGCAUCAUCUGUGCAUAGGAGGAUGGAGGAGGAACAAAGAAUAAGGAAGGCUUUACAAGAUUAGGGGUAGGUGCUGACAGAGGUGGAGAUGGUAUUUGCAAGGUUGGCACGAUAAGAGAAGCAACACUGGCGGGAUGAGAAGGUAAAGAAAUAGUUGUAUUGGACUGGUAAGGUUGUGCAGAGAUUGCUGCAUUAGAAGUAUUCCCCACAGUCAAAGCUGUCUGCAAUGAUAAGGACAGAUGUCAUAUACAAGGACAUGAUAGAAGAUGAACCUCACACAAAAAUGAAGUGAUAACAUAUGAAAAUAGUAUGACUUGCUGCAGUUUUGUGGUAAUGUUGCAUACUUAUGCAGAAACAUAUUAUUUCAAAGAAAACAUACACUGAAGUAGUUCACAAAAGCAGGAUCUUCAGGAACAUCAGCAGCAUUUGAGGGAGUUGACUCUAGAGGGACCAUCCAUAACUGCCAUAGUUGGAACAGCUUCCAGUUCCUCAAACUCACUGCAGUUUAACAUAAAAGGAACUUGAUGACCAAUUUAAGUAAUAAUUAGAUGAUAUAAGAGGUUAGGGAAAAUGAUGAGUGGACCCUUAUGGAAGGUGAUUUCACCUUAACUAAACACGAAAAUAAAAAGAAAUCAAAGCUGAAUCCUCGAGUGCAAUGCAAAGAAUUUUUUCUCGCUCUUCUCUAACUCCUCUUAUUCGAAAUUGCUCAUCAUUGUGCUGUUCUUAGAGUUUUCACUAGAGUAGAGAAAGCUAUUCUCCCGUUAAGUACAGAGGAAAGAGAAGGGCAAGGGCCUGGUAUGAUGCUAUUCUAUAGGAAGUGAGAAGGUGAAGGGUUAAAAUAUUUUGUAAUUUGGAGGUGGUGUUUGUUAGUGUGUGUGUACUUCUGAAUUUAUUACCUCUUUAGGAUCCAUAGAAAUUGCCUCUUGUUCAGCAUACACUGUGCCUACGAGUAAGACGAGCUUGCAUGGUAUCUAUUGUCUAUUUACUUGGAUAUUCAAACAUGACUACCAGCAACCAAACACAAAUCCCCAAACAAAACACUCUUUCAAGUGCAAGGAAAGAGUAACUUGGGCAUAUUUAUAGUUCAAGCACUACAAUAACUAAGAAUGUGAUGACUGUCCACAAACACUAUAUUAGUGCCUUUUGAACUACAUUACAUGCUCGAAGACUUUUUUUUUAGUCAUACAUAAAUUAGCUAUAAAAUUAAGACCGUUAUACAACUAAAAAGAAAGAAAAAUUGUUUGCUACUACAUAUCAAAACUGGUAAUAGCAAUGUAAGAUGGCAGACUUCUUACUUAAACAGAUGAGAGGCUACAAAUAAAAAAUUUGUGCAAAUAAAAUAUAUGAUAAAGAGCAUAAUACUUUCUUGGGGGCUAAAAAUAAUAUACAACUUGUGAAAUAUAAAUUGAGCUACCAUUACCUUUUAGAUGUGGCAACUUUCGACUUUUGAGGCACCUUGGAAUAUGCAUUCAGAAUCCUGCAUUUGGAAGCCAAAUAAAUAAUGUUAAUAACAAUUUUACAAUAGAAAAAUUAAAAAUUGAUAAAUGGCAGUUGUAAUUUAUGUAUGCGUAAAGAUAGCUUCACAUCCAGGGUCCUCCCAUAAACAUGCUUGUAACAAGAAUUAGUUUGUCCAACUGUUAGCAACUGCUAACAAUGUACAAUAGUAAAAAUCACUCUCAUGAACUCAACAAUACUAGGCACCAAUAAGAGUAUGAUACAGCCAUUCUAAAAUGGAAGAGAAUACAACUGUUUUACAACUAUGUUGCAUCAGGAAUUAUGUUAGGAGGAUUAAUCCAGAUACCUUCCAACCCAAUUAGGAAAACUCGAGUCAGAAACCAGGAGCCACAACCGAACCUUACAAUCUUGAAGGAAGAAGGAGACUUGGGGCAUUUUUCCAGAUAGGUGACUUACUAGAUCUCCUGCCAAGAGAAUAUCUAUUGCUUUGAACCUCCAUUGAAAUUUCUUUUCCCUUUUUCUUGUUUUGGCUUGGAACUUUCCAGCAUCAUCUAUUUGAUCUUUUUUAAAGCUAAAAAAGCAAUCUAUGGGUUGUGAACAUCUUAUCACCACCCCCCCCCCCCGGGCCCCCCAAAAAAAAAUCAAUGAGUUGUCAAUAAAUAGCGCCUACUCAAAUGUUUUCCAAUGGAUGACAAUGUGCAAAUCGACCUAGCAGCCACAUUUUUCCCCCCUUUCAACCACCAUUAGGCAACUUUUUUAACCUUUCUUCAUUGCCCACGUCUACAGAACUAUCAUAUAAAGACUACAUUAUUAUUGGGAUAGAGAAAAAUAUACAGACUGUAUUAUUAUAUCUCAUUUUAUUAAUUAACUAGUGCAAGACUUAUUUAGUGUCAAAUCAAGAACUAAUUGGAAAAGACAACUCAUGAUAAUACAGACCUUAAAAAGCAAUAGCUAGCAACACCCCAUAUACUCCUAUUUUAGCCUUUAAUAUCCUGGUAAAAACACAAUUAAGUCUUGCAAAAGAACAUUCACAAGUAAAUUCAACAUUAAUUAAGAUUAAGUAUCUACUGCACCUUCAAUCAAUGACUGGGUGAAUAGCAUGGUCAACCAUCUAGUUCCUGUAGCCCUCCUUGUACCUAUGUUGGUUACAUUUUACAUAUUAAGCCACGAAAAUGAAGGAUCACAGCCUGGUAAAGAAAGCCAUUAAUUAAUAGUGUUUGUUUAAAAAGUUCUCGUUUAGAUCUUUCCUAUUCAAUGAAUCAAUGUCAUCCAUGGAGAACUCUUCCAUUUCAAGCAGUGUUAGAAGAUAAUUGGAAAGCCUAAAGAUAGUAUACAAGGACCAAGAUAUCGAUUAGGUCAAAUAGUGAAUGUCAAAUAUAAAAAAUAAAUAAAAGAAGUUGUACAUGAUCAUUUACUAUCAAGUUCUGUAAAAUUGAAAAUACCAUUAUCUCUGUAGAGAUUCUCAAACAACUCUUUAGCAAAUUAUAAAAUAGUUAAAAAAAGAACAAAAGUUUUUUUUUAAAAAAAGAACAUCCAUAUCAGGAGAUGUUUUUCUUCUCAAUCUCAAUAUUUUCUAGCCGUGAAGCAAUUGAAAAGCUUAACACCAAGUGAAUUAUUAAGAAUUCAUCAUUUAAAUUCCCAAAUCGCAAAAUGUUGGUGCAACUAGGAAAGUGCAAAUGCAAUCACUUAACUAACACAAGAAACACCAAUAGUGAGAGCCCACUUUGUAUCAAAUUUGAAACAGAUAGAGGUCAAAAAAAUUAUACACUCAAUUAAAAGCCUUUCAAACAGCUUUUGCAUGGAACAAGAACAAAUCAAAGGCGAUGUGAAUGUAUUCAAAGACUAAUUUACAAUGAUCUACAGGACAUAAAUAUCUUGGAUACCUACUCUCUAUACCUUACUGUCCCACUAGAAAUCAUCAAAUCCCUCCAAACAAAAAUGACAAAAUGGAUAAGAAUUGUGUCGUUAAACUUCAAUAACUUAGCAGCCACAGCAAAAACUUAUGUAGGCACGCAAGCCAUUCAAAAUAGUCAUAUUGUUUGCUUUCCAAACAAAAGCCACUUUGUAAUGAAUAUUCAUAAAUUGCUACUAUCAUGUUUGUUAAAACACGUGAAAACCACCAUAACUAACUAAAUGUAACUGAUGAUCAUCAUCAAGUUCAUGGAAUCACAUAUCUGACAGUAUUAAUUAGUGCAAAUGGCAUGCUUCUUAAAACUCCGUAUUUAUCACAUGGGCGCCAUUCCAAUCAACCAAUGAUUCUGAUCUAGUCGGCAUAUUCAACCCACGAGCGAGUAAUACCUCCUAUUGCUUCUUUACAUUUCUCAACGAAAUUCCACAUUCUAACCAUACUUCUGAACUUGUUGCUCCCAUAGACUAAUACAAUAUAAAGAUUUCUUCCCACACCACCUCAGCCCACACUCCUGAAAAACCAAUUUAAAUUCUCAUUGGCUGUACAACCUAUAGUCCAUACCAAAUUGAAAAAUUUACAAAUAUAGAACCUCAAAGAAUCUUCUUGCAUUCCAUUUUUUACGGCAAGAAAUUUGACUUUUACCACAUGCAAGUCAACAAAUAAAAAAAUCAUGUCUUUGUGAGAUGCACAUUUUCAGACGAAUCUAAAGAGCAAUGAAACCGUAAAAACCGAAUAUGAGAACACCGAGGACUCCAGAUAUCACCUAUAGAAUCUUUGGUCCACACUUGCACGAUGAAAAUGAUGAAAAACAAUUGAAGGCUUCAUCACCAGCUCCCCAGGUUGUUUUGUUCUCCUAUCUCCUAAAUAUAAAGGAAACGCAACCCGUUCUUUUUUCCAAUCUUAAGGGGCACAAAACGACUCUGGUAUAAAAUAGUCAGUUUCUAUACAAAAAUAACUCCUUUGCACUUGGCAUUGCACAUCUCGAAAUAAAAAGCAUGCUAGAAAGAGAAUAUAAUAGCAUUAAACAAGUUUUAUUAACCAAACUUCAAAGAUGCCACACAAGGCAAAAAUGGAAUCUGUACAAGCCAGAUUCCAAGAAUAAUAAUUCCAAUAUACAAUUCAGGAAAACAAUAACUAAAACUAGGUUCACGAGGCCUCGGCAGAAGCAACAUGUAAUAACCAUACUCUAUUAUUUGAAACACAUUUCUAAGUUUGGUUAAGAUUCUAAACUAUUCUCUGUGUCAAUUAUUAACAUGUAAAACAUAAUAAUAUACACUUAAACUACUACACAAACUACUACACUAGUAAAACCAGUAAAACAACAAUACCUGCUGAAAAGAUUUGCUACCUCUUCACAUUCACGAGCAUUGUAGAACCAAAUCCCAUUUACUUCUUGGGAUGCAUUUCGAUAUAACAAAUACGGAACCUGAACUUCAAACUCAAAAUCUCCCAAAAGAUUUUCCACUAAAUUAUCUGCACAUAUACAAGAUAUUGAAGCUUAUGAGUGCAAAAACAUAUACAAAAAGACAUGAAGGUUAGAAGACAUAACUAAAACUUAGCAACAACUGAUAAGCACAACAAGACAUGAAAUAUAACACUAGUUGUAAACAAGAUAGACACAUGGUAUCUAAAAAAUUGUACCAACCCCCUCUCCUGAUUGUCAUAAAACGGCCAAUAUUUAACCCUAGACAACAAAAUUGCAAAUACUCUAGCCUCUAUAUUAUUGGCAUAUAAAUAUUUUAGGUUAGGUACGUUAUAUUCUUCGUUCUAAAACCUCAAUUAUUAGCUAGUACUGUGAUAAAAUGAUUCAUCACUGAAAUUAAAACUAGUUCACGUACAAAUAAUCAAAACUGAAAUAGAAACAACGACAAACCAACCUGUAUUACGUCGAUUCAUUACAACAAACUGAAAUCGAGGCUGUGUGUUCCUGAAAAUUGAAAAAAUAAUAAUUUCACCAACUUCAUAUGUGAUACAAUCUCCAAAACACCGAAUAUCAAAUGAAAAAAUGGAAAGCAUAAGAGAGAAAAGAAUCUAAUUUUAUUGACCUUUUGACGACGAAGAGAGAUCCUUCAACAUCCCUACGACUCCAUUGGCUGAGGUCGAUGUUGAACUCGUAGAAGGUGACAUGAGCGGCCGUGAUGAGGAUCUCCUCAAUGAAUGGAUCGAAUCGCUGAAGAACUGUCAGGUUUAGGAGUUUUGUGCUCUGCUGGUCCAGAUUAGGCAUCAAUUUUCCGUUCUGCGACAUUUUUUAUAGUCGUUUUGGGCUCUGCCCCGAUCACUAGCCCUCAUGUUUUUCUGUGAGCUCUCUCUCUUUUGUAAAUAAAGUGUUUGAUGAGAGCGCCGAGAGAGAGUGAAAGAGUUGAACAGCCAAACAAGGUGAGGUGAACAGUUUCGGACUGAGACUCGAGAUUGGUCAAGCUUUAACUUCUUUCAAACAUUUGGGAAAUAGCAUUUAUUUCUUUCAAUUUCUCUACUGUUUUUUUCCUUUAUGUCAUUUAGACCCCAAAAUUAGAUUUAUUAUAAUCAUAUUUUACCCAUUCACUAUUAACCCCUUUUAUUUUUUAAAUUGUCAAUAUAUAAUGUAUUAGAAUAAUGUUAGAAAUCCCAAUAAUUAUCUCAAUGUUUCAAUCAUAACUAAUGUGAUAACUCAUCGGUAAGUGCAACAUUAACUUAAUUAUUAAUGUUUAUCAUGAAAUGAUGAGAUUAUUAUUCAAGAAAAACUUAGUAAACAACAAUGACUAAUAUAAUGUGACAAUUACAGCUGAAUAUUAGUACAAUAAUUAGAAUCCCUAAAGUUAGUGAAUGUAUUAUAAUAUAUGUGUGUUACACCACUUUAUGUCUCUCAAAUUCAAUUAAGUACUUUUAAAAACCUGACCUUUUAUUACUUUAAUUAGGAAUGCAUACAUGAACGAAAGAUGUGCAAUUUUUGUUCUAUUUUUCACUAUUAUUUACCAUACAUCUACGUACGUCACUUGAUUUUUUGCGAUUAAUAUGCUUAAAUGGAGGUAUAAAUAAAAUAAACGAAAAGUCUAAGAGAAAAAAAAAUAUCUUGAUGUUAUUGUUUGCUAAAAGAUGUUAUGAACAACUAAAUAACCAACAACCCUGCUUCGGUGAGUGUGCAACAUGAGGUGCUUGACGGGAUAUUUACUUUCGAUGAUACAACUAAAGCUAGCCGCAACAUAUAUCAGGUGCCUGCUUGUUUUUACCUUCUAGAUACUAAUAUUGUUUUACAGGUUGCCAGUGUAACAUUCGACUUGCUGUUGCUUCUAGUGUUGGGAUCGUGUUUAAUUGUGCUUUUCAGCUUUCUUGUCAUAACAACUUGGGUAUUAAUCUUUCUCCAUAUCAAGCUUGAAGUUCUAAAUUUCAGUUUUAUCUUGUAUUUGAUGUUUUAUAAUUUCAUUGCAAACAGAUUAGAAUAGAAACUUCAAAAGUUCCAACUGACUAGUCCCGUGUAACUUUUUCAGGGAAUAUUUUUGAACGUGAAGAACUAGCUUAAUUUUUUUUAUGUUACUUUCUUACCCUAUCUUUGUAUAACUCCGAGCGAGAUUCACGAAGAUUGAAUCCUGCCUACGAUUACGGCGAGCAAUUUAGCAGUGAGGCAACCGAGGUCGUUUACAUAUUCAUUUUCAUCUAGGUUAACAUGAGCUCCAUUUGCGUUGAUUUAAUAUGUUAUUUGAUAAAAGAAAUUGAAUUCAUGACUUACUCUGAAUGUAACAUAAGCUCCAUUUGCGCUGAUUUAAUAUGUUAUUUGAUAAAAGAAAAUUGAAUUCAUGACUUACUCUGAAUGUGACCAUCAUUGGAGAUUAUAGAAUUCAAGUCACAGAAAUCUAUGCUUAUCAAAGUAAUUUGGAUAAUUAAGAAAACCACAAAGGUCCAGAAAACUUCUAGAGAGAUGAAGAAAAAUGUUUUCACGUGGUGAUUCAUUUUAACUAAUUAUAUACCCAAACGCGUAGCAGGAGGCUGACUGGCCAUUCCCCAGAUUCAUUUGACCAAACAGCGUAUCAUUCAUAUGUUUGCCACCGACCUACUUCGUGACACGCCAUCACCUCGCUUGUGGAUAAGCUCUAUCUUUUAAAAUAAUUUUAUUGUGAAUAAUUUUAAUUAUGAAAUUGUAAUUAAACAUAGUUAGUUACUCGAAGAUUGUGCAUGAAUUACGAUGUAUCAGAAAACAGGAACACAUAGUUUUCAACAAUUGAUCCUAGGAAGAUGCCCAUAGCUUGUUGUGCCAAAAAUAGAAAAUCUAAGAUGUGAAAAAAUUUUGUUGAGAUUCAUUUUUCAUCCUGAUGUUACAGCUGGCCUUUUUUUUUUUUUUUUUUUGGCAGAGAAUAAUGCUUAUGUGAUUUCUGAACUUGGUUACUGUUGAAAUGAGCUGAAAAUGAGCUGGAAAUGUGUUUGGUUAAUGAGAAAGAGAGCGAGAAAAUGAAAGAAAUCUAUUUCACUUUUUGUUUAUCAGAAUGAUUACAUUCACAAUGAAUCUAAGCUGAUAUUUAUACUUAAAUGAAUACACACGAGAUUCUUCUUGCUAGAUACUUCUAGAAACUCUACACGCACACUCACACUGAGCUAGUGGUUACUAAAACCGUUACAACAAUAUUGCCAGCUCAGCAUAACCAACUUAUAACUAACACACUCAGCUGCAGGGGAAACCAUCAAGCAUACGGUGCAUCCUCUGUAAUCAAGCUUCUUUAAGCAUGCUCUGCAGAUCAUACGUCUGAAUUAUCGAAACAAGAUGAAUUAUUUUUUGUUUAUUUUAGCAGGCGAUCUAUGAUCGGAAUUUCUUGCAACAAAAGAUGUGUGUCCACCAGCUUGUAUUCAAUUCGCGAACACAGUUUGAGAAGAAUCAGACCAUUAAUUUUCUUUUGAGCCAAUCAACAGAAUGUACAUUUCUUCUAAGAACCUGUAACCGAAACCGCAGUUUUUCAGGUUUGCUCCUUCCUCAUAGCAGUUAAUCAAACGAUAAACAGAGAUAUCCCAUGUCAACAAGAAGGUAAUCAUAAAAGAACAACAGAAUUGUUGCAACAUAUUCAUAUGAAAUGUAAAACAAUUUUGAGAAAAAAUAUUGGGAAGAUAUUUUUUUUUUCAUAGAAGUUGCAAUCUUUACGUUAUUUACUAGUUUGACUAGACUAUAUAAGGAAGCUAUAUGAAAUUAGAAAAAUAAGCUAUACUAGGAAAGAAUAAAUAUAUGUACAGAAAAUUAGGCUAUAAUCUCUGACUUUCAACAAAUUUAACAUCAAUUUUCUUCAGGAAGUUGUCUCGCAAGGGGCGCAUCAGUAUUGUAACAUCUGCUGGGUCUUACAUUAUCCACAAAAAUAACUCGUCCAUCUAGUACCUGCAAGUACAUACUCUGAGAUGCUUAAACUCAACAAUAUAAGCAUGGUAAAUUAGAGAAAAAUGAUGCAAUUUUACCUUCCCAUUCAUGUCUGCCGAGGCUUUUUGGGCUUCCUCUUCUGUACUGAAAGUCACAUAUCCGUAACCUUUUGAUCUAUUCUUACCUUUAUCCAUUAUUAUUGUAGCUGCAAAAAGAAAAGAAUCGGAUAUUACAAAAUAGUGAAGAGGGAAGAGGGGUUGAGACUUAAAACAGAAAUAGACCAAACCCUCAGUGACGUGGCCAAAUUGUGAAAAAGCAUCAGCUAACAUUCCUUUAGUGGUUGAGAAAGAUACGCCUGCAAAUGAUGCCAGUUAAUUUUAUCUUUUUUAGAUGGUAAGAUUGCAAAUUCUGCAGCCAAAGGUAGUACGGAGCUGAAUAAAGGAAAUCAAAUAUGAACACGUCUUCAAUCUCAAAAUAUUAAGAGUAGCCUAAGUAACUUGUGAAACAGUUAUAAGUUCAAGGGAAUUAGAUGAUGGCAUGGUUGAAUUUUAUAAAUAUUUGAUAUUUUGGACCGAACAGGGCAAACAGAUGGAUCCAGAUAAUCAAGAAAAACAUCAAUUCCAUGCAACCAAAUUAUUCGAUUGAUUAAUUGAGCAACACUAUAAAAUUAUUCAAAUAUGUGGCUCCGUCCGUUCCACCACCACAACCAAAAAAAUCAGAUCCCCCCAUUUGGAUUCGAUUGAUUAAUUUGAGCAUAUAAAAUCGGGUUUUAAACUUCCCUAAUCAAAAUUUAUAGUCCACAGAAUCAGUUCCUUUAACAUGAUGCAUUACAUAAUAUUUUGUUUGCAAAAUAAAGAAGAAAGAUGACAUAAUAGAAACACGCUAUUGCAUCUUUUGAAAAAGAAAAACGGAAUAGUUUUCCAAAAUUAAUUCCGAGAAGAAGAUUAACUAAUAAUGAUGUUAGAAAUUUUAAUAUUUGAGUCUUAAUAUUAUGUAUCACUCAUUUAUUAAAUAAUAGAUUUCAUAAUUUGUAAAAUUACUUAACCACUUGAUAAAUGUUAUAUUUGUUGGGACUUAAAUGUUGGAAUAUCUAGUAUUGCAUUAAAAAAUAAAUAAAAACUUAACAAUUUAUCUUCACUUGACUAAUUAUUUUUACAUUACAACUAACCUUAAUUAUUUUGAAAAUUACAGUAUUAUUAAAUUGCCCUAACUGGUUAUCAAAAGUUGAAAGCAUGUUAAAAUAAAAAAAAUUACUAAGAAACAUGUGCUUAAACAGAGGUUAAGGCUAUGAACAAUUAAGAAGAAAAUCAAUGUUGUUUUUUUUUUUCAAUUGAUUUCAAUUCCCACUGUUGUUUUUUUUAUAAAAUAAUUUAUUUAACUAGUCAUAGAAAUAAGAUAGAAAAGGGGGCAUUUGUUGACUCAAAGUCAAUUACAAAUAUUAAACUUGAGCGGACAUCGCAUGCCUAACUUCCACGCCCCCUAAAACGGUUUGAUUUGCUUUCACGCGAUCAUGAAUUUCCAUGAAAGAGCCUGCCUUUCGUCUCUUUCGGGACAGUGACUUCAAUUAUGGAAAAAUUUAUAAUUCUCGUUAGAUUGUAACUAAAUUAUUAUCCCUAAUUUUUUUAAGUUAAACAAAAUAAAAUUUAUGGUUAAGUAUAAAUAAUACUUUGGCCAUUCUUGUUAUUUGUCCUUCUAAGAUCGACAGCAACCUAAUUAUUUAUUUGUUUGCCUUUUUUUUUUAAAUAACAAUUUGUUAGCAUAAAUAUUUACCUGUGAAGUCGAGAAGGAGAAAAUGUUAGAAAAAUAAAAAGAAAAAAAAUUAAGGGAGAUAGAAUCAGAUUUUCUUUUUUAAGCAAAGAACAUACGCAAAAAGAUAUUAAGUCUAAUUGUCUAUAACGGUAAAUUGCAUAACGAAUAAUUUAUCAGCGUAAAAUAAAUUUUAUUAGAUUAUGAGUGUUCUGAUUAUUUUCUAGAGUACGAAUUGCCCCAUCGUAAAAAAAAGGCCGAGAAAUAUAGCCUUUGCGAUGGCCUUUUACCGUGUCGUUGUAAAAAGGUUAGUAGUUGAGUACUAUUAGUAAUUUAAUGCACCAAUAUUGUGUAUUCCAUCUUAUCAAUGCCUGAUUUUAUAAAUAGAUUGCAAUGUAAUUUUGAAAAAUAAAACAAUAAUUUACGAAAUGCUUAUAACAUAAUUUUAAUUUUUUUCAAAAAGGAAAAACAGCAAAAGUAAAAAAUAGAGAAUGAGGGCUACAAACUUUGCAUCUUAAGCGGCCGUUAGAUUAUUCGUAAAUGAAAGCAACGGUCAGAUAUUGGUGGAUUAUGGAAACAUGUAAUCAUAAGGAUUACCAGUUUUUUUUUAUUUUACAUUAAUAUAUUACAAUCAAAAUUCUAUUGGUAUUUACAACCAGAAUUUCAUUUGACUAUCUUUGAUAAUUCUAAACUAGUACAACCCAAAUUCUUAUUCUCAUAUAAUAUCAAAGAGAGAUAUAUAUUCUUCUCCUCUAUUAAUAAAGAGACAUUUUUACUUCUAUCCAAUUUAAAUAGAACAAGAAUUAAGUCAUUUUAAUAGUUAGGACUCAGAACUCAUACACGCUAGUUUGAGAGUGUGGAGUGUGACAAUGGGCCAAGAGACCAUUGACAAGUACAAAAAGUGAUAGAAAUUAAUUCAAACCGCUACACACGCUAUUGCAACCAAAUUGAGGGCACAUUUUUGUUUAUUUCGUUGAAAAGUAGUCUGUAAAAUUAACUCAAACCGCUACAUACGCUAUUGCAACCCAAUUGAGGGCCCAUUUUUGUUUAUUUUGUUGAAAAGUAGUUUGCGCAAUUAAUUCAAACCGCUACACACGCUAUUGCAUCUUUUGAAAAAGAAAAAUGGAAUAGUUUUUCAAAAUUAAUUUAUAAAAUAAGAUUUACUAAUAAUGAUGUUAGAAAUCUUAAUAUUUGAAUCUUAAUAUUAUUUAUCACUCAUUUAUUAAAUAAUAGAUUUCAUAGUUUGUAAAAUUACUUAACCACUUGAUAAAUGUUAUAUUUGUUGGGACUAGAUUGGGACUUAAAUAGUGGAAUAUCUAGUAUUGCAUAAAAAAAACUUAUUAAUUUAUCUUCACACGACUAAUUGUUUUUACAUCACAACUAACCUUAAUUAUUUUAAAAGUUAUAGUAUUAUUAAAUUGCCCUAACUAGUUAUCAAAAGGUGAAAGCAUGUUUAAAAAAGAAAUUACUAAGAAACAUUUGUUUAAACGAAGGUUAAGGUUAUGAUCAAUUAAUUAAGAAGAAACUUACUAUCAAAGGUUAAGAUUAUGAACAAUUUAAGGAAGUUAUUGAGUAGAGAAAGGGACAGAAUGGUUGUCUGAAUUGCCGGUGACAAGAAUGCUUGUGUUGUGAAAAGAAAUCCGAUGGUUUGUAUUUUUGUUGAAUUUUUCGCUCGCUUCAAUGACUUGCUUAUGCCCAAUAUAUUACUUUGCACAGUAGUAUUUGGGAUCCUAACAAUCAACUCUUAAUUUGGUCCCAAUUAGUAUAGUAAUCAUCUAUUGAGCGGUAAAAUAUUAAUUUAAAUAGUCAUAAAAUCUAAUAUAUAAUAGAUUACUAACACACAUAAAUUAAAACUUAAUUUUCUGAAAUCAUAACAUUACUCUACUCUUCAGUGGAGUUCUCUUAAACAGAUUAUGUGAGAUUGCCUAUAUUAAAAAUAUGUUAAGACCUCUUGUUGAAAGCAAUAUUCGCUUUUUGAUUAUAUCCAUAACUUUGAAUUGAUGAAGUUGUAUUCAACAGCUCUUGAAAAGACUAAGCAUGUCUUCUUUGCAUUUGAUCACUGGUAUUUCAGUUAAGUUUGUCGUUUACUUAAAUUUUUCUUGCUUUCAAUUUCCACUGUUAUUUUUUUUUAAUAAAAUAAUUUAUUUAAACUAGUCAUAGAAAUAAGAGAGAAAAUGGGCCAUUUCUUGACUCAAAGUCAAUUAUAAUUAUCAAAACCUGAGGGGACAUCGCAUGCCUAAAUUCCACGCACCCUAAAACGGUUUGAUUUGCUUUCACACGUUCAUGAUUUUCCAUGAAAGAGAGUGCCUCUCGUCUCUUUGCGGACAGUGACUACAAUUAUGUUAACGUAACAAAUACAUAACGUUAUUACAUACAAGAAUAAGUUUUUGGAGCCGAGACUUGAGGGAGGUUCUAUCUAAUUCUAAAGAUUGUAACCAAAACAUUAUCCCCAAUUUUUUUUAAGUUAAAUAAAAUAAAAUUUAUGCUUAAAUAUAAAUAAUUUUUUAAAGUUAAAUAUAAAAUAAAAAAAUUCAUGAACUUCCAAGAAAGAAAGAAGACCCUUCACCUUCUUCGUGACAACAAAUGAUGUUGAUAUGACAAAUACAAGCGCUAUUACAGGGAACAGCAUAAGACCGAGACUUGAUAAAUAUUAAAUAUAUAAAAUAAGUGGGGCAAACGAACAGAAUAAUAGAUAUUUUAUAAUAUUCUUCAUAAACGUCCAAGUUUUGAGCUGGCCAAUAAGCUUAUCUAGUGAAGUAUGGGUAUCCACGUUGCCCAAGGUUCCGUUUGAAUCCAGGCUGUGUAGAUGUUUAUGACAAUCCCACAUGGACGGAGUGGAAAUAUUUUCAGUUGACUGAAUUAAAUAAAAAUAUAGUACAAUCAUAUUAUAUAUUAGCAGAAAAAAUAAAAAGAAAUGAAGAAAAACGCAUGCAGACUUAGACAAGUCAAUUAAAAGCUGGGAGUAUCAUCAGUUCAAUUGGUUAUAAAUAGCGUAGAGCCAUCCUCUCGUUGUUGCAGAACUGAAGGAAAGAGAGACAGAAAGAGUGCGUCUAGGUGAUUAUAAUUAAGAAGAUAUAAUGUGUGGUUCAAAAAGAGUGUGGGUGAGUGAGUUAAUUUUCAUAUUAUUAUUAGUAAAAGGGUGGUGGAGUGAGGGAUGUUUGGAGCAAGAGAGGUCUGCUCUCCUCCAACUCAAACAUUUCUUCAAUGAUGACCAACUUCUUCAAAACUGGGUAGACGAUGAGAAUUAUUCAGAUUGUUGUCAGUGGGAAGGGGUUGAGUGCAACAACACCACUGGCAGAGUGAUUAAAUUAGAUCUAGCAGUAACUCGGAAUUGGGAAUCAGCAGAGUGGUAUAUGAAUGCCUCUCUGUUUACUCCUUUUGAACAAUUAGAGUCUCUUGAUCUAAUAGGGAACAAUAUAGCUGGUUGUGUUGAAAAUGAAGGUCCUUAAUUUACUCUAUUUUAAUUCUUCCUCCUCGUAAUUAAGAAAACUUUAAAGUUACCUAUCCUAUUGGCUAAGUCAUUGUAUGUUUCCACUAGGAAUUAAGAACACUUUAUAGUCAAUUAGUCCCUUUUGGCUUUUGUUUAAUUUGUACGUGAUAUAAUAAAAUUAUUUUUUAUUUUUUGUCAGGUCUGGAUAGGUUAUCAAGGUUGAACAACUUGAAGUUUCUUUAUUUAAGCUCUAACUACUUCAACAACAGCAUCUUUUCAUCUCUAGGUGGUCUUUCAUCACUCAGACAAUUAUCAUUGGCUGCUAAUCAAUUGAAUGGAAGUAUUGAUAUUAAAGGUAAGCAAGCUUCAUCCCUUCUCCCAUGUCCCAUCUUUGUGGAUCUUAUUUCAUCGACCAGCUGGAAGUAUUGAUACGAGAUCUAGCUAGACUCUUGCUAGUGUAAGCUUCAAGGCUUUGAGUGCUACAAAAAUAGGUCUAAGAAAUUAUCAAUACAUAACGUUAUUACAUACAAUAAUAGUUCUAAAGAUUGUAACAAAAUCAUUAUCCCCAAUUUUUUUAAGUUAAAUAAAAUAAAAUUCACGCUUAAGUAUAAAUAAUACUUUGGACAUUCUUGAUAUUUGUCCUUUUAAGAUAAACAGCAACCCAAUUAUCUAUUUGUUUGUCUUUUUUUUUUUUUAAAUAACAGUUUGUUAGCAUAAAUAUUUACCUGUUAAGUCGAGGAGGAGAAAAUGUUAGAAAAAAUAAAAAGAAAAAAUUAAGGGGGAUAGAAUCAGAUUUUCUUUUUUGAGCAAAGAACAUACGUAAAAAGAUAUUAAAUCUAUUAAGUCUAAUUGUCUAUAACGGUAAAUUGCAUAACGAAUAAUUUAUCAGCGUAAAAUAAAUUUUAUUAGAUUCUGAUUAUUUGUUUGAUUUCUUUUCUCUCUGGACUCAACUUAUAUUGUUUAUUUGAUUUGAUUUUAUUAUUUUUUAAAGAAACUUAUUGUUUAUCAAUACUGAAUGGCUUAAGAUUGAUGUCUUGAUAAUAGAUGGGGCAAUAUUGCCUUUUUAAUGCAGUAGACUUUGAAGUUAUCAUUGACAAGCUUAGAUGAAUUACUAGGACCAUAAUACAAAUGUCACAGGCAUCGAAGACACUUACCAAGUUUUUAGUACAUUCCUGUUCCUAUCUAAUAGUUUUUAAUUUCUUUAAUUUAAGACCCCAUUCAUUAAUAUUUUCUUUAUUGUGAAGUUAAUUUUUUUUAUGUGAAAUUAAUUUUUUUUUUAAACAUUUUGUUGACUUAUAGUUUACCUUUGUGUUAAAUGUUGGCAAAAUUAUUUUGUCCAAACCAUUUUUUUUGUCCUGAACGUCCAACUAAAAACUGAAUCAAGGGUUAAGUUGUAAGGUUUCAGUUCGUCCGUUAUAUUAAUUUAUUGUUUUAAUAUUAUGCAGUACAAAUAGGUGUAUAAGUCCAUCAUUUAAAUACAAAAUGAAACCACAUCAAUAGAGAAAUUAAAAGAAAAUGAAUUCUCACAACCAUACGGUGAGAUUCAAACUCUCUAUCUCCGAGGAUUUCUUAAAGUCAUUCUUAAAUUAUACUUAAAUGGUUAAAUUUAAUAAAUAAAGGUUUAAUUCUUUUCUCGUACAUUGUAGAAGCAAAUUUUCUCCUCUGUUGAAAAUUCUAAAUACUUUUUUAAAUUAGGUUUCAACUAUGACAUAUCAGGAGAGAUUUGAUACAUUUCUAAUGCAACCGAUAUAACAACACAACUUUGUGAUUUUUACUAUUCAGGAGAAGAAGAACACAACCUGUAUAACCCAACCGUUUAUAUACAAACAUCGAAUCGCUUUUUAAAAUUAAAUUGGGAAAAUUGGGGAUAUAAUCGUUUUUCAUAUAUAUACAUUUUUUCCUUACAAAUUUAAAUUCAUGGUUGGUAGCUAAAUAUACCUGCUUAAAGCCACUCAGUCGAACCCUUUGAGAGCUGCUUUAAAUUUUUCGGAUUAGCCAUAUUCUUUUCACUGAGAUUUAACAUAAAAAAAGGAGAAAAUAAGUUAUUUAAUUAACUCUAUUUUAAGUGUUGGCAUAAAUACAGGACUCGAUUCCUUGAGUAACUUGGAGAUGCUGGACAUGAGCGACAAUGCAAUCGACAAUCUAGUGGUUCCUAAAGGUAUACAAAAUGUUCAAAUAUUUAUAAUUUGGAGGACAAUUUAAUUGAUUUGAUAAGGGAAUGCCCAAUGACACUUGUCCAAAAUAAUUUAAUCCGAAAUUGUAUCCCAAAUAGAUUACAGAGGCUUGAGGAAGUUGAAUACCCUUGGCUUAGGGGGAACGGAAACUGCAAUUAUAGAUGGAAGUAAGGUGUUGCAAUCAAUAGGAUCACUACCGUCCCUCAAAACACUUUGCCUUUCAUAUACUAAUUUUACGGGAACAGUAGUUAAUCAAGGUAAGUAAAUCUUUUAUGUCGAAAAUAAUUGAAUUAAUAUAUAUAGCUAAAAUUUAUUGUUUCUACUUCUUUCUAAAUAGAAUUGCACAAUUUCACCAACUUGGAAGAAUUGAUAUUGCUCGAGUCUGAUCUCCAUGUAAGCCAGCUUCUACAAAGCAUCGCAUCAUUCACUUCGUUAAAGUAUUUGUCAAUGGGAGGUUGUAUACUCACAGGUGCCGUACAUGGUCAAGGUAAAUUAUGGGUAUCUGAAGCUUUUAAAUUUUUUCUUUUAAAUUUUUUAUAUUUUCACUGUCCAAUGGUUCUACCUUCUCUAAAUUGUAGGAUUCUUGAUUAAGGUUAAUGAAAUUUUUGUUCUGUUAUGUUAAGAAUAUUUCGAUCGCUUAGAAGAGUAAAGAAAAAUAAGUAAAUUAACCCAAAAAAAAAAGAAAAGAACAGGACCGGAUUAUCCUUAUUCCCUUGCAUUAUGUGAUCAAUAUCAAAAUUAUAACCAUUUCUUGUUUAUUGCUUGUAGAUUUUCGUAAAUUCAAGAAUUUGGAACAUCUGCACAUGGGUGGGGCGCAGGUUGACGUCAACACCAGUUUUCUUCAAAUUGUCGGUGAAUCGAUGCCUUCUCUCAAGUUUUUAUCACUGACAGAUUCAAUUCUUAAUAAAAACACCAUUCUUGAUCAAGGUUAAUUAAUGAUUCUCCUUCUCCCUCUCUCGCAUCAUAACUAAAUUUAAUUGAGAAUAUCUAUCAUGCGAGCUAUUUAUAAACUUAAUGAAAGAUGAUAAGGAGCCAUAAUAAUGACAAAAAUAACUGUAAAAUAGUGCACUGUUGUAGUGUUGAUUGAAAAAUAAUGAUAAUUUUUUACUUAACACUAUAACGCUGUAUAAUUUUACAGUUAUUUUGUUGCCAUUACGUCAGAUUAUACUGUUCAACUAUCAGUGAUCAAACUUAAUUUUUAAUGUGUACUUGAAAGAUAUGUAAUUAUUUAUCUAUGUGUACUGAAGGAUGAAUUAUAUAUUUUUCAGGACUUUGUCAGUUAGUGCAUCUGCAAGAGUUACACAUCGGCGGUAAUGAUUUGAGAGGUAGCUUGCCAUGGUGCUUGGCAAACAUGACAUCCCUUCAAGUGUUAGAUGCCUCUUCUAAUCAACUUACUGGAAACAUCUCCCCAGGCCUUUGUGAGUUGGUGUUUCUAAGAGAGUUAUCCAUUCAUAACAAUGAUUUAAGAGGUAGCUUGCCUUUGUGCAUGGCAAAUUUGACUUCCCUUCGAGUAUUAGAUGUCUCUUACAAUCAACUUACUGAAAACAUCUCAUCUUCCCUCAUGCACCUAAUAUCUAUGGAAGAGCUCAUAAUUUCAAAUAAUCACUUCUUCCAAAUCCCUAUUUCACUUGAACCACUUUUCAAUCUCUCAAAACUCAAGACUUUCGAUGGUGAAAUAUGCGCAAAAACUGAGUCACAUUAUAAUUCUUUGACCCCAAAAUUCCAACUGACUUCUAUCUCACUGUCUGGUUACAUAGAUGGUGUCACAUUUCCCAAAUUCUUGUACCAUCAGCAUGACUUGAAGAAUGCUGAUCUCUCACACCUUAACUUGAGUGGAAAUUUUCCAAAUUGGUUGGUAGAUAACAAUACGAACUUAGAGACGCUUCUUCUUGCCAACAACUCUCUUUUUGGAUCAUUUCGGAUGCCAAUUCAUUCCCACCAAAAAUUGGCAAAAUUGGAUGUCUCCAACAAUUUCUUUCAAGGCCAUAUUCCGGUGGAAAUCGAAACAUAUCUGCCAGUCUUAAUGGGUUUAAACUUAUCUAGAAAUGCUUUCAACGGUAGUAUUCCCUCUUCAUUUGCUGAUAUGAAAAUGUUGGAAAGGUUGGACAUAUCCUACAAUCAGUUGACUGGUGAAAUCCCUGAGCGCAUGGCCACGGGUUGCUUCUCAUUGGAAAUUCUUGCAUUGUCAAACAACAGUUUGCAAGGUCAUAUAUUCUCUAAAAAAUUUAACUUGACAAAUUUAUUAAGGUUGCAGUUGGAUGGUAAUAAUUUCAUUGGAGAGAUCCCAGAAAGCUUAUCUAAGUGCCGUUUGUUAGGAGGAUUAUAUCUGAGUGAUAAUCAUCUCACUGGUGAGAUUCCAAGAUGGUUGGGUAAUUUGUCAUUUUUACAAGAUAUUAUAAUGCCCAAUAACAAUCUUGAAGGGCCAAUUCCAAUCGAGUUUUGUCAGCUUGAUUCUCUGAAGAUUUUAGACCUUUCAAACAAUAGUAUUUUUGGAACUUUACCAUCUUGUUUUAGUCCAGCAUCUAUCGAACAAGUUCAUUUGUCGAAAAACAAGAUAGAAGGACGGUUGGAAAGUAUAAUCCAUGACAGCCCCAAUUUGGUGACAUUAGAUCUCAGUUAUAACCGCUUACACGGAAGUAUUCCAAAUCGGAUUGACAGACUACCUCUGUUAAGCUACCUUCUUUUAGCUAAUAAUUAUAUUGAAGGCGAAAUACCAGUUCAAUUAUGCCAGUUGAAGGAAGUGCGGUUGAUUGAUCUUUCUCAUAAUAAUCUAUCUGGUCAUAUUCCUCCUUGCUUGGUUAACACUUCACUCAGUGAAGGUCAUCAUGAGGCAAUAGCUCCAACUUCUAGUUCGCGGGAUCAAGCGUCUGCCUCUGUACUUCCAUCUGAGGCUCCAAAUGGAUCUCCGAUGGGAAAGGAAGAAACUGUACAGUUCACAACAAAGAAUAUGUCCUACUAUUAUCAAGGAAGAAUUUUGACGAGUAUGUCUGGGAUUGAUCUUUCUUGUAACAAACUGAUAGGUGAGAUUCCUCCUCAAAUUGGAUAUCUUACAAGGAUUCAUGCGCUAAAUCUAUCUCAUAACAAUUUGACGGGCACAAUCCCGACAACAUUUUCAAACCUGAAGCAAAUCGAAAGCUUGGACCUCUCCUACAACCUAUUGCAUGGGAAAAUCCCUUCUCAGCUCACUGUGCUAACUACAUUGGCGGUCUUCAGAGUAGCAUACAAUAACUUAUCAGGCAAAAUUCCAGAUAGAGUUGCACAAUUUUCAACUUUCGAGGAAGAUAGCUAUGAGGGGAAUCCUUUUCUUUGUGGAUGGCCACUGUCUAAAAGUUGCGAUGAUAAUGGAUUAACAACAGUGACAACAGAAGCUUACACUGAAAAUGAAGAAGUUGAUAGUUUAAUUGACAUGGACAGUUUCCUGAUCACUUUUACAGUAUCUUAUGGAAUUGUGAUAUUAGGAAUUAUUGGAGUUUUGUACGUAAACCCCUAUUGGCGGCGAAGUUGGUUUUACCUUGUUGAAGUAUGUAUGACCUCUUGCUACUAUUUUGCAGCAGACAAUCUUGUUCCUAGAAAAUUCUAUGGUGGAUGGAUGUAAUUUCAUUACAUUACAACUUAUAUGUAAUUUUCAAAGAAUUUUCUUUUGCAUGCAUGGAAUAGCAACUCAAUAAAAGUAUUUGAUGCAAAUUGUCCAAGAACAACUUAGUAAUUUCAUUGCUACUAUUCGGUUGUAUGUAUACAGUUAAUGAAAUUUUUAACCAUUCGCAGAAUACCCUUAGGAAUUUCUUUAGAUGGCGGCAAAAAACUAAGAGAUUCGGGGCUCUACACGGUCUGAAUGAAGAUUAACUUAAUGCCCUCAGGAUUAUGUGUAAGUUCUCUUUUAAAUUUAAGGGGUUGAGAUUUCAGGUCCGGAUGAAAGUUGAAUGCAGGUGACGAGACUUCACUGGGACAAACUUAAAAUAAAAAAUUAUAGUCCACAGUAAGAGCAAUGGGUAGCUUAACUUAUGGAAGAUAACUAGAACUUGGAAUAACUUAAAUUAGCUAUAAAAUUAAGACCAUUAUACAACUAAAAAGAAAGAAAAAUUGUUUGCUACUACAUAUCAAAACUAGUAAUAGCAAUGAAAGAUGGCAGACUUCUUACUUAAACAGAUGAGAGGCUACAAAUAAAAAAUUUGUGCAAAUAAAAUAUAUGAUAAAGAGCAUAAUACUUUCUUGGGGGCUAAAAAUAAUAUACAACUUGUGAAAUAUAAAUUGAGCUACCGUUACCUUUUAGAUGUGGCAACUUUCGACUUUUGAGGCACUUUGGAAUAUGCAUUCAGAAUCCUGCAUUUGGAAGCCAAAUAAAUAAUGUUAAUAACAAUUUUACAAUAGAAAAAUUAAAAAUUGAUAAAUGGCAGUUGUAAUUUAUGUAUGUGUAAAGAUAGCAUCACAUCCAGGGUCCUCCCAUAAACAUGCUUGUAACAAGAAUUAGUUUGCCUCAACUGCUAGCAACUAUACAAUAGUAAAAAUCACUCUUAUGAACUCAACAAUACUAGGCACCAAUAAGAGUAUGAUACAGCCAUUCUAAAUGGAAGAGAAUACAACUGUUUUACAACUAUGUUGCAUCAGGAGAUAUGUUAGGAGUUUUAAUCCAGAUACCUUCCAACCCAAUUAGGAAAACUCGAGUCAGAAACCAGGAGCUGCAACCGAACCUUACAAUCUUGAAGGAAGAAGGAGACUUGGGGCAUUUUUCUAGAUAGGUGACUUACUAGAUCUACUGCCAAGAAAAUAUCUAUUGCUUUGAACCUCCAUUGAAAUUUCUUUUCCCUUUUUCUUAUUUUGACUUGGAACUUUCCAGCAUCAUCUAUUUGAUCUUUUUUAAAGCUAAAAUAGCAAUCUACGGGUUGUCAACAUCUUAUCCCCCCCCCCCCGGGGGGCCCCCAAAAAAAAAACAUCAAUGAGUUGUCAAUAAAUAGCGCCUACUCAACUUAUGUUCUCCAAUGGAUGACAAUGUGCAAAUCGACCUAGCAGCCACAUUUUUCCCCCCUUUCAACCACCAUUAGGCAACUUUUCUAACCUUUCUUCAUUGCCCACGUCUACAGAACUAUCAUAUAAAGACUACAAGAUAGACGCACGGUAUCUAAAUAAUUGUACCAACCCCCUCUCCUGAUUGUCAUAAAACGGCCAAUAUUUAACGCUCGACAACAAAAUUGCAAAUACUCUAGCCUCUAUAUUAUUGGCAUAUAAAUAUUUUCGGUUAGGUACAUUAUAUUCUUCGUUCUAAAACCUCAAUUAUUAGCUAGUACUGUGAUAAAAUGAUUCAUCACUGAAAUUAAAACUAGUUCACGUACAAAUAAUCAAAACUGAAAUAGAAGCAACGAUAAACCAACCUGUAUUACGUCGAUUCAUCACAACAAACUGAAAUCGAGGCUGUGUGUUCCUGAAAAUUGAAAAAAUAAUAAUUUCACCAACUUCAUAUGUAAUACAAUCUCCAAAACACUGAAUAUCAAAUGAAAAAAUGGAAAGCAUAAGAUAGAAAAGAAUCUAAUUUUAUUGACCUUUUGACGACGACGAGAGAGCCUUCAACAUCCUUACGACUCCAUUGGCUGAGGUCGAUGUUGAACUCGUAGAAGGUGACAUGAGCGGCCGUGAUGAGGAUCUCCUCAAUGAAUGGAUCGAUUCACUGAAGAACUGUCAGGUUUAGGAGUUUUGUGCUCUGCUGGUCCAGAUUAGGCAUCAAUUUUCCGUUAUGCGACAUUUUUCAUAGUCGUUUUGGGCUCUGCCCCGAGCACAAGCCCCAGGGUUUUUCUGUGAGCUCUCUCUUUUGUAAAUAAAGUGUUUGAUGAGAUAGCCGAGAGAGAGUGAAAGUGUUGAACAGCCAAACACGGUCUCGAGAUUGAUCUUGCUUUAACUUCUUUUAAACAUUUGGGAAAUAGCAUUUAUUUCUUUUAGUUUCUCUACUUUUUUUUUUCCUUUAUGUCAUUUAGACCCCAAAAUUAGAUUUAUUAUAAUCCUAUUUUACCCAUACACUAUUAACCCCUUUUAUUUACCCCUUUUAUUUUUAAAAUUUGUCAAUAUUAAUGUGUUAGAAUAAUGUUAAAAAUCCCAAUUAUUAUCUCAAUGUUUCAAUCAUAACUAAUGUGAUGACUCAUUGGUAACUGCAACAUUAACUUAAUUAUUAAUGUAACACAAUAAAAGUUUGCCACUUCGGCAUUGGUCGGAGUGGUGGGAUGCUUGUGAGGGCAGCGGUUCAAGCCCCCACAAAAGUAUUUGUGGGGGCUAACGUUGUGGGGGCUAACGUGCUUAUUUGUUUAAUAUUUCAAAAAUUUCCUCUCCCUCGUGCAAUACGAGUGGAGUAUGGACAUCCCUCUUCUGUAAGGGAUUAUUUGUCUGGGCAUGUACUUCACAGAAUUCAAUGUAAUAAUAUAAGUCCCAAUCAUGUAUUUCUGAUUGUAAAUAUCAGUGUAAUAUAUCUGCUGUUGAUGCGAGAUUCUGGUUCUCCUCGUUCUACGACCAGGAUCUCUGCUCGAUCAACUUUACCACGACCAGGAGGUCUCCUAGUAAUGCUUCUUCUCCAGAUGUCCCUGCACACACAGACAAGUCAGAGUACGCCGGUUGUUCUCCCGGCGCAAACCCUCCGACGCUCAAGUCAGAUAUGAAGGUUCGGGGAACGCUUGCCACAGGUCUUAUGGCUUUUUCGUGGUUUUCUCUUUUAUCUUAAAAAUGCUAACCCUUUUACCUUCGUUGGCUACCUUUUUAUAGGCUUCUCCGAAUCCCCGUUUUCCGCUUUUUGCCAGACGGUAUGGGACUCUGACUGCUGCGUCAUGGGCGAAGGUGGGAUCUUGCGUGUUACGCCACGGUUCUGGGGAAAGCGUGGCUGUCGUGCCUAGAUUCUCGGGCUGGAGAGCAUGUCUUGCCAACUGCCGUCGACCGGGUCUCCUCGCUUCUCGACCUCUAGCCGGAAUGAUCUUAUGCCUCUUACAGGAAAUUGACCUCGCGGAUGACGUGCUCGUGGACGAGCAGGAUAUUUCUGCUCCUGUUCCCCCGCGCAUCAGGCUUUUACGGAACACACCGGCUCGAGGAACUCUGCCCCCAGAUAUCUGCUCACCAUGCCUGGUCUCAUCGACGUAUUUCUCCUAAACACCGGUCCCCCAGUUUCUGGUGUUGGGUAAUGUAGUGGACCAGCAGUAGAAACUCGAUAGUACUCGCUCACGUGGGACUGGAAAAGGCUGCCAAGAGUCGUGUCGCAUUUAAUUGCGGACGGGGUGACGUGGCGGAAAUCCCCCCUCCAUUUGAAUUUCAAACCGACGGUUAUGAGGCCCUCGGGAUUCGGCGCUGUUAAAUGCUGGCAACCCAAGAGUCCGUCCCCAUUAGAAAAACCAAAUCCUCUCGAACGGCAUAUUCAUCAUCCACUACGUCUCCGUCUCUGUCUCUCCGGCAAAGAAGUUCCGGCAUAAAAGUCCUCCAUCUCUGAUUUUCACCGACUGAACCAUUACUUCAGGUAUUUCUUCUAUCUCCUUGGCCUCGGAUAGUUGUAGAUAAUUUCUCUUUUCUUCUGUUUGGGUAGUAGUUGGUGGUGUUGUGGUUAGAGCUUAGGGAAUGUCGAAAGGCAAAGAGAAGGUCAUUGAGGUUGACGACGACGAGUUGGACUUCCUGCCUAGUCUGCUCACCGACCCUGCUUUUGACCCCGGGAUUCCCUUAGAGCCCACUAGGUCUAGUGUCGGGACUAGUGCUAGCAGGAUGUCUCCCCAAACAACCUCUACGAGCGGAAGUAGUGGUGAGGAGAGAUCUUCUGACUCUGAGGAUACGUUGAGUGAGAAUGGCGAAGGUGAUUCUGGUGAGGUGUCUCCAUCUAGAACAUCACGACCAGGAGAACGGGGUACAGUAGGAGGCAGAGCCUUGUCGCGCGAUUAUGCCAUUGAUUACAUGACGUGCAUGACCUCGUUUGACGAGCUCAAGGACCUCCGGCUUAGGUAUAGCAUUCCUGGUGAGAUACCUCUCAAGGUCCCAGGAAAGAAGGAUGCUCCCAGCCGGCCUCCUAGGGGAUACGUUACCCUGUUUUUAGAGAGCUUUAAGUACGGGCUGAGGUGUCCCUUGCAACCCUACUUUGCCCGGAUACUUAACGGGCUAAACCUAGCUCCUGGUCAGCUGAAUCCCAAUGGGUGGAGAGUGCUCUCUGGUCUGUUCAUAUUGUGGGACAGAUGUUGCCAGAGCGAGCCCACGGUUGAUGAGGUGAGACACCUGUACCAGCUAAAGAGCAGCCCCAAAGAUGCCGGCUGGUACUACUUCCAAUCUAGCACCAAGAGCAGGAAACCUAUAACCGACCUCCCCACUGGUGGUGGUGGGAAUUGGAAGAGAAAGUUCUUUUUUGCUGGGGGUCCUUGGGGUCAGGUUGCACAAAUGAACGGGAAGGAUUAUCGGGUCCCACCCCGUUUCACGGUCCCAGGUUGCCUGCUUGCUUUUAGAUGUCUUGUAUCCAUAAGUGUUCUUGCUUUAUUGGCUUGUCUCUAACCAAAUGUCUGUUUGUGUUGUAGUUUCUUGGGGUGUUCACUUCCCGCUCCCACCCGACCAGCUCAAACGGGUCGAGGCUGUGCUCGUCAAUUCCUGCUCGAGCCGGGAACUGUUAACUACGUACAACUUGCUCGAGUCUCGCUUGAUACUUCCUGGCCAUAGGAUGGAGGACGCUGUGAUUGGGGCUCUGACCCGAAAACGUUCUCGACCCCCAACCACGAAGAGGGACCAGAGUAAGGAUGCCCCUGUGGCAAAGCGGGCCAACAUCGUGCAGCAGGUCCCACCCUUGAAGAUUUUACCUCCUGCUCCCGUAAAAAUUAGGGAAGCUGGUGGAGCUGCCACAGAUCCUGCUUCCUCUCCUCCUCCUGUCGGGCCCCGAUCUCACUUACCUGACAGCCGAGCAGAACAUCUGGUCCCCUACUUCAAUGAGUUAACUAAACUCGUGAGCAGGAAGGAUCUGGAGGACUUUGACGGCCGCACCUUGGGUGAGUUGGUGGGGGCCAUGCAACAUAGCGCUUUCCACCUCAGCUGCAUGACCACCUAUUACAAGGCUAAGGCUGGCCGCUAUGACCGGAAGAUGAAGGAGGAUAUUCAAUCGGCGACGACCAGAGCUGACGUUGCCGAGAAGAAAGCAGGGGAGCUGAAUCUCGAGAAUCUGAAGCUGAUGGAGCAAGAAUCACUUGCUCAAGCAAAAGCCAUCGCCCUCGAGGAGGAGCUUAUCAAGGUCAGGGAGGAUCUGCAAAGGCAGAAGGCAAUGUAUGAGGCUCAGCUCGAAUCUCUUCGCGACUCCCACCGAGCUCAGGCCGAGAACUUGGAGAGGGAGGCCGACAACCAGUACGACCAGGGACUUCGGUAUUCCUAUCGUUGCAUCAUGGCCGUCCUCGGGAAGCAACACCCUGAUCUGAAGAUGGGUGACCUUGCGGCUGGUGUUGCUCAACAUAUGGACGAGGAGGCGGCCAAGGAGGAUGCCAAAGGGGUAGAGCCGAUCGUGAUAGAGGAGGAAAACUCUCCUCCUCAUGUAGUCCCUGCUGAUGUUGGCGAGGCGAGCACCCACCCCGAUGCCUCUAGUGAUACCCCUCCUGCACCUGAGGAGGUCCAGCCAACCGAUGCCGCUGGGCUCACUGAUCCACCAUCUUCUUGAUAUAUUUCUUGUAUUGUAAUGACAAUGUUUAUGAAGAUUAUUCCCUCUGUUAAUUAUUAACAAAUUAAUAAAAAUGUUUUUGAUCACCUUCUUGUGUCGUAAUUACGAAUUAAUUUUCGUUUGAGAAUCUGCUUGUCUUUGUCUAAACGAGCAGGUUCCGGCUUGGCUCAUGGUUUUGCCACAUGCCUUUGAAGAUUUUUCAAUGCUUGGGAUUCGGUUUGCCUUCGCGCAGUUGAGCAGAUCCUGGCACGCUUGGCUUCUGUCUCGCCAUAAGAUAGGCUUUGAGACUUGACGAGCCUUUGCAUGCCUUGGAUUCUUCAAAGCUCAGGAUUCUGCUGCCUUCUCAUGGCCGAGCAGAUCCUGGCAUGCUUGGCUUCUUUCUCGCCAUAAGACAGGCUUUGAGACUUGACGAGCCUUUGCAUGCCUUGGAUUCUUCAAGGGUUGGGAUUCUGCUGCCUUCUCGUGGCCGAGCAGAUCCUGGCAUGCUUGGCUUCGGUCUCGCCAUAAGACAGGCUUUGAGACUUGACGAGCCUUUGCAUGCCUUGGAUUCUUCAAGGGUUGGGAUUCUGCUGCCUUCUCGUGGCCGAGCAGAUCCUGGCAUGCUUGGCUUCUGUCUCGCCAUAAGACAGGCUUUGAGACUUGACGAGCCUUUGCAUGCCUUGGAUUCUUCAAGGGUUGGGAUUCUGCUGCCUUCUCGUGGCCGAGCAGAUCCUGGCAUGCUUGGCUUCGGUCUCGCCAUAAGACAGGCUUUGAGACUUGACGAGCCUUUGCAUGCCUUGGAUUCUUCAAGGGUUGGGAUUCUGCUGCCUUCUCGUGGCCGAGCAGAUCCUGGCACGCUUGGCUUCUGUCUCGCCAUAAGACAGGCUUUGAGACUUGAUGAGCCUUUGCAUGCCUUGGAUUCUUCAAGGGUUGGGAUUCUGCUGCCUUCUCGUGGCCGAGCAGAUCCUGGCAUGCUUGGCUUCUGUCUCGCCAUAAGACAGGCUUUGAGACUUGACGAGCCUUUGCAUGCCUUGGAUAAUUUCUUGGUUUCAAGCGUAAAAUUGCUUCAUUAAUGGCAGGAUUCGACUUACAUAAAAUUGUUUGGGACAUAAAGCGUAAAAGAUAAACGAUAAUGAGCAUGAGCAGAAAUAGCUCUCAAAUGUGAACAAAUCUUACUGGAAGUAUUUUCGGAGGUGUGCUGCGUUCCAUGGGCGUUUCACCUCGUGGCCGUCCGCGCGAACCAGCCUGUAAGCUCCGGGUCCCGCUAUCUGCUUGACUCUAUAUGGCCCUUCCCAAUUCGGUCCCAGCACUCCUUGAGUCGAAUCUUUGGUGCUCUGAUUCACUCUUCUCAGUACCCAGUCUCCGACCCUGAAUUGCCGUAUGUUCACCUUCUGGUUAUAAUACCGAGCAACCCUCUGUUGGUAAGUGACUGAUCGCUCGGCUGCUUGCUCCCUCCUUUCCGUCAGCAGAUCAAGAUUCAAACAUAUCUGCUCGUCGUUCUCCUGCUCAUUGAAAUGAUCUGUCCGGUGUGUGGUCGUUCCUAUCUCAGCCGGCACGACCGCUUCGUGUCCGAAAGCCAAAGCGAACGGUGUCUCCCCCGUUGCGGUUUUGUGGGUUGUUCUGUAUGCCCAUAGCACACCUGACAGCUCGUCAACCCACGCACCCUUUUUUGCACCAAGCCUGGUUUUCAGAAGCCUCUUGAUGGUCUUGUUGGCUGCUUCUACUUGUCCAUUCGAUUGAGGGUGAGCAGGCGAGCAAUACUUCAGCUCUAUCCCGAGGUUCUGGCAGAAAUCCCUGAAGCUGUGAUUAUCGAACUGCCUGCCAUUAUCCGUUACCAAGGCAUAAGGGAUCCCGUAUCGACAGACCAGGUUUCUCCACACGAAGUCUGUUGUUUUCUUCUCCGUGAUCCUGCUAAGGGCUUCCACCUCUAUCCACUUCGUGAAGUAAUCUAUAGCAACUAUUGCAUGUGUUGCUGCUCCUCGUCCUUUUGGCAAUGGGCCGAUCAGAUCAAUUCCCCAUUGAGCAAACGGCCAAGGGGAGGCCAUAGAGGUGAGCUUCUCUGGUGGUUGGUUGGAGAAAUUUGCAAAACUCUGGCAGCUUGCACAACCCCUGGUCUUCUUUUGCGCAUCCUGGUGCAUUGUCGGCCAGAAAUAUCCCUGUCUUAGGACCUUGUGGGCCAGGGACCUCCCGCCAGAAUGAUUUCCGCAAAUUCCUUCAUGUACUUCUCUCAGCACGUAAUCCGCGUCGUCGUCAUCCAAACACCGAAGGAACGGUAAUGUGUAUCCUCGCCGAUACAGUACCCCAUCGAUCAUCGUGUAUCUCGAGGCCUGAGCUCUAAUCUUCCGAGCUCGCAGCUUAUCUGGUGGUAAUACCCCGUCUCUAAGGUAUGAAACUAUCGGGUCCCUCCACGAGCAUUUUUGUUCUAUCCGCAACACCCCCAAAUUCUGCUCGAUACUUGGGCUGGACUUCACUUCUAGAGGGACGGACUUUGGCAUUUUUGGGUCGGCUACUGCUGCCAUCCUAGCCAAAAUGUCUGCUCGACUAUUAUGCUCCCUGGGGAUUUGUAUCACCUCCACUACUUCGAACUUCCCCAUCAUCUGCCUGACUAUCUUCAGGUACUGUUCCAUCUUCUCCUCUCUUGGUUGGAAUCUUUCACUGACAUGAUUCGCAACCAGCUGGGAAUCAGUUCUGAUCUUAACUCUGUCUGCUUUCACGGCCCUAGCCAAUUCCAGGCCUGCUAUCAAGGCUUCGUACUCUGCCUGGUUAUUUGUGGCUGCAAAUUCCAACUUUACAGCAUAAGAGAUCUCCUCCCCCUCUGGGCCUUCCAGGACAAUCCCUGCUCCUGAACCCCGCUCCCCUGAUGACCCAUCUACAGACAUCUGCCAUACUUGAGUUUCGUCAUUGCCUAUAACUGCAUCUUGUUGACCUAAGCAUGUUUCGGGCUCUGUGAAUUCAGCUACGAAAUCGGCCAUUGCCUGGGCCUUUAUCGCUGCGCGGGGUUUAUAGUCUAUGUCGAACUCGCUCAGCUCCACAGCCCACUUGACGAGCCGCCCAGAGGCAUCUGGCUUGUGCAGAGUCUGACGCAAUGGCUGGUAUGUUAUUACCGAGAUCGGGAAGGCUUGAAAAUAUGGCCUCAACUUCCGAGCAGCAACCACAAGGGCAAGUGCCCAUUUCUCCAACGAUGGGUACCUGGUCUCAGCGUCGAACAGGGCCUUGCUGGUGUAGUAUAUCGGAUACUGAACUCCUUCUUCCUCUCUCACCAGAACAGAACUGGCGGCCCGAUCCGAUACCGCCAAAUACAGAUACAACUUGUCCCCAUUCCUCGGUGUGGACAGCAGCGGAGCUUGCUGCAAGUAUUGCUUCAAGUUCCGGAAGGCUUCCUCGCAUUCUGGGGUCCAUUCUGUUUUCCUUCCCCUCCUUAUCACUUGAAAGAAUGGCUGACACUUAUCUGUAGCUUUGGAUAUGAAUCUGCUCAACGCCGCCAACCUCCCCGUGAGGCCCUGCGUCUCCUUCAGGUUACGAGGAGACGUCAUUUGCACAAUCGCCUGGAUUUUCUCGGGAUUUGCUUCAAUCCCCCUAUGGCUCACCAUGAAUCCCAGGAAUUUCCCUGACUCGACCCCAAAAGCACACUUCUCCGGAUUGAGCUUCAUCUUAUACUUCCUCAAAAGCUCGAAUGUCUCCUCGAGGUGUCUGACAUGUUCCUUCGGGAUCUUGGACUUGGUGAUCAUGUCAUCCACGUACACCUCCAUGGUUUUCCCGAUCAACGGCUUAAAGACUUUGUUCACCAGCCUUUGAUAGGUGGCCCCAGCAUUCUUGAGACCGAAUGACAUCACCCUGUAACAGAACAAACCUUGGUUAGUGAUGAAAGCCGUGCUCUCCUCAUCCUGCUCGUACAUGGGGAUCUGGUUGUAUCCCGAGAAUGCGUCCAUGAAGCUAAGCAGACCAUGUCCAGCUGUUGAAUCUACUAGCUGAUCGAUCCUUGGUAAAGGGAAGCUGUCUUUUGGGCACGCCUUGUUGAGGUCUGUGAAAUCCACACACAUCCUCCACUUGCCGUUUGCCUUCUUUACCAACACCACAUUUGAUAUCCACUCUGGGUAACUGACUUCCCGAAUGAACCCUGCUCUCAGGAGCUUCUCCACCUCGUCAUUUACAGCCUCAUACCUCUCCUGGUUGAAACACCUCCUCUUCUGCCUUACUGCCCGAGCACCUUUCUUUAUUGCCAACUUAUGACACGCUACCUCAGGGUCAAUCCCUGGCAUGUCUUCAUGUGUCCAGGCAAACACAUCAGCAUGAGCCUGUAAGCAUUUCACAAACUCCUGCUUUUGCUCUCCCUUCAGUCUCGACCCGAUUCUGAUCGUCUUUCCCGGGUUCUCUGGUCCCAUGCUUACCGUUUCCAGAUCCUCUACAGGUUCUUGUCUGCCAGUCUUGUUUUCUACUCGGGUAUCGAGGGAUGUUAUCUGCAUUGCCUCCCUUGCUGCCGAGGAGUAGCAGCUUCUUGCGAUCCUCUGGUCUCCUCGUACCACUCCUACUACCCCAUUCACCCGGUACUUCAGAGCCAGAUAAUGGUUGGACAACACCGCUUUGCUCAUCCUUAAAAACGGCCGACCUAGGAUCAUCUGGUAAGGACCUUCCUCAUCCACUACGACAAAGUCCAGUAUCAUUGUUCUUUCUGUCGGGGGGCUCCCAAUUGUGAUAGGUAGUUCGACCACGCCCAGGGGAACCAGCUUCCCUCCUCCGAACCCCUUCAAGGAGGUGUUGGUGUAUUCCAACUUCCGGUCGGCUAUUCCCAUCUCUUCCAGGGUUGACUUAAAUAACACAUCAACUGAGCUCCCUAUAUCAACCAGUAUCCGGUCAAACUUCUUGCUAGCGACCGUAGCCUUGAUGACUAAGGCAUCCUCGUGGGGGUAUAGGAUCCCUUCCUCAUCCUCAUCCGUCCACAUGAUUGGCACUUGCCUGACCCUUGCCCGUUUGGCUGCUGGGGUGUUGAGGAGUACCUCUUUACUGGUCAUGGCGUACCUAGCAUAAUUUUUUCUCGAUCUGUUUGAAUCUCCGGCCAACGUUGGGCCCCCCGCUAUCACCCUUACUGCGGGCUGCUCGUGCCUCAAGAUUCUAUCACUCUGCUCCCCUUCAUCUGUUGUGGCCACCAUCGGGAAAGUCCCAUCCAUAAACUCGUCCAGGUACCGAUUUCUCACCAAAUCUUCGACUUGGGUCUUGAGAUCUCUACACUCUGCUGUGGUAUGGCCAUGGGUGCCAUGGAACUUACAAUAACGUCCUCUAUCCCUCCUGUUGGGUAGCUUUGUUAUUGGUGUAGGGAGGUGCAGCAGCCCUCGAUCCUUUAUGGCUUCGUACACCUCAUCCAGGGACAUCUUCAAGGGAGUGUACCGCCCAUAGUCCUGGUGCUGGUCGAUCCGAUGUACUGCUCUUUCUCUGUUUGCCCCGCUCUGAGUUGGGGGCGGUGGAAGUACUUCUGGUCUGCUCGUCCUGCUACCGUGGGAAUGUUGAUGAAGACCACCAGAUGCCGGAUCAUUUCUUGUCCAAGGUUCCCUAGCUGGGGAACGAGGAGGUUGCGCCCUGCUGCGCUGAUACUGUGGUGGCCUCUGAUGAGGCUGGUAAGCAGUGACCCUGCCUCCUGCUCCACUACCGGAGGCCUGGUGGUCCCUCCUCCUGAUCGGCCCGUUCCCUGGUAAUGCUUUCAUCUCUCUCCUCCCCAACCCUUCUAACUGGUCUGUCUUGAUCCGUGCAGCCUUCUCCUCUUCAAUCUCGAUGUCUCUUUUAGCCUGUUCGUAUGCGGCCGCAUACGUUUGAAUAGCUGGGCUUCUCAAAUUGUACCACAGCCUUCCUAUCUUCACCCCUUCUUUCAAUCCCCUUAACGCCUGAGGGUGGUUGAAGGCUCCCAAGUCGAGGACAGCCCGAUGAAACCUCUUGAUGAAUUCCCGAAGGGUUUCUUGCUCCCCCUGUUUCAUGCUUUUCAGCUCCAUCAUGUCAUCUUCCGGUGACAUUGCCCCACUGAACUGCUCCGCGAAUUCCUGGCACAUCUGCUCGAAGGUUUUAAUGCUGCCCCGAAGAAGUUUCCUGUACCAUUCUCGUGCACGUCCCUCAAGGGAUAGUGGGAACACCCUGCACCUUUGGGAUUGAGAUAAUCCUUGUACCCUAGUUAUGUCGUUGAAGCGCUCUAUGUGCAUCAGCGGGUCAGUUCUUCCCGCGUAUCUGAGGUCGGGGAGGCGGAAAUCUCUCGGAAUAACUGCCCUCAUGAUCUCUGCUGCGAGCGGUGAUUCUCCGUCCAGCAUUAUCCUCCAACCAGGGGCUCUGUUCCUCCCUUGCAUAUCGUCAAUUAUCUGCGCUAGUCUGCGCACUUCCUCCUCCAGCUGCCCUGCACGACCAGGGUCACGUGCUGCAACUUGAUCCCGCUCUUGCUCUACAUCUUGCAAGUGUUGCCUCAACUCGGUUUCCUCUGCAUUCACCACCCCGUCGUCCGCGUCACAAGUCUGUCUUGCCGGGGACCGCUCUCUUUCUCUAUGAAAUUCUCCCCGUAGAGGUGCGUUACCUCUCUCACCAUCAAAUCUCCCUGUGGUUUGACUUCUCCCCGCACUAUCGGGACCUGGUGCCACUCCACCGCCUCUCACCCUUCCCUCUUGAGUUACCCUUCGCUUGCUCCGUAGCUCAUGCAGGAUGGUGUUGUGCAAAUUUUAAUGUACUCGCAAGCGCACGAAUCUAUUGUAGUAUAGACUAAUGGUGACGAGUGUCGAUCCCACGAGGAGGUGGAUUUUUAAUUAUAUAUAGAAUUAAUUUUGUAAAUGGGUGGUUGGAAUUGUGGUGGAAGUGAUUUAAAAUAUGCUAAAAUUGGAAUUGCAAUGGCGAGAAUAAAUUGUAGAGAAAAUCGAUUAAAUUGACGUACUUGGGUAUCUGGAUCCGUAUCAACAUGCAUCAUGGGCUAAAUAAUCCGUAUUAAUGCCAAUUAAAUCAUGAGGGGGGAAUCCACACCUCAUGAACCACGCUCUAAUCAAUAUGGUGCUAAGGGCUUAUCGUGCCAAAUAAUAAUAACCUUAUACUAGAGAGCCGGUGUAACCAAGGCGGUAUCUAGACAAGAUCAGUAUUAUUUGUCGACGAAAAGUCAAAUCAUCCACAAAAACUAGAGGGGAAAAGAAAAUAAAUUUACCAAAUAAAGCCCAUGACUCAUGUUGAGACUUCACCUUCAACCCAAGCUUGAAAGGAAAUUAGCCACUCAUAAUUGAACUAAGGGCAAAAUGGGAAUUUAUUAAAAUACAAAGAAAAUACAAGAUGGAGAAGGAAUUACAGAAAAUGGAUCCCAAAAAUGGAUUCAGAGAUAUCAAAUUAGGGGGGAGAGGCCCCCUUUUUAUAGAUACAUGGAGUAAAUCAUGGCCAUCGGAUUAAAAACAGUUUGGACGCUCAGGAUUGCGCCACGUCAUCAGUCAACAGUCCACGGUUUGACCACGCGGAUGAACAGUAACACGGUUUGACCACGCGGAUGAACAGUAACGCGGUUUGGUUGAAAAUAAUCCUGUGUGAUGCAUGCACCGUACGCGAGAUUUUUCGUCCACUGAUAUGCUGCCACGUCACCAUCAACAGUACAUAAGAAUUUUAGUCCAACAGGAUCGUGACACCUCAUCAGUCAAUGCCACAUCAUCGGUCAAUGCCACGUCAUCGAUCCGUCUAUGUGAACAGUGUCGUGAACAGUAACGUAGACAGUACCGUAUACGUUAAUAGUACCGUACAUGUGAAUAGUGCCAUUUUUCCUUUUAUGCUCCUCCUAAGGUUUUCGACCGUCCUGAGUUCAAAAGUGAUGUCCGUUUUGCCGUCUGAUCUCUCCUUUAUUGUGAAAUGACUAUAAUACCCCUAAAAUACAUAAAAUACUUAAUUAAAAUAACACACACGUAAUUACAUCACAAGAAGGUUAAAUACAUAAAAGUAAGAGUUGUUAGUAAGACUUGAAAUAUAAAAUGAUGGUUUUCUCCUUUAUAAAUAUGCAUUUUCUAAUACUCAACAGAUGGUUGUCAAGGUCUCCAUCUGCUUUUCCAUCCGGUCGAACAUGACUUUUUCCCGUGCUUCACUGACUAUCUCCCUCAGCGUCACGGAAUCGUUAAGCCUCAUAUCACCCCCUUGUGCACUACUUCCUCCUGUCUCCAUUGCUUUUCGCUUACUCCACCCCUCUUCUUGCUAUCAACAGAAGCUUUUUGCUCUGGGUCCCCACAGACGGCGCCAAAAUGUUGAUGCGAGAUUCCGGUUCUCCUCGUUCUACGACCAGGAUCUCUGCUCGAUCAACUUUACCACGACCAGGAGGUCUCCUAGUAAUGCUUCUUCUCCAGAUGUCCCUGCACACACAGACAAGUCAGAGUACGCCGGUUGUUCUCCCGGCGCAAACCCUCCGACGCUCAAGUCAGAUAUGAAGGUUCGGGGAACGCUUGCCACAGGUCUUAUGGCUUUUUCGUGGUUUUCUCUUUUAUCUUAAAAAUGCUAACCCUUUUACCUUCGUUGGCUACCUUUUUAUAGGCUUCUCCGAAUCCCCGUUUUCCGCUUUUUGCCAGACGGUAUGGGACUCUGACUGCUGCGUCAUGGGCGAAGGUGGGAUCUUGCGUGUUACGCCACGGUUCUGGGGAAAGCGUGGCUGUCGUGCCUAGAUUCUCGGGCUGGAGAGCAUGUCUUGCCAACUGCCGUCGACCGGGUCUCCUCGCUUCUCGACCUCUAGCCGGAAUGAUCUUAUGCCUCUUACAGGAAAUUGACCUCGCGGAUGACGUGCUCGUGGACGAGCAGGAUAUUUCUGCUCCUGUUCCCCCGCGCAUCAGGCUUUUACGGAACACACCGGCUCGAGGAACUCUGCCCCCAGAUAUCUGCUCACCAUGCCUGGUCUCGUCGACGUAUUUCUCCUAAACAUCUGCUAUAAUAGCAGUUGUAAAUAUAUGUGUAAUGCAGUAAUAUGAUGAUUAAUCAGUAUUCAAAACACAAUAAAAGUUUCGUACAGAUUUUGAUAUUGAGAGUAACACAAUAAAAGUUUCAUACAGAUUUUGCAAACGAAAAGCACAUAAUACACUUAACUAGGAGGAAAAAUUAAGGUGUAUUUAUUACAAACUGCUAACAAUAUACAAUUGUAAAAAUCACUCUUAUGAACUCACAAAUACUAGGCAGCAAUAAGAGUAUGAUACAGCCAUUCUAAAUGAAAGAGAAUACAACUGUUUUACAACUAUGUCACAUCAAGAGAUAUGUUAGCAGGAUUAAUCCAGAUACCUUCGAACCCAAUUAACGAACUCGAGUCAGAAACCAGGGGCCCCCAACUAAACCUUACAAUCUUGAAGGAAGAAGGAGACUCGUGGUCCAGAUAGGUGACUUACUAGAUCUCCUGCAAAAGAGAAUAUCUAUUGCUUUGAACCUCCAUUGAAAUUUUUUUUUCCCUUUUUCUUGUUUUGACUUGGAACUUUCCAACAUCAUCUAUUUGAUCUUUUUUGAAGGUAAAAUAGCAAUCUAUAGGUUGCCAACAUGUUAUUCUGCCAAACCCUACCCCACCCCCCCGGGGGACAACAAAUCGACCUAGCACACACCUUUCUUCAUUGCCCACACCUACAGAACUAUAAUAAAAAGACUACGUUACUAUUGGGGUAGAGAAAAUAUACAGACUGUAUUAUUAUUACAUCGCAUUUUACUAAUUAACUAGUGCAAGACUUCUUUAGUGUCAAAUCAAGAACUAAUUAGAAAAGACAACUCAUGAUAAUACAGACCUUAAUAAGCAAUUGCUAACAACAUCCCAUAUACUCCUAUUUUAGCCUUCAUUAUCCUGGUAAAAACACAAAUAAGUCUUGCAAACGAACAUUUAUAAGUAAAUUCAACAUUAAUUAAGAUUAGGUAUCUACUGCACCUAAUAGCAUGGUCAACCAUCCAGUUCCUGUAGCCUUCCAUGUACCUAUGUUAGUUACAUUUUACAUAUUAAGCCACGAAAACGAAGAAUCACAGCCUGGUAAAGAAAGACAUUAAUUAAUAGUUUUUGUUUAAAAAUUUCUCCUUUAGAUCUUUCCUAUUCAAUGAAUCAAUGUAAUCUAAAGAGAACUCUUCCAUUUCAAACAGUGUUAGAAGGUAUUUGCAAAGCCUAAAGAUAAUAUACAAGGACCAAGAUAUACACAGAUGGUUUCUUUAUGGAAUUAAAGAGCUUUAUAGAUGUUAAAACUGUUUCAAACAAUUUUUCUUGUUUGGUUUAACUAAGGAAAAGCUUGUGGAAGAUUAAAAAUGAUGUUUCCUAUUCUCUGUAGGAAACUUUUAGGAGAUUUUUUGGGCUUUUUUGAAAGGUUGAAUUGUCAAAAAUACCUUGAUGUUAUUGUUUGCUAAAAGAUGUUACGGACAUCUAAACAACCAACAACAUUUUGUUAAAAGCUCUACUAAUGUAGGAUCUACUUAAAGAAGCUAUACCAAACAGACUCUUAGACUGAAUAACUCGAUCUUAAGUUUGUAAAAUUGGGCUCAGAAUCUCCACUAACAACCCCGCUUCGGUGAGAAAGCCCAAGCCUGUUACUUUGUAUAACCUUAUUCUGUAUGUUUGAUUGCAGGAACUGGCCGAUCAUACCGACGAGGUGAGUGUGCAACAUGAGGUGCUUGACGGGAUGUUUACUUUCUAUGAUUCAACUAAAGCUAGCCUCAACAUAUAUCAGGUGCCUGCUUGUUUUUACCUUCUAGAUACUAAUAUUGUUUAGACGUGUAAUCUCUCUCUCCAUUGAACGCUAGACGGCUCGUCUCAAGCCUUCUACGUACUUCAGAGUCCUUCACUAGCUUUUUAUGUAUAAAGUUUUGAUCUUUUUCCUUCAUUUGCUUGAAGCUCAUUACUGCAGAUUUUUUUUACAGGUUGGUAGUGUAACAUUCGACUUGCUGUUGCUUCUAGUCUUGGGAUCGUAUUUAAUUGUGCUUUUCAGCUUUCUUGUCAUCACAACUAGGGUAUUACUCUUUCUCCAUAUCAAGCUUGAAGUUCUAAAUUUCAGUUUUAUCUUGUAUUUGAUGUUUUAUAAUUUCAUUGCAAACAGAUUAGAAUAGAAACUUCAAAAGUUCCAACUGACUAGUCCCGUGUAACUUUUCCAGGGAAGAUGUUCUCUCAUAACAACUACGAACGUGUUAUGGUUUAGCUCAGUGUCACAAAGGACAGUUUCCAACAAUUGAUCCUAGGAAGAUGCCCAUAGCUUGUUGUGCCAAAAAUAUAAAAUCUAAGAUGCGAAAAGAUUUUGUUGAGAUUCAUUUUUCAUCCUGAUGUUACCGCUGGCCUUUUUUUUUUUUUGGCAGAGAAUAAUGCUUAUGUGAUUUCUGAACUUGGUGAUUGUUGAAAUGAGCUGAAAAUGAGCUGGAAAUGUGUUUGGUUACUGAGAAAGAGAGCAAGAAAAUGAAAGAAAUCUAUUUCACUUUUUAUUUAUCAGAAUGAUUACAUUCACAAUGAAUCUAAGCUGCUAUUUAUACUUAAAUGAAUACACACGAGAAUCUUCUUGCUAGAUACUUCUAGAAACUCUACACGCACACUCGCACUGAGCUAGUGGUUACCAAAACCGUGACAACAAUAUUGCCAGCUCAGCAUAACCAACUUAUAAGUUAUAACUAACACACUCAGCUGCAGGGGAAACCAUCAAGCUUACUGUGCAUCCUCUGUAAUCAAGCUUCUUUAAGCAUGCUCUGCAGAUCAUAUGUCUGAAUUAUCGAAACAAGAUGAAUUAUUUUUUGUUUAGCAGCAGGCGAUCUAUGAGCAGAAUUUCUUGCAACAAAAGAUGUGUGUCCCCCGGCUUGUAUUUAGUCUCGUAAUGCAUUAUAUAUAUGCACGCGAACACACUUUUGAGAAGAAUCAGACCAUUAAUUUUCUUUUGAGCCAAUCAACAGAAUGUACAUUUCUUCUAAGAGCUUGUAACCGAAACUGCAGUUUUUCAGGUUUGAUGCAUCUGGGAAAAUUGUCAGAUGGAAUAAAACCAUCAUGCGCCAAGGUACCAAUGAUGUUUCUUCCAGCUUAUGAGCACUUCAAAUAAACUUAGGUCAUACUUACACAAGGGCGCACAUGAUAUCAAUCUAAUGGCAAAUAUAUCAUCUAAAAUCCAAAACCAAGAGUCUCCCAUUUUCCCGUCCUCUACUCUGUUCAUAUUAUCAUAACUAGAAGAUUGCAAGGCAGCCGCAAUCUCCCAGAUCUUUGCUCCUUCCUCAUAGCAGUUAAUCAAACGAUAAAUAGAGAUAUCCCAUGUCAACAAGAAGGUAAUCAUAAAAGAACAACAGAAUUGUUGCAACAUAUUCAUAUGAAAUGUAAAACAAUUUUGAGAAAAAAUAUUGGGAAGAUAUUUUUUUUUCAUAGAAGUUGCAAUCUUUACGUUAUUUACUAGUUUGACUAGACUAUAUAAGGAAGCUAUAUGAAAUUAGAAAAAUAAGCUAUACUAGGAAAGAAUAAAUAUGUGUACAGAAAAUUAGGCUAUAAUUUUCAAAUUAGAUGCCAGUUAAUUUUAUCAUAAUUAGAUGGUAAGAUUGCAAAUUCUGCAGCCAAAGGUGGUACGGAACUGAAUGAAGGAAAUCAAAUAUGAACAUGUUUUCAAUCUUAAAAUAUGAAGAGUAGCAGAAGUAACUUGUGAAACAGUUAUAAGUUCAAGGGAAUUAGAUGAUGGCAUGGUUGAAUUUUAUAAAUAUUUGAUAUUUUGGACCGAACAGGGCAAACAGAUGGAUCCAGAUAAUCAAGAAAAACAUCAAUUCCAUGCAACCAAAUUAGUGUGGGCAAUGCAAUUGAGCAACACUAAAAAAUUAUUCAAAGAAAUCAGUAUCCAAAUAUAUGGCUCCGUCCGUUCCACCACCACAACCAAAAAAAUCAGAUCCCCCCAUUUGGAUUCGAUUGAUUAAUUUGAGCAUAUAAAAUCGGGUUUUAAACUUCCCUAAGCAAAAUUUAUAUUCCACAGAAUCAGUUCCUUUAACAUGAUGCAUUACAUAAUAUUUUGUUUGCAAAAUAAAGAAGAAAGAUGACAUAAUAGAAACACGCUAUUGCAUCUUUUGAAAAAGAAAAACGGAAUAGUUUUCCAAAAUUAAUUCCGAGAAGAAGAUUAACUAAUAAUGAUGUUAGAAAUUUUAAUAUUUGAGUCUUAAUAUUAUGUAUCACUCAUUUAUUAAAUAAUAGAUUUCAUAAUUUGUAAAAUUACUUAACCACUUGAUAAAUGUUAUAUUUGUUGGGACUAAAUUGGAACUUAAAUGUUGGAAUAUCUAGUAUUGCAUUAAAAAAUAAAUAAAAACUUAACAAUUUAUCUUCACUUGACUAAUUGUUUUUACAUCACAACUAACCUUAAUUAUUUUGAAGUUACAGUAUUAUUAAAUUGUCCUAACUGGUUAUCAAAAGUUGAAAGCAUGUUAAAAUAAAAAAAAUUACCAAGAAACAUGUGCUUAAACAGAGGUUGAGGCUAUGAACAAUUAAGAAGAAACUCUUAAUUUGGUCCCAAUUAGUAUAGUAAUCAUCUAUUGAGCGGUAAAAUAUUAAUUUUAAUAGUGAUGAAAUCCAAUAUAUAAUAGAUUACUAACACACAUAAAUUAAAACUAAACUGUCAGAAAUCAUAACAUUACUCUACUCUUCAGUGGAGUUCUCUUAAACAGAUUAUGUGAGAUUGCCUACAUAAAAAAUAUGUUAAGACUGCUUGUUGAAAGCAAUAUUCGCUUUUCCAUUAUAUCCAUAACUUUGAAUUGAUAAAGUUGUAUUCAACAGCUCUUGAAAAGACUAAUUUAUUUAAACUAGUCACAGAAAUAAGAGAGAAAGGGGGCUAUUUCUUGACUCAAAGUCAAUUAUAAUUAUCAAAACUUGAGCGGACAUCGCAUGCCUAACUUCCACGCACCCUAAAACGGUUUGAUUUGCUUUCACGCGUUCAUGAAUUUCCAUGAAAGAGCCUGCCUUUCGUCUCUUUCGGGACAGUGACUACAAUUAUGGAAAAAAUUAUAAUUCUCGUUAGAUUGUAACCAAAUUAUUAUCCCUAAUUUUUUUAAGUUAAAUAAAAUAAAAUUUAUGCUUAAGUAUAAACAAUAAUUUGGACAUUCUUGUUAUUUGUCCUUCUAAGAUAGACAGCAACCUAAUUAUUUAUUUGUUUGCCUGUUUUUGUUUUUUUAAAUAACAGUUUAUUAGCAUAAAUAUUUACCUGUGAAGUCGAGGAGGAGAAAAUGUUAGAAAAAAUAAAAAGAAAAAAAAUUAAGGGAGAUAGAAUCAGAUUUUCUUUUUUGAGCAAAGAACAUACGUAAAAAGAUAUUAAAUCUAUUAAGUCUAAUUGUCUAUAACCGUAAAUUGCAUAACGAAUAAAUUAUCAGCGUAAAAUAAAUUUUAUUAGAUUCUGGUUAUUUUCUAGAGUACGAAUUGUCUCAUCGUAGAACAAACACCGGAAAAUAUAACCUUUGCGGAGGUCUUUUGCUGUGUCGUUAUAAAAAGGUUAUUAGUAAUUUAAUGCACCAAUAUUGUAUAUUCCACCUUAUCAAUGUCUCUGGUUGCGAAAGAUUGUUAAAAGCAACGUGUUCUUUCUUUGUCUUAUGUAAUUUUUUCGUUGUCCAUGAGUUUUAAUUGAAAUACUUGGCUUCCAGUUAUUUUGUAAACCUGUCGAAAACUACCACAGUGGAUAAAGAUUAACCAGCUCAUUCUUUACAAUUGACUAUCGAUUUUUUAUUUUUUUAUUUUUAUUUAAAAUUGCUGGUUUGUUGCUUAAAAUUUUCAAUAAUAAUUUCACUUAUUUAGUAAUUAGAGAGAGAUAGAGAGGAUUGGCGGCCAAUGUUUCGCGAUUUGGGGUCAAUUCAAAGUCAACUAACGUGUAAAACACGUGUAUGCAUAGAAAACGCUUAGAUUAUUUGUGUUCCAAGUGCAAGAAAUUAAGAAAAGAAAAAUUGAUUUCCUUUCAUGAACUUCCAAGAAAGAAAGAAGACCCUUUACCUUCUUCGUGACAACAAAUGAAUGAAUGAUGUUGAUAUGACAAAUACAAGCGCUAUUGCAGGGAACAGCAUAAGACCGAGACUUGAUAAAGGGUUUGUUAAAUUACAUGUUAUUUUCUUUUGACUUGAAUGAUGUUGAAAUAAAAUAAAAUUGUAAUCAGGAUGAUGUGUAGAAUAGUGAAAUAAAUAAAAAGAGAAGAGAAAUUCUUUGACCAAUAUUCAAGAACUCAUCCAAGGUGAUCGUCCAAGUCUAGAGGUUCGGUGUGAUUAGCAUUUAUUUUUAAUUUUUUGGCUAACAUCAUAUAUAGUCACUUGUCGUGUGAUGUAGGGCAAGUUUAGAAAUCCUUUUAUUUUAACUUCCGUAUUCUUAUUAUUUAAUUAGUUAUAGGGUUUUUAAGUAUUUGAGUAUUGAUCACAUGUCUGCUAAUCUAAAAAUAUUUUUUUACGAUCGAGUACAAAUAACAAACUAGAAUUUUAACAGCCUUUUAUACUAAACCCUAAAAAUACAUGAAUUUAUCAAAAUAAGUAAAUUAAUUUAAAUUGGUAUGGCAUAAUAGAAGUUUUACCUGCCGAAACAAAUUAAAAAAAUAUUACACUUAAAUCAAAUAUUGACAAAAAUAGAUAACAAUCUAAUGAGAAUCUUAACUAGACAUUUUUACUUCUAUCCAAUUUAACUGGAACGAGAAUUAAGUCCUUUCAAUAGUUAAGACUCAUAACUCAUACAUGCUAGUUUGAGAGUGUGGGGUGUGACAAUGGGUCAAAAGACCAUUGACAAGUACAAAAGAGUGAUUGCAAUUAAUUCAAACCGCUACACACGCUAUAUUGAGGGCCCAUUUUUGUUUAUUUCGUUGAAAAGUAGUUUUCACAAUUAAUUCAAACCGCUACACACGCUAUUGCGUCUUUUAAAAAAGAAAAAUGGAGUAGUUUUCCAAAAUUAAUUCAGAGAAGAAGAUUUACUAAUAAUGAUGUUAGAAAUCUUAAUAUUUGAAUCUUAAUAUUAUGUAUCACUCAUUUAUUAAAUAAUAGAUUUCAUAGUUUGUAAAUUUACUUAACCACUUGAUAAAUGUUAUAUUUGUUGGGACUAAAUUGGGACUUCAAUGUUGGAAUAUCUAGUAUUGCAUAAAAAAUAAAAAAAAACUUAAAAAUUUAUCUUCGCAUGACUAAUUGUUUUUACAUCACAACUAACCUUAGUUAUUUUUUAAAGUUAUAGUAUUAUUAAAUUGCCCUAACUGGUUAUCAAAAGAUGAAAGCAUGUUAAAAUAAGAAAUUACUAAGAAACAUGUGCUUAAACAGAGGUUAAGGCUACGAACAAUUAAGAAGAAACAACUUACAAUCAAAGGUUAAGAUUAUGAACAAAUUAAGGAAGGUAGAUAAAGGGACGGAAUCAUUGUCUGAAUUGCCGGUGACAAGAAUGCUUGUGUUGUGAAAAGAAACCUGAUGGUUUGUAAAUGGGUUGAAUUUUUUAUUCGCUCACUCCAACUGACUUACUAAUGCCAAAUUUAUUACGUUGCACAGUAGUGUUUAGGAUCCUCAAGAUCAACUCUUAAUUUGGUCCCAAUUAUUGUAGAAAUCAUCUAUUGAGCAAUAGAAUAAGAAUUUUUCUAGUCAUGAAAUUUAAUAUAUAAUAUAUCCUUGACACACAUCGAUUAGAACUUAAUUGUUAGAAUUCAUAACAUUACUCUACUCUCAAGGGGAGUUCUCUUAACAUAUUAUGUUAGGUUGCCUACAUUCAAAAUAUGUUAGACUGCUCUUUGAAAGCAAUAUUCCCUUUUCCGUAACUUUGAAUUGAUCCAAUAGCUCUUGAAAAGCACAUAAUAAUCAUUAUAAAUUUAAUCAAAGACUAAGCAGGUCUUCUUUCCAUUUGAUCACUGGCAUUUCAGUUAAGUUUGUCGUUUACUUAAAUUUUUCUUGCUUUCAAUUUCCACUGUUGUUUUUUUUAUAUAAAAUAAUUUAUUUAAACUAGUCAUAGAAAUAAGAGAGAAAGGGCGCCAUUUCUUGACUCAAAGUCAAUUAUAAUUAUCAAAACUUGAGCGGACAUUGCAUGCCUAAAUUCCACGCACCCUAAAACGGUUUGAUUUGCUUUCACGCGUUCAUGAUUUUCCAUGAAAGAGAGUGCCUCUCGUCUCUUUCCGGACAGUGACUGCAAUUAUGUUAACGUGACGAAUACAUAACGUUAUUACAUACAAGAAUAAGUUUUUGGAGCCGAGACUUGAGGGAGGUUCUAUCUAAUUCUAAAGAUUGUAACCAAAUCAUUAUCCCAAAUUUUUUUCAGUUAAAUAAAAUAAAAUUUAUGCUUAAGUAUAAAUAAUUUUUUUUCAGUUAAAUAUAAAAUAAAAUUCAUGAACUUUCCUAGAAAGAAAGAAGACCCUUCACCUUCUUCGUGACAACAAAUGAUGUUGACAUGACAAAUACAAGCUCUAUUACAGGGAAUAGCAUAAGACCGAAACUUGAUAAAUAUUAAAUAUAUAUUAUAAGUGGACCAAAUGAACAAAAUAAUAGAUAUUUUAUAAUAUUCUUGAUAAAAAUCCAAGUUUUGAGCUGGCCCAUAAGCUUGUCUAGCGAAGUCUGGGUACCCGCGUUGCCCAAGGUUUCGUCUGAAUCCAGGCUGUGUAGAUGUUUAUGACAUCCCAUAUGGACGGAGAGGAAAUAUUUUCAGUUGACUGAAUUAAAUAAAAAUAUAUUACAAUCAUAUUAUAUAUUAACAGCAAAAAUAAAAAGAAAUGAAGAAAAACGCAUGCAAGACUUAGAGAAGUCAAUUAAAAGCUGGGAGUAUCAUCAGUUCAAUUAGUUAUAAAUAGCGUAGAGCCAUCCUCUCGUUGUUGCAGAAGAGAGACAGAAAGAGUGUGUGUAGGUGAUUAUAAUUAAGAAGAUAUAAAGUGUGGUUCAAAAAGAGUGUGGGUGAGUGAGUUAAUUUUCAUAUUAUUAGUAGUAAAAGGGUGGUGGAGUGAGGGAUGUUUGGAGCAAGAGAGGUCUGCUCUCCUCCAACUUAAACGUUUCUUCAAUAAUAAUGAACGUCUUCAAAACUGGGCAGACGCGGCAGAUGAUGAGAAUUAUUCAGAUUGUUGUCAGUGGGAAGGGGUUGAGUGCAAUAACACCACUGGCAGAGUGAUUGAAUUAUAUCUAGGAGCCACUAGGAAUCGGGAAUCAGCAGAGUGGCAUAUGAAUGCUUCUCUAUUUACUCCCUUUCAACAAUUAGAGUCUCUUUAUCUAAUUGGGAACAAUAUAGCCGGUUGUGUUGAAAAUGAAGGUCCUUAAUUUACUUUAUUUUAGUUCUUCCUAUAAAUUUCUUACAUUUAUCUGAUCCCUUUUGGCUUUUAUUUAAUUUGUAUGUGAUACAAUAAAAUUAUUUUUUAUUUUUUGGCAGGUCUAGAUAGGUUAUCAAGGUUGAACAACUUGAAGUUUCUUUUUUUAGAUUUUAACUGCUUCAACAACAACAUCUUUUCAUCUCUAGGUGGUCUUUCAUCACUCAGGAUCUUAUCAUUGUUUCAUAAUAGAUUGAAUGGAAGUGUUGACAUUAAAGGUAAAGUAAGCUUCAUCCCUUCUCCCGUGUCCCAUCUUUUGUGGAUCUUAUUUCAUCGACCAGCUGGAAGUAUUGAUACGAGAUCUAGCUAGACUCUUGCUAGUGCAAGCUUCAAGGCUUUGAGUGCUACAAAAAUAGGUCUAAGAAAUUAUCAAUACAUAACGUUAUUACAUACAAUAAUAGUUCUAAAGAUUGUAACAAAAUCAUUAUCCCCAAUUUUUUUAAGUUAAAUAAAAUAAAAUUCAUGCUUAAGUAUAAAUAAUACUUUGGACAUUCUUGAUAUUUGUCCUUUUAAGAUAAACAGCAACCCAAUUAUCUAUUUGUUUGUCUGUUUUGUUUUUUUUAAAUAACAGUUUGUUAGCAUAAAUAUUUACCUGUGAAGUCGAGGAGGAGAAAAUGUUAGAAAAAAUAAAAAGAAAAAAAAUUAAGGGGGAUAAAAUCAGAUUUUCUUUUUUGAGCAAAGACCAUACGUAAAAAGAUAUUAAAUCUAUUAAGUCUAAUUGUCUAUAACGGUAAAUUGCAUAACGAAUAAUUUAUCAGCGUAAAAUAAAUUUUAUUAGAUUCUGAUUAUUUGUUUGAUUUCUUUUCUCUCUGGACUCAACUUAUAUUGUUUAUUUGAUUUGAUUUUAUUAUUUUUUAAAGAAACUUAUUGUUUAUCAAUACUGAAUGGCUUAAGAUUGAUGUCUUGAUAAUAGAUGGGGCAAUAUUGCAUUUUUAAUGCAGUAGACUUUGAAGUUAUCAUUGACAAGCUUAGAUGAAUUACUAGGACCAUAAUACAAAUGUCACAGGCAUCUAAGGCACUUACCAAGUUUUGAGUACAUUCCUGUUCCUAUCUAAUAGUUUUUAAUUUCUUUAAUUUAAGACCCCAUUCAUUAAUAUUUUCUUUAUUGUGAAGUUAAUUUUUUUUAUGUGAAAUUAAUUUUUUUUUAAAAAAAAUUUGUUGACUUAUAGUUUACCUUUGUGUUAAAUGUUGGCAAAAUUAUUUUGUCCAAACCAUUUUUUUGUCCUGAACGUCCAACUAAAAACUGAAUCAAGGGUUAAGUUGUAAGGUUUCAGUUCGUCCGUUAUAUUAAUUUAUUGUUUUAAUAUUAUGCAGUACAAAUAGGUGUAUAAGUCCAUCAUUUAAAUACAAAAUGAAACCACAUCAAUAUAGAAAUUAAAAGAAAAUGAAUUCUCACAACCAUAAGGUGAGAUUCAAACUCUCUAUCUCCGAGGAUUUCUUAAAGUUAUUCUUAAAUUAUACUUAAAUGGUUAAAUUUAAUAAAUAAAGGUUUAAUUCUUUUCUCGCACAUUGUAGAAGCAAAUUUUCUCCUCUGUUGAAAAUUCUAAAUAUUUUUUUAAAUUAGGUUUCAACUAUGACAUAUCAGGAGAGAUUUGAUACAUUUCUAAUGCAACCGAUAUAACAACACAACUUUGUGAUUUUUACUAUUCAGGAGAAGAAGAACACAACCUGUAUAACCCAACCGUUUAUAUACAAACAUCGAAUCGCUUUUUAAAAUUAAAUUGGGAAAAUUGGGGAUAUAAUCGUUUUUCAUAUAUAUACAUUUUUUCCUUACAAAUUUAAAUUCAUGGUUGGUAGCUAAAUAUACCUGCUUAAAGCCACUCAGUCGAACCCUUUGAGAGCUGCUUUAAAUUUUUCGGAUUAGCCAUAUUCUUUUCACUGAGAUUUAACAUAAAAAAAAAAGAGAAAAUAAGUUAUUUAAUUAACUCUAUUUUAAGUGUUGGCAUAAAUACAGGACUCGAUUCCUUAAGCAACUUGAAGGCGCUGUACAUGAGCUUCAAUGCAAUCGACAAUCUAGUGGUUCCUAAAGGUAUACAAAAUCUUCAAAUAUUAAUAAUUUGGAAGACAAUUUAAUUGAUUUGAUUAGGGAAUGCCCAAUGUCACUUAUCCAAAAUAAUUUAAUCUGAAAUUGUAUCCCAAAUAGAUUACAGAGGCUUGAGGAAGUUGAAUACCCUUUAUUUUGGGGGGGGGGGGGGGGGGGGGGGGGGGAGGGAAAUUGCAGUGAUAUAUGGAAGCAAGGUGUUGCAAUCAAUAAAGAAGUUCAUUGGUCAAUAUUCAAGGACUCAUCCAAAGUAAUCCACCAACUCAAACAUUUCUUCAAUGAUGAUCAACGUCUUCAAAACUAGGUAGACGCGGGAGAAAUGAGAAUAAUUUAGAUUGUUGUCAGUGGGAAGGGGUUGAGUGCAACAACACCACUGGCAGAGUGAUUAAAUUAGAUCUAGCAUUUCGAAAAUGGGAAUCAGCAAAGUGGUAUAUGAAUGCCUCUUUGUUUACUCCCUUUCAACAAUUAGAGUCUCUUGAUCUAAGUUGGAACAAUAUAGCCGGUUGUGUUCAAAAUGAAGGUCCUUAAUUUACUCUAUUUUAGUUCUUCCUCGUAAUUUCUUACAUUUAUCUGAUCCCUUUUGGCUUUUGUUUAAUUUGUAUGUGAUACAAUAACAUUUUUUUAGUUUUUAUUUUUUAUUUUUUGGCAGGUCUAGAGAGGCUAUCAAGGUUGAACAACUUGAAGUUUCUUUAUUUAGACGACAACCACUUCAACAACAGCAUCUUUUCAUCUCUAGGUGGUCUUUCAUCACUCAGACACUUAUCAUUGGCUGAUAAUAGAUUGAAUGGAAGUAUUGAUAUUAAAGGUAAGCAAGCUUCAUCCCUUCUCCCGUGUCCCAUCUUUGUGGAUUUUAUUUCAUCGACCAGUUGGAAGUAUUGAUACUAGAUCUAGCUAGACUCUUGCUAGUUUAAGCUUCAAGGCUUUGAAUAUUAUAAAAAUAGGUUUAAGGAAUUAUCAAUAUAUGCAAUUUUCAAUGCUUCUCAUAAUCAGACACAAUUCAAUCUAAUUAUUUCGUAUGUCUUGUCUUCAAAAGUAAAGAAUUGUACACUAAACGGAAAUCGACAUUGUAGCUUUUUAAUUUUUCUAAUGCUCUUUCUUUGUUAACGAGUUAAAUCCUGAGAGUGGAUUGGAUUCAAAAAAAAAAAAAAAAACAAGUUUUGAUGUUCAAGGUAAGCCAUAAUAACAUGCAUCUUAUUUAUCUGCCUAUAUCUAAAUUUGUGCAUUGAAUUUAGUAUUUUGGUUAGUGUGAAGGGAUCAGAUAUUGGCUUCCAUAAACCAACUUGUAUUUACUUAAUUAAUUAAUUAACGCCAUUUAGUAUUUAAAAAAUUAAAAUUUCGUGUUUUAUUUAUUUUAUUUUUUAUUUUUUGAAACAAGAAUAAGGUAUAGCAGUAGGUAAAGUUGAAAUAAAUUUUUAUUCCUUACAAAUUUAAAUUCGCCGUUGUCAGCCAAAUAUACCUACUUAAAACCACUCGGUCAGGCCCUUGGCAGCUGGUUUUUAGGUUUUUCUAGUUAGCCGUGUACUUUUUUGCUUAUUAAUAAAAUUCUUUUGCGCCGAGAUUUAAAACAAAGAAGGAGAAAAUAAGUUAUUUAAUUAACCCUGUUUUAAGUGUUGGCAUAAAUGCAGGACUGAAUUCCUUGAGUAACUUGGAGGAGCUGGACAUAAGCGACAAUGCAAUCGACAAUCUUGUGGUUCCUAAAGGUAUACAAAAUGUUCAAAUAUUUGGAGGACAGUUUAAUAGAUUUGAUUAGGGAAUGCCCAAUGACACUUACCCAAAAUAAUUUAAUCUGAAAUUGUAUCCCAAACAGAUUUCAGAGGUUUGAGGAAGUUGAAUACCCUUUAUUUCGGGGGAAGGGCAACUGCAAUGAUAGAUGGAAGCAAGGUGUUGCAAUCAAUAGGAUCACUACCGUCCCUCAAAACACUUUACCUUUUGUAUACUAAUUUUAAGGGAACAGUAGUUAAUCAAGGUAAGUAAAUCUUUUAUGUCGAAAAUAAUUGAAUUAAUAUAUAUAUCUAAAAUUUAUUGUUUCUACUUCUUUCUAAAAAGAAUUGCACAAUUUCACCAACUUGGAAGAAUUGAUAUUGGACGAGUCUGAUCUCCACAUAAGCCAGCUUCUGCAAAGCAUCGCAUCAUUCACUUCGUUAAAGUAUUUGUCAAUGCAACAUAGUGUACUCAAGGGUGCCCUGCAUGGUCAAGGUAAAUUACGGGUAUCUGAAGCUUUUGUGAUAUUAAUUCGAUAAUGAUUCUUUCUUUUCAAGUUAAUUUUCUCCCGUAAAAUAAUAUUUUUUUCUUUUAAAUUUUAUAUAUUUUCACUAUCCAAUAGUUCUACCUUCUCUAAAUUGUAGGAUUCUUGAUUAAGGUUAAUGAAAUUUUAGUUAUGUUAUGUUAAGAAUAUUUCGAUCGCUUAGAAGAGUAAAGAAAAAUAAGUAAAUUAACCCAAAAAUAAGGACCGGAUUAUCCUUAUUCCCUUGCAUUAUGUGAUCAAUAUCAAAAUUAUGACCAUUUCUUGUUUAUUGCUUGCAGAUUUUCGUAAAUUCAAGAAUUUGGAAAAUCUGGACAUGGGUGAGGUGCAGGUUGACGUCAACACCAGUUUUCUUCAAAUUGUCGGCGAAUCGAUGCCUUCUCUGAAGUUUUUAUCACUGAUAAACUCUAGUAAAAACACCAUUCUUGAUCAAGGUUAAUUAAUGAUUCUCUUUCUCCCUCUCGCGCAUCUUAACUAAAUUUAAUUGAGAAUAUCUAUGAUGUGAGAUAUUUAUAAACUUAAUGAAAUAUGAUAAGGAGCCAUAAUAAUGACAAAAAUAACUAUAAAACAGUGCAUUGUUGUAGUGUUGAUUGAAAAAUAAUGCUAAUUUUUUACUUAACACUAUAACGCUAUAUAAUUUUACAGUUAUUUUGUUGCCAUUACGUCAGAUUCUACUGUUCAACUAUCAGUGAUCAAACUUAAUUUUUAAUAUGUACUUUAAAGAUUUUAUGCAAUUAUUUAAGUUUUAUGCAAUUAUAUUUUUCAGGACUUUGUCGGUUAGUGCAUCUGCAAGAGUUAUACAUCAGCAGUAAUGAUUUGAGAGGUAGCUUGCCAUGGUGCUUGGCAAAUUUGACUUCCCUUCGAGUAUUAGAUGUCUCUUACAAUCAACUUACUGAAAACAUCUCCUCAUCUCCCAUCAUGCAUCUAAUAUCUAUUGAAAAGCUCAUACUUUCAAAUAAUCACUUCUUCCAAAUCCCUAUUUCACUUGAACCACUUUUCAAUCUCUCAAAACUCAAGACUUUCGAUGGUGAAAUAUGCGCAGAAACUGAGUCACAUUAUAAUUCUUUGACCCCAAAAUUCCAACUGACUUCUAUCUCACUGUCUGGUUACAUAGAUGGUGGCACAUUUCCCAAAUUCUUGUACCAUCAGCAUGACUUGAAGAAUGCUGAUCUCUCACACCUUAACUUGAGUGGACAAUUUCCAAAUUGGUUGCUAGAAAACAAUACAAACUUAGUGAUGCUUCUUCUUGCCAAUAACUCUCUUUUUGGAUCAUUUCGAAUGCCAAUUCAUUCCCACCAGAAUUUAGCAACAUUGGAUGUCUCCAAACAAUUUCUUUCAAGGCCAUAUUCCGGUAGAAAUCGGAACAUAUCUGCCAGGUUUAAUGGAUUUAAACUUAUCUAGAAAUGCUUUCAACGGUAGCAUUCCCUCUUCAUUUGCUGAUAUGAAAAUGUUGGAAAGGUUGGACAUAUCUGACAAUCAGUUGACUGGUGAAAUCCCUGAGCGCAUGGCCACGGGUUGCUUCUCAUUAGAAAUUCUUGCAUUGUCAAACAAUAGUUUGCAAGGUCAUAUAUUCUCGAAAAAAUUUAACUUGACAAAUUUGAUGACGUUGCAGUUGGAUGGUAAUAAAUUCAUUGGAGAGAUCCCAGAAAGCUUAUCUAAGUGUUAUUUGUUGGGAGGAUUGUAUCUGAGUGAUAAUCAUCUCUCUGGUGAGAUUCCAAGAUGGUUGGGUAAUUUGUCAGCUUUAGAAGGUAUUAGAAUGCCCAAUAACAAUCUUGAAGGACCAAUUCCAAUCGAGUUUUGUCAGCUUAGUGCUCUGAAGAUUUUAGACCUUUCAAACAAUUCUAUUUUCGGAACGUUACCAUCUUGUUUUAGUCCAGCACAUAUCGAACAAGUUCAUUUGUCAAAAAACAAGAUAGAAGGACGGUUGGAAAGUAUAAUCCAUGACAGCCCUUAUUUGGUGACAUUAGAUCUUAGUCAUAACCGCUUACACGGAAGUAUUCCAAAUCGGAUUGACAGACUACCUCAGUUAAACUACCUUCUUUUAGCUCAUAAUUAUAUUAAAGGCGAAAUACCAGUUCAAUUAUGCCAGUUGAAGGAAGUGCGAUUGAUUGAUCUUUCUCAUAAUAAUCUAUCUGGUCAUAUUCCUCCUUGCUUGGUUAACACUGCACUCAGUGGAGGUCAUCAUGAGGCAGUAGCUCCAACUUCGAUUUGGUGUGGUCGAGCGUCUGUCUAUAUAUCUGCAUGUCUGCCUAGUCGAAGUGCACCUCCGAUGGGAAAGGAAGAAACUGUACAGUUCACAACAAAGAAUAUGUCCUACUAUUAUCAAGGAAGAAUUUUGACGAGUAUGUCUGGGAUUGAUCUUUCUUGUAACAAACUGACAGGUGAGAUUCCUACUCAAAUUGGAUAUCUUUCUGGGAUUCAUGCGCUAAAUCUAUCUCAUAACAAUUUGACGGGCACAAUCCCGACAACAUUUUCAAACCUGAAGCAAAUUGAAAGCUUGGACCUCUCCUACAACCUACUGCAUGGGAAAAUCCCUCCUCAACUCAUUGUGCUAAAUACAUUGGAGGUUUUCAAAGUAGCAUACAAUAACUUAUCAGGCAAAAUUCCAGAUAGAGCACAAUUUUCAACUUUCGAGGAAGAUAGCUAUGAGGGGAAUCCUUUUCUUUGUGGAAAGCCACUGUCCAAAAGUUGCAAUGAUAAUGGAUUGACAACAGUGACACCAGAAGCUUCCACCGAAAAUCAAGGUGAUAGUUUAAUUGACACGGACAGUUUCCUGAUCACUUUUACAGUAUCUUAUGGAAUUGUGAUAAUAGGAAUUAUUGGAGUUUUGUACAUAAACCCUUACUGGCGGCGAAGAUGGUUUUACCUUGUUGAAGUGUGUAUGACCUCUUGUUAUUAUUUUGUAGCAGACAAUCUUGUUCCUCGAAGAUUCUAUCGUGGAUGGAUGUAAUUUCCUUACAUUACAACUUAUAUGUAAUUUUUAAAGAAUUUUCUUUUGCAUGCAUGGAAUAGCAACUCAAUAAAAGUAUUUGAUUCAAAUUGUCCAAGAACAACUUAGUAAUUUCAUUGCUACUAUUCGGUUGUAUAUAUACAGUAAAUGAAAUUUUUAACCAUUCGCAGUAGGAAUUUCUUUAGAUGGCGGCCAAAACUAACAGAUUUGGGGCUCUACUUCUACACAUCAUAACAGACAAAAGGUCUCUCUUUUACACGAUCUGAAUGAAGAUUAACUUACGCCCUCUGGAGUGUGUGUAAGUUCUCUAUUAAACUUGACGGUUGAGAUUUCAGGUCCAGAUGAAAGUAAAAUGCAGGCGACGAGACUUCACUUUAAGUAAACUGGGACAAACUUAAAAUAAAAAAAAUUAUAGUCCAGGGUGAGAGUAAUGGGUAGCUCAACUUAUGGAGGAUAACUAGGACUUGGAAUAACUAUCAGAUUUGCAACUCUUGUUAUAUGCUAGUGGGGAUUUAGGUAGCAAUUAUCACCUUGGGAGUUACAGUAAUCGAUUCAUUUCCUCCUUCAUUUCUGAUGGUAACCCAGCUCUAUACAAGAACAAUCAGAGAAGGUUCAUUUAAGAAAUUUCACAACCCACAAAUUUUUUUUUCCUUUUUGCCCUCUUCCUCACAAUAAACACACCUAACACACCAAGCCGUGCCCAAAAUAAUCCUAUUUUAUUCAUGUCAUGAAUCCAAAAACUAUCCCAGCUCACUUUGGUUAACCAGCAUAACUAAAUUGUGGGUAUAAAUGAACACACUUUCGAAGCCUGUAACUUAUAAUAAGCUCCAACCCAAAAAUGACAUUUAAAUCCUGCAAGUGUUUUUCAUCAUCUUUAACAAAAAGAAACAAGAAUAAUUAUAUACCAAUAAUUUUUCCAUAAAAAAUACUGACUUGAGUUGAAACACUAUACAAACUGGGUUUUAUUACACUUGCAGAAAGCUACAGGGUAGAAAAAAUCUAGCAGCUACAUAUUGGUAUCACUUUCAGCUGGUCAUGAAUGGUGAGCAUUCAGCAAUGCUCGAUAGACCAUGUCUAAGAAUUGAUUGUCCUAUUACAUAUAAAAGCUGGUCAGAUAUACAAGGAAAAAAAUAAUAAUUGAAAAUGCAUCACAAAAAAUAAGUGUUUCGCAUUAGUGAACAUAAAUUUAUUUACAUGUCAAUUUAGAUAUCAUCAAAAAGUAAACAGUAAUUCAGUCACUUAAAAUAGCUUUAAGUCUGCUGUCAAUAUGCAAUUAAGAAGAUUAUACCAGCUGCAUGAUAAAGUUCCCCUAAUCUUAACAACAGUAAACAUGAACAUGUCAGAUGCAAUUAUAGCUUCGAGCAUUUGCAUAACCAGAAAUCCUAACCUGAACAAGCACCAGAAGUGUCUCUCGAACUUUCUCCUUGCUGAUAAAUGGUCGGCUGUUUGAAGUAAGAGCAGGAGUAAGAGAUGGUGGAGGGGUUGGUGGUGGAAAAGGUUGAAGCACUGGGGCACCAUAUGGGCGUUGCAGACUCACGGGAGGAUUAAGUGGCGGAGCUGUUGGUGUAGAUGAAGAGACAAGCUGCAUCAUCCGUGCAUAGGAGGAUGGAGGAGGAACAAAGAAUAAGGAAGGCUUUACAAGAUUAGGCGUCCAGUUGCCAGAUUCAGAGGUGUCAACGGGUGAUAUUAAAGGUGUAGGUGCUGAUAGAGGUGGAGAUGGUAUUUGCAAGGUUGGGAGAAGCAACACUGGCGGGAUGAGAAGGUAAAGAAAUAGUUGUAUUGUACUGGUAAGGUUGUGCAGAGAUUGCUGCAUUAGAAGUAUUCCCCACAGUCAAAGCUGUCUGCAAUGAUAAGGACAGAUUGUUGGAGAAUUAACAAAAUAAAACACAAAAAACACUAUUUUAUUUCUUCAACAACACUUCUCACCAAUUACAACUCUUAUUUUUCACUUUCUACACCUUAGAGAUUUUGCUACUUCACUUGAUGAUUAAACCAAAGGGGAGAGGGGGUAUUUAUACAUGAAACAAACUAAUCACAACCAUUCAUUUAUUCAAUUAAUACACAAAUCCUCACCAUCCAUUAAAACCUACCACUCACCUACUUCACCAACCACACCUAACACACCUAACACAAAUAAUUCAAAGCUCACCAACCAUACCUACUCAUGGAACCUUCCAUGAGUUGGGCUUGAUUUACUCAUCUUGGAUCAAGUUUAUGAUCCAACACCUCCCCUUAAACUUGAUCCUGUGACACCAAGCAAACUUCUGAAUCUUGCAAAGUCUUCUUCCUUGAGUGGUUUAGUGAAGAUAUCAGCUGCUUGAUCUUGUGAUUUUACAUACUUGACUUGCACUUCUUUUCUUGCAAUACACUCUCUUAUGAAAUGAUAGCGAGUGUCUAUGUGUUUACUUCGAUCAUGAAAGACUGGAUUCUUGGAUAGGGCAAUUGCUGAUUUGUUAUCAACACAAAUCUCGGUUGGCUCUUCUUGUGCCAAACUCAACUCCUUCAGCAAAUUUCUGAGCCAAAUUGCAUGACAAACACUUGAUGUGGCAGCUACAUAUUCAGCUUCACAAGUGGAUAGAGUGACAAUUGGUUGCUUCUUUGACAUCCAUGUGAAAGCAGUAUCUCCCAUGAAGAACACAAAUCCUGUUGUGCUCUUUCGAUCAUCUACAUCUCCACCCCAAUCGCUAUCGCUAUAUCCAAUAAGCUUGUAGUGAUUAGAAAAUGAGUAUAACAAGCCGAAAUUAAUUGUACCUUUGAUAUAGCGAAGGAUUCUUUUUGCAGCUUUAAAAUGAGUGGUCUUUGGAUUCUCCAUGUAUCGGCUCACAAGUCCAACAGCAUAAAGAAUAUCUGGUCUUGUGCAUGUCAAAUAACGGAGGCUUCCAACCAAACUUUUAAAGAAUGUUGGAUCUAUAUCUUCGCCUUCAUCAUAUUUGGAUAACUUGACUCCGCAUUCCACUGGCGUGCUUAUAGGCUUGCAAUCAUUCAUCUUGAACCUUUUGAGAAUCUCCUUUGCAUAACUUUCUUGGGAGAUAAAUAUGUCUUCUUCCUUUUGCUUGACUUCAAUGCCGAGGUAAUAUGUCAUCAGUCCGAUGUCAGUCAUCUCGAACUCUUUGAUCAUCACUCUUUUGAACUCUUCAAACAAGCUUGGAUUACUUCCAGUGAAGAUGAGAUCAUCCACAUACAGGCACACAAUCAAAAUAUCUCCAUCUUUUUCUUUGACGUAGAGAGCAUGUUCAUAUGGGCAUUUGGUGAAGCCUUUCUCUUGAAAAUACUUGUCAAUUCUGCUAUUCCAUGCCCUUGGUGCUUGCUUUAACCCGUAAAGAGCUUUCUUUAAUCUCAAAACUUUGUCUUCAUGUCCUUUCACCAUAUAGCCUAAUGGUUGUUCGAUGUAAACUUCUUCUUCAAGGAAUCCAUUCAAGAAAGCAGACUUCACAUCCAUUUGAAAAAUCUUCCAUUUGUUCUGAGCAGCCAAAGAAAUAAUAAGUCUAAUAGUUUCAAGUCGAGCUACAGGAGCAAAUACCUCGUCAUAGUCUAUGCCAGCCUUUUGACUAUAGCCUUUUGCAACUAGCCUCGCCUUGUGCCUUUCAAUUUCUCCAUUCGCAUUUCUUUUUGUUUUAUACACCCAUUUGACACCGAUCGCCUUAUGACCUUUUGGAAGAGUAGUAAGCUCCCAAGUAUCAUUCUUCACAAUGGCUUUGAUUUCUUCAUCCAUUGCAAUUCUCCACUUCUCAUCUAGUGCAGCUUCUUGGAAGUUGACUGGCUCACAAUCAGCAAAGAGGCAAAAGAGAGUGAGAUUAUCAUGUCUCUCAGUUACCUCAUAGAGAUCUUGAAGACUCCUUGUACGUUCUUCAGUUCUUUCAUUUAAGAAAUGCGGCGGUGAAUCUCCGCAUGUGGUUGGUACCGGUGAGAUAGGUAGAGUGGCAGGCUCUUGUUGUUCGUCUACUUGUUUUAUCUGUGUAUGAUCAUCUUCUUCAAUGGGAAAGAAGUUGAAGUCAUCCACACCAGAGCCAAAAUCUCAUUCUCCUUCUUCAUCAAAAACUACAUCUCGACUGAUCACGAUCUUCCCGUUGUUUGGAUUGUAAAGCUUGUAUCCUUUGGAGUUGUUGUCGUAGCCGAUGAAGAUGAACUUUUCACUUUUGUCAUCCAGCUUGGCUCUACUUUCAUCUGGUACAUGUACAUGGGCAAUGCUUCCGAAAACUCUUAGAUGGGUUAUGCCGGGUUUUCUUCCACUCCAAGCUUCUUGUGGCGUCUUGCCCCACACGCUUCUUGUUGGAGAUCGAUUGGAUAAGUAGACUGCACAUGCAACAGCUUCAGCCCAAAAUUCUUUAGGUAGCCUCUUACUCUUAAGCAUGCUUCUUGCCAUGUCGAGGAUGGUUCUGUUCUUCCUUUCUGCAACACCAUUUUGUUGAGGGGAUCUUGGAACUGUCAAAGGGCGUCGAAUUCCAUUUGCUUCACAAAACUCUAAAAAUUCUUUGGAAGUGAACUCUCCACCUCGAUCAGAUCUCAUGGCUUUAAUCUGGUAUCCACUUUCUUUUUCCACUGCAGCUUUAAACUUCUUGAAAGCUUCAAAAACUUCUGAUUUUUGCUUCAAAAAAUACACCCAAGUUUUUCUUGAAAAAUCAUCUAUGAAGAGAAGGAAGUAGUUACUUUUACCAAGGGAGUUUGGUUUGAAUGGACCGCACACAUCAGUAUGAAUGAGCUCGAGUGGCUUCUGAGCUCUUGAGUUUGACUCCUUUGGAAAGCUCUUUCUGAAUUGCUUGCCAAGUAAACAUCCUUCACAAAGCUGAUCAGGGUGAUUGAUGUAUGAUAAGCCUUUCACCAUGUUCUUCUUGAAUAGUAGCUCCAAUCCUCCAAAGUUGAGAUGCCCAUAUCGAAGAUGCCAAGUCCAGGAUUGAUCUUUGUGACAGGCUUUGAGACAUUUUGCAACAUCAUUUUGAAUAUUUAAUGGAAACAUUCUAUUCUUCGACAUUUUCACCUUUGUAAUUAGAUUUCCUUUGUCAUCUUUUAGGAAAAGACUAUAAUCUUUUAAGUGAAUAUCAUAGCCUUUUUCUAAAAGUUGACCCAAACUAAGAAUGUUGCUUUUCAUAUUGGGCACAUAGUAAACAUUCGAAAUUAUUUGGUGACUACCAUCUUUUGCACGAAAAAGAAUGUUACCUUUACCCUUCACUGGUACUUUUGAAUCAUCUCCAAAAGCGACACUGCCAUUCACAGAUUCACUUAGUUGCACGAACAUGUUUAUGUUUCCACUCAUAUGAUUGCUAGCACCUGUGUCAAGAUACCAUGUAUUUUCUUGACCUCCACUUGUGUCAUUGCGUGCUAGUAAAAGUGUGCCAUCUUCACUAUUUUUCUCUUCAGCAUAGUUCACUCUCUCUUCAAUUCUGGUGCUUGGAGCUCUGCAUUCUGAAGCAUAAUGCCCAAACUUUUGACAAUUAUAGCACUGUACUUGGGAUUUGUCAUACCUCGAUCUUGGAUUGCCUCUGCCUCGUCCUCUGGUUGAGCUUUCUCCUUUGGCAUAAUUGGAGUUGUUGUUGUUGAAAUUCCAACCUCGUCCAUGACCACGACCUCUACCUCGUCCAUGACCACGACCCCUACCUCGGACAUAGUGCCUUCUCUCAUUGUCGGAGCUUUCUUCUCUUUUCUUUGGAUUGACUUCCAUCUUGAGAAGUUGUUCUUCGAUUCCUUGCCUCUUUUUUUGUUUUUCUUCAUAGGCUUGCAACCUUCCUUGAAGUUGCUCGAUCGUCAUAUCCUCCAGAUCUCUUGUUUCUUCAAUUGUCACAACAAUAUGGUCAAACUUCGACUCUACUGAUCGAAGUAUCUUUUCAAUGAUCCUUACCUCUUUUAACUCCUCGCCAUUUCUUUUUAAUUCAUUGGAAACAGUCACAACCCGAGUAAAGUAGUCAGAAAUUGACUCUGACGCCUUCAUAUGUAAGGACUCAAAUUCUCCUCGUAAUGUUUGGAGACGAACCUUCUUAACUUGUUCCGCUCCUUUGUAAGAGGUCUCUAGUUUCUCCCAUGCUUCUUUUGAGGAGGUUGUACCAGCAAUUUUUUCAAAAUCAUCUUCAUCUAAUGAUUGAAAGAUGAGAUACUUUGCUUUAUUCUCUUUCUUCUUCAAGUCUUUUAAAUUCUCCUUCUGCGCCGCAGUUAAAGUGGCUUCAUUUUCUGGCACAAUAAAGCCUUUUUCCACGACAUCCCAUACGUCAUGUGCGCCCAAUAGAGCCUUCAUUUUAAUACUCCAAUUGUCAAACUUACUUCCCUUUAAUUGUGGAACUUGAAAUGACAUCAUACCACCCUUUGCCAUAACUCACAAAUUGAGUGAGAAUUUGGAGAUUCUGAAAGCACAAAUGGAUCCGGCACGUCGAAAAACCUUGGGAAUGACUCGAGUCAACUUUCGGUCAACGGUCAACGCUGGUCAACGGUCAACGCUGGUCAACGGUCAACGUCGGUCAACGGUCAACACCGGCUUGGUAGUCUUGGUUCGGUCCGGAUUGGUUCAGCUCGAGUUGGCUCGGUUCGACUUGAUUCGGUUCAGCUCGGUUCGGCUUGGUUCAACUCGGUGAGUCGACUCAGCUUUAGGGCAGAAAACUUCCGGCGGCAAGUGUGGGCGCGUCCGGUCUCCGAUUGGGAUAAUUUUUGCGGCGUCACUUUCCUCUCGUCGAGAUCUUCGAUUUGAUAUGCUAUAUGACCAUAUAUAGCAUCAUGUACUAGCUCUGAUACCACUUUGUUGGAGAAUUAACAAAAUAAAACACAAAAAACACUAUUUUAUUUCUUCAACAACACUUCUCACCAAUUACAACUCUUAUUUUUCACUCUCUACACCUUAGAGAUUUUGCUACUUCACUUGAUGAUUAAACCAAAGGGGAGAGGGGGUAUUUAUACAUGAAACAAACUAAUCACAACCAUUCAUUUAUUCAAUUAAUACACAAAUCCUCACCAUCCAUUAAAACCUACCACUCACCUACUUCACCAACCACACCUAACACAAAUAAUUCAAAGUUCACCAACCAUACCUACUCAUGAAACUUUCCAUGAGUUGGGCUUGAUUUACUCAUCUUGGAUCAAGUUUAUGAUCCAACACAGAUGUCAUAUACAAGGACUUCAUCGAAGUUGAACCUCACAAAAAAAUGAAGUGAUAACAUAUGAAAAUAGUAUAUGACUUGCGCGGCAUUUUUGUGGUAAUGUUGCAUACUUAUGUAGAAACAUAUUAUUUCAAAGAAAACAUACACUGAAGAAGUUCACAAAAGCAGGAUCUUCAGGAACAUCAGCAGCAUUUGACGGAGUUGACUCUAGAGGACCAUCCAUAACUGCCAUAGUUGGAACAGCUUCCAGUUCCUCAAACUCACUGCAGUUUAACAUAAAAGGAACUUGAUGACCAAUUUAAGUAAUAAUUAGAUGAUAUAAGAGGUUAGGGAAAAUGAUGAGUGGACCCUUAUGGAAGGUGAUUUCACCUUAGCUAAACACGAAAAUAAAAAGAAAUCAAAGCUGAAUCCUCGAGUGCAAUGCAAAGAAUUUUUUCUCUCUCUUCACUAACUCCUCUUAUUCGAAAUUGCUCAUCAUUGUGCUGCUCUUCGAGAUUUCGCUUGAGUAGAGAAAGUUAUUCUCCCGUUAAGUGCAGAGGAAAAAGAAGGGCAAGGGCCUGGUAUGAUGUUAUUCUAUAGGAAGUGAGAAGGUGAAGGGUUAAAAUAUUUUGCAAUUUGGAGGUGGUGUUUGUUAGUGUGUGUACUUCUGAAUUUAUUACCUCUUUAGGAUCCAUAGAAAUUGCCUCUUGUUCAGCAUGCACUGUGCCUACGAGUAAGGCGAGCUUGCAUGGUAUCUAUUGUCUAUUUACUUGGAUAUUCAAACAGGACUACCAGCAACCAAACACAAAUCCCCAAAACAAAACACUCUUUCAAGUGCAAGGAAAGAGUAACUUGGGCAUAUUUAUGGUUCAAGCACUACCAUAACUAAGAAUGUGAUGCUGUCCACAAACACUAUAUCAGUGCCUUUUGAACUACAUGACAUGCUUGAAGACUUUUUUUUUAGUCAUACAUAAAUUAGCUAUAAAAUUAAGACCAUUAUACAACUAAAAAGAAAGAAAAAUUGUUUGCCACUACAUAUCAAAACUGGUAAUAGCAAUGUAAGAUGGCAGACUUCUUACUUAAACAGAUGAGAGGCUACAAAUAAAAAAUUUGUGCAAAUAAAAUAUAUGAUAAAGAGCAUAAUACUUUCUUGGGGGCUAAAAAUAAUAUACAACUUGUGAAAUAUAAAUUGAGCUACCAUUACCUUUUAGAUGUGGCAACUUUCAACUUUUGAGGCACCUUGGAAUAUGCAUUCAGAAUCCUGCAUUUGGAAGCCAAAUAAAUAAUGUUAAUAACAGUUUUACAAUAGAAAAAUUAAAAAUUGAUAAAUGGCAGUUUUAAUUUAUGUAUGUGUAAAGAUAGCAUCACAUCCAGGGUCCUCCCACAAACAUGCUUGUAACAAGAAUUAGUUUGCCUCAACUGUUAGCAACUGGUAACAAUAUACAAUAGUAAAAAUCACUCCUAUGAACUCAACAAUACUAGGCACCAAUAAGAGUAUGAUAUAGCCAUUCUAAAAUGGAAGAGAAUACAACUGUUUUACAACUAUGUUGCAUCAGGAGAUAUGUUAGGAGGAUUAAUCCAGAUACCUUCCAACCCAAUUAGGAAAACUCGAGUCAAAAACCAGGAGCCGCAACCGAACCUUACAAUCUUGAAGGAAGAAGGAGACUUGGGGCAUUUUUCCAGAUAGGUGACUUACUAGAUCUCCUGCCAAGAGAAUAUCUAUUGCUUUGAACCUCCAUUGAAUUUUCUUUUCCCUUUUUCUUGUUUUGACUUGGAACUUUCCAGCAUCAUCUAUUUGAUCUUUUUUAAAGCUAAAAUAGCAAUCUAUGGGUUGUCAACAUCUUAUCAUAAAUUGACGAUUGCAAGGCAGCCGCAGAUCCAGAGCAAUCUCCCAGCUCUUUGCUCCUUCAUCAUUGCAGUUAGUCAAAAGAUAAGCAGAGAUAUCCCAUGUCAACAAGAAGGUAAUCAUAAAAGAACAACAGAAUUGGAAAACAUAUUUUGUUAUAGAUGAAAUGAUAUGAGCAUCCAUGUAUCUAUCCAGCAUUUAGGACACCGCAAUAUAUUCAUAUGAAACGUAAAACGAUUUAAUAUCAAUUUUCUUCAGGAGACUGACAAUGCGUUUGGGAUUGAGGUUGGGCAGCUGUAGCUUAAAAGCUACAACACUAAAGUGUUUGGUAAACACUAGCUGCUGUAACUUUUAAGCUAUGUUGAUAUGAUUUUUCACUUGUAUAAUAUAAAAUUUAUUAUAUCUUUAAUAAUUUUAUCAAAAUUAUUAUUUAAAAUUUAUAUUUACUAUAUAUUAUUAACUUUUGUUUCAUAAUUACAGCUUUUUUUUCACAGCAGCUGUAGCUUAAAAGCUAUAGCACCUCAAUCCCAAACGCACCCUGAGCAGGUUGUCUCGCAAGUGGCGCAUCAGUAUUGUAACGUCUGCUGGGUCUUACAUUAUCCACAAAAAUAACUCGUCCAUCUAGUAACUGCAAUUACAUAAUGUGAGAUGCGUAAACUCAACAAUAUAAGCAUGGAAAAUUAGAGAAAAAUGAUGCAAUUUUACCCUCCCAUUCAUGUCUUCCAAGGCUUUUUGGGCUUCCUCUUCUGUACUGAAAGCCACAUACCCGUAACCUUUUGAUCUAUUGUUACCUUUAUCCAUUAUUAUUACAGCUGCAAAGAGAAAAGAAUUGGAUAUUAGAAAAUAGUGAAGAGGGAACAGGGGUUGAGACUUAAAACAGAAAUAGACCAAACCCUCAUUGAGUUGGCCAAAUUGUGAAAAGGCAUCAGCUAACAUCUCUUUAGUGGUUGAGAAAGAUACACCUGCAAAGAAUGCCAGUUAAUUUUAUCAUAAUUAGAUAGUAAGAUGGAAAAUUCUGCAGCCAAAGGUAGAAUGCAACUAAGGAAAUCAAAUAUGAACAUGUCUUCAAUCUUAAAAUAUUAAGAGUAGCAUAAGUAACUUGUGAAACAGUUAUAAGUUCAAAUGGUUGAAUUUAUAAAUAUUUGAUACUUUGGACCGAACAGGGCAAACAGAUGGUGAGCAGAAGCAGCCCAGUUUAGCUAUAUGCCAUGUAUGUGAUCAAAAUUGAAUGGUUAAAUGGCAGCCACUGUGUUACAUCUUGUGUAAGUAACAAACCGCCUGCAUGGAUCGUUGGAUUUGGGAAUAUGAAAUCCAAUGGAUAAUAUUGAAUUUAACGAAAAAUAGAUUACAGGUUGCAUUAUUCCAAGUUUAUUUCAAACAAACCAGCUGAUGAAAUAGCCGCUAAUCAAAUUUAAAAGGGAAAAAAAUUCAAAUUAUAGGUUAUAGAUCUUAUUUCCAUCUUAAAUCUAUUUGUCUUUCAUGGUGUCUCAAUGUGUAUACUAAUUUAUAAUUUGGAUCUAUAUUAGAGCUAAUGCUUCUCCAAAUAACUAAGAAAUUUUUAUUUUCAUUGAUUAAAUAUUUAUUUCCAAUAUUUUGUAUAUGUAGGAUUUGAAAAGAGGGAAAAUAGUAGGGAUGAUAAUGAGAGAAGAUAGAGAUGUCGAUUCUCAAAUCUAAUAUUAAUGCUAUACUUAUAUUCCUAUACUAAAUAAAUUAUCCAAGUUUUGUGGUUAACGAUACGUUGCAAAAUUUUAAUUUCUAUUUAAAGCUCUGUCUAAUAUGGCUUUUCAUAAAGCUUAGAGAAAAGUAGAGCUUUUACAAAAAAAAAAAAAUUAAUUAGAAUUGUCAAUGAUAAAUUUUAUUAAAAAAUUUUAAAAAGUACUUUAAUAAAUAAGCUUUUAAAGUUAUAUACAUUAUGAAAGAAAUUAAAUAAGAUUAUAUAAUAAAUUAAGAGUAUCUUAGAUAAUUGAACUUUAAAAAAAAAAAACUCGCUAAGAGGUUUAAAAUUUGAGUUUUUAAUAGUGGAUACAGAAUAGUUUAUUUAAUUCUCAAAAGCUCUACUCAAAAUACAACCAUGUAACACAAAAAUUUUUCAUAAGUUUUUUGGACUAGUUAAGUAUUUUUUUUGAAAAAAAAUAUUUUUUUCAUUGAGUAAAUAAUACUAAACAUGCACUAAAGUGUUAGGACCAGAAAUUGUACAAAUAAAACCAUGAAAUUAUAUGUUGUUGGGUGGAUAUUUUUCAAAUUUGCUGUAGUUUUUUUUUCUUUUCUGCUGGGAAAUUGAAAUGAUGGCUACAACUUAAAUUAUGAAUGGAGUAAUCGGAGAAUAUUGAAACCCGUUUAAUUUGGAUCGGGCAUUGAGGGACGAAAGGAUAAAAAAUUUAAUUUUGAAAUUGCUGUUGGGUACGGUACAAUGACUUACCGUUGACAGCCUGUGCAACCGGAUUACAAUCGGUUAGUUCAAUAAUUUUAUGGAUGUCCCUAAGUUACGUUAAGUGUAUCUUAAGUUUUUUGUCUUUUUCUUCUCGUAAUUUUUUAUACAAGUCUUCUUAUUUAUUACUUUUUAUUUUUAAAGAUGCAUUUGUCUUCUUCUGUCAAUUAUACACCUAUUUUUCAUUCUUUCUAAUAUUUUCUUUAUCUCUUUAAACAAUAAUAUAUGAUUAUCGAAUUCAUAUAAAUCUGUAAAUUCUGAAUAAAUUUCGAGUCCUAAAUUUAUUAUUCCCAUUCUUUCUUGUUCUAAUAACUCUAUUUUUUAGGUUAUUUGAUUUAUAUAACUUGUUAUAAUAUUUUCCCAGCCUAGAUUCAUAUGAUCUAUUGUUUCUGCUAAAUUAUGUAUUAUAUUAAAAGCAUGUUGGUUCAUGGUAAUGCUUCUUUUUUAUACCAGUAUACUAAAAAUUUUAUAAAUUCAUCUAUGAAUUUCAUUUUCUUUUCUAUUAAAAUCUCACCUCCUAGAGUUUCUAUAUUUCUUUCUUGUAAUUCUUGUGUUAUAUUAAGCUCAAUAUUUCGGAUGUUAUUCUUUUCGGAUUUUAUAGACAUUAUUAAAUUUUUUAUUUCUUCUUUGUCAAACACUUUUAAAGUAUAUAAGCUAUCUGUUAUAUCUUUUAUAGGAUCCAUGGCUCUGAUACCAUUUUUAUUACAAAAAACAAAACAAAACAAAAACAAAACCAAAACAAAACAAAACAAAUAAAACAAAAUCUAUAAAACAAAACAAAAUAUACACUAACAAGCAAACAACAAAACCAAAGUUUUGGAUGAAAGAUAAUUGAUAAGAAGAUAUAUUACUAUUAUUAUUCUUCUAAAAAUGUAUAUCUAUCAUAUCUCCCACUGUUAUUAUUCCUUAAAUAUAAUCCUAUAACUUCUUCUCCAUUAAUGAUACUAGGUAUAUUUCCUGGAAAAUUAGGAACAUAAAAAUCAUAAUAAUUAUUAUUGGUUUCUAUAAUAUAUGUAGGAUGCAUAAUUUGAUUUAAGAUUUCUAAAUUAUGGGUUAUGUUUACAGGAUAAAGGAGUAUUUCUACUUUUAAAAUAUAUAAGUUAUUAUUUAUUAUACUAGUGUAAUAUCUUAUGUCCCUAUAAUUAUUCAUGAUAUUAAAAUUCUAAUUCUUCGUUAUCUGAAUUAUUUAUAUAUUCGACGUAAGAAGGUUCUAUUUUUAAGCUUUCAUUUUCUAUUUUAGCUUUAACUAUAUCAAUAGCUUCAUCUACAGUUAAUAGUGUAAUUAAGUGUUUUAGAUUAUCCGUUUCUAAAAUGUUUAAGAUUCUUCUUUUUAUUUCAGGUGGUAAUUCUAGGCUAUAAAUAGCUUGUAUUUCAUUUUUACUAAUAACUUCUUCUUUACUAAAUAUGUAUGAACUUUGUUUAAAAGAUCCAAGAUUAUAAUCUAUUAUCAUCAUGUAAUUAUUAUAUGUAAUCCUAGUUGUAGGAUUUAUCAUUUUUUCUUUAGGAUUUCCACGUCCUAAUCUUACACUCAUAUUUUGAUAAACACUCAUUUUCUUAUUUCUUUAACAAUUUUUGAUUAAUAAUUUGAAUAAAAUUCACUUCUAAGAGAUGCUCAUCCACCAUUAAUCUCCUCAUCUACAAUCAUCACCAAACUUCCACCAACAGAUAAGGUUAGAGAAUUAUUACCUAAGUUAUCCUUUUUUCUUCGUCUUAAGAUCUGUCUCCAGUGACCUGCAGCCUACGCGUCCUUCACUCCCUCAACGGCCUCCUGCCUAAACGGGAUCAAGUGGACUCUGAUGGCCUUUCUGUAUGGAUCUGGAUCUUCUUUCUUAGAAUCAGGGAUAAUUUUAGGUUUCUCUUUCCUUUCUAUGGGGUUGUUUGUUUAUGAUUGAAAGAUGUAUUGAUUUAUGGUUUCGAGCUUAAGAGAAUUUAGCUAUGCAUGUUUCAGAGAGUUUUGAAAAAGUGAAGUAUGGUUUUUCAAUCUGAGUUUUCAAUCUGAGGUAUCCCUCGUUCUUCUUUUCUUUUUAUUUCAAAACUUUCUAUUCGAGAUUACAUUCUUGCCCUUUUGGCUUUUUCUAAUUAUUACAAGUGCUUUACAUUAUUGCUAAGACAAAGCUUUUCUGCUUUUUAUCUUGUCGGCUUCUUUUUAUCUUCUUUUUGUCUGGCAUCUUCUUUAUGCUGUCUGCCACUAUAUGAUCACAUCAGUCUGGCAUCUUCUUUAUGCUGUCUGCCACUAUAUGAUCACAUCUUUUUAUUUUGUCUGAUUGCUUGCUUCCAUAAGCUGAUAAGCAUGCUGCAUAGUUUCACUGCUGCUGGGAAAUCGCAUAGUGCUUAUUUCAUUAAUAAGCUCUAACAAGAUAUUUGAGGAUGUAUGGCUGUCUUCUGCUGUUACUAAGAUAUAAUUUUGAAAUCUGAUGAUGGUUCUGAAAUUCCUUUUGUAGAGGUCUUUUGCUAUGCUCCAGAUUGCUUUUAUGCCUCGAGCUCUUCGGGUUCGGAUCCAAUUUUUUGUAAUCUGAGGAACAUUAGUAUAUUCGGUUCCUAUUUCUAAUUGGAAAUUUUUGGUUAUAUGACCCACUGAAAUCAUAUAAAAUGCUUGGUAUUCUACAUUUUGAUGAUAUUCUGGACUUAUGGUGUAGAAUUUGAGGUAUAUGGGUCUUUUCUGGGCGAAUUUAGAUAUUUCUUUGACUAGUAAUUCAUCUAAACUGGCUAUUUCUCGGAGGUCUAUAUCAGGAUAUAUUAAAUCUAGAUAACCAUAACGGGCUAUUUUUCCUACAAGAAGUGGGUCUGCUCCUUUGGUGGCUAUCAUUCUGGGAUACAUAUUUUUACCUGGUGCUUUAUGGAUAUUAUUAUUGUGGGAACAGAUAGAAUAAAUCCAUGUAGAAAAUUGUUUAUACUCUUCUUCUUUUGGAUUCAAAGGUUCCUUCUCUUCUUCUUUUAUUUGGAGAUUGUUUAUUUGGAUGAACUUUUUUGAAGGACUUGAUUUUUGUGGCUCAACUUCGAUGGAUAUUAUAUUUGGUGGGUUUUUGAUUGGGUCAGAGAUUGGUUUAUUUUCUCUGAAGGGUCCACUACUGCUUCCUUCACCAAUUGGGCUGGUGUUUAUUGGCGCAAUAUUCUUUGGGCCUUGUUUUAUUGAGAGUGCUUUUGUCAGGUCAUUUAUUUGCGACACUAACAAAUGUACUCCUUUUUCAUGGGCUUCUGAAGCCUCUUUCAAAUAAUUUACAGCAUCGAUUAUAUCUGAAGCUUCUGUUGCCAGUCUAUGUAGUUCAUCAUCUAUUUUGGCAAGGAUCAAAUCUAUUUCAGGAUCCAUUCCCAAAUUCUAUGUUCCUGCUUAAAAAAUCUGCAAGAAAGUUGUUAGAUCCUUUUAUAUGUAUAAUUUUAAAAUUAUAAUAUGAUAAAUAAGCUUGCCAUCUAUGUAACCUUCUGUACUGGGGUUCAUUUGGUAAAAUUCUAUUUAUUAAUGAGCUUACCUGGGAAUUGUCAGUUUCUAUAAUAAAAUGUUUUUGUAAUAAGAACAAAGAAAACUUUUUUAUUCCUUUAUAUAUUGCAAGUAGCUCUUUCUCAUGGACAGGAUAAUUGACUUGUGCUUGGUUGAAAGUACCACUGGUGUAUCUACAUAUCUCAUUUAUAUCAGUCUUAAGUAUUGCUCCCCAAUAUAGGUCAGAUGCAUCAGUCUGCAUUAUUAACUUAUCAGUUUUAUCUGGUAAUCUCAAAGAAGGAAGAUCUUUACAUUCAUUUUUUAAGUUUUUUACAGUUUCUGUAUGUUCUAUGCUCCAUCCUCUAGUAUUAUUUUUCCUAAGUAACUUUUGAAGUAUAUUUUUCUUUUUAGCUAGAUUUUCUAUAAAUCCUUCUGCAUAAUUUAAGCAGCCUAAGAAUUUUUGUAUUUGUUGUUUAUUUUCUAAUUUAUCUGGAAAAUCAAUAAUUUUUCUUCCUAUAUGGCUUUGGAGUCUGAUUCCUUGUUUAUCUAUAAUCAUUCCUAAAAAUUCAAUUUUCUUAUGUUCUAUUUUUGCUUUUCUUUCUGAUAAUACUAUCCCUUCUUUAAUACAUAAAUUUACAAAUUCUUUUAAAUGUUUUCUGUGAUCUUCUAAGGUUUCAGAGGCUAAUAAUAUGUCAUCAACAUAUACUAUUAUGUAUUUAUAAUCUCUAAAUAUUUUAUCCAUUCUUUUUUGGAAUAUUUGUGGAGCAUUUUUUAAUCCAAAGGGCAUUACUAACCAUUCAUAAUGUCCUUGUGGAGUACUAAAUGCUGUAUAAGGAAUACUAUUUUCUUCCAUUUUUAUUUGCCAGAAACCUGAUUUACAAUCAAACUUUGAAUAAUAAGUUUUAUUUUUUACUAAAUUAAUUAGAACUUCUUUAUUUGGCAAAAAAUAUCCAUCAAAUUUGGUAUAUUUAUUUAGUUCUUUAUAGUUUAUUACCAUUCUAGCUUUCCCUCUAACUUGUUCUGCUCUUUUUCUAACCAUGAAAGCUGGGCUGUUGUGUGGACUAUUACUAUUGCGUAUUAAAUUUAAUUCUAAUAAUUCUUUUAUCUGGAUUCUAAAUUCUUCUCGGUCUUCUUCUGUGUACAUCAUAGGUUUAAGUCUUAUGAUUCUAUUUUCUGUUAAUUCUAUUUUUGCUCUGGGGUGAUCUGGUUUCCAUAAGGCUAAUGGAUUUUCUUCAUAGACUUGCUUUAGUUGGGAUUUUAUUGUUUCUAAUUUUAUAUUUAUGUUAUAACUCUGUCCUUUUGAAAUUAAAUAAUGUUUUUCAUAAAUUGUCUUAUCACCACGCGAGGCUGGCUGAACUCUAUAAGGGCGAAAUUCUCGAGGAAUUCGUAAAAUAUGAUUGCAUGGGGUUUUAAGAGUAACCAUAUAGGUCGUCUGUUGGUAAUAUUGAAAUUGUUGUAAGAAAUCAUUUCCUAAAAGUAUAUCACAGUCCAUUUGGUCAUAUUGGAAGAUAUGAUUAAUACGAACAAUUUUACUUCCUAAAAUAGUUUCAAAGCUUUCUAAAGAUUGAGUAAUAUGUUGUUUGUCUCCUGUGAUACCUACGAGUUUUAUCUUGCUAUUUGAUUUCCAUUGGUUUGAUAAAAAGGUUUUCAUGAUUGUAAUUUCACUUCCUGUGUCUAUUAAGGCACAAGUGUUUAUAUCUUUUUCUACUAUAUUUAUUUGUAUAUAAACAGACAUAGGAUAUUUUAUAUAUGCUUGUCUUAACAUGUUUCACAAAUUAUCUUUUGUCCUUCUAUUUGUAAGGUAAUUUGGUCUUUUUCUAUUUUAUAAUAUUCUAGACUAUUUAAGAAACUAUUUCCUAAGACUAUAUGUUUUUCUGGAUCUGUAGUCAUAAAAGAAUCUAUGUAGCAAGAUACUAUUAUUCGUAUUCCUUCAAUUAUUAAUGGAACUUUUACUUCUUGUCUACAUAUGUGCUUAUUACCAUUAAAGUCAGUAUAUUCAUAUGGAAUUUCUUUUUCUUUUAUUAAGAGUCCUUUAUUUUUUGUAUGAUUCAUAUAAUUAUGACUUGUUCCUGUAUCUACUAGGAUAGGUAACCUUAUUGUAUAUUCUAUUCCAUUGAAGUAUUGUCCAAGGAUUUUUACUACACUACUAGUAAGAGUAGGUUUUAAGACUUGUUUAUUUAUAUUGAUUAUUUGUCUAUUAGUACUUAAUCUUCUAGAAGAUUCUCCUCUCAAAAGAGUUCUUCCGGCAAAACUGAUAGGGAUUAUAGAAUUCUCAUUAUUAUUAUUUAAAAAUUGUUUUUUAUCAUCUACAUCUAAUUCGUAUGUUAUAGGAAUUUUAUAAUCCUGUAUUAUAGGUUCUAUCAAAGUUGCUAUUUCCUCACAUUCUUUAUUUAUUUCUAUAUAUGGUUUAUUCCCAUAGAUUUCUCCAUAAUUUGAGUUACAAAAACUAUAUAAUGCUGAAUAGUGUAUAGUCAUUAAUCUAUUUCCUUCCUUCAUUAAGUUCUUUUUUAGGAGUUUAAAAUGUAGACUUAAAGUUUCAUCUAUAUUUUUAUCCCUUAUGUGUACACAGUAUCUAGGAUGACAUGUAAAUAGUAAUUUGGUAUAACAUAAGUUUCCUUCUACUGUUCCUAGAUGCCCUAUACUAGGAUCAUGGAAUCUUUGAUCAUGAAUUGAUAAAAUUAUUGGACUAUCUACUCCUUCUUUAAAGAGGGAUUUUAUUAAGAUUUGGAUUUCAGCUAAAUAUACAUAUUGAAUUUUUUCUUUUGUUGAUUCAUUUUUUAUUUUUCUUAAGGCUAGAUCUAUUGUUCUUUUAUUUAUUAAGCUAAAUCGUAUGUUUCCUUCAGCUUGUGUUAUAGUUACAGCUUUUUCUUCUUCAUAGUAUUCAUGUAAAAUUAUCCUUUUUCUUUUAAAUAAAUCUCUUAGUUUUUGUAAGAUACUAUACUCCGGUUUUUCCACAUUUAAUCUUAGAAGUUUAUUGUAUUUUUCUUUAUUAAAAGUGGCUACUAAACUAUACCCACUUUUGUUUUCUUCUCUUUCUAUUUCUUCAAUGUCGUCUAUUUCUUCUUUUUCCAAUAUGUCUUUUUCUUUAUUCUGAUUCAUUUUCCUCUGUAUUUUCCAUAUAUACUAUCAUUCCUUCGUAUUCUGAUAUGUUUUUUAUUUCUUCUAAUUCAUCUCUUAUUUGUUCAAAAUCUUCUUGUAAAAUUCUAACUUUUUUCUUUUUACAAUCUGUACUGAUAUGUCCUAUUUCACCACAAUUCCAGCAUUUACAUUUUGAUUUAUCUACUAACUUUCUUUGGUUUUUAUAUUUUCUUUUAUAGUAUUUUCUUCCAGGUUUCUUGUAUUUCUUUUUAAAUUUGUUGUAUUUUUUAUAUCUUUUUUCUUUUUUAUAUUUUCUUUUUCUAUUAUAAUAUGGGAUAGAACAUCCCCAUUGAGUUGGCAUCUCUGUUUUUUCACAACAUAUUUCUGUUAUGUUUCUACUCUUUUUGAUUAAAUUCCUCUGGAUACAUAUAUCACUAAGUCGAGUAUUUAUAAAUCUUAUUCUAGAUCCUAGGUUAUCUGGGAGUUUAUUUGAAGUACUAAUUUUUUCAUAUUCAUUUAUAAAGUAACUAUUCCAAGGGUAUGGCAACUUGGAGUAAUAUAAGUUUUUAUAAACUUCUUGAUCUUCUAAACUUACAUAUUGUUCAUAAUAAUAUUUACUAAAUUCGCAAGUAUAUUCUUUGAUAAAACACAUAUUGCAUAUUGUUAAAUUUAAUAGAUUUAACCGUGCUCUUUGUUUUUCAUUAUUUGCUUCUCUCUCUGAAUUUUCUAACCAAUCUUCUCCUAAAAAUUCUCUAGCAAUGUAUUCCAGUAUUCUUUCUAUUCCUAGAGCAGUGCUCCUCCUAAAAGCUAUUUUGGUUGAGUCUUUUAUUAACAUUUGUGUAUCAUCACUUAAUCCUCUCCACCAAUUAAAUACAUUCCCUGUAAAACUAGUUAUUAGGAUAUCUGUGAAUAUGUCUAUCUUUUCUUCAUUAGUGGUUACAUUCCAGUCAUCAUUAGCUCCAUUAUAUGUGAAGAAUAGCUUCAUCUGCAUUCCCCAUUCUGCUAAUGUUUUUCGAGGGUUCUCUUUACAGUCUAUAUUUAAAAAUGAUCCACUAUUGCUUAUAGGUACUAAUGUAUCUUGAUUAGGUUUGUAUUCUUUUUUCCAUGGAGUAGAUUUUGUUUUAGGUGUGUAUUCAUAAAAAGGUUUAUUCUUUUUCUUAGGUAUAUUGCUUGGUUCUGCAACAUUUGGUUUCAUUUCUGGUCCUCCUGCUGUAUUCAUUUUUAUAUGGUAUUCUUUUUCAAAUUCUUCUAAAUCACUAAGAUUUAUGUCACUAAAUUUUUCAGUUAAACUUUCUAUUGUGUCUUCCAUUAUUCAGAAUUAGACUCAGUUUGUUCUUUUAUUUCUAAUUUCUCUUUUCCUUUUUCUUUCUUUCUUAUUUCUGCCUUUAGUUCUUCAGCUUCCUCUAAUAUUUUUGGAUAUUGUGUCUCCAUAAACCAGUAGUCAUAACUGCCUUUUUGGGGUUUUUGUGUAGAUUUCUUUAAGUUUGUCCCAAUAAUAUUUGAUUUUAUCAUCUCAAGUCUUUCUAUUUUCUUAUUUUUCUUUUUACAUUUUUGUAACAGUGACAUCUCUAUUUUUAAUUUUCCUAUAUCUUGUCUUAUUUCUUUUAUUUCUUCUUUUAGAUUUAAAAGUAUUUCUUUUAACUCUAUUAUCGUGGUUUCCAUAAACUAUAAGGGGGUCUAUCAAUAUUUUGUUUAUUUGAAUGUAUGUUACGUUGCAUGUAACAUAGGCUUGGCCUAAUUUUAUAUCCCUAUUUAACCGCCACGUGCUGCUGUUACAUGGGUCAAUUAGUCAUGUCAUUACUGUUACUUACAGCUGCUGUAACAUAACCGGACCCUGGUUAAAUUCUGUUGUUUCCAAUAAUUUUAUGCUGUAUCUUUUUUAAUAAUAAAGAAAACUUGCAUUAAAAUUAAAAUUAGGGUAAUACCUGAUUUUAUAAAUAGAUUGCAAUGUAAUUUUGAAAAAUAAAACAAUAAUUUACGAAAUGGUUAUAACAUAAUUUUAAUUUUUUUUAUUGCUUGUAGAUUUUCGUAAAUUCAAGAAUUUGGAACAUCUGGACAUGGGUGAGGUGCAGGUUGAUGUCAACACCAUUUUUCUUCAAAUUGUCGGCGAAUCGAUGCCUUCUCUUAAGUUUUUAUCACUGAUAAACUCUAGUAAAAACACCAUUCUUGAUCAAGGUUAAUUAAUGAUUCUCUUUCUCCCUCUCUCGCAUCUUAACUAAAUUUAAUUGAGAAUACCUAUAAUGCUAGCUAUUUAUAAACUUAAUGAAAGAUGAUAGGGAGCCAUAAUAAUGACAAAAACUACUGUAAAAUAGUGUGCUGUUGUAGUGUUGAUUGAAAAAUAAUGCUAAUUUUUUACUUGACACUAUAACGUCGUAUAAUUUUACAGUUGUUUUGUUGCCAUUACGUCAGAUUCUACCGUUCAAUUAUCAGUACUCAAACUUAAUUUUUAAUAUGUACUUUAAAGAUUUUAUGCAAUUAUUUAUCUAUGUGUACUGAAGGAUGAAUUAUAUAUUUUUCAGGACUUUGUCAGUUAGUGCAUCUGCAAGAGUUAUACAUCGGCGGUUAUGACAUCCCUUCAAGUGUUGUAUGCCUCUUCUAAUCAACUUACUGGAAACAUCUCCCCAGGCCUUUGUGAGUUGGUGCUUAUGAGAGAGUUACACAUUGAUAACAAUGAUUUAAGAGGUAGCUUGCCUUUGUGCUUGGCAAAUUUGACUUCCCUUCGAGUAUUAGAUGUCUCUGACAAUCAACUAACUGAAAAUAUCUCCUCAUCUCCCCUCAUGCAUCUAACAUCUAUCAAAGAGCUCAUACUUUCAAAUAAUCACUUCUUCCAAAUCCCUAUUUCACUUGAACCACUUUUCAAGCUCUCAAAACUCAAGACUUUCGAUGGUGAAAUAUGUGCAGAAACUGAGUCACAUUAUAAUUCUUUGACCCUAAAAUUCCAACUGACUUUUAUCUCACUGUCUGGUUACAUAGAUGGUGGCACAUUUCCCAAAUUCUUGUACCAUCAGCAUGACUUGAAGAAUGCUGAUCUCUCACACCUUAACUUGAGUGGAAAAUUUCCAAAUUGGCUGGUAGAAAACAAUGCGAACUUAGAGAGGCUUCUUCUUGCCAAUAACUCUCUUUUUGGAUCAUUUUGGAUGCCAAUUCAUUCCCACCAGAAAUUGGCAACAUUGGAUGUCUCCAACAAUUUCUUUCGAGGCCAUAUUCCGGUGGAAAUCGGAACAUAUCUUCCAGGCUUAAUGCAUUUAAACUUAUCUAGAAAUGCUUUCAACGGUAGCAUUCCCUCUUCAUUUGCUGAUAUGAAAAUGUUGGAAAGGUUGGACAUAUCCUACAAUCAGUUGACUGGUGAAAUCCCUGAGCGCAUGGCCACGGGUUGCUUCUCAUUGGAAAUUCUUGCAUUGUCAAACAACAGUUUGCAAGGUCAUAUAUUCUCUGAAAAAUUUAACUUGACAAAUUUGAUGACGUUGCAGUUGGAUGGUAAUAAAUUCACUGGAGAGAUCCCAGAAAGCUUAUCUAAGUGCUAUUUGUUAGAAGGAUUAUAUCUGAGUGAUAAUCAUCUCACUGGUGAGAUUCCAAGAUGGUUGGGUAAUUUGUCAGCUUUGGAAGAUAUUAUAAUGCCCAAUAACAAUCUUGAAGGGCCAAUUCCAAUCGAGUUUUGUCAGCUUGAUUCUCUGAAGAUUUUAGACCUUUCAAACAAUAGUAUUUUUGGAACUUUACCAUCUUGUUUUAGUCCAGCAUCUAUCGAGCAACUUCAUUUGUCGAAAAACAAGAUAGAAGGACGACUGGAGAGUAUAAUCCAUGACAGCCCUCAUUUGGUGACAUUAGAUCUUAGUUGUAACAGCUUACACGGAAGUAUUCCAAAUCGGAUUGACAGACUACCUCAGUUAAACUACCUUCUUUUAGCUCAUAAUUAUAUUAAAGGCGAAAUACCAGUUCAAUUAUGCCAGUUGAAGGAAGUGCGGUUGAUUGAUCUUUCUCAUAAUAAUCUAUCUGGUCAUAUUCCUUCUUGCUUGGUUAAAACUGCACUCAGUGGAGGUCAUCAUGAGGCAGUAGCUCCAACUCCUGGUCGGUGUGUUGAAGCGUCUGUCUAUCGACGUACAUGUGUGAUUCCAAGUGGACCUCCGAUGGGAAAGGAAGAAACUGUACAGUUCACAACAAAGAAUAUGUCCUAUUAUUAUCAAGGAAGAAUUUUGACGAGUAUGUCUGGGAUUGAUCUUUCUUGUAACAAACGGACAGGUGAGAUUCCUACUCAAAUUGGAUAUCUUACAAGGAUUCAUGCGCUAAAUCUAUCUCAUAACAAUUUGACGGGCACAAUUCCGACAACAUUUUCAAACCUGAAGCAAAUCGAAAGCUUGGACCUCUCCUACAACCUACUGCAUGGGAAAAUCCCUUCUCAGCUCACUGUGCUAAAUACAUUGGCGGUCUUCAGAGUAGCAUACAAUAACUUAUCAGGCAAAAUUCCAGAUAGAGUUGCACAAUUUUCAACUUUUGAGGAAGAUAGCUAUGAGGGGAAUCCUUUUCUUUGUGGAUGGCCACUGUCCAAAAGUUGCAAUGAUAAUGGAUUAUCAGCAGUGACACCAGAAGCUUACACUGAUAAUGAAGAAGGUGAUAGUUUAAUUGACAUGGACAGUUUCCUGAUUACUUUUACAGUAUCUUAUGGAAUUGUGAUAAUAGGAAUUAUUGGAGUGUUGUACGUAAACCCCUAUUGGCGGCGAAGAUGGUUUUACCUUGGUGAAGUGUGUACGACCUCUUGCUACUAUUUUGUAGCAGACAAUCUUGUUCCUAGAAGAUUCUAUGGUGGAUGGAUGUAAUUUCAUUACAUUACAACUUAUAUGUAAUUUUCAAAGAAUUUUCUUUUGCAUGCAUGGAAUAGCAACUCAAUAAAAGUAUUUGAUGCAAAUUGUCCAAGAACAACUUAGUAAUUUCAUUGCUACUAUUCGGUUGUAUAUAUACAGUUAAUGAAAGUUUUAACCAUUCGCAGUAGGAAUUUCUUUAGAUGGCGGCCAAAACUAACAGAUUUGGGGCUCUACUUCUACACAUCAUAACUGGCAAAAGGUCUCUCUUUUACACGAUCUGAAUGAAGAUUAACUUACGCCCUCUGGAGUGUGUGAAAGUUCUCUAUUAAACUUGACGGUUGAGAUUUCAGGUCCAGAUGAAAGUUAAAUGCAGGCGACGAGACUACACUUUAAGUAAACAGGGACAAACUUAAAAUUAAAAAAAUUAUAGUCCAGGGUGAGAGUAAUGGAGGAUAACUAGGACUUGGAAUAACUAUCAGAUUUGCAACUCUUGUUAUAUGCUAGUAAUCGAUUCAUUUCCUCCUCCAUUUCUGAUGGUAACCCAGCUCUAUACAAGAACAAUAAGAGAAGGUUCAUUUAAGAAAUUUCACAACCCACAUUUUUUUUUUUUUCCUUUUUGCCCUCUUCCUCACAAUAAACACACCUAACACACCAAGCCGUGCCCAAAAUAAUCCAAUUUUAUUCAUGUCAUGGAUCCAAAAACUAUCCCAGCUCACUUUGUUUAACCAGCAUAACUAAAUUGUGGGUAUAAAUGAACACUUUCGAAGCCUGUAACUUAUAAUAAGCUCAAACCCAAAAAUGACAUUUAAAUCCUGCAAGUGUUUUUCAUCAUAAAAAAUACUGAUUUGAGUUGAAACACUAUACAAACUGGGUUUUAUACACUUGCAGAAAGCUACACGGUAGACAAAAUCUAGCAGCUACAUAAUGGUAGCACUUUCAGCUGGUUAUGAAUGGUGUGCAUUCAGCAGUGCUCGAUAGACCAUGUCUAUGAAUUGAUUGUCCUAUUACAUAUAAAAGCUGGUCAGAUAUACAAGGAAAAAAAUAAUAAUUGAAAAUGCAUCACCAAAAAUAAGUGUCUCGCAUUAGUGUUUGCACUCUAAGCAUGGCAAAGUGGUGCGGGUUCAUGAUUUUGAAGACUGGGAUAAGUGAAAAAUAGUUCAAUCCACUGAUGAAUAUAAAUUUAUUUACAUGUCAAUUUAGAUAUCAUAAAAAAGUAAACAGUAAUUCACAGUCACUUAAAAGAGUUGAUAAAAUGUGUGCCAUGAAUGCAUUUUAGUACAUAAGAAAUCCAAAGAGUAUUUCUGACAAUACAAAUAUGCUAGCUUUAAAUCUGCUGUCAAUAUGCAAUUAAGAAGAUUAUACCAGCUGCAUGAUAAAGUUCCCCUAAUCUUAAUAGCAGUAAACAUGAACAUGUCAGAUGCAAUUAUAGCUUCGAGCAUUUGCAUAACCAGAAAUCCUAACCUGAACAAGCACCAGAAGUGUCUCUCGAACUUUCUCCUUGCUGAUAAAUGGUCUGCUGUUUGAAGUAAGAGCAGGAGUAAGAGAUGGUGGAGGGGUUGGUGGUGGAAAAGGUUGAAGCACUGGGCCACCAUAUGGGCGUUGCAGACUCAGGGGAGGAUUAAGUGGCGGAGCUGUUGGUGUAGAUGAAGAGACAAGCUGCAUCAUCCGUGCAUAGGAGGAUGGAGGAGGAACAAAGAAUAAGGAAGGCUUUACAAGAUUAGGCGUCCAGUUGCCAGAUUCAGAGGUGUCAACGGGUGAUAUUAAAGGGGUAGGUGCUGAUAGAGGUGGAGAUGGUAUUUGCAAGGUUGGGAGAAGCAACACUGGCGGGAUGAGAAGGUAAAGAAAUAGUUGUAUUGGACUGGUAAGGUUGUGCAGAGAUUGCUGCAUUAGAAGUAUUCCCCACAGUCAAAGCUGUCUGCAAUGAUAAGGACAGAUGUCAUAUACAAGGACUUCAUAGAAGUUGAACCUCACACAAAAAUGAAGUGAUAACAUAUGAAAAUAGUAUAUGACUUGCUGCAUUUUUGUGGUAAUGUUGCAUACUUAUGUAGAAACAUAUUAUUUCAAAGAAAACAUACACUGAAGAAGUUCACAAAAGCAGGAUCUUCAGGAACAUCAGCAGCAUUUGAGGGAAUUGGCUCUAGAGGACCAUCCAUAACUUCCAUAGUUGGAACAGCUUCCAGUUCCUCAAGUUCUAGAUUUCAGUUUUAUCUUCUAUUUGAUGUUUUAUAAUUUCGUUGCAAAUGGAUUAGAAUAGAAAACUCCAAAAGUUCCAAGUAGCUACCAAUGUUUUCCAACAGGGUCUUGAUGGUCUAAUCAGUUUGUUUCGAAGACCCCCAUCUCGUAAGGUAAAAACAGCUUGAUGGGGUGGCACGAUGGUGCACCAGUCCUGUGUAACUUUUUCAGAGAAGAUUUUCACUCGUAACCUAGGUGGAAGUCUCCCAGGAGAAGUUGGCAAAUGACAACUACGAAGGUGUUAUGGUUUAGCUUGUUGUGCCAAAAAUAGAAAAUCUAGGAUGCGAAAAAAUUUUGUUGAGAUUCAUUUUUCAUCCUGAUGUUACAGCUGGCUUUUUUUUUUUUUUUUUUGGCAGAUAAUAAUGCUUAUGUGAUUUCUGAACUUGGUGAUUCUAGCGGAUAGAGGCACUAAGCCAAGAGAAAUGUCUGAAUUAUCGAAACAAGAUGGAAUUAUUUUUUGUUUUUCGCGGCAGACGAUCUAUGAGCGGACUUUCUUACAACACAAGAUGUGUCCACCGGCUUGUAUUUAGUCUCGUAAUGCAUUAUAGCACUGAUGUUUGCCCCGGGUCAAACCCUGAAACCUCACCAAAAACGACGCAUUUUGUGAAUUUUUUUUGUUUUAAUUUUUAACCAAUACGACGUUGUUUUGCUUCAAGCUUCCCCACGAAUGGCUUUUCCUUCCUCUUCAUUUCACCACUCAACGAAUGGCUUUCUCUUCCUCUUCAUUUCACCACUCAACCUCAACGAUAGAACCGACCCGCAAAACCCUUAAACUGUUAUUCUUUCCUUCAAUCCGAUAGGAUUUGGUUUCGAUUAAGCAAAAGCAAAAGCUUGAACAAGGUAAGGUACUGUCUUCCCAGAAAAUGAAUUGUAUAUCAGUACCAAAUCCUCUAAAGACCCUUUCUCACACAAAUCCUCUGGAAUUUCACCAGAAAAUUGAUUGUACGAGAGGUCUGAUGUUUGUAAAGGAGAGUACUUCCCAAGUUCGCUCGGCAGCCCACCUCUGAGUUUGUUGUUAAACAAUUUGAGUUCAUACAAGUUCUUAGACCGAGCUAUACUCUCUGGCAAAGUACCCUCGAGUCUGUUCUCAUACAAGUUGAGUGACUCGAGCUGUAGCUCACACAACUCGUUCGGAAUCAUCCCAGUCAGCUGAUUCAUCGACGCGACUUUGCCGUAAGGUAACGUACUGUCUUCUUUGGCAGCAGAUUAUUUUCAAAGCUUGAAUUUUGCUUGAAUUUUGUUGUUUUAAUUUGUGAAGCCAUUGCCGUUGCUGUUAAAUUGGGUUAAUAUAAUGGGUACUAAGUUUAUGCUGCGAUGUUUUUUGCUUGAAUCCUGAGCUGUUUCAAUUUGAUUCUUGAGUUGUGAGUUGUGGAUUACGAAUGACAAUUUCAGGUGCGGAUUGUGGAUUGCGAAUGGAAAUUUCAGGCUGUGGCUGGAGCUGGAUCGAAGAAGGAAAGGGGAAAUAUUUGGCUGUGGCUGGAGAUGGUGGCUGGAGCUCGAUCGACGAAGGAAAGGGGAAAUAUUUGGCUGUGGUUGGAGCUCGUGGCUGGAGCUCGAUCGACGAAGGAAAUGAAAGAGAAAAUAUUUGGUUGUGGCUGGAUCUCGAUCAACGAAGGAAAGGCAAGGGAAAAUACUUGGGUGGAGCUCCAUCAACAAAGAAUAAGGGAAAUAUUUGGCAAGCAAAAAUGGGAUUGUUUUUGCCUUUAAUGAAACGCCGCGUUUAAAUUUCGGGGUUUGACUCGGGAUUUGACCCGGGGUAAGUAGCAUUUUCCUUCCAUAUAUAUAUGCACGCGCACACAGUUUGAGAAGAAUCAGACCAUUAAUUAGAGAAAAAUGAUGCAAUUUUACCUUCCCAUUCAUGUAUGCCAAGGCUUUUUGGGCUUCCUCUUCUGUACUGAAAGUCACAUACCCGUAACCUUUUGAUCUAUUCUUACCUUUAUCCAUUAUUAUUGUAGCUGCAAAAAGAAAAGAACCGGAUAUUACAAAAUAGUGAAAGGGAAGAGGGGUUGAGACUUAAAACAGAAAUAGACCAAACCCUCAGUGACUUGGCCAAAUUGUGAAAAAGCAUCAGCUAACAUCUCUUUAGUGGUCGAGAAAGAUACGCCUGCAAAGAAUGCCAGUUAAUUUUAUCAUAAUUAGAUGGUAAGAUUGCAAAUUCUGCAGCCAAAGGUGGUACGGAACUGAAUGAAGGAAAUCAAAUAUGAAUAUGUUUUCAAUCUUAAAAUAUUAAGAGUAGCAUAAGUAACUUGUGAAACAGUUAUAAGUUCAAGGGAAUUAGAUGAUGGCAUGGUUGAAUUUUAUAAAUAUUUGAUAUUUUGGACCGAACAGGGCAAACAGAUGGAUCCAGAUAAUCAAGAAAAACAUCAAUUCCAUGCAGCCAAAUUAGUGUGGGCAAUGCAAUUGAGCAACACUAUAAAAUUAUUCAAAGAAAUCUCUAGGUCAGUAUCCAAAUAUAUGGCUCCGUCCGUUCCACCACCACAACCAAAAAAAUCAGAUCCCCCCAUUUGGAUUCGAUUGAUUAAUUUGAGCAUAAAAAAUCGGGUUUUAAACUUCCCUAAGCAAAAUUUAUAUUCCACAGAAUCAGUUCCUUUAACAUGAUGCAUUACAUAAUAUUUUGUUUGCAAAAUAAAGAAGAAAGAUGACAUAAUAGAAACACUCACAGAGAGAGAAUACCUUUGACGAAAAGCUUAGAAGUGAAUCCUCUGUAAAAUACGAGUUGAGCUGCUGAAUUUUUCGAGUUUGAAUGAGAGACUGCGGCAAUUCUGAAAAUGUUUUUUUCUCAUUAGCGCCGCCAUUUUUGUAAUAGAGGGUAAAGAAAUAAGUAACAAAGUAAGAGGUGAGCAGAAGCGGCCCAAUUUAGUUAUAUGCCAUGCAUGCGAUCAAAAUUGAAUGGUUAAAUGGCAGCCACUAUGUUACAUCUUGUGUAAGUAACAAACCGCCUACAUGGAUCGUUGGAUUUGGGAAUAUGAAAUCCAAUGGAUAAUAUUGAAUUUAACGAAAAAUAGAUUACAGGUUGCAUUAGUCCAAGUUUAUUUCAAACAAACCAGCUGAUGAAAUAGCCGCUAAUCGAAUUUAAAAGGGAAAAAAAAUCAAAUUAUAGGUUAUAGAUCUUAUUUCCAUCUUAAAUCUAUGUCUUUCAUGGUGACUCAAUGUGUAUACUAAUUUAUAAUUUGGAUCUAUAUUAGAGGCUUAGAGCCAAUGCUUCCCUAAAUAACUAAGAAAAUUUUCUUUUCAUUGAUUAAAUAUUUAUUUCCAAUAUCUUGUAUAUGUAGGAUUUGAAAAGAGGGAAAAUAGUAGGGAUGAUGAUGAGAGAAGAUAAAGAUGUCGAUUCUCAAAUCUAAUAUUAAUGCUAUACUUAUAUUCCUAUAGUAAAUAAAUUAUCCAAGGUUCGUGGUUAAUGAUACGUUGCGAAAUUUUAACUGUCUAAUAUGGCUUUUCAUAAAGCUUAGAGAAAAGUAGGGCUUUUACAAAAAAAAAAAUUUAAUUAGAAUUGUCAAUGAUAAAUUUUAAAAAGUACUUUAAUAAAUAAGCUUUUAAAAUUAUAUAUAUUAUGAAAGAAAUGAAAUAAGAUUAUAUAAUAAAUUAAGAGUAUCUUAGAUAAUUGAACUUUAAAAAUAAAACUUGCUAAGAGGUUUAAAAUUUGAGUUUUUAAUAGUGGAUACAAAAUAGUUUAUUUAAUUCUCAAAAGUACUAUUCAAAAUACAACCAUGUAACACAAAAAUUUUUAAUAAGUUUUUUGGACUAGUUAAGUACUUUUUUUGAAAAAAAAUAUAUUUUUUUCAUUGAGUAAAUAAUACUAAACAUGCACUAAAGUGUUAGGACCAGAAGUUGUACAAAUAAAACCAUGAAAUUAUAUGUUGUUGGAUGGAUAUUUUUCAAAUUUGCUGUAGUUUUUUUUUUCUUUUCUUCUGGGAAAUUGAAAUGAUGGCUACAACUUAAAUUAUGAAUGGAGUGAUCGGAGAAUAUUGAAACCCAUUUAAUUUGGAUCGUGCAUUGAGGGACGAAAGGAUAAAAAAUUUAAUUUUGAAAUUGUUGUUGAGUACGGUACAAUGACUUACCGUUGACAGCUUUUGCAACCGGAUUACAAUCGGUUAGUUCAAUAAUUUUAUAUCCCUAUUUAACCGCCACGUGCUGCUGUUACAUGGGUCAAUUAGUCAUGUCAUUACUAUUACUUACAGCUGCUGUAACAUAACCGGACCCAAAUGGUUAAAUUCUGUUGUUUCCAAUAAUUUUAUGCUGUAUCUUCUUUAAUAAUAAAGAAAACUUGCAUUCAAAUUAAAAUUAGGGUAAUGCCUGAUUUUAUAAAUAGAUUGCAAUGUAAUUUUGAAAAAUAAAACAAUAAUUUACGAAAUGCUUAUAACAUAAUUUUAAUUUUUUUCAAAAAGGAAAAACAACAAAAGUAAAAAAUGGAGAAUGAGGGCUACAAACUUUGUAUCUUAAACGGCCAUUAGAUUAUUUGUAAAUGAAAGCAACGGUCAGGAUUAUGGAAACAUGUAAGUAUAAGGACUACGAGUUUUUUUUUGUUACAUUAAUAUAUUACAAUUAAAAUUCUAUUGGUAUUUACAAUCAGAAUUUUAUCUGAAUAUCUUUGAUAAUUCUAAACUAGUACAGCCCAAAUUCUUAUUCUCAUAUAAUAUCAAAGAGAGAUAUAUAUUCUUCCCCUCUAUUAAUAAAGAGACAUUUUUACUUCCUUUUAAUAGUUAGGACUCAGAACUCAUACACGCUAGUUUGAGAGUGUGGGGUGUGACAAUGAGCCAAGAGACCUUGACAAGUACAAAAAAGUGGUAGAAAUUAAUUCAAACCGCUACACACGCUAUUGCAACCAAAUUGAGGGCCCAUUUUUGUUUAUUUGGUUGAAAAAUAGUUUGCAUAAUUAAUUCAAACCGCCACACACGCUAUUGCAACCAAAUUGAGGGCCAGUUUUUGUUUAUUUCGUUGAAAAGUAGUUUGCACAAUUAAUUCAAACCGCUACACACGCUAUUGCAUCUUUUGAAAAAGAAAAACGGAAUAGUUUUCCAAAAUUAAUUCCGAGAAGAAGAUUAACUAAUAAUGAUGUUAGAAAUUUUAAUAUUUGAGUCUUAAUAUUAUGUAUCACUCAUUUAUUAAAUAAUAGAUUUCAUAAUUUGUAAAAUUACUUAACCACUUGAUAAAUGUUAUAUUUGUUGGGACUAAAUUGGGACUUAAAUGUUGGAAUAUCUAGUAUUGCAUUAAAAAAUUAAUAAAAACUUAACAAUUUAUCUUCACUUGACUAAUUGUUUUUACAUCACAACUAACCUUAAUUAUUUUGAAGUUACAGUAUUAUUAAAUUGUCCUAACUGGUUAUCAAAAGUUGAAAGCAUGUUAAAAUAAAAAAAAUUACCAAGAAACAUGUGCUUAAACAGAGGUUGAGGCUAUGAACAAUUAAGAAGAAACUCUUAAUUUGGUCCCAAUUAGUAUAGUAAUCAUCUAUUGAGCGGUAAAAUAUUAAUUUUAAUAGUGAUGAAAUCCAAUAUAUAAUAGAUUACUAACACACAUAAAUUAAAACUAAACUGUCAGAAAUCAUAACAUUACUCUACUCUUCAGUGGAGUUCUCUUAAACAGAUUAUGUGAGAUUGCCUACAUAAAAAAUAUGUUAAGACUGCUUGUUGAAAGCAAUAUUCGCUUUUCCAUUAUAUCCAUAACUUUGAAUUGAUAAAGUUGUAUUCAACAGCUCUUGAAAAGACUAAUUUAUUUAAACUAGUCACAGAAAUAAGAGAGAAAGGGGGCUAUUUCUUGACUCAAAGUCAAUUAUAAUUAUCAAAACUUGAGCGGACAUCGCAUGCCUAACUUCCACGCACCCUAAAACGGUUUGAUUUGCUUUCACGCGUUCAUGAAUUUCCAUGAAAGAGCCUGCCUUUCGUCUCUUUCGGGACAGUGACUACAAUUAUGGAAAAAAUUAUAAUUCUCGUUAGAUUGUAACCAAAUUAUUAUCCCUAAUUUUUUUAAGUUAAAUAAAAUAAAAUUUAUGCUUAAGUAUAAACAAUAAUUUGGACAUUCUUGUUAUUUGUCCUUCUAAGAUAGACAGCAACCUAAUUAUUUAUUUGUUUGCCUGUUUUUGUUUUUUUAAAUAACAGUUUAUUAGCAUAAAUAUUUACCUGUGAAGUCGAGGAGGAGAAAAUGUUAGAAAAAAUAAAAAGAAAAAAAAUUAAGGGAGAUAGAAUCAGAUUUUCUUUUUUGAGCAAAGAACAUACGUAAAAAGAUAUUAAAUCUAUUAAGUCUAAUUGUCUAUAACCGUAAAUUGCAUAACGAAUAAAUUAUCAGCGUAAAAUAAAUUUUAUUAGAUUCUGGUUAUUUUCUAGAGUACGAAUUGUCUCAUCGUAGAACAAACACCGGAAAAUAUAACCUUUGCGGAGGUCUUUUGCUGUGUCGUUAUAAAAAGGUUAUUAGUAAUUUAAUGCACCAAUAUUGUAUAUUCCACCUUAUCAAUGUCUCUGGUUGCGAAAGAUUGUUAAAAGCAACGUGUUCUUUCUUUGUCUUAUGUAAUUUUUUCGUUGUCCAUGAGUUUUAAUUGAAAUACUUGGCUUCCAGUUAUUUUGUAAACCUGUCGAAAACUACCACAGUGGAUAAAGAUUAACCAGCUCAUUCUUUACAAUUGACUAUCGAUUUUUUAUUUUUUUAUUUUUAUUUAAAAUUGCUGGUUUGUUGCUUAAAAUUUUCAAUAAUAAUUUCACUUAUUUAGUAAUUAGAGAGAGAUAGAGAGGAUUGGCGGCCAAUGUUUCGCGAUUUGGGGUCAAUUCAAAGUCAACUAACGUGUAAAACACGUGUAUGCAUAGAAAACGCUUAGAUUAUUUGUGUUCCAAGUGCAAGAAAUUAAGAAAAGAAAAAUUGAUUUCCUUUCAUGAACUUCCAAGAAAGAAAGAAGACCCUUUACCUUCUUCGUGACAACAAAUGAAUGAAUGAUGUUGAUAUGACAAAUACAAGCGCUAUUGCAGGGAACAGCAUAAGACCGAGACUUGAUAAAGGGUUUGUUAAAUUACAUGUUAUUUUCUUUUGACUUGAAUGAUGUUGAAAUAAAAUAAAAUUGUAAUCAGGAUGAUGUGUAGAAUAGUGAAAUAAAUAAAAAGAGAAGAGAAAUUCUUUGACCAAUAUUCAAGAACUCAUCCAAGGUGAUCGUCCAAGUCUAGAGGUUCGGUGUGAUUAGCAUUUAUUUUUAAUUUUUUGGCUAACAUCAUAUAUAGUCACUUGUCGUGUGAUGUAGGGCAAGUUUAGAAAUCCUUUUAUUUUAACUUCCGUAUUCUUAUUAUUUAAUUAGUUAUAGGGUUUUUAAGUAUUUGAGUAUUGAUCACAUGUCUGCUAAUCUAAAAAUAUUUUUUUACGAUCGAGUACAAAUAACAAACUAGAAUUUUAACAGCCUUUUAUACUAAACCCUAAAAAUACAUGAAUUUAUCAAAAUAAGUAAAUUAAUUUAAAUUGGUAUGGCAUAAUAGAAGUUUUACCUGCCGAAACAAAUUAAAAAAAUAUUACACUUAAAUCAAAUAUUGACAAAAAUAGAUAACAAUCUAAUGAGAAUCUUAACUAGACAUUUUUACUUCUAUCCAAUUUAACUGGAACGAGAAUUAAGUCCUUUCAAUAGUUAAGACUCAUAACUCAUACAUGCUAGUUUGAGAGUGUGGGGUGUGACAAUGGGUCAAAAGACCAUUGACAAGUACAAAAGAGUGAUUGCAAUUAAUUCAAACCGCUACACACGCUAUAUUGAGGGCCCAUUUUUGUUUAUUUCGUUGAAAAGUAGUUUUCACAAUUAAUUCAAACCGCUACACACGCUAUUGCGUCUUUUAAAAAAGAAAAAUGGAGUAGUUUUCCAAAAUUAAUUCAGAGAAGAAGAUUUACUAAUAAUGAUGUUAGAAAUCUUAAUAUUUGAAUCUUAAUAUUAUGUAUCACUCAUUUAUUAAAUAAUAGAUUUCAUAGUUUGUAAAUUUACUUAACCACUUGAUAAAUGUUAUAUUUGUUGGGACUAAAUUGGGACUUCAAUGUUGGAAUAUCUAGUAUUGCAUAAAAAAUAAAAAAAACUUAAAAAUUUAUCUUCGCAUGACUAAUUGUUUUUACAUCACAACUAACCUUAGUUAUUUUUUAAAGUUAUAGUAUUAUUAAAUUGCCCUAACUGGUUAUCAAAAGAUGAAAGCAUGUUAAAAUAAGAAAUUACUAAGAAACAUGUGCUUAAACAGAGGUUAAGGCUACGAACAAUUAAGAAGAAACAACUUACAAUCAAAGGUUAAGAUUAUGAACAAAUUAAGGAAGGUAGAUAAAGGGACGGAAUCAUUGUCUGAAUUGCCGGUGACAAGAAUGCUUGUGUUGUGAAAAGAAACCUGAUGGUUUGUAAAUGGGUUGAAUUUUUUAUUCGCUCGCUCCAACUAACUUACUAAUGCCAAAUUUAUUACUUUGCACAAUAGUGUUUAGGAUCCUCAAGAUCAACUCUUAAUUUGGUCCCAAUUAGUGUAGAAAUCAUCUAUUGAGCAAUAGAAUAAGAAUUUUUCUAGUCAUGAAAUUUAAUAUAUAAUAUAUCCUUGACACACAUCGAUUAGAACUUAACUGUUAGAAUUCAUAACAUUACUCUACUCUCAAGGGGAGUUCUCUUAACAUAUUAUGUUAAGUUGCCUACAUUCAAAAUAUGUUAGACUGCUCUUUGAAAGCAAUAUUCCCUUUUCCAUAACUUUGAAUUGGUCCAAUAGCUCUUGAAAAGCACAUAAUAAUCAUUAUAAAUUUAAUCAAAGACUAAGCAGGUCUUCUUUGAAUUUGAUCACUGGCAUUUCAGUUAAGUUUGUCGUUUACUUAAAUUUUUCUUGCUUUCAAUUUCCACUGUUGUUUUUUUUCUAAAAUAAUUUAUUUAAACUAGUCAUAGAAAUAAGAGAGAAAGGGCGCCAUUUCUUGACUCAAAGUCAAUUAUAAUUAUCAAAACUUGAGCGGACAUUGCAUGCCUAAAUUCCACGCACCCUAAAACGGUUUGAUUUGCUUUCACGCGUUCAUGAUUUUCCAUGAAAGAGAGUGCCUCUCGUCUCUUUCCGGACAGUGACUGCAAUUAUGUUAACGUGACGAAUACAAAACGUUAUUACAUACAAGAAUAAGUUUUUGGACCCGAGACUUGAGGGAGGUUCUAUCUAAUUCUAAAGAUUGUAACCAAAUCAUUAUCCCCAAAUUUUUUCAGUUAAAUAAAAUAAAAUUUAUGCUUAAGUAUAAAUAAUUUUUUAAAGUUAAAUAUAAAAUAAAAAAAUUCAUGAACUUCCUAGAAAGAAAGAAGACCCUUCACCUUCUUCGUGACAACAAAUGAUGUUGAUAUGACAAAUACAUGCGCUAUUACAGGUAACAGCAUAAGACCAAGACUUGAUAAAUAUUAAAUAUAUAAAAUAAGUGGAGCAAACGAAUAGAAUAAUAGAUUUUUAUAAUAUUCUUCAUAAAAAUCCAAGUUUUGAGCUGGCCCAUAAGCUUAUCUAGUGAAGUCUGGGUAUCCGCGUUGCCCAAGGUUCCGUUUGAAUCCAGGCUGUGCAGAUGUUUAUGACAUCCCAUAUGGACGGAGAGGAAAUAUUUUCAGUUGACUUAAUUAAAUAAAAAAAAAGAAAUGAAGAAAAACGAAUACAAGACUUGAAAAAGCUGGGAGUAUCAUCAGUUCAAUUGGUUAUAAAUAGCAUAGAGCCAUCCUCUCGUUGUUGCAGAACUGAAGCAAAGAGAGACAGAAAGAGUGUGUGUAGGUGAUUAUAAUUAAGAAGAUAUAAUGUGUGGUUCAAAAAGAGUGUGGUUGAGUGAGUUAAUUUUCAUAUUAUUUGUAGUAAAAGGGUGGUGGAGUGAGGGAUGUUUGCAGCAAGAGAAGUCUGCUCUCCUCCAACUUAGACAUUUCUUCAAUGAUGAUCACCGUCUUCGAAAAGGGGCAGACGCAGGAGAUGAUGAGAAUUAUUCAGAUUGUUGUCAGUGGGAAGGGGUUGAGUGCAACAACACCACUGGCAGAGUGAUUAAAUUAGAUCUAGCAUUUCGAAAAUGGGAAUCAGCAGAGUGGUAUAUGAAUGCCUCUCUGUUUACUCCUUUUCAACAAUUAGAGUCUCUUGAUCUAAUUGGGAACAAUAUAGUCGGUUGUGUUGAAAAUGAAGGUCCUUAAUUUACUUUAUUUUAAUUCUUCCUGUAAAUUUCUUACAUUUAUCUGAUCCCUUUUGGCUUUUGUUUAAUUUGUACGUGAUACAAUAAAAUUAUUUUUUAUUUUUUGGCAGGUCUAGAUAGGUUAUCAAGGUUGAACAACUUGAAGUUUCUUUUUUUAGAUGAUAACGACUUCAACAACAGCAUCUUUUCAUCUCUAGGUGGUCUUUCAUCACUCAGAGACUUAUCAUUGGCUGGUAAUGGAUUGAAUGGAAGUAUUGAUAUUAAAGGUAAGCAAGCUUCAUCCCUUCUCCCGUGUCCCAUUUUUCAGAUUAGCCAUAUUCUUUUCACUGAGAUUUAACAUAAAAAAAAAAGGAGAAAAUAAGUUAUUUAAUUAACUCUAUUUUAAGUGUUGGCAUAAAUACAGGACUCGAUUCCUUGAGUAACUUGGAGAUACUGGACAUGAGCAACAAUGCAAUCGACAAUCUAGUGGUUCCUAAAGGUAUACAAAAUGUUCAAAUAUUAAUAAUUUGGAGGACAAUUUAAUUGAUUUGAUAAGGGAAUGUCCAAUGACACUUACCCAAAAUAAUUUAAUCCGAAAUUGUAUCUCAAAUAGAUUACAGAGGUUUUGAGGAAGUUGAAUACCCUUGAUUUGGGGGGGGGGGGGGGGAGGGAAAUUGCAGUGAUAUAUGGAAGCAAGGUGUUGCAAUCAAUAAAGAAAUUCAUUGGUCAAUGUUCAAGGACUCAUCCAAAGUAAUCGUUAAAGUCUAGAGGUCUGCUCUCCACCAACUCAAACAUUUCUUCAAUGAUGAUCAACGUCUUCAAAACUAGGUAGACGCGGGAGAUGAUGAGAAUAAUUUAGAUGUUGUCAGUGGGAAGGGGUUGAGUGCAACAACACCACUGGCAGAGUGAUUAAAUUAGAUCUAGCAUUUCGAAAAUGGGAAUCAACAGAGUGGUAUAUGAAUGCCUCUCUGUUUACUCCCUUUCAACAAUUAGAGUCUCUUGAUCUAAGUUGGAACAACAUAGCCGGUUGUGUUCAAAAUGAAGGUCCUUAAUUUACUCUAUUUUAGUUCUUCCUCGUAAUUUCUUACAUUUAUCUGAUCCCUUUUGGCUUUUGUUUAAUUUGUACGUAAUACAAUAAAAAUUUUUUUUAGUUUUUAUUUUUUAUUUUUUAUUUUUUGGCAGGUCUAGAGAGGCUAUCAAGGUUGAACAACUUGAAGUUUCUUUAUUUAGACAAUAACCACUUCAACAACAGCAUCUUUUCAUCUCUAGGUGGUCUUUCAUCACUCAUACACUUAUCAUUGGUUGGUAAUCGAUUGAAUGGAAGUAUUGAUAUUAAAGGUAAGCAAGCUUCAUCCCUUCUCCCGUGUCCCAUCUUUGUGGAUUUUAUUUCAUCGACCAGCUGGAAGAAUUGAUACGAGAUCUAGCUAGACUCUUGCUAGUUUAAGCUUCAAGGCUUUGAAUAUUAUAAAAAUAGGUUUAAGGAAUUAUCAUUAUAUGCAAUUUUCUAUGCUUCUCAUAAUCAGACACAAUUCAAUCUAAUUAUUUCGUAUGUCCUGUCUUCAAAAGUAAAGAAUUGUACACUAAACGGAAAUCGACAUUGUAGCUUUUUAAUUUUUCUAAUGCUCUUUCUUUGUUAACGAGUUUAUAUCCUGAGAGUGGAUUGGAUUCAAAAAAAAAAAAGUUUUGAUGUUCAAGGUAAGCCAUAAUAACAUGCAUCUUAUUUAUCUGCCUAUAUCUAAAUUUGUGCACUGAAUUUAGUAUUUUGGUUAGUGUGAAGGGAUCAGAUAUUGACUUCCAUAAACCAACUUGUAUUUACUUAAUUAAUUAAGUAAAUUUUUUGAAACAAGAAUAAGGUAUAGCAGGUUGGAUAUGUAUUUAUUUAGUUUAAAUAACUUUUCCAUCCAUCCAAAACCUUUAAGCAUGUAGUUGAAGAGGGGUGGCAAUUCAAGUUGGAUAUGUAUUUAUUUAGUUUAAUUGGAUCUGAUAUUAUAUAUUCUAAACCUUUUGAAUAUGGAUAUGGAUGUUUUUAAAAUAGUCAAUUGGAUACUGGAUGAAUAUGGAUAUUAGAUAUUUAAUUCAUUUAUGUUAAAAAAUAAAGUAAGAAGUUAUAUAUAUUUACCAUGAUAUCCAUUUAUUGAAUGCCUUUUUUUUUUAUAUUUUCAAAUUAGCAAACCAUAGUUUAUCUCUUUUAGUUUCACACACUAGCCGUUCGUUCCUCGUUGGCCACUGAUAUCGUCGACCGUCGCUUGUUUGAUAUAUAUUAGUUAUUCAUGAUUUUGCUCUCUUCUUUUGUGAUACAGUUGCUUCUUCUUCUUUUAAUUUAGGAUAUCUGUGUCUCUAUAUUUCUCUAUAUGUAUCAAUUACACGCCGUUGUCAGCCAAAUAUACCUACUUAAAACCACUCAAUCAGGCCCUUGACAACUGUUUUUUACGUUUUCCUGGUUAGCCGUAUACUUUUUUGCUUAUUAAUAAAAUUAUUUUGCACCGAGAUUUAAAAUAAAAAAACGGAGAAAAUAAGUUAUUUAAUUAACCCUGCUUUAAGUGUUGGCAUAAAUGCAGGACUGAAUUCCUUGAGUAACUUGGAGGAGCUGGACAUGAGCGCCAAUGCAAUCGACAAUCUAGUGGUCCUAAAGGUAUACAAAAUGUUCAAAUAUUAAUAAUUUGGAGGAUAGUUUAAUUGAUUUGAUUAGGGAAUGCCCAAUGACACUUACCCAAAAUAAUUUAAUCCGAAAUUGUAUCCCAAACAGAUUUCAGAGGUUUGAGGAAGUUGAAUACCCUUCUUUUACGGGGAAGCAGAAUUCGAAUGAUAGAUGGAAGCAAGGUGUUGCAAUCAAUAGGAUCACUACCAUCCCUCAAAACGCUUUACCUUUUCUUUAUUAAUUUUAAGGGAACAGUAGUUAAUCAGGGUGAGUAAAUUUUUUUAUGUCGAAAAUAAUUGAAUUAAUAUAUAUAGCUAAAAUUUAUUGUUUCUACUUCUUUCUAAAUAGAAUUGCACAAUUUCACCAACUUGGAAGAAUUGAUAUUGGUCGAGUGUGAUCUCCAUGUAAGCCAGCUUCUGCGAAGCAUCGCAUCAUUCACUUCGUUAAAGUAUUUGUCAAUGCAAGAUAGUGUACUCAAGGGUGCCCUGCAUGGUCAAGGUAAAUUACGGGUAUCUGAAGCUUUUAUGAUAUUAAUUCGAUAAUAAUUCUUUCUUUUCAAGUUAAUUUUCUCCCGUAAAAUAAUAUUUUUUUCUUUUAAAUUUUAUACAUUUUCACUGUCCAAUAGUUCUACCUUCUCUAAAUUGUAGGAUUCUUGAUUAAGGUUAAUGAAAUUUUAGUUCUGUUAUGUUAAGAAUAUUUCGAUCGCUUAGAAGAGUAAAGAAAAAUAAGUAAAUUAACCCAAAAAAAGAAAAGAACAGGACCGGAUUAUCCUUAUUCCCUUGCAUUAUGUGAUCAAUAUCAAAAUUAUAACCAUUUCUUGUUUAUUGCUUGUAGAUUUUCGUAAAUUCAACAAUUUGGAACAUCUGUACAUGGGUGAGGUGCAGGUUGACGUCAACACCAGUUUUCUUCAAAUUGUCGGCGAAUCGAUGCCUUCCCUUAAGUUUUUAUCACUGAAUGAUUCAAGUCUUAAUAAAAACACCAUUCUUGAUCAAGGUUAAUUAAUGAUUCUCUUUCUCCCUCUCGCGCAUCUUAACUAAAUUUAAUUGAGAAUAUCUAUAAUGCUAGCUAUUUAUAAACUUAAUGAAAGUUGAUGAGGAGCCAUUAUAAUGACUAAAACAACUGUAAAAUAGUGCGCUGUUGUAGUGUUGAUUGAACUAUUGGACUGUAAAACAACUGUAACAACACUAUAACGCUGCAUAAUUUUACAGUUAUUUUGUUGCCAUUACGUCAGAUUCCACUGUUAAACUAUCAGUACUCAAACUUAAUUUUUAAUAUGUACUUUAAAGAUUUUAUGCAAUUAUUUAAGUUUUAUGCAAUUAUAUUUUUCAGGACUUUGUCGGUUAGUGCAUCUGCAAGAGUUAUACAUCGGCCAUAACGAUUUGAGAGGUAGCUUGCCAUGGUGCUUGGCAAACAUGACAUCCCUUCAAGUGUUAGAUGCCUCAUCUAAUAAACUUACUGGAGACAUCUCCCCAGGCCUUUGUGAGUUGGUGCUUCUGAGAGAGUUAUACAUACAUAACAAUGAUUUAAGAGGUAGCUUGCCAUGGUGCUUGGCAAACAUGACAUCCCUUCAAGUGUUAAAUGCCUCUUCUAAUCAACUUACUAGAAACAUCUCCCUAGGCCUUUGUGAGUUGGUGCUUCUGAGAGAGUUAUCCAUUGAUAACAAUGAUUUAAGAGGUAUCUUGCCUCUGUGCUUGGCAAAUUUGACUUCCCUUCGAGUAUUAGAUGUCUCUUACAAUCAACUUACUGAAAACAUCUCCCCAGGCCUUUGUGAGUUGGUGCUUCUGAGAGAGUUAUCCAUUCAUAACAAUGAUUUAAGAGGUAGCUUGCCUUUGUGCUUGGCAAAUUUGACUUCCCUUCAAGUAUUAGAUGUCUCUUACAAUCAACUUACUGAAAAUAUCUCAUCUUCCCUCAUGCAUCUAAUAUCUAUGGAAAAGCUCAUACUUUCAAAUAAUCACUUCUUCCAAAUUCCUAUUUCACUCGAACCACUUUUCAAUCUCUCAAAACUCAAGACUUUUGAUGGUGAAAUAUGCGCAGAAACUGAGUCACAUUAUAAUUCUUUGACCCCAAAAUUCCAACUGACUUCUAUCUCACUGUCUGGUUACAUAGAUGGUGGCACAUUUCCCAAAUUCUUGUACCAUCAGCAUGACUUGAAGAAUGCUAAUCUCUCACACCUUAACUUGAGUGGAGAAUUUCCAAAUUGGUUGGUAGAAAACAAUACAAACUUAGAGACGCUUCUUCUUGCCAAUAACUCUCUUUUUGGAUCAUUUCGGAUGCCAAUUCAUUCCCACCAGAAAUUAGCAACAUUGCAUGUCUCCAACAAUUUCUUUCAAGGCCAUAUCCCAGUAGAAAUCGGAACAUAUCUGCCAGGCUUAAUGGAAUUAAACUUAUCUACAAAUGCUUUCAACGGUAGCAUUCCCUCUUCAUUUGCUGAUAUGAAAAUGUUGCAAAGCUUGGACAUAUCCCACAAUCAGUUGACGGGUGAAAUCCCUGAGCUCAUGGCCACGGGUUGCUUCUCAUUAGAAAUUCUUGCAUUGUCAAACAAUAGUUUGCAAGGCCAUAUAUUCUCUAAAAAAUUUAGCUUGACAAAUUUGAUGACGUUGCAGUUGGAUGGUAAUAAUUUCAGUGGAGAGAUCCCAGAAAGCUUAUCUAAGUGCCGUUGGUUAGGAGGAUUAUAUCUGAGUGAUAAUCAUCUCUCUGGUAAGAUUCCAAGAUGGUUGGGUAAUUUGUCAGCUUUAGAAGAUAUUAUAAUGCCUAAUAACAAUCUUGAAGGACCAAUUCCAAUCGAGUUUUGUCAGCUUGAUUCUCUGAAGAUUUUAGACCUUUCAAACAAUAGUAUUUUCGGAACCUUACCAUCUUGUUUUAGUCCAGCAUAUAUCGAACAAGUUCAUUUGUCAAAAAACAAGAUAGAAGGACGGUUGGAAAGUAUAAUCCAUUACAGCCCUUUUUUGGUGACAUUAGAUCUUAGUUAUAACCGCUUACACGGAAGUAUUCCAAAUCGGAUUAACAGACUACGUCAGUUAAACUACCUUCUUUUAGGUCAUAAUUAUAUUAAAGGCGAAAUACCAGUUCAAUUAUGCCAGUUGAAGGAAGUUCGGUUGAUUGAUCUUUCUCAUAAUAAUCUAUCUGGGCAUGUUCCUCCUUGCUUUGUUAACACUUCACUCAGUGAAGGUCAUCAUGAGGCAGUAGUCCCUGAACAUUUAGAUCUGCAAUCAAAUGAAUCUUCGAUGGGAAAGGAAGAAACUGUACAGUUCACAACAAAGAAAAUUUCCUACUAUUAUCAAGGAAGCAUUUUGAGGAGUAUGUGUGGGAUUGAUCUUUCUUGUAACAAACUGACAGGUGAGAUUCCUACUCAAAUUGGAUAUCUUACAAGGAUUCGUGCGCUAAAUCUAUCUCAUAACAAUUUGACGGGCACAAUCCCGACAACAUUUUCAAACCUGAAGCAAAUCGAAAGCUUGGACCUCUCCUACAACCUACUGCAUGGGAAAAUCCCUUCUCAGCUCACUGUGCUAACUACAUUGGCGGUCUUCAGAGUAGCAUACAAUAACUUAUCAGGAAAAACCCCAGAUAGAGUUGCACAAUUUUCAACAUUUGAGGAAGAUAGUUAUGAGGGGAAUCCUUUUCUUUGUGGAUGGCCACUGUCUAAAAGUUGCAAUGAUAGUGGAUUAUCAGCAGUGACACCAGAAGCUUACACUGAUAAUGAAGAAGGUGAUAGUUUAAUUGACAUGGACAGUUUCUUGAUCACUUUUACAGCAUCUUAUGGAAUUGUGAUAUUAGGAAUUAUUGGAGUUUUGUACAUAAACCCCUAUUGGCGACAAAGAUGGUUUUACCUUGUUGAAGUAUGUAUGAUCUCUUGCUACUAUUUUGUAGUAGAUAAUCUUAUUCCUAGAAGAUUCUGUCGUGGAUGGAUGUAAUUUCAUUUACUUUACAACUUAUAUGUAAUUUUUAAAGAAUUUUCUUUUGCUUGCAUGGAAUAGCAACUCAAUAAAAGUAUUUGAUGCAAAUUGUCCAAGAACAACUUAGUAAUUUCAUUGCUACUAUUCGGUUAUAUAUGUACAGUUAAUGAAAUUUUUAACCAUUCGCAGUAGGAAUUUCUUUAGAUGGCGGCCAAAACUAACAGAUUUGGGGCUCUACUUCUACACAUCAUAACAGGCAAAAGGUCUCUCUUUUACACGAUCUGAAUGAAGAUUAGCUUACGCCCUCUGGAGUGUGUGCAAGUUCUCUAUUAAACUUGACGGUUGAGAUUUCAGGUCCAGAUGAAAGUAAAAUGCAGGCGACGAGACUUCACUUUAAGUAAACUGGUACAAACUUAAAUUAAAAAAAAUUAUAGUCCAGUGUGAGAGUAAUGGGUAGCUCAACCUAUGGAGGAUAACUAGGACUUGGAAUAACUAUCAGAUUUGCAACUCUUGUUAUACGCUAGUGGGGAUUAUCACUUUCAGCAGCUACAUAAUGGUAUCACUUUCAGCUCGUCAUGAAUGGUGUGCAUUCAGCAGUGCUCGAUAGACCAUGUCUAUGAAUUGAUUGUCCUAUUACAUAUAAAAGCUGGUCAGAUAUACAAGGAAAAAAAUAAUAAUUGAAAAUGCAUCACAAAAAAUAAGUGUCUCGCAUUAGUGUUUGCACUCUAAGCAUGGCAAAGUGGUGUGGGGUUCAUGAUUUUGAAGACUGAUAAGUGAAAAAUAGUUCAAUCCACUGAUGACCAUAAAUUUAUUUACAUGUCAAUUUAGAUAUCAUCAAAAAGUAAACAGUAAUUCACAGUCACGUAAAAUAGUUGAUAAAAUGCGUGCCAUGAAUGCAUUUUUGUACAUAAGAAAUCCAAAGAGUAUUUCUGACAAUACAAAUAUGCUAGCUUUAAGUCUGCUGUCAAUAUGCAAUUAAGAAGAUUAUACCAGCUGCAUGAUAAAGUUCCCCUAAUCUUAAUAACAGUAAACAUGAACAUGUCAGAUGCAAUUAUAGCUUCGAGCAUUUGCAUAACCAGAAAUCCUAACCUGAACAAGCACCAGAAGUGUCUCUCGAACUUUCUCCUUGCUGAUAAAUGGUCUGCUGUUUGAAGAGCAGGAGUAAGAGAUGGUGGAGGGGUUGGUGGUGGAAAAGGUUGAAGCACUGGAGCACCAUAUGGGCGUUGCAGACUCAGGGGAGGAUUAAGUGGCGGAGCUGUUGGUGUAGAUGAAGAGACAAGCUGCAUCAUCCGUGCAUAGGACGAUGGAGGAGGAACAAAGAAUAAGGAAGGCUUUACAAGAUUAGGCGUCCAGUUGCCAGAUUCAGAGGUGUCAACGGGUGGUAUUAAAGGGGUAGGUGCUGAUAGAGGUGGAGAUGGUAUUUGCAAGGUCGGCACGAUAGGCGAAGCAACACUGGCGGGAUGAGAAGGUAAAGAAAUAGUUGUAUUGGACUGGUAAGGUUGUGCAGAGAUUGCUGCAUUAGAAGUAUUCCCCACAGUCAAAGCUGUCUGCAAUGAUAAGGACAGAUGUCAUAUACAAGGACUUCAUAGAAGUUGAACCUCACACAAAAAUGAAGUGAUAACAUAUGAAAAUAGUAUAUGACUUGCUGCAUUUUUGUGGUAAUGUUGCAUACUCAUGUAGAAACAUAUUAUUUCAAAGAAAACAUACACUGAAGAAGUUCACAAAAGCAGGAUCUUCAGGAACAUCAGCAGCAUUUGAGGGAGUUGACUCUAGAGGACCAUCCAUAACUGCCAUAGUUGGAACAGCUUCCAGUUCCUCAAACUCACUGCAGUUUAACAUAAAAGGAACUUGAUGACCAAUUUAAGUAAUAAUUAGAUGAUAUAAGAGGUUAGGGAAAAUGAUGAGUGGACCCUUAUGGAAGGUGAUUUCACCUUAGCUAAACACGAAAAUAAAAAGAAAUCAAAGCUGAAUCCUCGAGUGCAAUGCAAAGAAUUUUUUCUCUCUCUUCUCUAACUCCUCUUAUUCGAAAUUGCUCAUCAUUGUGCUGUUCUUCGAGAUAUCGCUAGAGUAGAGAAAGCUAUUCUACCGUUAAGUGCAGAGGAAAGAGAAGGGCAAGGGCCUGGUAUGAUGCUAUUCUAUAGGAAGUGAGAAGGUGAAGGGUUAAAAUAUUUUGCAAUUUGGAGGUGGUGUUUGUUAGUGUGUGUACUUCUGAAUUUAUUACCUCUUUAGGAUCCAUAGAAAUUGCCUCUUGUUCAGCAUGCACUGUGCCUACGAGUAAGGCGAGCUUGCAUGAUAUCUAUUGUCUAUUUACUUGGAUAUUCAAACAGGACUACCAGCAACCAAACACAAAUCCCCAAACAAAACACUCUUUCAAGUGCAAGGAAAGAGUAACUUGGGCAUAUUUAUGGUUCAAGCACUACCAUAACUAAGAAUGUGAUGCUGUCCACAAACACUAUAUCAGUGCCUUUUGAACUACAUCACAUGCUCGAAGACUUUUUUUUUAGUCAUACAUAAAUUAGCUAUAAAAUAAAGACCAUUAUACAACUAAAAAGAAAGAAAAAUUGUUUGCUACUACGUAUCAAAACUGGUAAUAGCAAUGUAAGAUGGCAGACUUCUUACUUAAACAGAUGAGAGGCUACAAAUAAAAAAUUUGUGCAAAUAAAAUAUAUGAUAAAGAGCGUAAUACUAUAUUGGGGGCUAAAAAUAAUAUACAACUUGUGAAAUAUAAAUUGAGCUACCAUUACCUUUUCGAUGUGGCAACUUUCGACUUUUGAGGCACCUUGGAAUAUGCAUUCAGAAUCCUGCAUUUGGAAGCCAAAUAAAUAAUGUUAAUAACAAUUUUACAAUAGAAAAAUUAAAAAUUGAUAAAUGGCAGUUGUAAUUUAUGUGUGUAAAGAUAGCAUCGCAUCCAGGUUCCUCCCAUAAACAUGCUUGUAACAAGAAUUAGUUUGCCUCAACUGCUAGCAACUAUACAAUAGUAAAAAUCACUCUUAUGAACUCAACAAUACUAGGCACCAAUAAGAGUAUGACACAGCCAUUCUAAAUGGAAGAGAAUACAACUGUUUUACAACUAUGUUGCAUCAGGAGAUAUGUUAGGAGGAUUAAUCCAGAUACCUUCCAACCCAAUUAGGAAAACUCGAGUCAGAAACCAGGAGCUGCAACCAAACCUUACAAUCUUGAAGGAAGAAGGAGACUUGGGGCAUUUUUCCAGAUAGGUGACUUACAAGAUCUCCUGCCAAGAAAAUAUCUAUUGCUUUGAACCUCCAUUGAAAUUUCUUUUCCCUUUUUCUUGUUUUGACUUGGAACUUUCCAGCAUCAUCUAUUUGAUCUUUUUUAAAGCUAAAAUAGCAAUCUAUGGGUUGUCAACAUCUUAUCCCCCCCCCCCCCCCCCGGGGGGCCACCAAAAAACAAAACCAAUGAGUUGUCAAUAAAUAGCGCCUACUCAACUUAUGUUCUCCAAUGAUGACAAUGUGCAAAUCGACCUAGCAGCCACAUUUUUCCCCCCUUUCAACCACCUUUAGGCAACUUUUCUAACCUUUCUUCAUUGCCCACGUCUACAGAACUAUCAUAUAAAGACUACAUUAUUAUUGGGAUAGAGAAAAAAAUACGGACUAUAUUAUUAUUAUUAUAUCUCAUUUUAUUAAUGAACUAGUGCAAGACUUAUUUAGUGUCAAAUCAAGAACUAAUUAGAAAAGACAACUCAUGAUAAUACAGACCUUAAAAAGCAAUAGCUAGCAACACCCCAUAUACUCCUAUUUUAGCCUUCAAUAUCCUGGUAAAAACACAAUUAAGUCUUGCCAAAGAACAUUCACAAGUAAAUUCAACAUUAAUUAAGAUUAAGUAUCUACUGCACCUUCAAUCAAUGACUGGGUGAAUAGCAUGGUCAACCAUCCAGUUCCUGUAGCCCUCCUUGUACCUAUGUUAGUUACAUUUUACAUAUUAAGCCACGAAAAUGAAGGAUCACAGCCUGGUAAAGAAAGCCAUUAAUUAAUAGUUUUUGUUUAAAAAGUUCUCGUUUAGAUCUUUCCUAUUCAAUGAAUCAAUGUAAUCCAUGGAGAACUCUUCCAUUUCAAGCAGUGUUAGAAGAUAAUUGGAAAGCCUAAAGAUAAUAUACAAGGACCAAGAUAUCAAUUAGGUCAAAUAGUGAAUGUCAAAUAUAAAAAAUAAAUAAAAGAAGUUGUACAUGAUCAUUUACUAUCAAGUUCUGUAAAACUGAAAAUACCAUUAUCCCUGUAUAGAUUCUCAAACAACUCUUUAGCAAAUUAUAAAAUAGUUAAAAAAAGAACGAAAGUUUUAAAAAAAAAAAUGUACAACAGCCAUAUCAGGAGAUGUUUUUCUUCUCAAUCUCAAUAUUUUCUUGCCGUAAAAAAUUGAAAAGCUUAACACCAAGUGAAUUAUUAAGAAUUCAUCAUUUAAAUUCCCAAAUCGCAAAAUGUUGGUGCAACUAGGAAAGUGCAAAUGCAAUCACUUUACUAACACAAGAAACAUCAAUAGUGAGAAGCCAACUUUGUAUCAAAUUUGAAACAGAUAGAUAGAGGUCAAAAAAAUUAUAAAGACACUCAAUUAAAAGCCUUUCAAACAGCUUUUGCAUGCAACAAGAACAAAUCAAAGGCGAUGUGAAUGUAUUGAAAGACUAAUUUACAAUCAUCUACAGGACAUAAAUAUCUUGGAUAACUACUCUCUACACCUUACUGUCCCACUGAAAAUCAUCAAAUCCCUCCAAACAAAAAUGACAAAAUGGAUAAGAAUUGUGUGGUCAAACUUCAAUAACUUAGCAGCCACAGCAAAAACUUAUGUAGACACGCAAGCCACUCAAAAUAGUCAUAUUGUUUGCUUUCUAAACACAAGCCACAUUGUAAUGAAUAUUCAUAAAUUGCUACUACCAUGUUUGUUAAAACACGUGAAAACCACCAUAACUAACUAAAUGUAACUGAUGAUCAUCAUCACAUUCAUGGAAUCACAUAUCCGACAGUAUUAAUUAGUGCAAAUGGCAUGCUUCUUAAAACUCCUUAUUUAUCACAUGGGCGCCAUUCCAAUCAACCAAUGAUUCUGAUCUAGUCAGCAUAUUCAACCCACGAGCGAGUAAUACCUCCAUUGCUUCUUUAGAUUUCUCAACGAAAUUCCACAUUCUAACCAUACUUCUGAACUUGUUGCUCCCAUAGACUAAUACAAUAUAAAGAUUUCUUCCCACACCACCUCAGCCCCCACUCCUAAAAAACCAAUUUAAAUUCUCAUUGACUGUACAACCUAUAGUCCAUACCAAAUUGAAAAAUUUACAAAUAUAGAACCUCAAAGAAUCUUCUUGCGUUCCAUUUUUUACGGCAAGAAAAUUGACUUUUACCACAUGCAAGUCAACAAAUAAAACAAUCAUGUCUUUGUGAGAUGCACAUUUUCAGACGAAUCUGAAGAGCAAUGAAACCAUAAAAACCUAAUGUGAGAACACCGAGGACUCCAGAUAUCAUCCAUAGAAUCUUUGGUCCACCCUUGCAUGAUGAAAAAAAAUUGAAGGCUUCGUCACCAACUCCCCAGGUUGUUUUGUUCUCCUAUCUCCUAAAUGUAAAGGAAAGACAACCCGUUCUUUUUCCAAUCUUAAGGGACACAGAACGACUCUAGUAUAAAAUAGUCAGUUUCUAUACAAAAAUAACUCCUUUGCACUUGGCACUGCACAUCUCAAAAUAAAAAGCAUGCAAGGAGGAGAAUAUAAUAGCAGUAAACAAGUUUUAUUAACCAAACUUCAAAGAUGCCACACAAGGCAAAAAAGAAAUCUGUACAAGCCAGAUCCCAAGAAUAAUAAUUCCAAUAUACAAUUCAGGAAAACAAUAACUAAAAACAGGUUCAUGAGGCCUCAGCAGAAGCAACAUGUAAUAACCAUACUCUAUUAUUUGAAACACAUUUCCAAGUUUGGUUAAGAUUCUAAACUAUUCUCUAUCUGUCAAUUAUUAACAUGUAAAACAUAAUAAUAUACACUUAAACUACUACAGUAGUAAAACCAGUAAAACAACAAUACCUGCUAAAAAGAUUGGCUACCUCUUCACAUUCACGAGCAUUGUAGAACCAAAUCCCAUUUACUUCUUGGGAUGCAUUUCGAUAUAACAAAUACGGAAUCUGAACUUCAAACUCAAAAUCUCCCAAAAGAUUUUCCACUAAAUUAUCUGCACAUAUACAAGAUAUUGAAGCUUAUCAGUGCAAAAACAUAUACAAAAAGACAUGAAGGUUAGGAGACAUAACUAAAACUUAGCAACAACUGAUAAGCACAACAAGAAAUGAAAUAUAACACGAGUUGUAAACAAGAUAGACACACGGUAUCUAAAAAAUUGUACCAACUCCCUCUCCUGGUUGUCAUAAAACGGCCAAUAUUUAACCCUAGACAACAAAAUUGCAAAUACUCUAGCCUCUGUAAUAUUGGCAUAUAAAUAUUUUCGGUUAGGUACAUUAUAUUCUUCGUUCUAAAACCUCAAUUAUUAGCUAGUACUGUGAUAAAAUGAUUCAUCACUGAAAUUAAAACUUCACGUACAAAUAAUCAAAACUGAAAUAGAAGCAACGAUAAACCAACCUGUAUUACGUCGAUUAAUCACAACAAACUGAAAUCGAGGCUGUGUGUUCCUGAAAAUUGAAAAAAUAAUAAUUUCACCAACUUCAUAUGUAAUACAAUCUCCAAAACAACGAAUAUCAAAUGAAAAAAAGGGAAAGCAUAAGAGAGAAAAGAAUCUAAUUUUAUUGACCUUUUGACGACGAAGAGAGAGCCUUCAACAUCGUUACGACUCCAUAUGCUGAGAUCGAUGUUGAACUCGUAGAAGGUGACAUGAGCGGCCGUGAUGAGGAUCUCCUCAAUGAAUGGAUCGAUUCGCUGAAGAACUGUCAGGUUUAGGAGUUUUGUGCUCUGCUGGUCCAGAUUAGGCAUCAAUUUUCCGUUCUGCGACAUUUUUCAUAGUCCUUUUGGGCUUCUGCCCCGAUCACUAGCCCUCAGGUUUUUCUGUGAGCUCUCGCUCUUUUGUAAAUAAAGUGUUUGAUGAGAUAGCCGAAAGAGAGUGAAAGAGUUGAACAGCCAAACAAGGUGAGGUGAACAGUUUCGGACUGAGACUCGAGAUUGAUCUUUGCUUUAACGUCUUUCAAACAUUUGGGAAAUAGCAUUUAUUUCUUUCAAUUUCUCUACUUUUUUUUUCCUUUAUGUUAUUUAGACCCCAAAAUUAGAUUUAUUAUAAUCAUAUUUUACCCAUACACUAUUAAUCCCUUUUAUUUUUUAAAUUGUCAAUAUUAAUGUAUUAGAAUAAUGUUAGAAAUCCCAAUUAUUAUCGCAAUGUUUCAAUCAUAACUAAUGUGAUAACUCAUCGGUAACUACAACAUUAACUUAAUUAUUAAUGUUUAUCAUGAAAUGAUGAGAUUAUUAUUCAAGAAAAACUUAGUAAACAUCAAUGACUAAUAUAAUAUGACAAUUACAACUGAAUAUUAGUACAAUAAUUAGGAUCCCUAAAGUUAGUGAAUGUAUUAUAAUAUAUGUGUGUUACACCACUUUAUGUCUCUCAAAUUCAAUUAAGUAAUUUCAGAAACCUGAUCUUUUAUUACAUUAAUUAGGAAUGCAUACAUGAACGAAAGAUGUGCAAUUUUUGUUCUAUUUUUCACUAUUAUUUACCAUUCAUCUACUUACAUCACUUGAUUUUUUGUGAUUAAUAUGCUUAAAUGGAUCUCUUAGAUAUAAAUAAAAUAAACGAAAAGUCUAAGAGAAAAAAAAAUGAGGACCGAAAUUAUUACACCUACAACAAAUUUGCCCAGAGAGCAAUAAAUCAAACUUGCUUAGGAAGUACAAUGAUUAGUUAAUAACUAAAAGAGCCUUCACCUGACAUGUUAAAGCUUCUGUCAAGCAAAACACCCAUUGAAAGCUGUUUAGGUCCGUCUUAGAUCAUCGGAAAUUUGACAAAAUCAUAAAAACCCUCAUCUUAUGAUAAUCUUUUCCAGAUAGGUGACUUACUAGAUCUCCUGCCAAGAGAAUAUCUAUGGUUUUGAACCUCCAUUGAAAUUUCUUUUUCCCUUUUUCUUGUUUUGACUUGGAACAAUUUAUUUGAUCUUUUUUAAAGGUAAAAUAACAAUUUAUAGGUUGCCAACAUCGUAUUCUGCCAAAUCCCACCCCAAAACAAAAAAAAAAAAUCAAUGGGUUGACAACAAAUAGCGCCUACUCAACUUAUGUUCUCCAACGGACGACAAUAUGCAAAUCGACCUAGUAGCCACAUUUUUCCCCCUUUCAACCACCGUUAGGCACCUUUUCUAACCUUCCUUCAUUGCCCACACCUGCAGAACUAUAAUAAAAAGACUACAUUAUUAUUGAGGUAGAGAAAAUAUACAGACUGUAUUAUUAUUACAUCCCAUUUUACUAAUUAACUAGUGCAAGACUUCUUUAGUGUCAAAUCAAGAACUGAUUAGAAAAGACAACUCAUGAUAAUACAGACCUUAAUAAGCAAUAGCUAACAACAUCCCAUAUACUCCUAUUUUAGCCUUCACUAUCCUGGUAAAAACACAAUUAAGUCUUGCAAAAGAACAUUCAUAAGUAAAUUCAACAUUAAUUAAGAUUAGGUAUCUACUGCACCUAAUAGCAUGGUCAACCAUCUAGUUCCUGUAGCCUUCCAUGUACCUAUGUUAGUUACAUUUUACAUAUUAAGCCACGAAAACGAAGAAUCACAGCCUGGUAAAGAAAGCCAUUAAUUAAUAGUUUUUGUUUAAAAAGUUCUCCCUUAGAUCUUUCCUACUCAAUGAAUCAAUGUAAUCUAAAGAGAACUCUUCCAUUUCAAACAGUGUUAGAAGAUAUUUGCAAAGCCUAAAGAUAACAUACAAGGACCAAGAUAUACACGGAUGGUUUCUUUAUGAGACUAAAGAGCUUUUUUAGAUGUUAAAACUGUUUCAAACUGUUUUUCUGGUUUGGUUUAACUAAGGAAGAGCUUGUGGAAGAUUAAAAAUGAUGUUUCCUGUUCUCUGUAGGAAGCUUUUAGGAGAUUUUUUGGGCUUUUUUGAAAGGUUGAAUUGUCAAAAAUACCUUGAUGUUAUUGUUUGCUAAAAGAUGUUAUGGACAACUAAACAACCAACAACAUUUUGCACAAUUUUCAACUUUCAAGGAAGAUAGCUAUGAGGGGAAUCCUUUUCUUUGUGGAUGGCCACUGUCCAAAAGUUGCGAUGAUAAUGGAUUAACAACAGUGACAACAGAAGCUGACACUGAAAAUGAAGAAGUUGAUAGUUUAAUUGACAUGGACAGUUUCCUGAUCACUUUUACAGUAUCUUAUGGAAUUGUGAUAUUCGGAAUUAUUGGAGUUUUGUACGUAAACCCCUAUUGGCGGCGAAGUUGGUUUUACCUUGUUGAAGUAUGUAUGACCUCUUGCUACUAUUUUGCAGCAGACAAUCUUGUUCCUAGAAAAUUCUAUGGUGGAUGGAUGUAAUUUCAUUACAUUACAACUUAUAUGUAAUUUUCAAAGAAUUUUCUUUUGCAUGCAUGGAAUAGCAACUCAAUAAAAGUAUUUGAUGCAAAUUGUCCAAGAACAACUUAGUAAUUUCAUUGCUACUAUUCGGUUGUAUGUAUACAGUUAAUGAAAUUUUUAACCAUUCGCAGAAUACCCUUAGGAAUUUCUUUAGAUGGCGGCCAAAAACUAAGAGAUUCGGGGCUCUACACAGUCUGAAUGAAGAUUAACUUAAUGCCCUCAGGAUUAUGUGUAAGUUCUCUUUUAAAUUUAAGGGGUUGAGAUUUCAGGUCCGGAUGAAAGUUGAAUGCAGGUCACGAGACUUCACUGGGACAAACUUAAAAUAAAAAAUUAUAGUCCACAGUAAGAGCAAUGGGUAGCUUAACUUAUGGAAGAUAACUAGAACUUGGAAUAACUUAAAUUAGCUAUAAAAUUAAGACCAUUAUACAACUAAAAAGAAAGAAAAAUUGUUUGCUACUACAUAUCAAAACUGGUAAUAGCAAUGUAAGAUGGCAGACUUCUUACUUAAACAGAUGAGAGGCUACAAAUAAAAAAAUUGUGCAAAUAAAAGAUAUGAUAAAGAGCAUAAUACUUUCUUGGGGGCUAAAAAUAAUAUACAACUUGUGAAAUAUAAAUUGAGCUACCAUUACCUUUUAGAUGUGGCAACUUUCGACUUUUGAGGCACUUUGGAAUAUGCAUUCAGAAUCCUGCAUUUGGAAGCCAAAUAAAUAAUGUUAAUAACAAUUUUACAAUAGAAAAAUUAAAAAUUGAUAAAUGGCAGUUGUAAUUUAUGUAUGUGUAAAGAUAGCAUCACAUCCAGGGUCCUCCCAUAAACAUGCUUGUAACAAGAAUUAGUUUGCCUCAACUGCUAGCAACUGCUAACAAUAUACAAUAGUAAAAAUCACUCUUAUGAACUCAACAAUACUAGGCACCAAUAAGAGUAUGAUACAGCCAUUCUAAAUGGAAGAGAAUAUAACUGUUUUACAACUAUGUUGCAUCAGGAGAUAUGUUAGGAGGAUUAAUCCAGAUACCUUCCAACCCAAUUAGGAAAACUCAAGUCAGAAACCAGGAGCUGCAACCGAACCUUACAAUCUUGAAGGAAGAAGGAGACUUGGGGCAUUUUUCCAGAUAGGUGACUUACUAGAUCUCCUGCCAAGAGAAUAUCUAUUGCUUUGAACCUCCAUUGAAUUUUCUUUUCCCUUUUUCUUGUUUUGACUUGGAACUUUCCAGCAUCAUCUAUUUGAGCUUUUUUAAAGCUAAAAAAGCAAUCUAUGGGUUGUCAACAUCUUAUCACCCCCCCCCCCCGCGGGCCCCCCAAAAAAAAAUCAAUGAGUUGUCAAUAAAUAGCGCCUACUCAAAUGUUUUCCAAUGGAUGACAAUGUGCAAAUCGACCUAGCAGCCACAUUUUUCCCCCCUUUCAACCACCAUUAGGCAACUUUUCUAACCUUUCUUCAUUGCCCACAUCUAGAGAACUAUCAUAUAAAGACUACAUUAUUAUUGGGAUAGAGAAAAAUAUACAGACUAUAUUAUUAUAACUCAUUUUAUUAAUUAACUAGUGCAAGACUUAUUUAGUGUCAAAUCAAGAACUAAUUAGAAAAGACAACUCCUGAUAAUACAGACCUUAAAAAGCAAUAGCUAGCAACACCCCAUAUACUCCUAUUUUAGCCUUCAAUAUCCUGGUAAAAACACAAUUAAGUCUUGCAAAAGAACAUUCACAAGUAAAUUCAACAUUAAUUAAGAUUAAGUAUCUACUGCACCUUCAAUCAAUGACUGGGUGAAUAGCAUGGUCAACCAUCUAGUUCGUGUAGCCCUCCUUGUACCUAUGUUAGUUACAUUUUACAUAUUAAGCCAUGAAAAUGAAGGAUCACAGCCUGGUAAAGAAAGCCAUUAAUUAAUAGUGUUUGUUUAAAAAGUUCUCGUUUAGAUCUUUCCUAUUCAAUGAAUCAAUGUAAUCUAAGGAGAACUCUUCCAUUUCAAGCGGUGUUAGAAGAUAAUUGGAAAGCCUAAAGAUAAUAUACAAGGACCAAGAUAUCGAUUAGGUCAAAUAGUGAAUGUCAAAUAUAAAAAAUAAAUAAAAGAAGUUGUACAUGAUCAUUUACUAUCAAGUUAUGUAAAAUUGAAAAUACCAUUAUUCCUGUAGAGAUUCUCAAACAACUCUUUGGCAAAUUAUAAAAUAGUUAAAAAAAGAACGAAAGUUUAAAAAAAAAAAGAAAAUGUACAACAUCCAUAUCAGGAGAUGUUUUUCUUCUCAAUCUCAAUAUUUUCUAGCCGUGAAGCAAUUGAAAAGCUUAACACUAAGUGAAUUAUUAAGAAUUCAUCAUUUAAAUUCCCAAAUCGCAAAAUGUUGGUGCAACUAGGAAAGUGCAAAUGCAAUCACUUAACUAACACAAGAAACACCAAUAGUGAGAGCCCACUUUGUAUCAAAUUUGAAACAGAUAGAGGUCAAAAAAAUUAUAGACACUCAAUUAAAAGCCUUUCAAACAGCUUUUGCAUGCAAUAAGAACAAAUCAAAGGCGAUGUGAAUGUAUUCAAAGACUAAUUUACAAUCAUCUACAGGACAUAAAUAUCUUGGAUACCUACUCUCUAUACCUUCCUGUCCAACUGAAAAUCACCAAAUCCCUCCAAACAAAAAUGACAAAAUGGAUAAGAAUUGUGUGGUCAAACUUCAAUAACUUAGCAGCCACAGCAAAAACUUAUGUAGACAUGCAAGCCACUCAAAAUAGUCAUAUUUUUUGCUUUCCAAACACAAGCCACUGUGUAAUGAAUGCUCAUAAAUUGCUACUACCAUGUUUGUUAAAACACGUGAAAACCACCAUAACUAACUCAAUGUAACUGAUGAUCAUCAUCACAUUCAUGGAAUCACAUAUCUGACAGUAUUAAUUAGUGCAAAUUGCAUGCUUCUUGAAACUCCUUGUUUAUCACAUGGGCGCCAUUCCAAUCAACCAAUGAUUCUGAUCUAGUCGGCAUAUUCAACCCACGAGCGAGUAAUACCUCUUAUUGCUUCUUUACAUUUCUCAACGAAAUUCCACAUUCAAACCAUACUUCUGAACUUGUUGCUCCCAUAGACUAAUACAAUAUAAAUAUUUCUUCCCACACCACCUCAAUCCCCACUCCUGAAAAACCAAUUUAAAUUCUCAUUGGCUGUACAACCUAUAGUCCAUACCAAAUUGAAAAAUUUACAAAUAUAGAACCUCAAAGAAUCUUCUUGCGUUCCAUUUUUUACGGCAAGAAAUUUGACUUUUACCACAUGCAAGUCAACAAAUAAAAAAAUCAUGUCUUUGUGAGAUGCACAUUUUCAGACGAAUUUGAAGAGCAAUGAAACUGUAAAAACCGAAUAUGAGAACACCGAGGACUGCAGAUAUCACCUAUAGAAUCUUCGGUCCACACUUGCAUGAUGAAAAUGAUGAAAAAAAAUUGAAGGCUUCGUCACCAGCUCCCCAGGUUGUUUUGUUCUCCUAUCUCCUAAACAUAAAGGAAAUGCAACCUGUUCUUUUUUCCAAUCUUAAGGGGCACAGAACGACCCUGGUAUAAAAUAGUCAGUUUCUAUACAAAAAUAACUCCUUUGCACUUGGCAUUCCACAUCUCAAAAUAAAAAGCAUGCAAGGAGGAGAACAUAAUAGCAUUAAACAAGUUUUAUUAACCAAACUUCAAAGAUGCCACACAAGGCAAAAAAGGAAUCUGUACAAGCCAGAUCCCAAGAAUAAUAAUUCCAAUAUACAAUUCACAAAAACAAUAACUAAAACCAUGUUCAUGAGGCCUCAGCAGAAGCAACAUGUAAUAACCAUACUCUAUUAUUUGAAACACAUUUCCAAGUUUGGUUAAGAUUCUAAACCAUUCUCUAUGUGUCAAUUAUUAACAUGUAAAACAUAAUAAUAUACACUUAAACUACUACAGUAGUAAAACCAGUAAAACAACAAUACCUGCUAAAAAGAUUUGCUACCUCUUCACAUUCACGAGCAUUGCAGAACCAAAUCCCAUUUACUUCUUGGGAUGCAUUCCGAUAUAAAAAAUACGGAACCUGAACUUCAAACUCAAAAUCUCCCAAAAGAUUUUCCACUAAAUUAUCUGCACAUAUCCAAGAAAUUGAAGCUUAUCAGUGCAAAAACAUAUGCAAAAAGACAUGAAGGUUAGGAGAUACAACUAAAACUUAGCAACAACUGAUAAGCACAACAAGAAAUGAAAUAUAACACGAGUUGUAAACAAGAUAGACACAUGGUAUCUAAAUAAUUGUACCAACCCCCUCUCCUGAUUGUCAUAAAAAGGCCAAUAUUUAACCCUAGACAACAAAAUUGCAAAUACUCUAGCCUCUAUAUUAUUGGCAUAUAAAUAUUUUCGGUUAGGUACAUUAUAUUCUUCCUUCUAAAACCUCAAUUAUUAGCUAGUACUGUGAUAAAAUGAUUCAAAACUGAAAUAGAAACAACGACAAACCAACCUGUAUUACGUCGAUUCAUUACAACAAACUGAAAUCGAGGCUGUGUGUUCCUGAAAAUUGAAAAAAUAAUAAUUUCACCAACUUCAUAUGUAAUACAAUCUCCAAAACACUGAAUAUCAAAUGAAAAAAAUGGAAAGCAUAAGAGAGAAAAGAAUCUAAUUUUAUUGACCUUUUGACGACGAAGAGAGAGCCUUCAACAUCCUUACGACUCCAUUGGCUGAGAUCGAUGUUGAACUCGUAGAAGGUGACAUGAGCGGCCGUGAUGAGGAUCUCCUCAAUGAAUGGAUCGAUUCGCUGAAGAACUGUCAGGUUUAGGAGUUUUGUGCUCUGCUGGUCCAGAUUAGGCAUCAAUUUUCCGUUCUGCGACAUUUUUCAUAGUCCUUUUGGGCUCUGCCCCGAGCACAAGCCCCAUGGUUUUUCUGUGAGCUCUCUCUUUUGUAAAUAAAGUGUUUCAUGAGAUAGUCGAGAGAGAGUGAAAGAGUUGAACAGCUAAACAAGGUGAGGUGAACACUUUCGGACUGAGACUCGAGAUUGAUCUUUGCUUUAACGUCUUUCAAACAUUUGGGAAAUAGCAUUUAUUUCUUUCACAGGGAUUUGUCUGUGGUAUACCCCAAAAAAAGGGUAUUUAUCUAAAAAUACCUCCAUACUCAAAAAUUUCUCGUAUAUGCCUUUUCUAAUAUGCAGUUACGAAAUUACCCUAAUGAAAAACCUAAAUCAACUAAACUACCACAAUCAAUCGUGUAACAAAAUCCCUAAUUUUUUCUCAUGAGCAGCUUCUUCUUCAGCCCGUUCUUCUGGGUUUCUCCUCCUCCAUUUUACAAAUCCCUAUUAUUUUACAACAAUUCUUCUACACACUCUCGCCUCUCUGCAAAUCAGUAGCUGCAAUUCCCCCACUCUGCUUCAGCAUCUCCUCUUCCAGGUACUUUUAGAAAGUCAAAUUUUUUGUUUUAAUGUAAAAUAAAAUUUGAAAGUUUCAAAGCUCAAGUUAUUGAUUUUUCUGAAAAAAAUCAUUUGCAGCUGGUAUUGAAAUGUGUGCAAAGUCUUGUGCCAAAAGCUUAAUUUUCAUUUCUCGCAAAAGUCAGAUGACAAGACUUCACUUGAUUAGGCUUAUGCUUGUCUUUUACCUUGCAUUAAUUUUCAUCUCUUGUAAAAGUCAGAUAAUAAGGCUUCACUCGAUUAGACUAAUAAUUGAUUUAACAUAUUCAUUUUCUGAUUAAUUGUCAUCCAAUUUGCACGCACAUCGGAUAGAAUUCAUCCAAAAAAAUGGCUCGUAAGGUACGGGAGUCCAAAUACUUAUAAACCUACACACCAAGCCUUAGCUUAGCAAUAUGACACUCAAUUAUAGUUCAUAACCGAUAUGCAUGGUGGCCAUAUAUGGGGCUGAGUGACUUCACAGAUUUCAUACAAGGUGAAUAGCAGGUCUUCUUCUCAACUUACUUCGUCUGUGAAGAGAGAUUUCAUCAAAAAAUUGGUAAAACUCAUUCAAAAGACCGACUUAUGAUGUUAGAAAGACCAAAUACCCUAUAAAAUGCUUAAUAAAGUGGUCGCACAAUUAUUCUUGUGUACACAGUACCAAUGCAAUAGAAAAUAGGGUAAACAUUAAUGUCUCUAGCUACUCAGUCCAAUAGACAGUAUAAUCUAAAGAUGUCGUGUUGUUGUAUUGUUACACUGGUGAGACAAUUGCUGCAUGUUGCAGACAUGAUACCUCUAGUACUUCAAAAGAUAGCAUAUCACGAAACACAUCCAGACUGUAGUGAGGUUAUUUCGAAAAUUCCUUGGCCCAUUGUGUGAGUGCGUGACAUCCCGCAACAAAAAUCAGGGUAUGUACUAUAUAUAUAAUGUGUUUUGAACAUAAUAAUAAAAAUGAUGAUUUUUAACAAUUGAUUUAUAUGAAUAUUUUUAGUGGUGACUGUGGAGCAUUUUUGUUGCGGUACUUGGAGGUCCUAGCCCAUGGACUUGAUGUCAAUUCAUACUGCCAACAAGAUCAUGUUACACAAUUUCGACAAGCCUUGGCUGUAAAAUUAUUUGGGCAUAGGUCAUGGAAAAAAACUCCGUAGUGUCAUUUUUUGGAUUAUGAGAUGUAAUAGUUGUAAUGAGGAUGUUGUUGAUAUUUGAUGUCAUUAAAGACAAUUGACAGCAUUAAUAUAUUUUAUUUCUUUGUUAUUUAUAUUAAUGAUAGAUAAGAUAGUUUGCACAAUAUAUGCACAGGGAAUACACUGUAAGAGAAUACACGACUGCAGUCGGGUAUUUGCACAGAUACACGACUGCGGUCGGGUAUUUGGAAAUAAACAUAAUACGCUCUGUGUAAAAUACUCGACUGCAGUCGGGUAUUUGGAAAUAAACAUAAUACGCUCUGUGUAAAAUACUCGACUGCAGUCGGGUAUUUGCACAGAUACACGACUGCGGUCGGGUAUUUGGAAAUAAACAUAAUACGCUCUGUGUAAAAUACUCGACUGCAGUCGGGUAUUUGCACAGAUACACGACUGCGGUCGGGUAUUUGAAAAUAAACAUAAUAAGCUGUAACAAAAUACUCGACUGCGGUCGGGUAUUUGCAAAUAAACAUAAUAAGCUCUGUGACAAAAUACUCGACUGCAGUUGUGUAUUUGCACAAAUACACGACUGUAGUCGGGUAUUUACAAAUAAAAAUGACAAGCUCUCUGUGAAAAAAUACUCGACUGCAGUCGAGUAUUUGCACAGAUACGCGACUAUAGUUGAGUAUUUAGAAAUAAAUAUGACAAGCUCUCUGUGACAGUCGGGUAUUUACACAGAUACACGACUGUAGUCGAGUAUUUAGAAAUAAACAUGACCAGUUUUGUAACAGUCAAAAUACACUAUUGUACUGGGGUAUGUGCACAGAAUAAAAACUCUUUUCAAUCAUUCAUUAUAUUGAUGACACAAUCAAUAUAGAUUUUAAACAUAUCAAACUUCAAAUAAAUGAAACUAACUAUAGUCUGGUUGCCUAUCAAAUAACACAAAUCCAAUAGUUAUUGAAAUCGUAAAUAAGUCGUAAUACAAUAGAAGUUGUUUAACAUUCAUCAUAAAUUUUUGGCAUAUUCAACCCAAACACUCGGUCCAUAUUUUAUAAGCCUCUGGUCGCCUCCCUUCAAUACUUGUUCUUAGAAAGUCACACAAACAUGUUUAUUCAUCUGCGAAACAAAAAGGUAGAAAUUUAUCACUAAAUAUGAAAGAUAUUAAAAAAAUUAAAACAACAAAAAAUAACAAGUAUAUAAGGUUCAUAGUAGUCGUGUAACUUAUUAACAAUUAUAGUAUGUAAGUUUAUACGUACACGCUAGUAGUCGUGUAACUUAUUAACACACAUGACUAUAGUCUAGUAAUAGUAAAAGGAUAUAUAUAGUGAAAAAUAUAUAUUUUUUGAACCAAUAGAAUAAUAAGGUGUCAUAAUAAUUGAAUUUUUUUGCACAUUUUCACGACUACAGUCGUGUAAAUACAUACAUACACGACUGAUGUCGUGUAUGUCGGGUGCAGAAAAAAAAUUUGACAACAACUUCAGAUUUUAACGAAUGUAGUUAUAAAAUCCAUCAAAUAACAGUCAUAUGAUGCAAAUGUAAUAAAAAUAUGAGUUGCUUUAGUGUUUAUCACAAACCAAACAAAACCCUAAAAAUAAUAUAAUGUCAACAAAUUGAAUAGAUAGCCCAAAAUAAAAUAAAAAAAGUUUCAAAUACCUUAUUCAUGGGAUGAAUAAUACACCCAGCUGCAAACAAACUCAGUGCAUUAGCUGUUUGUGAGUGAUUUUGAGUGUGGUGUGAGUUUUUGUAUAGGUGAUAAAUACGUGAGAAGCAAAGAGUGUUGUGAGUUGUGUGUGUGUUUUAUAUUUUUCUUUAGGGAUAUUUUAGACAAUGUACCACAUAAAAAGGCAUACUUAAAUAAUUUUCAAACAUGAGGUAUAUUUAACUAAAUACACUACUUUUAAGGCAUAUUUAAUUAAAAACCCCUUUCUUUCAAUUUCUCUACUUUUUUUUGUUUUCCUUUAUGUCAUUUAGACCCCAAAAUUAGAUUUAUUAUAAUCAUAUUUUACCCAUUCACUAUUAACCCCUUUUAUUUUUAAAAUUGUCAAUAUUAAUGUAUUAGAAUAAUGUUAGAAAUCCCAAUUAUUAUCUCAAUGUUUAAAUCAUAACUAAUAUGAUAACUCAUCGGUUACUGCAACAUUAACUUAAUUAUUAAUGUUUAUCAUGAAAUGAUGAGAUUAUUAGUCAAGAAAGAAUUAGAAAAUAUCAAUGACUAAUACAAUGUGGCAAUUACAGUUGAAUAUUAAUACAAUAAUUAGGAUCCCAAAAGCUAGUGAAUGUAUUAUAAUAUAUGUGUGUUACACCACUUUAUGUCUCUCAAAUUCAAAUAAGUAAUUUCAUAAACCUGAUCUUUUAUUACAUUAAUUAGGAAUGCAUACAUGAACGAAAGAUGUGCAAUUUUUGUUCUAUUUUUCACUAUUAUUUACCAUUCAUCUGCUUACGUCACUUGAUUUUUUGCGAUUAAUAUGCUUAAAUGGAUCUCUUAGAUAUAAAUAAAAUAAACGAAAAGUCUUAAGAGAAAAAAAAAUGAGGACCGAAAUUAUUACACCUACGACAAAUUUGCCCGGAGAGCAAUAAACCAAACUUGCUUAGGAAAUACAAUGAUUAGUUAACAACUAAAAGAGCCUUCACCUUACAACUUAAAGCUUCUGUCAAGCAAACACCCAUUGAAAGCUGUUUAGGUCCGUUUUUAGAUCAUCGGAAAUUUGACAAAAUCAUAAAAACCCUCAUCUUAGAAAUUCCAAGCAUCAGGCAGUAGAUCAGGCAGUAGUCCGACUUUAUUGAUAUUGAGAGUAACACAAUAAAAGUUUCGUACAGAUUUUGCAAACGAAAAGCACAUAAUACACUUAACUAGGAGGAAAAAUUAAAGUGUACAUAUUACAAUCUGCUAACAAUAUACAAUAGUAUAUUGUAUAUACAAUAGUAUAUAUACAAAUUAACUAGGCACCAAUAAGAGUAUGAUACAACCAUUCUAAAUGAAAGAGAAUACAAUUGUUUUACAACUAUGUCACAUCAGGAGAUAUGUUAGCAGGAUUAAUCCAGAUACCUUCGAACCCAAUUAACGAACUCGAGUCAGAAACCAGGGGCCCCUAACUGAACCUUACAAUCUUGAAGGAAGAAGGAGACUUGUGGUCCAGAUAGGAGACUUACUAGAUCUCCUGCAAAAGAGAAUAUCUAUUGCUUUGAACCUCCAUUGAAAUUUCUUUUUCCCUUUUUCUUGUUUUGACUUGGAACUUUCCAGCAUCAUCUAUUUGAUCUUUUUUGAAGGUAAAAUAGCAAUCUAUAGGUUGCCAACAUGUUAUUCUGCCAAACCCCACCCCACCCCCCCGGGGGACAACAAAUCGACCUAGCACACACCUUUCUUCAUUGCCCACACCUACAGAACUAUAAUAAAAAGACUACGUUACUAUUGGGGUAGAGAAAAUAUACAGACUGUAUUAUUAUUACAUCGCAUUUUACUAAUUAACUAGUGCAAGACUUCUUUAGUGUCAAAUCAAGAACUAAUUAGAAAAGACAACUCAUGAUAAUACAGACCUUAAUAAGCAAUUGCUAACAACAUCCCAUAUACUCCUAUUUUAGCCUUCAUUAUCCUGGUAAAAACACAAAUAAGUCUUGCAAACGAACAUUAUAAGUAAAUUCAACAUUAAUUAAGAUUAGGUAUCUACUGCACCUAAUAGCAUGGUCAACCAUCUAGUUCCUGUAGCCUUCCAUGUACCUAUGUUAGUUACAUUUUACAUAUUAAGCCACGAAAACGAAGAAUCACAGCCUGGUAAAGAAAGACAUUAAUUAAUAGUUUUUGUUUAAAAAGUUCUCGUUUAGAUCUUUCCUAGUCAAUGAAUCAAUGUAAUUUAAAGAGAACUCUUCUAUUUCAAACAGUGUUAGAAGAUAUUUGCAAAGCCUAAAGAUAAUAUACAAGGACCAAGAUAUACACAGAUUGUUUCUUUAUGGGACUAAAGAGCUUUUUUAGAUGUUAAAACUGUUUCAAACUGUUUUUCUGGUUUGGUUUAACUAAGGAAGAGCUUGUGGAAGAUUAAAAAUGAUGUUUCCUGUUCUCUGUAGGAAGCUUUUAGGAGAUUUUUUGGGCUUUUUUGAAAGGUUGAAUUGUCAAAAAUACCUUCAUGUUAUUGUUUGCUAAAAGAUGUUAUGGACAACUAAACAACCAACAAUAUUUUGUUAAAAGCUCUACUAGUGUAGGAUCUACUUAAAGAAGCUAUACCAAACAGACUCUUAGACUGAAUAACUCGAUCUUAAGUUUGUAAAAUUGGGCUCAGAAUCUCCACUAACAACCCCGCUUCGGUGAGAAAGCCCAAGCCUGUUACUUUGUAUAACCUUAUUCUGUAUGUUUGAUUGCAGGAACUGGCCAAUCAUACCGACGAGGUGAGUGUGCAGCAUGACGUGCUUGACGGGAUGGUUACUUUCUAUGAUACAACUAAAGCUAGCCUCAACAUAUAUCAGGUGCCUGCUUGUUUUUACCUUAUAGAUACUAAUAUUGUUUAGACGUGUAAUCUCUCUCUCCAUUGAACGCUAGACGGCUCGUCUCAAGCCUUCUACGUACUUCAGAGUCCUUCAUUAGCUUUUUAUGUAUAAAGUUUUGAUCUUUUUCCUUCAUUUGCUUGAAGCUCAUUACUGCAGAUUUGUUUUACAGGUUGGUAGUGUAACAUUCGACUUGCUGUUGCUUCUAGUGUUGGGAUCGUAUUUAAUUGUGCUUUUCAGCUUUCUUGUCAUAACAACUUGGGUAUUACUCUUUCUCCAUAUCAAGCUUGAAGUUCUAAAUUUCAGUUUUAUCUUGUAUUUGAUUUUUUAUAAUUUCAUUGCAAACAGAUUAGAAUAGAAACUUCAAAAGUUCCAAGGUUUCCAACAGGGUCUUGAUGAUCUAAUCAGUUUGUUUCGAAGACCCCAUCCCGUAAGGUAAAAAAAGCUUGAUGCGGAAGCACGAUGCUGCACCUGUCCUGUGUAACUUUUUCAGGGAAGAUUUUCUCUGAUAACCGAGGUGGAAGUCUCCCAGGAGAAGUUGGCAAAUGAUAACUACGAAUGUGUUAUGGUUUAGCUCAGUGACACAAAGGACAUUUUUCAACAAUUGAUCCUAGGAAGAUGCCUAUAGCUUGUUGUGCCAAACAUAGAAAAUCAAAGAUGCGAAAAAAUUUUGUUGAGAUUCAUUUUAGUUAAAAUUGUUUUAUUGAGUGUUUAGCAAACGAGAAAAUGGAAGAAAGUUGAGAGAAUAAAACUGAAGCUAAGAGGAUUCUAGAACAUCUUUCAAUUUGUUCCGAAUACUCAAAAUGUGAAUACAUUGUUGUUUAUGUACACAGCUGAAGAUAACAGCUCAAUUGUAUAACUAACUACUACUUAGCAAUUUACUAACUGUAACUAAUCAAACUAAAUCUUCACGUGCACUGGUAAUCACAUAACCACUAGGUGCCAGCUGGACAGCCAAGUCAUCAACCUUUAACCGUGUGCCAUAGCUGCUGCAAUCCUCUGCUUUAUCUUCUGUUUUGCAUACUGUACAGCAAGCAUGAUGAGCUUCCUUAACAAUUUUUUUUGGGGCAGAGAAUAAUGCUUAUGUGAUUUCUGAACUUGGGGAUUAUGGCGGAUAGAGGCACUAAGGCAAGAGAAAUGUCUGAAUUAUCGAAACAAGAUGAAUUAUUUUUUGUUUAUCGCAGCAGACGAUCUAUGAGCGGAAUUUCUUACAACAAAAGAUGUGUGUCCACCGGCUUGUAUUUAGUCUCGUAAUGCAUUAUAUAUAUGCACGCACACACAGUUUGAGAAGAAUCAGACCAUUGAUUUUCUUUUGAGCCAAUCAACAGAAUGUACAUUUCUUCUAAGAUCUUGUAACCGAAACCGCAGUUUUUCAAGUUUGAUGCAUCUGGGAAAAUUGUCAGAUGGAAUAAAACCACCAUGCGCCAAGGUACCAAUGAUGUUUCUUCCAGCUUAUGAGCACUUCAAAUCAACUUAGGUCAUAUUUACACAAGGGCGCACAUGAUAUCAAUCUAAUGGCAAUUAUAUCAUCUAAAAUCCAAAACCAAGAGUCUCCCAUUUUCCCGUUCUCUACUCUGUUCAUAUUAUCAUAACUUCGAAGAUUGCAAGGCAGCCGCAGAUCCAGCGCAAUCUCUCAGAUCUUUGCUCCUUCCUCAUUGCAGUUAGUCAAAAGAUAAACAGAGGUGUCCCAUGUCAACAAGAAGGUAAUCAUAAAAGAACAACAGAAUUGUAAAACAUAUUUUGUUAUAGAUGAAAUGAUAUGAGCAUCCAUGUAUCUAUCCAGCAUUUAGGACACCGCAAUAUAUUCAUAUGAAACGUAAAACGAUUUAAUAUCAAUUUUCUUAAGGAGACUGAGCAGGUUGUCUCGCAAGUGGCGCAUUAGUAUUGUAACGUCUGUGGGGUCUUACAUUAUCCACAAAAAUAACUCGUCCAUCUAGUAAAUUAGAGAAAAAUGAUGCAAUUUCACCUUCCCACUCAUGUCUGCCAAGGCUUUUUGGGCUUCCUCUUCUGUACGGAAAGUCACAUACCCGUAACCUUUUGAUCUGUUCUUACCUUUAUCCAUUAUUAUGGUAGCUGCAAAAAGAAAAGAAUCGGAUAUUAGAAAACAGUGAAGAGGGAACAGGGGUUGAGACUUAAAAUAGAAAUAGACCAAACCCUCAGUGACUUGGCCAAAUUGUGAAAAAGCAUCAGCUAACAUUCCUUUAGUGGUUGAGAAAGAUACGCCUGCAAAGGAUGCCAGUUAAUUUUAUCAUAAUUAGAUGGUAAGAUUGCAAAUUCUGCAGCCAAAGGCAGUACGCAACUGAAUGAAGGAAAUCAAAUAUGAACAUGUUUUCAAUCUCAAAAUAUGAAGAGUAGCAGAAGUAACUUGUGAAACAGUUAUAAGUUCAAGGGAAUUAGAUGAUGGCAUGGUUGAAUUUUAUAAAUAUUUGAUAUUUUGGACCGAACAGGGCAAACAGAUGGAUCCAGAUAAUUAAGAAAAACAUCAAUUCCAUGCAACCAAAUUAGUGUGGACAAUGCAAUUGCCUUUCCCUAUGAGAGUAGAGGGCCUAAAUACAAGCAAAAACCUACUGAUGCAUCUACAGAAGCUCACAUUCACUAGCUGCAUGAUUAAAUCACUGGAUGGUCUCACUAUGCAGUAAAGAAUGAAAUAAUUAACGACCUGAUAAGCUGCAAGGUGAAGAAAAUAUUCACCAGAAAAGUUCAAAAUCAAAUCAACGUGGCUUUGAUUAUGGAAAAAAUGAAACAAUAUGUAGUGAAUGAAUCUUCUCGUAACUAUGCAAGACACAAUCACUUCCCAGGAUCUCAGAUAUAGAUUUACCAAGUUGCACAGAUUGAAGAACGAAUCCAGAAAGAAUCAAUUUAAGACAAGAAUUAAGAGAACUGAAAACAAUAGAAACAAACACAGACAACACAAGAAUCAAUUACGUGGUUCGGUUGCACCAAGGAGGCACAACCUACAUCCACGGGAGAUGCUUUCUGGAGAGCUUUUAUUGAAUAACAAUGGAGGAUCUUUUACGGGGCUUUUACUUAAGAUUACAGAGAACUCAUCUUUCACAUUCUCUGAUAUCUCUCUCUCUCUUAACACGGUUACACACCCGCUCAGCUCACAAACUGAACUACAAGAGCAACGAAUCAGCUAAAUCCAGAUUGCACAGCUUGUUGACACGUUGAGUAACAAACUUAACGAACUGAAUCAAGUUGCCUCGCACGGCUAUCACGUGCAUCACUUAAAGCUUUCCCUUAAACGACAAAGAUGAACUGCCGUUUCAAGCUUAAGAAACAAGUGAUUACACACGUGCUUCAGCCCGUGACUUUUAAGUGCUCUUAUCUUAUAUUGCCAAAACGCUGCCGUUUAGAGCUGAUGAGUUUGAUUCACCAGCAAGCCUCACACAAUAUCAGUUGAGCAACACUAUAAAAUUAUUCAAAGAAAUCUCUAGGUCAGUAUCCAAAUAUGUGGCUCCGUCAGAAGCAGAAAAGUUCAAAACCAAAGUAAGAGGUGAGCAGAAGCGGCCCAGUUUAGUUAUAUGCCAUGCAUGCGAUCAAAAUUGAAUGGUUAAAUUCAGUUGUUUCCAAUAAUUUUAUGUUGUAUCUUUUUUAAGAAUAAAGAAAACUUGCAUUAAAACUAAAAGUAGGGUAAUACCUGAUUUUCUAAAUAGAUUGCAAUGUAAUUUUGAAAAAUAAAACAAUAAUUUACGAAAUGGUUAUAACAUUAUUUUAAUUUUUUUUUCAAAAAGGAAAAACAACAAAAAUAAGAAAUAAAGAAUGAGGGCUACAAACUUUUUAUCUUAAACGGCCGUUAGAUUAUUUGUAAAUGAAAGCAACGGUCAGAUAUUGGUGGCUUAUGGAAACAGGUAAUCAUAAGGACUACGAGUUUUUUUUUUUUUUUUUUGUUCCAUUGAUAUAUAACAAUCGGGAUUCUAUUAAUAUUUACAAUUAGAAUUUUAUCUAACUAUCUUUGAUAAUUCUAAACUAGUACAACCCAAAUUCCUAUUCUCAUAUAAUAUGAAAGAGAGAUAUAUAUUCUUUUCCUCUAUUAACGAAGAGACAUUUUUACUUCUAUCCAAUUUAACUGGAACGAGAAUUAAAUCCUUUCAAUAGUCAGGACUCAGACCUCAUACACGCUAAUUUGAGAGUGUGAGGUGUGACAAUGGGCCAAGAGACCAUUGACAAGUACAAAAGAGUGAUUGCAAUUAAUUCAAACCGCUACACACGCUAAAUUAAGGGUCCAUUUUUGUUUAUUUCAUUGCAAAGUAGUUUGCACAAUUAAUUCAAACCGCUACACACACUAUUGCAUCUUUUGAAAAAGAAAAAUGGAAUAGUUUGAAUUGCCCAUGACAAGAAUGCUUGUGUUGUGAAAAGAAAUCCAAUGGUUUGUAAAUGGGUUGAAUUUUUCGCUUACUUCAAUGACUUGCUUAUGCCCAAUAUAUUACUUUGCACAGUAGUAUUUGGGAUCCUAACAAUCAACUCUUAAUUUGGUCCCAAUAUAUUACUUUAUGAAUGCUUGUGCUGUUUUUUUAAUAUAAAAUAAUUUAUUUAACUAAUCAUAGAAAUAAGAGAGAAAAGGGGGCAUUUGUUGACUCAAAGUCAAUUACAAAUAUUCCAUGCCUAACUUCCACGCACCCUAAAACGGUUUGAUUUGCUUUCAUGCGUUCAUGAAUUUCCAUGAAAGAGAGUGCCUCCCGUCUCUUUACGGACAGUGACUCCAAUUAUGUUAGCGUGACAAAUACAUAACGUUAUUACAUACAAGAAUAAGUUUUUGGAGCCGAGACUUGAGGGAGGUUCUAUCUAAUUCUAAAGAUUGUAACCAAAUCAUUAUCCCCAAUUUUUUUCAGUUAAAUAAAAUAAAAUUUAUGCUUAAAUAUAAAUAAUACUUUGGACAUUCUUGAUAUUUGUCCUUUUAAGAUAAACAGCAACCCAAUUAUCUAUUUGUUUGUCUUUUUUUUUUAGUAACAGUUUGUUAGCAUAAAUAUUUACCUGUGAAGUCGAGGAGGAGAAAAUAUUAGAAAAAUAAAAAGAAAAAAAAAUUAAGGGAGAUAGAAUCAGAUUUUCUUUUUUGAGCAAAGAACAUACGUAAAAAGAUAUUAAAUCUAUUAAGUCUAAUUGUCUAUAACAGUAAAUUGCAUAACGAAUAAUUUAUCAGCGUAAAAUAAAUUUUAUUAUGUUAUGAGUGUUCUGAUUAUUUUCUAGAGUACGAAUUGUCCCAUCGUAAAACAAACGACGAGAAAUAUAACCUUUGCGGUGGUCUUUUACCGUGUCGUUGUAAAAAGGUUAGUAGUUGAGUACUAUUAGUAAUUUAAUGCACCAAUAUUCUUUCUUUGUCUUAUGAAAUUUUUUCGUUAUCCAAGAGUUUUAAUUGAAAUACUUGGCUUCCAGUUAUUUUGUAAAGCUGUUGAAAACUACCACAGUAAUUUUUAUUUGAGGGCCAAUGUUUAGCGAUUUGGGGUCAAUUCAAAGUCAACUAACGUGUAAAACAUGAUUUCCUUUCAUGAACUUCCAAGAAAGAAAGGAGACCAUUCACCUUCUUCGUGACAACAAAUGAUGUUGAUAUGACAAAUACAAACGCUAUUACAGUAUAAGACCGAGACUUGAUAAAUUGUUAAAUUACAUGUCAUUUUCUUGUUGACUAAAUUGGAAGAAAAAAAUUAAAAUAAAAUAAAAUUGUAAUCAGGGUGAUGUGUGGAAUAUAUUGAAAUAAAUAAAUGGAGAAGAGAAAUUCGUUGAUCAAUAUUCAAGAACUCAUCCAAAGUGACCGUUAAAGUCUGGAGGUUCCGUAUGAUUAGCAUUUAUUUUUAAUUUUUUGGCUUAACAUCAUAUGUAGUCAUUGGUCGUGUGAUCUAGGACAGGUUUAGAAAUCUUUUUUUUUAACUUCCGUAUUCUUAUUAUUUAAUUAGUUAUAGGAUUUUUUAGUAUUUGAGUAGUGAUCGCAUGUCUCCUAAUCUAAAAAUAUGUUUCUACGAGUACAAAUAAAAACUAAGAUUUUAACAACCUUUUAUACUAAACCCUAAAAAUACAUGAAUUUAUCAAAAUAAAUAAAUUUGAAUUGGUAUGCCAUAAUAAAAAUUUUACUUGCCAAAACAAAUUAAAAAAAUGUGACGCUUAAAUCAAAUGUUGACAAAAAUAGACAAAAAUCCAACAAGAAUCUCAAAAAUAAGAAAGAUAUCUUCAAACAAAAAUAAAAGCGCUCAAGAGAAAUUUGGCGACGAUCUGCUAAUCCAUAUUAAAAAUGUCACUUUGACUCACACUCUUUUCCUCGAGAACUUCAGAAUGAUAUAUUAUGAGCCUAAGACAAAUAGCUAUUGCUCAAGUUAUGGCCUUAUGAAUACAUCUUACUCAAUGGCCAUCCUAAAUCAAUAGAGCAACUUGGACGUGUCGAACAUGUUUGCAUUCAAAUUUAGGUAAAAAUCUAUUCUUAUUGAAGGUAUAUAUAGGUGCCUGUGAAGUCUCAUACCGGAUAUAAUGUGAAAGCAAAUCAUGAAUUUAAUCAUUCAGCCAAUUAUUAGUGUGUACGUAUGGUAGGGAUGGCAAAAACCCCGACCGUAGGUAUAGUAUUACCCAGAUUUGGCCUAAUCAUUUUUUUUUAACACCUAGACUUUUUCAAUCAGAGCUUAAAAACCUAUAAUAUUAUAUAUAUUUUUAAUUUAUUUUAUAAUUUUAUAUUUUCAAAUUUUAUUUUAAUAAAAUUAGACUUGAAAAUAUGAAUUUUAAAUAUUUAAAACUUUAAAUAUAGAUAAUAAGUGGACCAAAUGAACAAAAUAAUAGAUAUUUUAUAAUAUUCUUCAUAAAAAUCCAAGUUUUGAGCUGGCCCAUAAGCUUGUGUGGUGAAGUCUGGGAACCCGCGUUGCCCAAGGUUCCGUCAGAAUCCAGGCUGUGCAGAUAUUUAUGACAUCCCAUAUGGACGGAGAGGAAAUAUUUUCAGUUGACUGAAUUAAAUAAAAAUAUAUUACAAUCAUAUUAUAUAUUAACAGAAAAAAUAAAAAGAAAUGAAGAAAAACGUAUGCAAGACUUAGAGAAGUCAAUUAAAAGCUGGGAGUAUCAUCAGUUCAAUUGGUUAUAAAUAGCGUAGAGCCAUCCUCUCGUUGUUGCAGAACUGAAGGAAAGAGAGACAUAAAGAGUGUGUGUAGGUGAUUAUAAUUAAGAAGAUAUAAUGUGUGGUUCAAAAAGAGUGUGGGUGAGUGAGUUGAUUUUCAUAUUAUUAGUAGUAAAAGGGUGGUGGAGUGAAGGAUGUUUGGAGCAAGAGAGGUCUGCUCUCCUCCAACUCAAACAUUUCUUCAAUGGUGAUCAACGUCUUCAAAACUGGGUAGACGCAGGAGAUGAUGAGAAUUAUUCAGAUUGUUGUCAGUGGGAAGGGGUUGAGUGUAAUAACACCACUGGCAGAGUGAUUGAAUUACAUCUAGGAUAUACUCGGAAUUGGGAAUCAGCAGAGUGGUAUAUGAAUGCCUCUCUCUUUACUUCCUUUCAACAAUUAGAGUCUCUUGAUCUAAGUUGGAACAAUAUAGCUGGUUGUGUUGAAAAUGAAGGUCCUUAAUUUACUCUAUUUUAGUUCUUCCUCGUAAUUUCUUACAUUUAUCUGAUCCCUUUGGGCUUUUGUUUAAUUUGUACAUGAUACAAUAACAUUUUUUUUAGUUUUUAUUUUUUAUUUUUUGGCAGGUCUAGAGAGGCUAUCAAGGUUGAACAACUUGAAGUUUCUUUAUUUAGACGAUAACCACUUCAACAACAGCAUCUUUUCAUCUCUAGGUGGUCUUUCAUCACUCAGACGCUUAUCAUUGGUUGAUAAUAGAUUGAAUGGAAGUAUUGAUAUUAAAGGUAAGCAAGCUUCAUCCCUUCUCCCGUGUCCCAUCUUUUGUGGAUCUUAUUUCAUUGACCGGCUGGAAGUAUUGAUAUAAGAUCUGGCUAAACUCUUGCUAGUUUAAGCUUCAAGGAUUUAAAUAUUAUAAAAAUAGGUUUAAGAAAUUAUCAAUAUAUGCAAUUUUCAAUGCUUCUCAUAAUCAGACACAAUUCAAUCUAAUUAUUUUGUAUGUCCUGUCUUCAAAAGUAAAGAAUUGUACACUAAAUGGAAAUCGACAUCGUAGCUUUUUAUUUUUUCUAAUGCUCUUUUUUCGUUAACAAGUUUAUAUCCUAAGAGGGAUUGGAUUAAAAAAAAAAAAAAGUUUUGAUGUUCAAGGUAGGCCAUAAUAACCUGCAUGUUAUUUGUCUGCCUGUAUCUAAAUUUGUGCACUGAAUUUAGUAUUUUGGUUAUUGUGAAGGGAUCAGAUAUUGGCUUCCAUAGACCAACUUGUAUUUAGUUAAUUAAUUAAUUAACUACAUUUAGUAUUUAACAAAUUAAAAUUUAGUGUUUAAUCUAUUUUAAUUUUUUUAAGAAAAAAGAAAAAGAUAUAGCAGUAGGUAAAGCUAAAAUAAAUUUUAAUUCCUUACAAAUUUAAAUUCAUGGUUGUCAGCUAAAUAUACUUGCUUAAAGCCACUUAGUCGAGCCCUUUGAGAGCUGCUUUAAAUUUUUCGGAUUAGCCAUAUUCUUUUCUUAUUAAUAAAAAUCUUUUCGUUGAGAUUUAACAUAAAAAAGGAGAAAAUAAGUUAUUUAAUUAACUCUGUUUUAAGUGUUGGAAUAAAUACAGGACUGGAUUCCUUGAGUAACUUGGAGGAGAUGGACAUGAGCGACAAUGCAAUCGAAAAUCUAGUGGUUCCUAAAGGUAUACAAAAUGUUCAAAUAUUAAUAAUUUGGAGGACAAUUUAAUUGAUUUGAUUAGGGAAUGCCCAAUGACACUUACCCAAAAUAAUUUAAUCCGAAAUUGUAUCUCAAAUAGAUUACAGAGGUUUGAGGAAGUUGAAUACCUUUUAUUUGGAAGCAAGGUGUUGCAAUCAAUAAAGAAAUUCGUUGGUAAAUAUUCAAGGACUCAUCCAAAGUGAUCAUUAAAGUCUAGAGGUUUGCUCUCCUCCAAUUCAAACAUUUCUUCAAUGAUGAUCAACGUCUUCAAAACUGGGUAGACGCGGGAGAUGAUGAGAAUUAUUCAGAUUGUUUUCAGUGGGAAGGGGUUGAGUGCAACAACACCACUGGCAGAGUGAUUAAAUUAUAUCUAGGAUAUGCUCGGAAUUGGGAAUCAGCAGAGUGGCAUAUGAAUGCUUCUCUGUUUACUCCCUUUCAACAAUUAGAGUCUCUUCAUCUAAUUGGGAACAAUAUAGCCGAUUGUGUUGAAAAUGAAGGUCCUUAAUUUACUCUAUUUUAAUUCUUCCUCAUAAUUUCUUACAUUAAUCUGAUCCCUUUUGGCUUUUGUUUAAUUUGUAGGUGAUACAAUAAAAUUAUUUUUUAUUUUUUGUCAGGUCUAGAGAGGUUAUCAAAGUUGAACAACUUGAAGUUUCUUCGUUUAGAAUCUAACUACUUCAACAACAACAUCUUCUCAUCUCUAGGCGGUCUUUCAUCACUCAGAAACUUAUCAUUGGCUAGUAAUAAAUUGAAUGGAAGUAUUGAUAUUAAAGGUAAGCAAGCUUCAUCCCUUCUCCCAUGUCCCAUCUUUGUGGAUCUUAUUUCAUCGACCAGCUGGAAGUAUUGAUACGAGAUCUAGCUAGACUCUUGCUAGUUUAGGCUUCAAGGCUUUGAAUAUUAUAAAAAUAGGAUUAAGAAAUCAUCAAUAUAUGCAAUUUUCAAUGCUUCUCAUAAUCAGACAGAAUUCAAUCUAAUUAUUUUGUAUGUCCUGUCUUCAAAGGUAAAGAAUUGUACACUAAAUGGAAAUCGACAUUGUAGCUUUUUAUUUUUUUCUAAUGCUCUUUCUUCGUUAACGAGUUUAUAUCCUACGAGGGAUUGGAUUAAAAAAAAAAAAAGUUUUGAUGUUCAAGGUAAGCCAAAAUAACAUGCAUCUUAUUUAUCUGCCAAUAUCUAAAUUUGUGCAUUGAAUUUAGUAUUUUGUUUAGUGUGAAGAGAUCAUUUAUUGGCUUCCAAAAACCAACUUGUAUUUACUUAAUUAAUUAAUUAAUUAACACCAUUUAGUAUUUAACAAAUUAAAAUUUCGUGUUUAAUUUGUUUAAUUUUUUAUUUUUUGAAACAAGAAUAAGGUAUAGAAGUAGGUAAAGUUGAAAUAAAUUUUUAUUCCUUACAAAUUUAAAUUCGCCAUUGUCAGCCAAAUAUACCUACUUAAAACCACUCAAUCAGGCCCUUGGCAUCUGUUUUUUAGGUUUUUCUAAUUAGCCGUAUACUUUUUUGCUUAUUAAUAAAAUUCUUUUGCACCAAGAUUUAAAAAUAAAGGAGGAGAAAAUAAGUUAUUUAAUUAACCUUGUUUUAAGUGUUGGCAUAAAUACAGGACUGGAUUCCUUGAGCAACUUGGAGGAGCUGGACAUGAGCUUCAAUGCAAUCGACAAUCUAGUUGUUCCUAAAGGUAUACAAAACGUUCAAAUAUUGAUAAUUUGGAGGGCGGUUUAAGAGAUUUGAUUAGGGAAUGCCCAAUGACUUACCCAAAAUAAUUUAAUCCGAAAUUAUAUCCCAAACAGAUUACAAAGGUUUAAGGAAGUUGAAUACCCUUCAUUUAGGGGGAAGGGAAAAUGCAAUGAUAGAUGGAAGACAGGUGUUGCACUCAAUAGGAUCACUGUCGUCCCUCAAAACACUUUACCUUUUGUAUACCAAUUUUAUGGGAACAGUAGUUAAUCAAGGUAAGUAAAUCUUUUAUCUCGAAAAUAAUUGAAUUAAUAUAUAUAGCUAAAAUUUAUUGUUUCUACUUCUUUCUAAAUAGAAUUGCACAAUUUCACCAACUUGGAAGAAUUGAUAUUGCUCGAGUCUUAUCUCCAUGUAAGCCAGCUUCUACAAAGUAUCGCAUCAUUCACUUCGUUAAAGUAUUUGUCAAUGCAACAUAGUGUACUCAAGGGUGCCCUGCAUGGUCAAGGUAAAUUACGGGUAUAUGAAGCGUUUGUGAUAUUAAUUCGAUGAUAAUUCUUUCUUUUCAAGUUAAGUUUUUCUUGUAAAAUAAUUUUUUUCUUUUUAAUUUUAUAUAUUUUCACUGUCCAAUAGUUCUAUCUUCUCUAAUUUGCUGGAUUCUUGAUUAAGGUUAAUGAAAUUUUAGUUCUGUUAUGUUAAGAAUAUUUCGAUCGCUUAAAAGAGUAAAGAAAAAUAAGUAAAUUAACCCAAAAAAAAAAGAAAAGAAUAGGACCGGAUUAUCCUUAUUCCCUUGCAUUAUGUGAUCAAUAUCAAAAUUAUAACCAUUUCUUGUUUAUUGCUUGUAGAUUUUCGUAAAUUCAAGAAUUUGGAACGUCUGGACAUGGGUGGGGCGCAGGUUGACGUCAACACCAAUUUUCUUCAAAUUGUCGGCGAAUCGAUGCCUUCUCUUAAGUUUUUAUCACUGACAUAUUCAAGUCUUAAUAAAAACACCAUUCUUGAUCAAGGUUAAUUAAUGAUUCUCCGUCUCCCUCUCUCGCAUCAUAACUAAAUUUAAUUGAAAAUAUCUAUAAUGUGAGCUAUUUAUAAACUUAAUGAAAGAUGAUAAGGAGCCAUAAUAAUGACAAAAACAACUGUAAAAUUUUACAGUUAUUUUGUUGCCAUUACGUCAGAUUCUACUGUUCAACUAUCAGUGAUCAAACUUAAUUUUUAAUAUGUACUUUAAAGAUUUUAUGCAAUUAUUUAUCUAUGUGUACUGAAGGAUGAAUUAUAUAUUUUUCAGGACUUUGUCAGUUAGUGCAUCUGUACGAGUUAGACAUCGGCCGUAACGAUUUGAGAGGUAGCUUGCCAUGGUGCUUGGCAAACAUGACAUCCCUUCAAGUGUUAGAUGCCUCUUCUAAUCAACUUACUGGAAACAUCUCCCCAGGCCUUUGUGAGUUGGUGCUUCUGAGAGAGUUAUACAUUGAUAACAAUGAUUUAAGAGGUAGCUUGCCUUUGUGCUUGGCAAAUUUGACUUCCCUUCGAGUAUUAGAUGUCUCUUACAAUCAACUUACUGAAAACAUCUCAUCUUCCCUCAUGCAUCUAAUAUCUAUAGAAAAGCUCAUACUUUCAAAUAAUCACUUCUUCCAAAUCCCUAUUUCACUUGAACCACUUUUCAAUCUCUCAAAACUCAAGACUUUCGAUGGUGAAAUAUGCACAGAAACUGAGUCACAUUAUAAUUCUUUGACCCCAAAAUUCCAACUGACUUCUAUCUCACUGUCUGGUUACAUAGAUGGUGGCACAUUUCCUAAAUUCUUGUACCAUCAGCAUGACUUGAAGAAUGCUGAUCUCUCACACCUUAACUUGAGUGGAAAAUUUCCAAAUUGGUUGGUAGAAAACAAUACGAACUUAGAGACGCUUCUUCUUGCCAACAACUCUCUUUUUGGGUCAUUUCGGAUGCCAAUUCAUUCCCACCAGAAAUUGACAAUAGUGGAUGUCUCCAACAAUUUCUUUCAAGGCCAUAUUCCGGUGGAAAUCGGAACAUAUCUGCCAGGUUUAAUGGAUUUAAACUUAUCUAGAAAUGCUUUCAACAGUAGCAUUCCCUCUUCAUUUGCUGAUAUGAAAAUGUUGAAAAGGUUGGACAUAUCCUACAAUCAGUUGACUGGUGAAAUCCCUGAGCGCAUGGCCACGGGUUGCUUCUCUUUGGAAAUUCUUGCAUUGUCAAACAACAGUUUGCAAGGUCAUAUAUUCUCUAAAAAAUUUAACUUGACAAAUUUAAUGAGGUUGCAGUUGGAUGGUAAUAAUUUCACUGGAGAGAUCCCAGAAAGCUUAUCUAAGUGCCGUUUGUUAGGAGGACUAUAUCUGAGUGAUAAUCAUCUCUUUGGUAAGAUUCCAAGAUGGUUGGGUAAUUUUUCAGCUUUAGAAGAUAUUAUAAUGCCCAAUAACAAUCUUGAAGGACCAAUACCAAUCGAGUUUUGUCAGCUUGAUUCUCUGACGAUUUUAGACCUUUCAAACAAUGCUAUUUUCGGAACCUUACCAUCUUGUUUUAGUCCAUCAUUUAUCGAACAAGUUCAUUUGUCAAAAAACAAGAUAGAAGGACGGCUGGAAAGUAUAAUCCAUGACAGCCCUUAUUUGGUGACAUUAGAUCUUAGUUAUAACCGCUUCCACGGAAGUAUUCCAAAUUGGAUUGACAUACUUUUUCAGUUAAGCUACCUUCUUCUAGGUAAUAAUUAUAUUGAAGGAGAAAUACCAGUUGAAUUAUGCCAGUUGAAGGAAGUGCAGUUGAUUGAUCUUUCUCAUAAUAAUCUAUCUGGUCAUAUUCCUCCUUGCUUGGUUAACACUGCACUCAGUGAGGCAGUAGCUCCAACUUCUAGUUCGUGUGGUCGAGCGUCUGGCUAUGCACGUCCAUGUGAGAAAAAUACAAGUGGACCUCCGAUGGGAAAGGAAGAAACUGUACAGUUCACAACAAAGAAGAUGUCCUACUAUUAUCAAGGAAGAAUUUUGACGAGUAUGUCUGGGAUUGAUCUUUCUUGUAACAAACUGAUAGGUGAAAUUCCUACUCAAAUUGGAUAUCUUACUAGGAUUCAUGCACUAAAUCUAUCUCAUAACAAUUUGACGGGCACAAUCCCGACAACAUUUUCAAACCUGAAGCAAAUUGAAAGCUUGGACCUCUCCUACAACCUAUUGCAUGGGAAAAUCCCUCCUCAACUAGUUGCGCUAAAUACAUUGGCAGUCUUCAGAGUAGCAUACAAUAACUUAUCAGGUAAAAUUCCAGAUAGAAUUGCACAAUUUUCAACUUUUGAGGAAGAUAACUAUGAGGGGAAUCCUUUUCUUUGUGGAUUGCCACUGUCUAAAAGUUGCAAUGAUAGUGGAUUAUCAGCAGUGACACCGGAAGCUUACAUUGAAGAUGAAGAAGGUGAUUGUUUCAUUGACACGAGCAGUUUCCUGAUCACUUUUACAGUAUCUUAUGGAAUUGUUAUAAUAGGAAUUAUUGGAGUUUUGUACAUAAACCCCUAUUGGCGACGAAGAUGGUUUUACCUUGUUGAAGUAUGUAUGAUCUCUUGCUACUAUUUUGUAGUAGAUAAUCUUAUUCCUAGAAGAUUCUAUCGUGGAUGGAUGUAAUUUCCUUACAUUACAACUUAUAUGUAAUUUUUAAAGAAUUUUCUUUUGCAUGCAUGGAAUAGCAACUCAAUAAAAGUAUUUGAUGCAAAUUGUCCAAGAACAACUUAGUAAUUUCAUUGCAACUAUUCGGUUGUAUAUAUACAGUUAAUGAAAUUUUUAACCAUUCGCAGAAUACCCUUAGGAAUUUCUUUAGAUGGCGGCCAAAAAGAGAUUCGGGGCUCUACACGGUCUGGAUGAAGAUUAACUUAAUGCCCUCUGGAUUAUGUGUAAGUUCUCUUUUAAAUUUAAGGGUUGAGAUUUCAGGUCCGGAUGAAAGUUGAAUGCAGGUGACGAGACUUCACUGGGACAAACUUAAAAUAAAAAAUUAUAGUCCACAAUAAGUGUAAUACCCUACCCCUGGUUUUUGACCAUGCUGACCACCCAUAUAUAUAUAUAUAUAUAUAUAUAUAGAGAGAGAGAGAGAAGUAAAGAGAGAAGAGACGAGAGAGAGAGUGAAAGGAGUUGACCCGAGUUUGACCCGAAUCCGACCCGGAACCCGCGACUUUGACCCAGCGAUUUCUCCCAUUUCCGGCCACCGUUCCGGGCAAGCUUGGUACCGAUUCGAAGCUUGAGAGACGAGCUACGUGUCCAUGCCAUCCUUGCCGCCGGAAAACGAUCGGAAAGCCACCGAUCGAAGCUUUGAAGUUCCGCGGAAUCACCGGCUCGAUUCGCCGGUUUCCGGUGAAGCCAUCACUUGGGUUUGGUCCUUACCUUGCCCUCUGCCAUUUCCGACUAACCACUGACGCCGGGGACAUCGUUUUAUCGGUGAUCAGCCGUUAGAGGAUUCACGACUUCGGGAGCUCGAUUCGGAGCCAUCGCCGCGCGUGGGAGGUCACCACCGCCAUCAUUGGACUCAGCGUGGCUUGAACUUUCAGUUCUGAGCUUCCCGUCGCCGUCGGAUGAAUUCCGGUGACCGUUGACCGGCAAGGGUAUUUCGGUGAUUUCACAGUCUAAGGGCAAUUUUGUAAUUUCAGAUUUUGUGGGUAUUUUCGUAAUUGCAUUGAUUGAGGAUAAAGUUGGUAAUUUAUGAUUUUGAGGUUAAUUUGGUAAUUUUGAUAUGGGGGUAUUUUGGUAAUAUUGAAUUCAAGGGUAUUUUGGUAAAUUUUGUAAUUUGAGGGUAAAUAUGUAAUUUGUGGAAUCAAUGGAUAAUUGGUAAUUUUAAGUGAGGGCAGUGAGGUAAUUUGAGAUUACGAUGGUAACUCGGUAAUUUAAGUCGUAAAGGAUAUUUUGGUAAUUUUACGUUCCGAGGGUAAUUUCGUAAUUUCUGACAUUGUGGUUAUUUUUGUGAUCUGAAUUGAGGACUAUUUAGUAAUUGAAGAUUAUGAGGAUAAGUUGGUAAAAUAAUGAUGUUGGGGGCAUUUUGGUAAUUUUGGCAUGUAGGGGUAUUUCGGUAAUUUUGUGCAUGCGGGAAUAGUUUAUUGUUAAUAGAUAUUCGUUUCGAGAUUUAUUAUAUAAAAUUGGUUGUAUUUCAAUUUACGGAAAAUGAUUAUGGCGUUUCCUUGAUUAGGAGGAUUCGCGAACGAGAAUCAACCCGCGGACGUUGUUGGCACCAAAUCUGGAUAUUGUCACUCUGAGUGGAAUAUACGAAACUUAUUUUUAGAGUUAAUUAUGAUAGUAAAGCAUGUUUGCGGAAUAAGUAUUUUAAAUGUUCUGAUUUAAUGAUUUCUUGAAAUGGAUUUAAUGUGAUUUCCUCGAAAUGGAUUUAAUGUGAUUUCCUCGAAAUAGAUUUUAUUCAUGUGUUGAUAUUUUAUUAAAGUGUUUGGUCAAUGAUUUUGCGUAUCCAUUUUGAAUAACGCAUGAUAUUAUUUGAAAAAUAAGAAAAGUGGAUUCAAAUGUGGUAUGAUUUAAAAUAUGGUUAAGAGGAUUGUUUUUGAAAUCAUUAGACAGUACCCUUCCCCUCCAGAUACAGUGAUAUAAAUGAUAUGAGAUGAGAGGCCUUUGGGGUUCGUCUGAACACACAUAGAGGCUUUGGGCCGUGUGUUUGAGCGUUUUUGCCUUUAUAUGCAUGCAGUACAGAUAUUGAGUUACAGUGAUACAGAUAUGGGCUACAGACAUAUAUUGAGUACAGUGAUACGGAUAUGGGAUACAGAUCAGUUAUUGAGAUUCAGAGAUACAGUGAUACAGAUAUGAGAUACAGACAGUUGAGAUACAGAUGAGAUACAGGCCUUUGGGGCCCGUCUGAGUACACACAGAGGCUUUGGGCCGUGUGCUUGGGCGCUAUUGUCCUUUGGGGACUAGAUUAUGCAUGCACAGAUAUGAUGAGAUAUGAAAUAGUAUUUCCCUAUUUAUCCGUGUAGCUCUGGGGUGUGACGUUACCCAGAUAGUACGUCAUUGCCCGUCCGUUGAGGUCCGUAUAUGACGAGAUUAUUUCCCUGGGUACUUGUUUGAUGAUAGUUUUGGUAUUUAGUAUUUGAUAUGAUAAGUAUGGGUAAUUUUUAAAAACCUCCCCUGAGGUUUGAGGCUGUUGCAAGUAGAUGGUGAAAAUCAUUUUAUUUGUAAAAGACCCCCUACCGUCAGUUAAAAUUUUUAUUGACUAACUGUUGACUUUAAAAAGACAAUAUUACCGCCAAUAAUAGUUUACGUCAGUUAAAAUUUCCUUAAAAUCUUAAAAAAAUAAAAUUACAAACUUAAAAAAAUUAUAUUUUUAUAUCAAAUAAUUAAGAUUUGUAAUUUUAUUACAAACUUUAAAAAAUUACAUUUUUAUAUCAAAUAAUUAAGAUUUGUAAUUUUAUUACAAACUUAAAAAAAAUUAUUUUAAGAUUUGUAAUUUUAUUUUUUUAAGAUUUUAAGGAAAUAUCAAUAACUUAAUCAUGGUGAAAAUAAUUGUUUUAAUUACUUAUGAAAUUGUAAAUAUUUGGAAUUGUAAAUAUUGGGGGUAAUAUUGUCUUUUCAAAGUCAACAGUUAGUCAAUGGAAAUUUUAACUAACGGUAGGGGGCCUUUUACAAAUAAAAUAAUUUUCACCAUCUACUUGCAACAGCCUCAAACCUCAGGGGAGGUUUUUAAAAAUUAUCCUGAUAAGUAUUAUGUUUCCAUCGAUUUUAUGCAGAUUUAUGUAAUAUAGUAUUUCAGUGACUGAUUUGAAUUAAAUAAGUUUAUAUAAGUUCUUAUGAUAUUCUGAUGAAAUUGAUUUGAGAAAUUGAUUUGAGAAAGAUUAAAUCAUUUUAAAAGAAUUGAUUUUUUAAAAUUACUAUCCACUCACUGAGUUCACUGAGUUUUAUACUCAUUCCGCUUUUAUUAUAUUUUCUUCCCCCCACAGGAGAUUUGCAGGUACAUCAGUCGACCUAGUAUCGAAUGUUAGUUUUGAAAUUGUUGCCACGUGAUGGUGUUAGGAUGUCAUAGAGUUAAUACUGUGAUAUUUAGGAUAUUGCGAAUUGUAUUUAUUUAUUAUAUUUUGUAAUUAAGGAUAACCAUUGUAUUUUUUAAUAUUAGAAUGACUUGGGUGGUACUUGGUAUGUUGACUUGAGAAGUUGGUUAUGGAAGAUGGUUGGAUAUUGAAUUAUUUUAGGAGUAUUGUUUUGUAAUUUGCAGGUUUGAGAAUGUUAUAUUUAUAAGGGAGAUUCUGCCGAAAUUUUUAUAGAAUUCGUACUUAAUAUCGAUUCAAUUUUACGAGUUUAGAUGGACUUGCCCUGGGGGUGCGGGGCGGGUCGUUUCAGUAAGAGCAAUGGGUAGUUUAACUUAUGGAAGAUAACUAGAACUUGGAAUAACUAUCCGAUCUGCACCUCUUUAUUUGUUAUAUGCUAGUGGGGAUUUUAGGUAGCGUUUAUCGCCAGGGGAGUUACAGUAAUCGAUUCAUAUAUCCUCCUUUACUUCCGAGGGUAACCCAGCUCUAUACAAGAACAACAAGAGGGUUCAAUUAAGAACUCUCUCUCUUCCUCACAACAAAUACACCUAACAGACCAAACCGUGCGCAAAAUAAUUCUAUUCCGUUCUAUUCAUGUCAUGAAUCCCACAAGUCAAAAACUAUCGCAACUCAUUUUGUUUAAUCAGCAUAACUAAAUUGUGGGUAUAAAUGAGCAAACUUUUGAAGCCUGUAACUUAUAAUAAACGCAAACCCAAAAAUGACAUUUAAAUCCUCAUCAUCCCUAACAAAAAGAAACAGGAAUAAUUAUAUACCAAUAAUUUUUCCACAACAAAUACUGAUUUGAGUUGAAACACUAUACAAACUGGGUCCUAUACACUUGCAGAAAGCUACACAGUAGAGAAAAUCUAGCAGCUACAUAAUGGUAUCACUUUCAGCUGGUCACGAAUGGUGUGCAUUCAGCAGUGCUCGACAGACCAUGUCUACGAAUUGAUUGUCCUAUUACAUAUAAAAGCUGGUUAGAUAUACAAGGAAAAAAUUAAUAAUUGAAAAUGCAUCACAAAAAUUAAGAGUAUCGCAUUAGUGUUUGCACUCUAAGCAUGGCAAAGUGGUGGGGGGUUCAUUAUUUUGAAGACUGGGAUAAGUGAAAAAUAGUUCAAUCCACUGAUGAGCAUAAAUUUAUUUACAUGUCAAUUUAGAUAUCAUCAAAAAGUAAACAGUAAUUCACAGUCACUUAAAAGAGUGGACAAAAUGCAUACCAUGAAUGCAUUUUUGUACGUAAGAAAUCCAAAGAAUAUUUCUGAUAAUACAAAUAUGCUGGCUUUAAAUCUGCUGUCAAUAAGCAAUUAAGAAGAUUAUACCAGCUGCAUGGUAAAGUUCCCCUACUCUUAAUAACAGUAAACAUGAACAUGUCAGAUGCAAUUCUAGCAUCGACCAUUUGCAUAACCAGAAAUCCUAACCUGAACAAGCACCAGAAGUGCCUCCCGGACUUUCUCCUUGCUGAUAAAUGGUCCACAGUUUGAAGUAAGAGCAGGAGUAAGAGAUGGUGGAGGGAUUGGUGGUGGAAAAGGUUGAAGCACUGGGGCACCACAUGGGCGUUGUAGACUCAAGGGAGUAUUAAGUGGCGGAGCUGUUGGUGUAGAUGAAGAGACAGGCUGCAUCAUCCGCGCAGAGGAGGAUGGAGGAGGAACAAAGAAUAAGGAAGGCUUUACAAGAUUAGGUGUCCAGUUGCCAGAUUCAGAGGUGUCAAUGGGUGGCAUUAAAGGGGUAGGUGCUGAUAGAGGCGGGGAUGGUAUUUGCAAGGUUGGCACGAUAGGAUAAGCAACACUGGCGGGAUGAGAAGGUACAGAAAUAGUUGUAUCAGACUGCUAAGGUUGUGCAGAGAUUGCUGCAUUAGAAGUACUCCCCACAAUCAUAGCUGUCUGUAAUGAUAAGGACAGAUGUCAGAUACAAGGACUUCAUAGAAGUUGAACCUCACACUAAAAAGAAGUGAUAACAUAUGAAAAUAGUAUAUGACUUGCAGCAUUUUUGUGGUAAUGUUGCAUACUUAUGUAGAAACAUAUUAUUUCAAAGAAAACAUACACUGAAGAAGUUCACAAAAGCAGGAUCCUCAGGAACAUCAGCAGCAUUUGAGGGAGUUGACUCUAGAGGACCAUCCAUAACUGCCGUAGUUGGAACAGCUUCCAGUUCCUCAAACUCACUGCAGUUUAACAAUAAAAGGAACUCGAUGACCAAUUUAAGUAACAAUUAGAUGAUAUAAGAGGUUAGGGAAAAUGAUGAGCGGACCCUUAUGGAAGGUGAUUUCACCUUAGCUAAACACGAAAAUAAAAAGAAAUCAAGGCCGACUCCUCGAGUGCAAUGCAAAAAAUAUUUUCCCUCUUCUCUAACUCCUCUUAUUCAAAAUUGCUCAUCAUUGUGCUGUUCUUUGAGUUUUCACUAGAGUAGAGAACGCUAUUCUCCUGUUAAGUGCAGAGGAAAGAGAAGGGCAAGGGCCUGGUAUGACGCUAUUCUAUAGAAAGUGAGAAGGUGAAGGGUUAAAAUAUUUUGCAAUUUGGAGGUGGUGUUUGUUAGUGUUCGUACUUCUGAGUUUAUUACCUCUUUAGGAUCCAUAGAAAUUGCCUCUUGUUUAGCAUGCACUGUGCCUAAGAGUAAGGCGAGCUUGCAGAGUAUCUAUUAUUUAUUUACUUGGAUAUUCAAACAGGACUACCAGCAACCAAACCUGUCCCAGCACACUAAUCCCCAAACAAAACACUCCUUCAAGUGCAAGGAAAGAGUAACGUGGGCAUAUUUAUGGUUCAAGCACUACAAUAACUAAGAAUGUGAUGACUGUCCACAAACACUAUAUCAGAACCUUUUGAACUACAUCACAUGCUCGAAGAUUGUUUUUUCAGUCAUACAUAAAUUAGCCAUAAAAUUAAGGCCAUUAUACAACUAAAAAGAAAGAAAAAUUGUUUGCUACUACAUAUCAAAACUGGUAAUAGAAAUGUAAUAUGGCAGACUUCUUACUUAAACAGAUGAGAGGCUACAAAAAAAAAAUUGUGCAAAUAAAAUAUAUGAUAAAGAGCAUAAUACUUUCUUGGGGGCUAAAAAUAAUAUACAACAUGUAAAAUAUAAAUUGAGCUAUCAUUACCUUUUAGACGUGGCAACUUUCGACUUUUGAGGCACCUUGGAAUAUGCAUUCAGAAUCCUGCAUUUGGAAGCCAAAUAAAUAAUGUUAAAAACAAUUUUACAAUAGAAACAUUAAAAAUUGAUAAAUUACAGUUGCAAUUUAUGUAUGCGAAAAGAUAGCAUCACAUCCAGGGUCCUCCCCUAAACAUGCUUGUAACGAGAAUUAGUCUGCCUCCACUGUUAGCAACUGCUAACAAUAUACAAUAGUAAAAAUCACUCUCAUGAACUCACCAAUACCAGACACCAAUAAGAGUAUGAUACAACUAUUCUAAAUGGAAGAGAAAACCACUGUUUUAUAACUAUGUCGCAUCCAAAGAUAUGUUAGGAGGAUUAAUCCAAAUACCUUCGAACCCAAUUAACAAACUUGAGGCAAAAACCAGGGGCCCCAACUGAACCUUACAAUCUUGAAGGAAGGAGGCUUCUGGCAUUUUUCAGAUAGGUGAGUUACUAGAUCUCCUGCGAAGAGAAUAUCUUUUGCUUUGAACCUCCAUUGAAAUUUCUUUUUCCCUUUUUCUUGUUUUGACUUGGAACUUUCCAGCAUCAUCUAUUUGACCUUUUUUAAAGCUAAAAUAGCAAUCUAUGGGUUGUCAACAUCUUAUCUCCCCUUCCCCCCCCCCCCCCAAAAAAAAAAAAUCAAUGGGUUGUCAAUAAAUAGUGCCUACUCAACUUAUGUUUUCCAAGGGAUGACAAUGUGCAAAUCGACCUAGUAGCCACACUUUUCCCCCACUUUCAACCACCGUUAGGCAACUUUUCUAACCUUUCUUCAUUGCCCACAUCUACAGAACUAUCAUAUAAAGACUACAUUAUUAUUGGGGUAGAGGAAAAAAUACAGACUAUAUUAUUAUAUCUCAUUUUACUAAUUGGAAAAGACACUCAUGAUAAUACAGACCUUAAAAAGCAAUAGCUAGUAACACCCCAUGUACUCCUAUUUUAGCCUUCACUAUCCUAGUAAAAACACAAUUAAGUCUUGCAAAAGAACAUUCACAAGUAAAUUCAACAUUAAAUGAGAUUAGGUAUCCACUGCACCUUCAAUCGAUGACUGGGUGAAUAGCAUGGUCAACCAUCUAGUUCCUGCAGCCCUCCUUGUACCUAUGUUAGUUACAUUUUACAUAUUACGCCACGAAAAUGAAGGAUCACAGCCUGGUAAAGAAAGCCAUUAAUUAAUAGCUUUUGUUUAAAAAGUUCUCAUUUAGAUCUUUCCUAUUCAAUUAAUCAAUGUAAUCCAAAGAGAACUCUUCCAUUUCAAGCAGUGUUAGAAGAUAAUUGCAAAGCCUAAAGAUAAUAUACAAGGACCAAGAUAUCAAUAAAGUCAAAUAGUGAAUGUCAAAUAUAAAAAAUAAAUAAAAUAGUUGAACGUGAUCAUUUACUAUCAAGUUCUGUAAAACUGAAAAUACCAUUAUCCCUGUAGAGAUUCUCAAAAAACUCUUUAGCAAAUCAUUAAAUAGCAAAAAAAAGAACGAAAGUUCAAAAAAAAAAAUGUACAACAUCCAUAUCAGGAGAUAUUUUUCUUCUCAAUAUCAAUAUUUUCUAGCCGUGAAGCAAUUGAAAAGCUUAACACCAAGUGAAUUAUUAAGAAUUCAUCAUUUAAAUUCCCAAAUCGCAAAAUGUUGGUGCAACUAGGAAAGUGCAAAUGCAGUCACUUAACUAACACAAUAAGCACCAAUAGUGAGAAGCCCACUUUGUAUCAAAUUUGAAACAGAUAGAUAGAGGUCAAAAAAUUUAUAAAGACACUCAAUUGAAAGCCUUUCAAGCAGCUUUUGCAUGCAACAAGAGCAAAUCAAAGGCGAUGAGAAUGUAUUCAAAGACUAAUUUACAAUCAUCUAUAGACAUAAAUAUCUUGGAUACCUACUCUCUAUACCUUACUGUCCCACUGAAAAUCAUCAAAUCCCUCCAAACAAAAAUGACAAAAUGUAUAAGAAUUGUGUGGUCAAACUUCAAUAACUUAGCAGCCACAGCAAAAACUUAUGUAGACAUGCAAGCCACUCAAAAUAGUCAUAUUUUUUGCUUUCCAAACACAAGCCACUGUGUAAUGAAUGCUCAUAAAUUGCUACUACCAUGUUUGUUAAAACACGUGAAAACCACCAUAACUAACUCAAUGUAACUGAUGAUCACAUCACAUUCAUGGAAUCACAUAUCUGACAGUAUUAAUUAGUGCAAACUGCAUGCUUCUUGAAACUCCUUAUUUAUCACAUGGGUGCCAUUCCAAUCAACCAAUGAUUCUGAUCUAGUCAGCAAAUUCAACCCACGAGCGAGUAAUACCUCCUAUUGCUUCUUUACAUUUCUCAACAAAAUUCCACAUUCUACCCAUACUUCUGAACUUGAUGCUCCCAUAGACUAAUACAAUAUAAAGAUUUCUUCCCACACCACCCCAACCCCCACCCCUAAAAAACCAAUUUAAAUUCUCAUUGGAUGUACAACUUAUAGUCCAUACCAAAUUGAAAAAUUUGCAAAUAUAGAACCUCAAAGAAUCUGCUUGCGUUCCAUUUUCUACAGCAAGAAAAUUGACCUUUACCACAUGCAAGUCAACAUAUAAAACAAUCAUGUCUUUGUGAGAUGCACAUUUUCAGAUGAAUCUGGAGAGCAAUGAAACCAUAAAAACCUAAUAUGAGAACACCGAGGGCUCCAGAUAUCAUCUAUAGAAUCUUUGGUGCACCCUUGCAUGAUGAAAAAAAUUGAAGGCUUCGUCACCAACUCCCCAGGUUGUUUUGUUCUCCUAUCUCCUAAAUGCACAGGAAAGGCAACCCGUUCUUUUUUCCAAUCUUAAGGGGCACAGAAUGACUCCGGUAUAAAAUAGUCAGUUUCUAUACAAAAAUAACUCCUUUGCACUUGGCAUUGCACAUCUCAAAAUAAAAAGCAUGCAAGGAGGAGAAUAUAAUAGCAUUAAACAAGUUUUAUUAACCAAACUUCAAAGAUGCCAGACAAGGCAAAAAAGGAAUCUGUACAAGCCAGAUUCCAAGAAUAAUAAUUCCAAUAUACAAUUCAAGAAAACAAUAACUAAAACCAUGUUCAUGAGGCCUCAGUAGAAGCAACAUGUAAUAACCAUACUCUAUUAUUUGAAACACAUUUCCAAGUUUGGUUAAGAUUCUAAACUAUUCUCUAUCUGUCAAUUAUUAACAUGUAAAACAUAAUAAUAUACACUUAAACUACUACAGUAGUAAAACCAGUAAAACAACAAUACCUGCUAAAAAGAUUUGCUACCUCUUCACAUUCACGAGCAUUGUAGAACCAAAUCCCAUUUACUUCUUGGGAUGCAUUUCGAUAUAACAAAUACGGAACCUGAACUUCAAACUCAAAAUCUCCCAAAAGAUUUUCCACUAAAUUAUCUGCACAUAUACAAGAUAUUGAAGCUUAUCAGUGCAAAAACAUAUAUAAAAAGACAUGAAGGUUAGAAGACAUAACUAAAACUUAGCAACAACUGAUAAGCACAACAAGACAUGAAAUAUAACACUAGUUGUAAACAAGAUAGACACAUGGUAUCUAAAAAAUUGUACCAACCCCCUCUCCUGAUUGUCAUAAAACGGCCAAUAUUUAACCCUAGACAACAAAAUUGCAAAUACUCUAGCCUCUAUAUUAUUGGCAUAUAAAUAUUUUAGGUUAGGUACAUUAUAUUCUUCGUUCUAAAACCUCAAUUAUUAGCUAGUACUGUGAUAAAAUGAUUCAUCACUGAAAUUAAAACUAGGUCACGUACAAAUAAUCAAAACUGAAAUAGAAGCAACGAUAAACCAACCUGUAUUACGUCGAUUCAUCACAACAAACUGAAAUCGAGGCUGUGUGUUCCUGAAAAUUGAAAAAAAUAAUAAUUUCACCAACUUCAUGUGUAAUACAAUCUCCAAAACACCGAAUAUCAAAUGAAAAAAUGGAAAGCAUAAGAGAGAAAAGAAUCUAAUUUUAUUGACCUUUUGACGACGAACAGAGAUCCUUCAACAUCCUUACGACUCCAUUGGCUGAGAUCGAUGUUGAACUCGUAGAAGGUGACAUAAGCGGCCGUGAUGAGGAUCUCCUCAAUGAAUGGAUCGAUUCGCUGAAGAACUGUCAGGUUUAGGAGUUUUGUGCUCUGCUGGUCCAGAUUAGGCAUCAAUUUUCCGUUCUGCGACAUUUUUCGUAGUCCUUUCGGGCUCUGCCCCGAGCACAAGCCCCAUGGUUUUUCUGUGAGCUCUCUCUUUUGUAAAUAAAGUGUUUGAUGAGAUAGCCGAGAGAGAGUGAAAGAGUUGAACACCCAAACAAGGUGAGGUGAACAGUUUCGGAUUGAGACUCGAGAUUGAUCUUGCUUUAACGUCUUUCAAAUAUUUGGGAAAUAGCAUUUAUUUCUUUCAAUUUCUCUACUUUUUUUUUCCUUUAUGUCAUUUAGACCCAAAAAUUAGAUUUAUUAUAAAUUUAUAAUCAUAUUUUACCCAUUCACUAGUAACCCCUUUUAUUUUUGAAAUUUGUCAAUAUUAAUGUGUUAGAAUAAUGUUAGAAAUCCCAAUUAUUAUCUCAAUGUUUCAAUCAUAACUAAUGUGAUAACUCAUCGGUAACUGCAACAUUAACUUAAUUAUUAAUAUUUAUCAUGAAAUGAUGAGAUUAUUAUUCAAGAAAAAAUUAGUAAACAUCAAUGACUAAUAUAAUGUGACAAUUACAGCUGAAUAUUAGUACAAUAAUUAGGAUUCCUAAAGUUAGUGAUGUAUUAUAAUAUAUGUGUUAUACCACUUUAUGUCUCUCAAAUUCAAUUGAGUAAUUUCAUAUACCUGAGUACCUUUUAUUACAUUAAUUAAUUGGGUCCGCCUAACUUACGCUCAACGUAAGUUACGCUCAGCCCGUCCAAUUUCAUAUAGUCCCCCUAUACUCUAUACUAUUUAUAUUUUAUUCAUAAAUAUUAUAAAUUUUUUGAAAUGUAAAAUUUCAUUUAACCCCCUCUACUCAAUUUUAUUUUAUUAAAACCAUAGAGUAUGAAUUUGCCCCCAUAAUUUUAAAUUCUCAAAAUAACCCCCAUUUAAUUAAAAAUAUAAUUAUUUUUAAAUGAAUUAUAAUUAUAAUUAUAAUUUUAUUAUAAUCAUAAAUAUUUUUUUAAUAGAUUAUUGUUAUUAAAAUAAAAUUUUGUUUAGCCCCUCUACUCAAUUUUAUUUUAUUAAAACCAUAGAGUAUAAAUUCGCCCCCAUAAUUUUAAAUUCUCAAAAUAACCUCCAUUUAAUUAAAAAUAUAAUUAUUUUUAAAUGAAUUAUAAUUAUAAUUAUAAUUUUAUUAUAAUCAUAAAUAUUUUUUAAUAGAUUAUUGUUAUUAUUAAUAACGAUAAUAAAAAAUAUUAUAAUUAAUUAAUUAAUCUAUUAACAAUAAUUAAUAAUAUUUUUAUUAAAUUGUUAGUAAUAAUAAUAAUAAUUAAUGAUAAUCAACAUAUUUAUGAUUAUAAUAAAAUGGAAUAAACACUGAGUCUAUAUUUAUAUAGGAGACUCUUUUAUAUUUCUAUACAUUUUAAUUUCAAGUACUUUUAGGAUUUUUUUGUUACCUUCAUAAAUAAUGAUUUUGUAGGCAUCUCAUUAUUAAACGGUCAUUUUUAAGUGCUUCUAGUGUUGGGAUCGUAUUUAAUUGUGCUUUUCAGCUUUCUUGUCAUAACAACUAGGGUAUUACUCUUUCUCCAUAUCAAGCUUGAAGUUCUAAAUUUCAGUUUUAUCUUUUAUUUGAUGUUUUAUAAGUUCUAAAUUUCAGCUUUCUCUCAUAACAACUACGAACGUGUUAUGGUUUAGCUCAGUGACACAAAGGACAGUUUUCAACAAUUGAUCCUAGGAAGAUGCCCAUAGCUUGUUGUGCCAAAAAUAGAAAAUCUAAGAUGCGAAAAAAUUUUGUUGAGAUUCAUUUUUCAUCCUGAUGUUACAGCUGGCCUUUUUUUUUUUUUUUUUUGGCAGAGAAUAAUGCUUAUGUGAUUUCUGAACUUGGUUAUUGUUGAAAUGAGCUGAAAAUGAGCUGGAAAUGUGUUUGGUUAAUGAGAAAGAGAGCGAGAAAAUGAAAGAAAUCUAUUUCACUUUUUAUUUAUCAGAAUGAUUACAUUCACAAUGAAUCUAAGCUGAUAUUUAUACUUAAAUGAAUACACACGAGAUUCUUCUUGCUAGAUACUUCUAGAAACUCUACACGCACACUCACACUGAGCUAGUGGUUACUAAAACCGUUACAACAAUAUUGCCAGCUCAGCAUAACCAACUUAUAACUAACACACUCAGCUGCAGGGGAAACCAUCAAGCAUACGGUGCAUCCUCUGUAAUCAAGCUUCUUUAAGCAUGCUCUGCAGAUCAUACGUCUGAAUUAUCGAAACAAGAUGAAUUAUUUUUUGUUUAUUUUAGCAGGCGAUCUAUGAUCGGAAUUUCUUGCAACAAAAGAUGUGUGUCCACCAGCUUGUAUUCAAUUCGCGAACACAGUUUGAGAAGAAUCAGACCAUUAAUUUUCUUUUGAGCCAAUCAACAGAAUGUACAUUUCUUCUAAGAACCUGUAACCGAAACCGCAGUUUUUCAGGUUUGCUCCUUCCUCAUAGCAGUUAAUCAAACGAUAAACAGAGAUAUCCCAUGUCAACAAGAAGGUAAUCAUAAAAGAACAACAGAAUUGUUGCAACAUAUUCAUAUGAAAUGUAAAACAAUUUUGAGAAAAAAUAUUGGGAAGAUAUUUUUUUUUCAUAGAAGUUGCAAUCUUUACGUUAUUUACUAGUUGCAAUCAUACGCCUGCAAAGGAUGCCAGUUAAUUUUAUCACAAUUAGAUGGUAAGAUUGCAAAUUCUGCAGCCAAAGGUAGUACGGAGCUGAAUGAAGGAAAUCAAAUAUGAACAUGUUUUCAAUCUCAAAAUAUUAAGAGUAGCAUAAGUAACUUGUGAAACAGUCAUAAGUUCAAGGGAAUUAGAUGAUGGCAUGGUUGAAUUUAUAAAUAUUUGAUAUUUUGGACCGAACAGGGCAAACAGAUGGAUCCAGAUAAUUAAGAAAAACAUCAAUUCCAUGCAACCAAAUUAGUGUGUACAAUGCAAUUGCCUUUCCCUAUGAGAGUAGAGGGCCUAAGUACGCUGCCGUUUAGAGCUGAUGAGUUUGAUUCACCAGCAAGCCUCACACAAUAUCACUUGAGCAACACUAUAAAAUCAUUCAAAGAAAUCUCUAGGUCAGUAUCCAAAUAUGUGGCUCCGUCAGUUCCACCACAACCCAAAAUAUCAGAUCCCCCCAUUUGGAUUCGACUGAUCAAUUUGAGCAUAUAAAAUCGGGUUUUAAACUUCCCUAAUUAAAAUUUAUAUUCCACAGAAUCGUUUCCUUUAACAUGAUGCAUUACAUAAUAUUUUGUUUGCAAAAUAAAGAAGAAAGAUGACAUAAUAGAAACACUCACAGAGAGAGAAUACCUUUGACGAAAAGCUUAGAAGUGAAUCCUCUGUAAAAUACGAGUUGAGCUGCUGAAUUUUUCGAGUUUGAAUGAGAGACUGCGCCGUUUCUGAAAAUGUUUUUUUCUCAGUAGCGCCGCCAUUUUUGUAAUAGAGGGUAAAGAAAUAAGUAACAGAGUAAGAGGUGAGCAGAAACGGCCCAAUUUAGUUAUAUGCCAUGCAUGCGAUCAAAAUUGAAUGGUUAAAUGGCAGCCACUAUGUUACAUCUUGUGUAAGUAACAAACCGCCUACAUGGAUCGUUGGAUUUGGGAAUAUGAAAUCCAAUGGAUAAUAUUGAAUUUAACGAAAAAUAGAUUACAGGUUGCAUUAGUCCAAGUUUAUUUCAAACAAACCAGCUGACGAAAUAGCCGCUAAUCAAAUUUAAAAGGGAAAAAAAUUCAAAUUAUAGGUUAUAGAUCUUAUUUCCAUCUUAAAUCUAUUUGUCUUUCAUGGUGUCUCAAUGUGUAUACUAAUUUAUAAUUUGGAUUUAUAUUAGAGCUAAUGCUUCCCUAAAUAACUAAGAAAAUUUUCUUUUCAUUGAUUUAAUAUUUAUUUCCAAUAUCUUGUAUAUGUAGGAUUUGAAAAGAGGAAAAAUAGUAGGGAUGAUAAUGAGAGAAGAUAAAGGUGUCGAUUCUCAAAUCUAAUAUUAAUGCUAUACUUAUAUUCCUAUACUAAAUAAAUUAUCCAAGGUUCGUGGUUAACAAUACGUUGCAAAAUUUUAAUUUCUAUUUAAAGCUCUGUCUAAUAUGACUUUUCAUAAAGCUUAGAGAAAAGUAGAGCUUUUACCAAAAAAAAAUAAUUAUUAGAAUUGUCAAUGAUAAAUUUUAAAAAGUACUUUAAUAAAUAAGCUUUUAAAGUUAUAUAUAUUAUGAAAGAAAUGAAAUAAGAUUAUAUAAUAAAUUAAGAGUAUCUUAGAUAAUUGAACUUAAAAAAAAAAACUCGCUAAGAGGUUUAAAAUUUGAGUUUUAAUAGUGGAUACAAAAUAGUUUAUUUAAUUCUCAAAAGCUCUACUCAAAAUAGUUUAUUUAAUUCUCAAAAAAUAUUUUUUUCAUUGAGUAAAUAAUACUAAACAUGCACUAAAGUGUUAGGACCAGAAGUUGUACAAAAAAUGAUGGCUACAACUUAAAUUAUGAAUGGAGUAAUCGGAGAAUAUUGAAACCCGUUUAAUUUGGAUCGUGCAUUGAGGGACGAAAGGAUAAAAAAUUUAAUUUUGAAAUUGCUGUUGGGUACGGUACAAUGACUUACCGUUGACAGCUUUUGCAACCGGAUUACAAUCGGUUAGUUCAAUAAUUUUAUAUCCCCAUUUAACCGCCAUGUGCUGCUGUUACAUGGGUCAAUUAGUCAUGUCAUUACUGUUACUUACAGAUGCCGCAACAUAACCGGACCCUGGUUAAAUUCUGUUGUUUCCAAUAAUUUUAUGCUGUAUCUUCUUUAAUAAUAAAGAAAACUUGCAUUAAAAUUAAAAUUAGGGUAAUACCUGAUUUUAUAAAUAGAUUGCAAUGUAAUUUUGAAAAAUAAAACAAUAAUUUACAAAAUGUUUAUAACAUAAUUUUAAUUUUUUUCAAAAAGGAAAAACAACAAAAGUAAGAAAUAGAGAAUUAGGGCUACAAACUUUGUAUCUUAAACGGCCGUUAGAUUAUUUGUAAAUGAAAGCAACGGUCAGAUAUUGGUGGAUUAUGGAAACAUGUAAUCAUAAGGACUACGAGUUUUUUUUGUUACAUUGAUAUAUUACAAUCAAAAUUCUAUUGGUAUUUACAAUCAGAAUUUUAUUUGACUAUCUUUGAUAAUUCUAAACUAGUACAACCCAAAUUCUUAUUCUCAUAUAAUAUCAAAGAGAGAUAUAUAUUCUUCUCCUCUAUUAAUAAAGAGACAUUUUUACUUCCUUUUAAUAGUUAGGACUCAGAACUCAUACACGCUAGUUUGAGAGUGUGGGGUGUGACAAUGGGCCAAGAGACCAUUGACAAAUACAAAAGAGUGGUAGAAAUUAAUUCAAACCGCUACACACGCUAUUGCAACCAAAUUGAGGGCACAUUUUUGUUUAUUUAGUUGAAAAGUAGUCUGUAAAAUUAACUCAAACCGCUACAUACGCUAUUGCAACCCAAUUGAGGGCCCAUUUUGUUUAUUUUGUUGAAAAGUAGUUUGCGCAAUUAAUUCAAACCGCUACACACGCUAUUGCAUCUUUUGAAAAAGAAAAAUGGAAUAAUUUUUCAAAAUUAAUUUAGAGAAUAAGAUUUACUAAUAAUGAUGUUAGAAAUCUUGAUAUUUGAAUCUUAAUAUUAUCUAUCACUCAUUUAUUAAAUAAUAGAUUUCAUAGUUUGUAAAAUUACUUAACCACUUGAUAAAUGUUAUAUUUGUUGGGACUAGAUUGGGACUUAAAUAUUGGAAUAUCUAGUAUUGCAUAAAAAAAAACUUAACAAUUUAUCUUCACACGACUAAUUGUUUUUACAUCACAACUAACCUUAAUUAUUUUAAAAGUUAUAGUAUUAUUAAAUUGCCCUAACUAGUUAUCAAAAGGUGAAACCAUGUUUUAAAAAGAAAUUACUAAGAAACAUUUGUUUAAACGAAGGUUAAGGUUAUGAUCAAUUAAUUAAGAAGAAACUUACUAUCAAAGGUUAAGAUUAUGAACAAUUUAAGGAAGUUAUUGAGUAGAGAAAGGGACAGAAUGGUUGUCUGAUUUGUCGGUGACAAGAAUGCUUGUGUUGUGAAAAGAAAGCCGAUGGUUUGUAAAUUUGUUGAAUUUUUCGCUCGCUUCAAUGACUUGCUUAUGCCCAAUAUAUUACUUUGCACAGUAGUAUUUGGGAUCCUAACAAUCAACUCUUAAUUUGGUCCCAAUUAGUAUAGUAAUCAUCUAUUGAGCGGUAAAAUAUUAAUUCUAAUAGUCAUGAAAUCCAAUAUAUAAUAGAUUAAUAACACACAUAAAUUAAAACAUAACUGUCUGAAAUCAUAACAUUACUCUACUCUUCAGUGAAGUUCUCUUAAACUGAUUAUGUGAAAGCAAUAUUCGCUUUUUGAUUAUAUCCAUAACUUUGAAUUGAUAAAGUUGUAUUCAACAGCUCUUGAAAAGACUAAGCAGGUCUUCUUUGCAUUUGAUCACUGGCAUUUCAGUUAAGUUUGUCACUUACUUAAAAUUUUCUUGCUUUCAAUUUCCACUGUUAUUUUUUUUUAAUAAAAUAAUUUAUUUAAACUAGUCAUAGAAAUAAGAGAGAAAAGGGGUCAUUUCUUGACUCAAAGUCAAUUAUAAUUAUCAAAACUUGAGGGGACAUCGCAUGCCUAAAUUCCACGCACCCUAAAACGGUUUGAUUUGCUUUCACGCGUUCAUGAAUUUCCAUGAAAGAGCCUGCCUUUCGUCUCUUUCGGGACAAUGACUACAAUUAUGGAAAAAAUUAUAAUUCUCGUUAGAUUGUAACCAAAUUAUUAUCCCUAAUUUUUUUAAGUUAAAUAAAAUAAAAUUCAUGCCUAAGUAUUUAGUAAUUAGAGAGAGAUAGAGAGGAUUGAGGGCCAAUGUUUCACGAUUUGGGGUCAAUUCAAAGUCAACUAACGUGUAAAACACGUGUAUGCAUAGAAAACGCUUAGAUUAUUUGUGUUCCAAGUGCAAGAAAUUAAGAAAAGAAAAAUUGAUUUCCUUUCAUGAACUUCCAAGAAAGAAAGAAGACCCUUCACCUUCUUCGUUACAACAAAUGAAUGAAUGAUGUUGAUAUGACAAAUACAAGCGCUAUUACAGGGAACAGCAUAAGACUGAGACUUGAUAAAGUGUUUGUUAAAUUACAUGUUAUUUUCUUUUAACUUGAAUGAUGUUGAAAAUAAAAUAAAAUAAAAUUGUAAUCAGGGUGAUGUGUGGAAUAUAGUGAAAUAAAUAAAUAGAGAAGAGAAAUUUGUUGAUCAAUAUUAAAGACACAUCCAAAGUGAUCGUCAAAGUCUAGAGGUUCGGUAUGAUUAGCAUUUAUUUUAUUUUUUUUGGCUUAGCAUCAUAUAUAGUCACCUGUCGUGUGAUCUAGGACAGGUUUAGAAAUCCUUUUAUUUUAACUUCUGUAUUCUUAUUAUUUAAUUAGUUAUAGGGUUUUUAAGUAUUUGAGUAUUGAUCACAUGUCUCCUAAUCUAAAAAUAUGUUUUUACGAGUACAAAUAACAAACUAGGAUUUUAACAGCCUUUUAUACUAAACCCUAAAAAUACAUGAAUUUAUCAAAAUAAGUAAAUUAAUUUAAAUUGGUAUGGCAUAGUAGAAGUUUUACCUGCCGAAACAAAUUAAAAAAAUAUUACACUUAAAUCAAAUAUUGACAAAAAUAGAUAACAAUCUAAUGAGAAUCUUAACUAGACAUUUUUACUUCUAUCCAAUUUAACUGGAAUGAGAAUUAAGUCCUGUCAAUAGUUAGGACUCAUAACUCAUACACACUAAUUUGAGAGUGUGGGGUGUGACAAUGGGUCAAAAGACCAUUGACAAGUAUAAAAGAGUGGUCGUAAUUAAUUCAAACCGCUACACACGCUAUAUUGAGGGCCCACUUUUGUUUAUUUCGUUGAAAAGUAGUUUUCACAAUUAAUUCAAACUGCUACACAUGCUAUUGCGUUUUUUUUUUUUUUUUUUUGAAGGGAAGCAAUUUCAUUAAACCAAAACGAAUUACAGACUAUGUAAUAACCACAAAGGUGGAACGAAAUUCCACUCUUGGGGACCUGACAUAGAACCUACUGCCCUUGCAACAGAGUGAGCAGCCAGGUUCGCAGACCGACGUACAAACGAGAAUUGUACUUCUCUUAAAGACUUAGCUAAAGCUCGACAUUCAUCAACUAUUAAACCAAAACCGUUAGGCCCUGAAAACUCCUCAACUAGAGCUUGAAAUACUUGUAAACAAUCAGUUUCAACAAUGACACAAGGAAAUUGUAAGCCUUUAAGCCAACUAAGGGCCUCCCGAAUACCAAGAGCUUCAGCCUCCCUUGCUCCAAAAUUCCCAGCCAUUCCAGCACAUCUUGCUGUUAAGAAAACACCCUCUGAAUUUCGAAGCACACACCCAAAACCAAUAUUUCCCUGAGAUGAAAAGAUAGCAGCGUCAACAUUACAUUUGACCCAACCAAACUUUGGCCUCUCCCAACAUAUUGCCCCAUGGACCAGCUUAUGGACAUCAGUAUCAGCAUAGAAUUGUUGCUUCUUUGCUGCUUGCCACUGAUAGAGAAGUUGCCCAGCAGAAUUGAGCACUUGAUUCACUGAAUCAGUUUUGUUAUUCCAUACUUUGUCAUUCCGAUUAAUCCAAACUCUCCAGCAGAUCAUCAUGGCAACAUGGCAUUCUUCUUUGCUGCAGCGUGUAAAGAUGUGAUCAAGCCACUCUAAGAAAGAAUAACAAUGGCCAACAAAACCCACAGAGGAAGAAAUCCAGCAAGCCUUAGCAACAUUACACUCAACCAACGAAUGGAGAAUAGUUUCAUCAGAAGCAAGACACACAGCACAAGUAGGGGGGAUAUUCACCCUCUUAGAAAUUAAAUUAACUGCAGUAGGCAGCACAUUAGUUGCCGCUCGCCAAACAAAAUUCUUAACCUUAUUCGGCACAUUCAAGUUCCAUAGUUUUCGCCACACAUCUGUGAAAGGGUCAGGGGUAAGAGAAUGUAAAACCUUAUAACAGCUACGGACUGAAUAGCAUCCGCGAGAAUCAGCCAACCAAUACCACACAUCAUCAUUUCGGCGGGAACUAAGGGGAAUUUGAAGAAUCAACUCCUUGUCUCUUGCGUUGAAAAGAUCCGAAACAAGAUCAUAAUCCCAAGCUCGUUGAUUAGGCACCAGUAAACUACUAACAGGAGCUGCAGCAAGCUCGGCAUGGAGAUUAGAAGGAACAAAUCCAUUAUUAGUAUCAGGAAGCCACGGAUCCUUACCAAUGAAGAUCGAAUUUCCACAGCCAACUUGCAGUCUACUCCCUUGAAUUACCACAUCCUUUGCAGCCAAAAUAGAGCGCCACACAUAGCUAGGAUUAUGCCCCGCAGAAGCUUGAAGAACAGAGGUGCGCGGAUGGUAGCGAGCUUUAAUUAUCUUGGCCACAAGAGAUUCCGGACAAGUUAACAGCUUCCACAUUUGCUUUCCUAACAUCGCUAUAUUGAAUAAAUGAAGUUGUUUAAAACCAAGGCCACCAUAUCCUUUUGGUUUGCACAGAUUUUCCCAUUUGGACCAGUUUAAAAAAGAAAAAUGGAAUAGUUUUCCAAAAUUAAUUCAGAGAAGAAGAUUUACUAAUAAUGAUGUUAGAAAUCUUAAUAUUAUGUAUCACUCAUUUAUUAAAUAAUAGAUUUUAUAGUUUGUAAAUUUACUUAACCACUUGAUAAAUGUUAUAUUUGUUUGAAUUGAUCCAAUAGCUCUUGAAAAGCACAUAAUAAUCAUUAUAAAUUUAAUCAAAGACUAAGCAGGUCUUCUUUGCAUUUGAUCACUGGCAUUUCAGUUAAGUUUGUCAUUUAUUUAAAUUUUUCUUGCUUUCAAUUUCCACUGUUGUUUUUUUUAAUAAAAUAAUUUAUUUAAACUAGUCAUAGAAAUAAGAGAGAAAGGGCGCCAUUUCUUGACUCAAAGUCAAUUAUAAUUAUCAAAACUUGAGCGGACAUUGCAUGCCUAAAUUCCACGCACCCUAAAACGGUUUGAUUUGCCUUCACGCGUUCAUGAUUUUCCAUGAAAGAGAGUGCCUCUCGUCUCUUUCCGGACAGUGACUGCAAUUAUGUUAACGUGACGAAUACAAAACGUUAUUACAUACAAGAAUAAGUUUUUGGAGCCGAUACUUGAGGGAGGUUCUAUCUAAUUCUAAAGAUUGUAACCAAAUCAUUAUCCCUAAUUUUUUUAAGUUAAAUAAAAUAAAAUUCAUGCUUAAGUAUAAAUAAUUUUUUUAAGUUAAAUAUAAAAUAAAAUUCAUGAACUUCCUAGAAAGAAAGAAGACCCUUCACCUUCUUCGCGACAACAAAUGAUGUUGACAUGACAAAUACAAGCUCUAUUACAGGGAACAGCAUGAGACCGAGACUUGAUAAAUAUUAAAUAUAUAAAAUAAGUGGAGCAAACGAACAGAAUAAUAGAUAUUUUAUAAUAUUCUUCAUAAAAAUCCAUGUUUUGAGCCUGCCUAUAAGCUUAUCUAGUGAAGUCUGGGUAUCCGCGUUGCCCAAGGUUCCGUUUGAAUCCAGGCCGUGUAGAUGUUUAAGACAUCGCAUAUGGACGGAGUGGAAAUAUUUUCAGUUGACUGAAUUAAAUAAAAAUAUAUUACAAUCAUAUUAUAUAUUAGCAGCAAAAAUAAAAAGAAAUGAAGAAAAACGCAUGCAAGACUUAGACAAGUCAAUUAAAAGCUGGGAGUAUCAUCAGUUCAAUUGGUUAUAAAUAGCGUAGAGCCAUCCUCUCGUUGUUGCAGAACUGAAGCAAAGAGACUCAGAAAGAGUGUGUGUAGGUGAUUAUAAUUAAGAAGAUAUAAUGUGUGGUUCAAAAAGAGUGUGGGUGAGUGAGUUAAUUUUCAUAUUAUUAGUAGUAAAAGGGUGGUGGAGUGAGGGAUGUUUGGAGCAAGAGAGGUCUGCUCUCCUACAACUCAGACAUUUCUUCAAUGAUGAUCAACUUCUUCAAAACUGGGUAGACGAUGAGUAUUAUUCAGAUUGUUGUCAGUGGGAACGGGUUGAGUGCAACAACACCACUGGAAGAGUGAUUGAAUUACAACUACUAGAAACUCGAAAACAGGGAUCAGCAGAGUGGUAUAUGAAUGCCUCUCUGUUUACUCCAUUUCAACAAUUAGAGUCUCUUGAUUUAAUGGGGAACAAUAUAGCCGGUUGUGUUGAAAAUGAAGGUCCUUAAUUUACUCUAUUUUAAUUCUUCCUCGUAAUUUCUUACAUUUAUCUGAUCCCUUUUGAUUUUUGUUUAAUUUGUUCGUGAUACAAUAAAAUUACUUUUUAUUUUUUGUCAGGUCUAGAUAGGUUAUCAAGGUUGAACAACUUGAAGUUUCUUUACUUAAACCUUAACCACUUCAACAACAGCAUCUUUUCAUCCAUAGGUGGUCUUUCAUCACUCAGACGCUUAUCAUUGGCUAGUAAUGAAUUGAAUGGAAGUAUUGAUAUUAAAGGUAAGCAAGCUUCAUCCCUUCUCCCGUGUCCCAUCUUUUGUGGAUCUUAUUUUAUUGACCGGCUGGAAGUAUUGAUAUAAGAUCUGGCUAGACUCUUGCUAGUUUAAGCUUCAAGGAUUUAAAUAUUAUAAAAAUAGGUUUAAGAAAUUAUCAAUAUAUGCAAUUUUCAAUGCUUCUCAUAAUCAGACACAAUUCAAUCUAAUUAUUUUGUAUGUCCUGUCUUCAAAAGUAAAGAAUUGUACACUAAAUGGAAAUCGACAUCGUAGCUUUUUAUUUUUUCUAAUGCUCUUUUUUCGUUAACGAGUUUAUAUCCUAAGAGGGAUUGGAUUGAAAAAAAAAAAGUUUUGAUGUUCAAGGUAGGCCAUAAUAACCCGCAUCUUAUUUGUCUGCCUGUAUCUAAAUUUGUGCACUGAAUUUAGUAUUUUGGUUAUUGUGAAGGGAUCAGAUAUUGGCUUCCAUAGACCAACUUGUAUUUAGUUAAUUAAUUAAUUAACGACAUUUAAUAUUUAACAAAUUAAAAUUUCGUGUUUAAUCUAUUUUAAUUUUUUUAAGAAAAAAGAAAAAGAUAUAGCAAUAGGUAAAGCUAAAAUAAAUUUUAAUUCCUUACAAAUUUAAAUUCAUGGUUGUCAGCUAAAUAUACUUACUUAAAGCCACUCAGUCGAGCCCUUUGAGAGCUGCUUUAAAUUUUUAGCCAUAUUCUUUUCUUAUUAAUAAAAUUCUUUUCGCUGAGAUUUAACAUAAAAAAAGGAGAAAAUAAGUUAUUUAAUUAACUCUGUUUUAAGUGUUGGAAUAAAUACAGGACUGGAAUCCUUGAGUAACUUGGAGGAGCUGGGCAUGAGCGACAAUGCAAUCGACAAUCUAGUGGUUCCUAAAGGUAUACAAAAUGUUCAAAUAUUAAUAAUUUGGAGGACAGUUUAAUUGAUUUGAUUAGGGAAUGCCCAAUGACACUUACCCAAAAUAAUUUAAUCCGAAAUUGUAUCCCAAAUAGAUUACAGAGGUUUGAGGUAGUUGAAUACCUUUUAUUUGGGGAGGGGGGGGGGGGGGGGGGGGGGGGGGGGGAGGGAGGGAAAUUGCAGUGAUAUAUGGAAGCAAGGUGUUGCAAUAAAUAAAGAAAUUCGUUGGUCAAUAUUCAAGGACUCAUCCAAAGUAAUCGUUAAAGUCUAAAGCUCUGCUCUCCUCCAACUCAAACAUUUCUUCAAUGAUGAGAAUUAUUCAGAUUGUUGUCAGUGGGAAGGGGUUGAGUGCAACAACACCACUGGCAGAGUGAUUAAAUUAGAUCUAGGAGCCACUAGGAAUCGGGAAUCAGCAGAGUGGCAUAUGAAAGAUAACUAGAACUUGGAAUAACUUAAAUUAGCUAUAAAAUUAAGACCAUUAUACAACUAAAAAGAAAGAAAAAUUGUUUGCUACUACAUAUCAAAACUAGUAAUAGCAAUGAAAGAUGGCAGACUUCUUACUUAAACAGAUGAGAGGCUACAAAUAAAAAAUUUGUGCAAAUAAAUAUAUGAUAAAGAGCAUAAUACUUUCUUGGGGGCUAAAAAUAAUAUACAACUUGUGAAAUAUAAAUUGAGCUACCAUUACCUUUUAGAUGUGGCAACUUUCGACUUUUGAGGCACUUUGGAAUAUGCAUUCAGAAUCCUGCAUUUGGAAGCCAAAUAAAUAAUGUUAAUAACAAUUUUACAAUAGAAAAAUUAAAAAUUGAUAAAUGGCAGUUGUAAUUUAUGUAUGUGUAAAGAUAGCAUCACAUCCAGGGUCCUCCCAUAAACAUGCUUGUAACAAGAAUUAGUUUGCGUCAACUGCUAGCAACUAUACAAUAGUAAAAAUCACUCUUAUGAACUCAACAAUACUAGGCACCAAUAAGAGUAUGAUACAGCCAUUCUAAAUGGAAGAGAAUACAACUGUUUUACAACUAUGUUGCAUCAGGAGAUAUGUUAGGAGUUUUAAUCCAGAUACCUUCCAACCCAAUUAGGAAAACUCGAGUCAGAAACCAGGAGCUGCAACUGAACCUUACAAUCUUGAAGGAAGAAGGAGACUUGGGGCAUUUUUCUAGAUAGGUGACUUACUAGAUCUACUGCCAAGAAAAUAUCUAUUGCUUUGAACCUCCAUUGAAAUUUCUUUUCCCUUUUUCUUAUUUUGACUUGGAACUUUCCAGCAUCAUCUAUUUGAUCUUUUUUAAAGCUAAAAUAGCAAUCUACGGGUUGUCAACAUCUUAUCCCCCCCCCCCCCCGGGGGCCCCCAAAAAAAAAACAUCAAUGAGUUGUCAAUAAAUAGCGCCUACUCAACUUAUGUUCUCCAAUGGAUGACAAUGUGCAAAUCGACCUAGCAGCCACAUUUUCCCCCCCUUUCAACCACCAUUAGGCAACUUUUCUAACCUUUCUUCAUUGCCCACGUCUACAGAACUAUCAUAUAAAGACUACAAGAUAGACGCACGGUAUCUAAAUAAUUGUACCAACCCCCUCUCCUGAUUGUCAUAAAACGGCCAAUAUUUAACGCUCGACAACAAAAUUGCAAAUACUCUAGCCUCUAUAUUAUUGGCAUAUAAAUAUUUUCGGUUAGGUACAUUAUAUUCUUCGUUCUAAAACCUCAAUUAUUGGCUAGUACUGUGAUAAAAUGAUUCAUCACUGAAAAUAAAACUAGUUCACGUACAAAUAAUCAAAAACUGAAAUAGAAGCAACGAUAAACCAACCUGUAUUACGUCGAUUCAUCACAACAAACUGAAAUCGAGGCUGUGUGUUCCUGAAAAUUGAAAAAAUAAUAAUUUCACCAACUUCAUGUGUAAUACAAUCUCCAAAACACCAAAUAUCAAAUGAAAAAAUGGAAAGCAUAAGAUAGAAAAGAAUCUAAUUUUAUUGACCUUUUGACGACGACGAGAGAGCCUUCAACAUCCUUACGACUCCAUUGGCUGAGGUCGAUGUUGAACUCGUAGAAGGUGACAUGAGCGGCCGUGAUGAGGAUCUCCUCAAUGAAUGGAUCGAUUCGCUGAAGAACUGUCAGGUUUAGGAGUUUUGUGCUCUGCUGGUCCAGAUUAGGCAUCAAUUUUCCGUUAUGCGACAUUUUUCAUAGUCGUUUUGGGCUCUGCCCCGAGCACAAGCCCCAGGGUUUUUCUGUGAGCUCUCUCUUUUGUAAAUAAAGUGUUUGAUGAGAUAGCCGAGAGAGAGUGAAAGUGUUGAACAGCCAAACACGGUCUCGAGAUUGAUCUUGCUUUAACUUCUUUUAAACAUUUGGGAAAUAGCAUUUAUUUCUUUUAGUUUCUCUACUUUUUUUUUCCUUUAUGUCAUUUAGACCCCAAAAUUAGAUUUAUUAUAAUCCUAUUUUACCCAUACACUAUUAACCCCUUUUAUUUUUAAAAUUUGUCAAUAUUAAUGUGUUAGAAUAAUGUUAAAAAUCCCAAUUAUUAUCUCAAUGUUUCAAUCAUAACUAAUGUGAUAACUCAUUGGUAACUGCAACAUUAACUUAAUUAUUAAUGUAACACAAUAAAAGUUUCGUACAGAUUUUGAUAUUGAGAGUAACACAAUAAAAGUUUCAUACAGAUUUUGCAAACGAAAAGCACAUAAUACACUUAACUAGGAGGAAAAAUUAAGGUGUAUAUAUUACAAACUGCUAACAAUAUACAAUUGUAAAAAUCACUCACAAAUACUAGGCACCAAUAAGAGUAUGAUACAGCCAUUCUAAAUGAAAGAGAAUACAACUGUUUUACAACUAUGUCACAUCAAGAGAUAUGUUAGCAGGAUUAAUCCAGAUACCUUCGAACCCAAUUAACGAACUCGAGUCAGAAACCAGGGGCCCCCAACUAAACCUUACAAUCUUGAAGGAAGAAGGAGACUCGUGGUCCAGAUAGGUGACUUACUAGAUCUCCUGCAAAAGAGAAUAUCUAUUGCUUUGAACCUCCAUUGAAAUUUUUUUUUCCCUUUUUCUUGUUUUGACUUGGAACUUUCCAACAUCAUCUAUUUGAUCUUUUUUGAAGGUAAAAUAGCAAUCUAUAGGUUGCCAACAUGUUAUUCUGCCAAACCCCACCCCACCCCCCCGGGGGACAACAAAUCGACCUAGCACACACCUUUCUUCAUUGCCCACACCUACAGAACUAUAAUAAAAAGACUACGUUACUAUUGGGGUAGAGAAAAUAUACAGACUGUAUUAUUAUUACAUCGCAUUUUACUAAUUAACUAGUGCAAGACUUCUUUAGUGUCAAAUCAAGAACUAAUUAGAAAAGACAACUCAUGAUAAUACAGACCUUAAUAAGCAAUUGCUAACAACAUCCCAUAUACUCCUAUUUUAGCCUUCAUUAUCCUGGUAAAAACACAAAUAAGUCUUGCAAACGAACAUUUAUAAGUAAAUUCAACAUUAAUUAAGAUUAGGUAUCUACUGCACCUAAUAGCAUGGUCAACCAUCCAGUUCCUGUAGCCUUCCAUGUACCUAUGUUAGUUACAUUUUACAUAUUAAGCCACGAAAACGAAGAAUCACAGCCUGGUAAAGAAAGACAUUAAUUAAUAGUUUUUGUUUAAAAAGUUCUCCUUUAGAUCUUUCCUAUUCAAUGAAUCAAUGUAAUCUAAAGAGAAUUCUUCCAUUUCAAACAGUGUUAGAAGGUAUUUGCAAAGCCUAAAGAUAAUAUACAAGGACCAAGAUAUACACAGAUGGUUUCUUUAUGGAAUUAAAGAGCUUUAUAGAUGUUAAAACUGUUUCAAACAAUUUUUCUUGUUUGGUUUAACUAAGGAAAAGCUUGUGGAAGAUUAAAAAUGAUGUUUCCUAUUCUCUGUAGGAAACUUUUAGGAGAUUUUUUGGGCUUUUUUGAAAGGUUGAAUUGUCAAAAAUACCUUGAUGUUAUUGUUUGCUAAAAGAUGUUACGGACAUCUAAACAACCAACAACAUUUUGUUAAAAGCUCUACUAGUGUAGGAUCUACUUAAAGAAGCUAUACCAAACAGACUCUUAGACUGAAUAACUCGAUCUUAAGUUUGUAAAAUUGGGCUCAGAAUCUCCACUAACAACCCCGCUUCGGUGAGAAAGCCCAAGCCUGUUACUUUGUAUAACCUUAUUCUGUAUGUUUGAUUGCAGGAACUGGCCGAUCAUACCGACGAGGUGAGUGUGCAACAUGAGGUGCUUGACGGGAUGUUUACUUUCUAUGAUACAACUAAAGCUAGCCUCAACAUAUAUCAGGUGCCUGCUUGUUUUUACCUUCUAGAUACUAAUAUUGUUUAGACGUGUAAUCUCUCUCUCCAUUGAACGCUAGACGGCUCGUCUCAAGCCUUCUACGUACUUCAGAGUCCUUCACUAGCUUUUUAUGUAUAAAGUUUUGAUCUUUUUCCUUCAUUUGCUUGAAGCUCAUUACUGCAGAUUUUUUUUACAGGUUGGUAGUGUAACAUUCGACUUGCUGUUGCUUCUAGUCUUGGGAUCGUAUUUAAUUGUGCUUUUCAGCUUUCUUGUCAUAACAACUAGGGUAUCACUCUUUCUCCAUAUCAAGCUUGAAGUUCUAAAUUUCAGUUUUAUCUUUUAUUUGAUGUUUUAUAAUUUCAUUGCAAACAGAUUAGAAUAGAAACUUCAAAAGUUCCAACUGACUAGUCCCGUGUAACUUUUUCAGGGAAGAUUUUCUCUCAUAACAACUACGAACGUGUUAUGGUUUAGCCCAGUGACACAAAGGACAGUUUUCAACAAUUGAUCCUAGGAAGAUGCCCAUAGCUUGUUGUGCCAAAAAUAGAAAAUCUAAGAUGCGAAAAAAUUUUGUUGAGAUUCAUUUUUCAUCCUGAUGUUACCGCUGGCCUUUUUUUUUUUUUUUUUUGGCAGAGAAUAAUGCUUAUGUGAUUUCUGAACUUGGUGAUUGUUGAAAUGAGCUGAAAAUGAGCUGGAAAUGUGUUUGGUUAAUGAGAAAGAGAGCAAGAAAAUGAAAGAAAUCUAUUUCACUUUUUAUUUAUCAGCAUGAUUACAUUCACAAUGAAUCUAAGCUGCUAUUUAUACUUAAAUGACUACACACGAGAAUCUUCUUGCUAGAUACUUCUAGAAACUCUACACGCACACUCACACUGAGCUAGUGGUUACCAAAACCGUUACAACGAUAUUGCCAGCUCAGCAUAACCAACUUAUAACUAACACACUCAGCUGCAGGGGAAACCAUCAAGCUUACUGUGCGUCCUCUGUAAUCAAGCUUCUUUAAGCAUGCUCUGCAGAUCAUACGUCUGAAUUAUCGAAACAAGAUGAAUUAUUUUUUGUUUAUUGCAGCAGGCGAUCAAUGAGCGGAAUUUCUAGCUUGUAUUCAAUUCGCGAACACAGUUUGAGAAGAAUCAGACCAUUAAUUUUCUUUUGAGCCAAUCAACAGAAUGUACAUUUCUUCUAAGAACUUGUAACCGAAACCGCAGUUUUUCAGGUUUGAUGCAUCUGGGAAAAUUGUCAGAUGGAAUAAAACCACCAUGCGCCAAGGUACCAAUGAUGUUUCUUCCAGCUUAUGAGCACUUCAAAUAAACUUAGGUCAUAUUUACACAAGGGCGCACAUGAUAUCAAUCUAAUGGCAAUUAUAUCAUCUAAAAUCCAAAACCAAGAGUCUCCCAUUUUCCCGCCCUCUACUCUGUUCGUA